rnacentral:lncRNA from 1 species
ACCGAUCUCUUCCAUUCUCCUUCCUUCGUUUUGUUGUGGAUGUAAAAGACCUUCUGCCAUCCAUAAUAAAAUCAGCUUCUCUUUGUAGAAUUGGUGGUCCUGGGGAAAAAUAGAACAAUAAGCAAAACAAUGCUUCAGAGGUAAAGAAAGAUGAUGGUAGCUUAAUAUCAAAGAUGGAAGAAUUUCGGAGCCACUCUGCGGAUGCCAUAUUUCACUUUUCAACACAUCGUCCCAUUCCCUUUUUUCGACCUUAGAAUACAAGAGACAGCCGAGUGCUUUCACAGCCAAAGGCAAUCCUUGGCACUUGUCCACAAUCUGUCUGCCUAUGCGUUCAAGCUCAAGGAAUGCGUUGGAGUCUCGAUCUUGAAAUGCAUGCUUUUUAAACAGGGACCAACUAUCUUCAGAGCUUAAUUUCCCAAGAUGAUGAGUAGGGACUGCUCGCAUGGUUGUUGCAACAGAUUGAUCACGACUGGUCACGACAAUCUUGCUUCCCUCUGCUGCAGCGAGGAGUGGAGUUCGUAGAAUAUUCCAACCUUCACGAUCACUAAGCUCCAUAUAACCUUCAUCACGAGGCUUCAAAUUCCAGACGUCAUCAAGAACAAGCAGAAAUUUCUUGUUACUAAGUUGCUCUUUGAGUUGAAGCUGAAGCAAAUUUAGGUUGUCAGCAGAAGUAGGUGGAGAACGAAUUUCCUCAAGAAUUGUUUUGGUGAGUUUGAUAAGGAGAAACUCAGUGGAAACACAGACCCAUGCUUGCAAGUCGAAGUGUUUCUUCACUUCCUCAUCGUUAUAGAGAAGCCGAGCAAGCGUGGUCUUGCCGCUGCCGCCCAUGCCCACCAUGGACAUCACCCCCAUUUUGUCGCCUGUUGUAUUGUCAGAAAGCAACCACUCCACCAUCUCCUUCUGAAUUUCAUCCCUGCCGACAACAAUGGAGUCAUCCUCCAAAGAAGUGGAUAUUGGUGAUCUUGGUCUUGGUGACCGUUUCUCGCCCCCACCUUCUGCCAGCCCCAACCCAACUUUUUCUAGUGCGAUUUUUUCCAGUAGAUCAAUCAUGCCCCUGACCCUGGACUCCAUGCUUUUGAUAGCAAAUGGAGUCUUCACAGAAGCAGAGAACUUGUUCCAUUUCCACGCCUUAAGAGUUCCGCCGGUUUGGGAGUCAGCAGCUUCCAUCUUGCAACGCAAAGCGUCGGUAGCGAUCUCGUCCAACAGGUCUUCCGCAUCAUACACAGCACCCGUGACAUGGACGAGCCACUCUUUGACAUUUGGGUUUGAAAAUUGCUUCACCUCCGCAUCAUCGAGCACAUUGAGAACAACCACGAGUUUCCUCUUCAACUCGUUGAGGAGUUCAUCGCUAAGGUUCCGUCGCCGAAUGAAGUUUAUGAGCUCUGGAGAAGCCAACCUUUCGAAUAGAACUUGAAGCGAAGCUGAGAGGAGGGCGUCCGCCAUAUCUGUGUCGACUGUUGCUUUGCAAUAGGAAUUUAGAGGAUUGGUUUCUGUUACCGCGAUACCACCAAACUGCAAAAGACUGGGUUUGGAUCACCACACUGCAGAAUGCUUGAAGGAAUCAUUGUUGGUGGUGGACCUAGCUGCCAGAUAUUGGUGGUGGACCCAGCUUCACUGCAGAAUGCUUGAAUACACUGCAGAAUGCUUGAAGGAAUCAUUGUUGGUGGUGGACCUAGCUGCCAGAUAUUGGUGGUGGACCCAGCUUCACUGCAGAAUGCUUGAAUACACUGCAGAAUGCUUGAAGGAAUCAUUAUUGGUGGUGGAUCCAGCUACACUGCGGAAUGCUUGAAGGAUACAUUAUUGGUGGUGGACCCAGCUGCCAAUAUUUGUCAAACACCAUAAUUGAGUGGUGAGAAAAAGAACAGGAAAAGCAAGUGGGAGGUAGAUGCGCUUUCCCCGAGGCGAACGCAAGUGGAAGCUGGAUGGCGCAUGCCCUACAACAACAACAUUCGGUAUUUUUCUUUUUCAUCGACGCAUUUCUUCUUUCUUUCUUCUAGUAUUAUUAUUAGUAGACAUAUGCACACGAAUAUUUGUUUAUAACAUUAUCAUUCAUAAUAUUAUAAAAUUUAUUAUUAAUAAUAUUUAUACUAAUAUUAUUUUUUAAUAAUUAUAUUAGUAUCAUGAUUUUAUAAUUAGUCUCCUUACUUUUAUUGUUUAUAAUAAUAAUAAUAAUUAUUAUUAUUAUUAUAUUAUAUUACGUAUUUUCACAUAAACAAUGAUAUAUGCACAAGACAUUAAAAUUUUGAAUAUUAUGGUUAUUAUUAUUUAAUAAUAAUAUUAUUAUUUGAUUCAAAAAAAGUUUAUAAUAUAAUAAUAACAAAAAUAAAUUUUUUUAAUAAAAUAAAUUAUAAAAAUAUAAUAAUUUUAUUAUUUAUAAAAUAUAUUUAUUUUAAUGUAAUUAAAAAAAUUAAAAUAAUUUUAAAAAAUUUAAAAAUUUUCAAAAAAAGUUAAAUGGAAUGGGAUUAGGAUGGGAUCGAUCCAUCCCAAUGUCAUCCCGUUGUCAUCCUAACUCACCUAAUGAUAAUUAAGGCCAUUUUUUAUCAUUGUUUUUUUAAAAUGGUCUUUUAUCCUUAAUAUAUAUAUAUAUAAUAAUUAGAAAAUAAAACAUAAUUUUUGUUUUUAAAAAUAAAAAAUAAGGCAUUUUUAGAUCAUACCCUUUUAGUUACUUUUACUUGUUUUUAAAAAAUUAUUUUAAAAAGUAAUUAUAUAAAUAUAAAAUAAUAAAAUAAUUUAAAUAAAAAUUAUUUUUAAAAUAUAGAAAAUUAGUUAAGAACACUUUAUCUUCUCAAGCUCUUGUUUUAUAAAAUAUCAUAAAAUAAUUUUCAAAAACUUUUUUUUUUUCACUAUUUUGACAACCUCAACUGGAAUAAUACACAACAAAAAUAAAUAAAUAAAAAUAAAAAGGUCCAAAGAAAGACAAACGUGUCCAGUAAUGCACUUAAAUUCAAUGAACCUAAAAGCCAAAUGUGCAGUGUUGACUUUUCAACCGAGAGUUCACACAUGCCCAUUUUUUAAAGCACUAUUAAUAUAAAAUAUAUAUUUAAAUAAAAAUUAGACUUUUAAAAAAAUUAAAAUAUAUUUUUAAAAUGUUAAAAAAAUAUUUACAAUAUUUCCUUAAAAAAAACAUCUUCCAAAAACAUUUCUUUAAAAAAUACUUCCACCGAUAACAAUUCAGACACACUUGUGAUUUAAUAGUUAAAUAUUCUUUCCAACAGGAAUUCAACUAUCGGUUUGUAUUACCACGAUACCAUCAAACUGCGAAAGACUAAUUUUGGAUUACCAAAAUGCAGAAGAGCUGAAGGAAUCAUUGAUGGUGGACGACCCAGAUGUCCACAUUAUUUGUCAGACACCAUAUUUGAGUGAUGAGGAAAUGAAAGAAAAGCAAAUAAAAAACAAAAAAGGUGAUGCCAAACAUGGUCUUAUAAGGUGGGAGGAGCGAAAGCAACAAAGGAAACUAGCAGGAUUUUUCAUUGCUAUUCCAUACCUCAAAGGACAAAUUUUGAAUUACCAAAAUACAAAAGACUUGAAGGAAUCAUUGAUGGUGGUGGACCCAGAUGUCCACAUUAUUUGCCAAACACCAUAAUGAGUGAUGAGAAAACAAAAGAAAAAGCAAAAAAGGUGAUGACAAACACGGUCUUGUAAGGUGGGUGGAGCAAAAGCAACAAAACAAACUAGUAGGAUUUUUCAUUGCUAUUCCAUAUCUCAAAGGACUAAUUUUGAAUUACCAAAAUAUAGAAGACAUAAAGGAAUCAUUGAUGGUGGUGGACCAAGAUGUUCACAUUUGCCAAACACCAUAAUUGAGUGAUGAGAAAAUGAAAAAAGAAAAGAAAAUGCCAAACAUGGUCUUGUAAGGUGGGUGGAGUGAAAGCAACAAAGUAAACUAGCAAGACUUUUCGUUGCUAUUCCAUACCUCAAAGGAUUGAUUUUGAAUUAUCAAAAUACAGAAUACUUGAAGGAAUCAUUGAUGGUGGUGGACCCCGAUGUCCACAUUAUUUGCCAAACACCAUAAUUGAGUGAUGAGAAAAUGAAAAAAAAAAAAAGUUAAGAAAAAACAAAGAAGUGAUGCCAAACAUGGUGUUGUGAGGUGGGUGGAGCAAAAACAACAAAACAAACUAGUAGGAUUUUUUGUUGUUAUUCCAUAUUGAGAAAAUAAAGGGCUACUCUAAAUAGAUAAAAACACCCAAGAAAGGAGGUGAAUAGAAGUUAAAAAAUUUCUUUUUAAACACAAUAAAAUUAAACACAAGAAGUACAAAUAUAAAGAAGUAAGGUUAUAGAAAGUAAACUCAAAUUUAUAGUGGUUCGACACUUCCUUACUUACAUCCACUCUCCUCAAGCUUCUAAUCGAGUGAGGGUUCCACUUAUACUUGAAGUUUCAACCAAACUUCUUAUCACUUUUUACACUUGGAUUCCAAUUCCAAUGAAGUCUUACACAAUCUCUUCAAGUCUUUACUCACUUGAAGGUUUUAACACUCAAUUAACAAGUUUGAAUCUCUCAACCUAGCUCAACAAUGACUCAAAUACAACUCAAGGCUAGGAUGAAUCACUAAGGUGCACUAAAGAAUAUGCAAAUGAAAAUUUAAUGCACUAAGAAAAUAAUGAGAGCUUUUAUGGCAAUAAUAAGUAGGUAAACAAAUAAAUGCAAGUGUUCUCUUACUCAUAAAUGAAGUAGAGCUCUCAAUUUAUAGGUUUCUAACCUCAGGAACUAAAAAGCCAAAAAACAGUCUCGACUGGUCGAGCUGGGGGUUGACUGGUUCACUAGUCGUUGAAACAUUAAAUGCUUGGCAUGUGACCGUUACCCUCGACCAAACCUUAAUCGAGAAGACAAAUCCAUCAACCAGGAAAGAAAGACUACUAGAAGAUAGAGAAUGUUUUUUACAUCUCUUAACUGGACCUCGACAUAGAAGGAGUAAUCGGUAGACCGGUACCCUAGCUGAUUGAGCCGGUUGGCCAGUGUCUCGACUAGUUCACCAUUUUUAGUCCGAAAACCUAUCUUUUUUUGGUCUUUUUGCUUCUAGCACUUAGGCAAGGACUUUAGAUAAAAUAAUAUGUCAAUUUUGAAAUGUUUUGCCUAAGGUUCAUUUGAUAGAACUCGGAUUUUGAUGGAAAUGUAACUUUAAUGCAUAAACCGAGUUUUAAAGAUGUAUGAAAUGAUAUGAAUAUCUUAAGUACAUUCAUGCAUUCAUCUUACGUAUGUUUCCUAUGAUUAAAAGGUCUUUCAUAAGUCUUGAUCUUGCAUUCAUUAGGUCCUUUAAUGAAUUUCCAAAUUAACACCUGAAAUUCUUUAUAAUUCAAAUCAAUUAGUAACUUAACCAUGAUUUUUUAUCAUCAAAACAUAAUUAGGAAAAUCAUUAGGCUAACACAUACCUUAAAGGACUAAUUUUGAAUUACCAAAAUAUAGAAGACUUGAAGGAAUCAUUAAUGGUGGUGGACCAAGAUGUCUACAUUAUUUGCCAGACACCAUACUUGAGUGAUGUGAAAACGAAAGAAAAGCAAAGGAAAAACAAAAAAAGGUGAUGACAAACAUGGUCUUGUGAGGUGGGUGGAGCGAAAGCAACAAAACAAACUAGCAGGAUUUUUUGUUACUAUUCCAUACCUCAAAUGAUUGAUUUUGAAUUACCAAAAUACAGAAGACCUGAAGGAAUCAUUAACGGUGGAUGACCCAGAUGUCCACAUUAUUUGUCAAACACCAUAAUUGAGUGAUGAGAAAAUGAAAGAAAAACAAAGCAAAGGAAAAAAAACGUGAUGUCAAACAUGGUCUUGUAAGGUGGAUGGAGUGAAAGCAACAAAGCAAACUAACAAAAUUUUUUGUUGCUAUUUCAUACCUCAAAUGACUGAUUUUGAAUUACCAAAAUACAAAAGACCUGAAGGAAUCAUUGAUGGUGGACAACCCAGAUGUCCACAUUAUUUGCCAGACACCAUAAUUGAGUGAUGAGAAAACAAAAGAAAAGCAAAGGAAAAGCAAAAAAGGUGAUGUCAAACAUUAUCUUAUAAGGUGGAUGGAGCGAAAGCAACAAAGAAAACUAGUAGGAUUUUUCAUUGCUAUUCCAUACCUCUAAAUCACCAUAAUAAUAAUAAUAAUAAUAAUAAUAAUAAUAAUAAUAAUAACAAUAACACCAAAUUUUAAGGUUAUUUUUUGUUAUAAAAAAAUACUAGGAAAAUAAAAAAAAAUUAAGGAAAAUGAUUUUUUUCAUAUUUGAUUUCACUAUAGAAAAUAUAAAAGAAAAUCAAAUAUAAUUAAAAUUAAUUUGAAAUUUAUAUAUUUUAAAAGUAUUUAAUCUUUUUAUAAUUUAGAAAAAUAAGUAAAACGAGUUUGAAGAAAUGUAUAAAAAUAAUUUAUUAAAUUUAAAUUUAUUUCUUAUUUUCCUUCAUUUUUUCUUUUCUUCUACUUUUUCUCUCUAUUUUCUUUCCUUCUCAUUUUCCCUCAAAUUUUCCAAGAGCCAAACAUAGCUUAAAGGUUUAGAAUCUUAUGCACAAGACUUUCAAUUUUUUUUACAAUAUUAUUUUAUUAGUUAAGAAUUAAAAUUUAAUGUACCAUAUCUAACACUAACAAAAAAAUUUAUAACAACCGGUCUUAUCUUUUAAGAAUGUAUUGUUUAAAUGAGAUUAAAAAUUAAAAAUAAAUUUUAAUUCAUUUAACAACUAAAUUAAAAUGAAAUUUAUAUAUAUCAUAAAUUUAUACAAUUUUGAAUCAUUUUAUAUGGAGGAUUGAGAAUGGAGAGAUUGAAGAAUUGUUUGGUGACGAGGAGAUUGAUUGAAGAUUUUAUAGUCUUAAGGUUCUAUGGGAUGAAUUUUUUUGUAAAGAGUUUAAAUUUUUGUAAAAAAUAAAAUUAGUUUUAUGUUAUCUUAUUUCAUGGAAAUAUAAAGUUUUAAUUCAAAGAUUAUGUUUCAAAAAUAUUAUUUUUAAAAUAUAUUUAGUAAAGAUUUAUAAAAAUUUAAAAUAAAAUUUAAUUAAUCUAUAAACUAAAUUAAAAUAAUAUUUAUAUAUUAUUUUUAUAGAUUUACAUGUAUAAAAUCUUUAAAAUGCCUCAACUUAAAAUAUCCUUACAAAAUUUCAUUAAUCUACUAGCAAUCCGCCUAUUGUCUCUAUAUAGAGUCUAUUUGCAUUAGGAUGAAUACCAUCAGAAUAAUAAUUACGUUCCACAUAUGACAUAUCUUAGCUUCCACUUGGAGGUUAAAAAUCAUUAUGAAGAUUUGGACAAUAAUUCAAGUAGGCAUCUUUGAAAUUUGACUUCCAAAUCCCUUUGUCAAUAUACACCACCCUAUGACAAUUAAAUAAAUUAGAAGGAAAAAAAAUGUUGAAGGAAUGACAUAAGAAUAAUUUAUGUAUGACUAGAUUUAAAGUUUAAUUAUAUGAGGAAUCCUUCAUUAUGAAAAUAUAAGGAACAAUUAUAUUUAAGGAGUGGAUGGGGUUGAUAAUGACUAAAGGGUACAAAUUUUGCAUAAUUGAACUAAAAAGGUAGAAAAAGUUUGUAGAUUGUUGUGGAAGAUAUAAACCCAUUUUGUGAGUCAAAAAUGCUCAAAAUACCCUUAAGAGUGUUUUAAAAAAAAGGACAAUUAAGUACUCAUGAUAAUUAAUAUAUUAAGAUUUCAAGAAAAAUUAAUAAUAAAUAAAAUCUUUUUCUAAAUCUAUUUAACAGUCAUAUAGUUUUUAUUUUGUUUUAUUUUUUCAAGUUGCAGCUAUUAUCUUAAUUUAUUUUUCAUUUUAAGGUUCAAUUAUUAUUAUUCUUUAUUUUGAUUAAUUAAAUGAAACUGUAUAAGACAUGUUUAUAUUAAUUAACUAAAAAGGAUAGAUUUUUUAGCAAUAGGAUUAAAAUAAAUAAAAACAAGGAAUUUGAUUUUCUUUAUGAAAUAGAUUGGGAAAAGUAUAUUUCGAUACAUUCGUAUGAAAAAAAAAAAUCAUAAAAUAGGAACUCAAGUUUAUAAAAUACAAAUUUUAAACAUCCAUCUAAAAAUAAUUAUCAUUUCAUGCAUUUUUUUUGGGUCAAAUAUAUUAUAUUUGACAAUUUAGGUAUUAUCUUUUAAUAAUAUAGGUACUACCUUCACCUGCAUAAAACUUGAAUUAUUUUUAGAUAGUUUAUAUUAUAUAAUUAGUUAAUCCUUUGAUAUAAAUAUUAAAUAAUUAAAAAAUAUAUCUUUUUUUUAAGAAUUUUAAUUAUAUUUGGCUUUCUUUUGUAUUUUCUAUUGUGUAAACCACAUAUAAGAAAAUCAUUUUCUUUUACAUUUUUUUUCUUUCCUUGAUAAUUUUCGAGAACCAAACAUGACUUGGAGGUUUGGAUAAUAGGGUAUAGAUGCCAGAAAUACUGGAAUGGGUUCAGGUUUUCCAUGCUAAAGGUCUUUAUUAUUAUUUGGUAGCACUUUUCCAAAAUUGUUCCAUUCCCAAAACCACUUAAUUUGCUUAAAUAUUUUUACCUCACGAUAUCAUAACAUUAUAAUGGAAUAGAUUUUGUUGGUGUUCAAAUCAUGUCAACUCAAUUUCCAAACCAUUCGGAUUGUCAUUUGGUGAAAAAUAGAAAGAAAUUUUACUUUAUUGAAAAGCAUUUCAUUUUGAUUUGAAUAUGCUGCAAUGAAAUAGUUACUAAACCAUGGGGUAGCAGAAGAAGUAAUCGAGAAAAUGAAGAAGGAUGUUCAAGAUUCUUUAUGCUGCCAUUGGAGGAGAAGAAUGCUUACACACAGCUACCAAAUAGCAUUGAAGGUUAUCACAAAGAAUUACUCAUUUUAUCAAUUUUUUAGAGUUUUCUUUUCAAUAUUUUUAUGAGUUUUGAUAAUUUUCAACAUUUUAAUCCUUACUUGAUGGCACUUUGCUCGAGUUUCCACCUUGUAUAUCAGGGCAAUCUUAGAUGAGUAUUGAUCAGAGCUCCAAAAGGUUUCAAUUUGCCUAUUAAAGUUGAUGGCCAAGAACCUUAAGAUCAAUCCUAACCAGCUCACAAAUAUAUUUGAGAAUGGAAGACAACAUGUGAGGAUGAAUUAUUUCCCCCUUGUGUGCAUGCAAGAAAGGUUGUGGGCAUUUAUAAACCUAUGAGCAAUGAGGAGUUUUCAAGACUUCGCCUGAGUAGAGGAAACUUAAUGGUAAGAGUACAAUAAGUCAUAUGAAAUUGGAGAAUUGAAAGAGCAUAAGAACCAUGUUUUAUUAGAAGACCUGUGAAAGUUUAAUCAGUCAUGGAACUACUAAGAGGGGAUGAAUUAACAGUUUUCUUAAAUUUUGUUCAAAGUUUAUGAAUUUUAUUUUUUAUAAUUUUUUUUACUUAGAUUGAAACUUAUUAAUCAAGGUAAGAUUUCAGUCACAUCGAGAAACAAACAUUUUAUGUGAAAAGCAACUGAUAAAAUCUUGAGUUUACAGAUGUAAAAACCAUAAGGCCAAAGACUGUAGAACUCCAACCCCAUUGAAUCAAGAAUAGAAACACAAAUUUAUCUACUAACCUACACUAAUCUCUUAUCUACAAUGCAACACCGUUAUAGUCUUAAGUGACUUGAAAGGAUGUGAAUCUUUCUCACAAACUUCAUAAUGAAAUUCAAAUUAGCUUUGAGAGUUUAAGAGUAAUAAUGCAUAGCUUUUGUGUGCGAGUUUUUAAGUGCUCCCCCAAAAGACAUAUUUAUACCCAAGUGAACUUAAGACUCAAUUUAAAGCAUGUAUUUUACUAUAAAAAAAAAUUAAAUACAAAUUUAAGAAACUUCAAGAAUUUUGGAAAGAUAAUUUUAAAAAAAAAUUCAAAGAGAGUCAGAAAAUGUUUCCUUUUUAAAUUCUCAAUUUAAUUUAUUUUCAAAUUUCUUAAGAGUUUAAGAAAUAUUUUCUUUUUAAAUUCUCAAUUUAAAACUCUCUUUUAAAUUAAUUUUCAAAUUUCUUAAGAGUUUAAGAAAUAUUUUCUUUUUAAAUUCUCAAUUUAAAACUCUCUUUUAAAUUAAUUUUCAUGUAAGUCUACUCUAUACAUUUUACAUCGUUAUUCUCAAUUAACUCAAAUGUAACAUCCCCGAUUGAUUUUGCACCAACCUUAAGUCUUCAAAGACAAUGAUUGAGGCAUUUCUUCUCCUAUUUUCUCCGAUGUAGAAAAAAAAAAAAAAAAACUAGAAUAAGGUUAAGGCAUUUCUUCUCCUAUUUUCUCCGAUGAAAAAAAAAAAAAAAAAAAACUAGAAUAAGGUCAAAGCUGGUUUAUAGCAAAAAGUCUUAAUUUGAGUUAGCCUUUUUUUUUUUUCAAAUGAUAUGCAGGUCCAUCAAACCUUCAACUCAAAUUUUUUAUUCAAAGAUCACAUGUGGAUAUGUGAACAAGUAAAAGUUGAGUUUUACCUAACAUAUCAUUUUGAAAAUUAGGAAAUUUAAAAGGUCUUAGAUUGUUGAACUCACCACCCUAUCUAUUCUACAAAACAAGUAGAUUAGCAAAGAAAGAAAUUGUACCCACGAGUAUAGAGUUUUGGGUUAAAACGACCCUUUUGAUGGGAAAAAUAUUAAAUUUAACCACUUUGUCAAACUUAUGUGUAAAAUGGUUCUUUUAUUACCACGUAGGAGUCAUAUCACUAAAAUAUAUACAUAUUUUUAAUUUAAGUUGAAGCCUCAAUUACCAAUUAAGGCUUCAAUUGUCAAUUACGAUUUUAUUUUUUAACCCGAAACCUUACUUGUCAAUUGAGGUUUUAACUAAAAAAUGAAACCUCAAUCACCGACUGAAACUUAAUUUUUUAAUUGAAGCCUCAAUUGAUAAUUGCGAUUUUAUUUUUGAACUGAAAUCUCAAUUGUCAGUUGAGACUUUAUUUUUGUGGAAGGAUUACGUGACACUCACGUGACUAGAAAAAAGCCAUAUUGAAUAUUAGUUUCAAAAGUGGCUUAAAAGAUAUAUAUUUAUGAUCAAAGAUGCCAUUUUGACCCAAAAUCCCAUGGGUGCAUGAGACUCUAGUUAAUCAUAGAUUUCAUAAAUAAAAAUAAGAGUUAGGAUGAUUCAACCCCAAAGCAUCAAGAAUUCUUUAACAUAAUGUUAGAACAUUUUCCAAUUUAAAUUCGAGAGUUAACUUUAUUUGAAUAUGCUUUUGAUUUUUUUUUCUUUUUUUAAAAUAAGCUUCAGUGUUUUUUUCAUAAAAAAAAAAAUAAAAAUAGGAGCUUCUAUAUAGAAAGAAAAAUUUUAUCCAACAAAUAUAAGGCUCACCUUAUAUCCUUAUAAAAAAUUUAAAAUUCAAAAUUUUUUAAUACCUCAAAAUUUUUAAUCAAUAUUUAAAAAUCAUUAUAUUUUCAAUAUGAUCCUUUAAAAGUUUAAAUUACCUAUAUUUUUUAUUUUCAAAAAUACAAAAAAAAGAAUGAUUUUUUUUUUUUGUUUUUUAAUUAUUAAGAUGAAUGAAAUAAUCGCAAAUUUGCAAAAAUAACUUCUUCCAUGUUUGAAUUUGAAAAAUAACUCAUUUCCAAUAUAAAUACUCUUCAAUAUUUGGAUUAUUUUAAUAUAAAUUUUAGAAGAAAGUGUUACUUUGACGGGAAAACAUGAAAGACAUUUUUAUUAAAAUUUGAUCUUUUUUUAAGGCUAAAAUAUAUGUAGGUUUAUAUUUACAAUUUGAGACCAUUUCGUCCUCUUAAUCAAAUAACUUAAAAAAGAAAAGAGUUAAUUCCACAAGUGGGUUUAAAAUACUCACAAAAUUGCAAAAUAUAUCUAUAUAUAUAUAUAUAUAUAUAUAUAUAUUACCCUUACUUAAUCAAUUCGUGUGUUGAGCACAUGACACUUCCGUUCAUUAAAGCUAACACCGUUAAAUAACAAAUGUACAUUGUAGCUAUUUAAGAAGUAUGAAGGGCACAUUGCUUAAUUUUAGUACAUGGUGAGAAACUUGUUGAACAAGUUAUGUGUAAAGUUUUAUGGUUCAUGUAUGAUAGGAAAUAUAGAUCUACUACAACACUGGAUUUGCAAUUUGGGUUAAUAUUUAAAGAAAAGACAAUAAGACAAAAAGAAUUAAACUUUUGGUGGAAAACAAUAAAGAAAGGACUACAUGGAAAAAGGGAAGAGAUCAUUAUAAAGGAAGAUUAUUGAAUAGAAAUAAUUCCAAGAACAUAAGGCAAGACAUAGAGUAUCACUACUACUAUCACAAAAAGGGCUAUAUCAUAAAAUUUAUGAAAUUUUGAAAAAGACCUAAAAAAUGAAGACAAAAAAAAAAAAAAAAAUCAAAGAAGCCUACAAGUGUAACUAGUGUUCUUAAAGUUAAGAAAUGAAGGUAAUAAAUCAAAAGCAGAUUUGUUAAUAGUUUUUAAAAUGCUUGAAUUACAAAUUGUCUACUUGUACCAUACGAGCCCUUGUAAAAACUGGUUUGACAUGUAAAUUGUUUGUAAAAUCAUUUUAAUGGGCAAUGAUGCACCAAGUUGCUCUAUGAGAAGCGUAGGGGUUUGCGAAACCAUCGCUUGUCGUGGCAUACAUCGUUGGGGAAUGACGGAUGAGGGCAUCCAUGGGAAGCCAAUGUCUACCCUCACUCCACACCCCUCUAGUACAAGGCUCUGGGAGGGAGAGAGGCAACAAGUGUGUGACACUAAGGUAAAUAUGCCCAACCUUAUGGCUUUGGGAGCAACGUGCGUUUAAAGACUUGAUAAUUCACAAAAUUCUACAAUUCAUACCAAGUAUUGCAUUUAACGACGUUCUUUAUCAAUGAGAGAGCCUAGAUAUCCAUUGUCAAGAAUUAUUUAUGUAUGAAAACAACAACACCUAACCGACAUGCCCAAGAUCAAGGCAACUAGAAGCUCAAGUUACUUAGUGCGUUUUGUGCCGAAGUUUGUUGUUUACUCAAGAGGGCUUUGUGAAUAUUUGUAAUAAAGGGAUAAUACAGAGUGAGCCGUAAUUUAGCAUCUUACACGCUCAGUUUCUUCCAUUGGUGGCAUAUAUUAUUUUGUUUGUCAUUGAUGAUUAUUUAAUAAAACUAUGAGAGUAUUUCAUGAAAUAUAAAUAAGAGGUUUUUGGGAUAUUUAAUCGAUGGUAAACAAAAGAUGAAAACUAAGUAGGGAGGAAGAUAAAAUAUUUUAGAUUUGAUAGUGGACUUGAGCAUUAGAACAAAAAGUUCACAAAGUAUUGUGAGAAUUCUUAUAGUACUUAACAUUUCACAUGUAUAGAAAUUACAAAGCAAAAUGGAGUGGUUGAAAAAUGAAUAGAACACCAUUGGAAUGACUAGGUGGCUAAGAUUAACCAUUCGGUUACUUAAGAAUUUAAGGGUUAAAGCUAUCAACAUAACUUAUCAUGUAAUUACUUAGUUGUCAAGUUUUACAAUUAUUUUCAAUAUUCCAAAAGAAGUGUCAAGUAAAUCAAUUGACUUUUCAUCUAUUGAAAUAUUUGAUUGUUGCACUUAUCUUCAUAUAUAGGUGAAAAAAAAAUUCAAUCCAAAAUAAAAAAAAGGUAUAUAUUCCUUGGGUUUGAAAAAAGGAUUAAUUAAAGACUGUAGAUUUGGGGAUCCAACAAUUAAAGGAAAAAAAAAAGUGGUGAGUAGAGAUGUAUUCGAUGAAAAACAUAUGUUAAAGAAAGAUCAAGGACAAAUGAAAUUGUUAUUGAAAAAAAAUUCAACUACAUGACCAAUCAUCGAGAUGAAAUUUGAGGAAAAUGUCGUUAAAUACGGAAAUGAAAUCCCUCCUAAUCGAUGUCCCUAUUGGAACUUUAUAUGGGCAUCUUUCUCUAUUGCUCUAAAGAAUCAUCGGAUUGGGUAAGGACAUCAAUUUGAAGAUUUUUAUUUUUUUUCAUUAUUUAUUGGAAUAGGAGAUCUUUAAAUUUUUUUGGGGCACAAUUAGGAGGGAUGAUAGUUAUCAAUGUCUUGGUGCUAUGUCAAAUGAGAAUCCAAUGCACAUGUUGACUAAAGUUGUUCUUAAGGAUAAGUUCAAGCAUUAGUUGAAUGUCAUUAAUUUUUCAUUUUGUAGAACAUGGAAGGUCAAUUUUAUUGAAGAGCUAGGUUAGUCAACUUCUAUUAGGACUUCUAUUGAUUCUUGAUUUGACUAGAGGGGCUCCUAGCAGUAAACUUGUAUGGAGGGGCCCUAUGGAGACGCAAGAGAUGCAAGAGCUGCCAAUCGGAUCGACCAAUAAAUGAUAGGCCCAUACAGAAAUGUCCCUAAAAUAGGGGAUUGGUUGAUUGGAAAGCUUAGGCAGAGUAUAAAGGAGAACAAUUUAGCAUUUUGGGAAAAGCACAUAUGAAGAUGUUUACAAGUUUGGAAAAUUGAGUUAAAGAAGAGAUGGUCUAAAAAUGUUUCAAAUUUCAAUUUUAUGUUUUUCUAAGUUUGAUAUAUCCUGUUUGGAUAUUUGGGAAGUCUUCUCUUGUUACAUAAGAUAGUCCUAUGAUGAGAUUUGUUAUGAAAAUAGGUUCUUCAUCGUGUGAAAUAUUCCUAUGAAAUUAAGAAGGAAUAUAGGAAGAGUUUUGAUUGAAAUUAUGAAUCUUUUUUUAUGUAAUUAGAACUAAAAUAUGAGAGUUUUAAAAUUGUAAUUACACCUUUGAAUAUAAAUAAUUGAUAAUAGUGAAUUAAUUUACCUUCUCCCUCUAGAUGUAGGUAAAUGCUAAAUUAUGUUAAAUCUUGUAUUCUCAUAUGAUUUUUUUUUUCAUUUAUUUUUCAUUUUCUUGCCCAUUUCUAACUUGCUAGUUGCUACUACAUAAUAACAGGUGGUAUCAGGCUUUUUGUGUUUGCACAACAAAUGGUCUCAGUUUUUCUAGCACCACAAAAAUGAUAUUUUACUUAAUUGCUCCUCAGUGGAAAAGUUGGAAAGAAAAAUUAAAUCAUCGACUAUACAUUUUUUUUUUUUCAAAACUUUUCUUGUCUUUGGCAAGAAAAUUAGUAUAUGAAGUAUAAAAGAAUUAGAAAAUAUUCAAAUUUUAAAUGAUUUUUAUUAUACUUUGUCCACUUCCUAUUUCAUAUAUCAAAUUACAAUAGAAUUUAAAAUUCUUUUAUAUGUUUUUUCUCCCUUUGCUACCACAUAAAUGCAAAGACAUUAUGUGAGUUAAAUACCUUAAAAGAAAAAGAAAUUAAAAUGUGAUAGAAAACAAAAGUAACCUCUUUAAAUUCAAGGAAACAAAACACUAAACUUUUUCAUGUAUCUUAUUCCAUUUAUAAAUGCAACAUGACAAAAAUAGACAAAAAUAUAAAUGGGAGCCCUUCAGGUCCUUUAUUUUAUAUUUUAUUAACUUCAACCAAUUCUAUUUCUAUAGCACAACCGAUGUUAUAAAGUUCAAUGAGUAUAUAAUAUAUAAAGAUACUAAUCAAUACGAAUUAUUCUUUCCUUCAAAUGGCUACUUGUAUUAAAAAUUAAAUGUAAUUCCUCCUAAACAAUAAAAUAUGUUGACACGAUUUCAAUGAAUAUACAGUACAUAAAGAUAUGACCAAUUAGUACGAAUUAUUCUUUCUUUUAAAUAGCUACUUGUACUAAAAUAUAAGUAAACGUAAUUCCUCCUAGAUAAUAAAAUAUGUUGACACGAGGAGGAAUAUAUUUACUAAUUAUAUCAUUUGCAAUAGCCUCAAUCUAGCGACGUUCUUCGAACCAACCAUAGACUUUAUUGAGAUAGGUUAACCAAGGGAGCUCCCACUCUCAUAACUCGUAUAUGAAAAUUUCAUCUUGUACAACUCAAAUAGAAACCCAUAAAUACUGGUUGAAACCAAAAUGUAAUAAAAAAUAAAAAAAAACAUAUUUCAAUGGAUCCAAUUAGUAUUUUUCCGAUCUCACAAACAAAUUUUUCUUCAUUUUGUUUUUUUUUCAUUAAUCUUUGUAAGUAAAUUAUAUUUUAAUUUAACAAAGCACUAAACUUUAAUUUUCAUGCAGGAUCAACUAGCUUUUCAUAAUAAAAUUUAUCAAUAUAGCUGAGCAGAGAUUUGAUGUAAUAAUACCAUACAAAAUUCAAGUAAAAUUAAAUUAAUCAAAUAGGACACUAUGGUUAUAUUUGGAUACAUAUUCUAUUUUUUAUUUUUAAAAUUAAAAUUUUGAUAUAAAAUAUGACAACCCUUUGUAUAAAAAAUAAAAAUUUAUCCUAUAAUCUUAAAACUACUUUUCAAUAUUUAAAAAAAAGAAAAAAAGAGGACGUGUCCUAAAAUUUUAAACAAAUUUAAAAAUAUUUUUAAAUACCCAAGAUAUCCACUUUUUUCUUUUUUUAAUAAAAAUUCCUAUAUUUUAAUAAAACUCUAUUUUAAAAAAUGAAAAAUAAAAAAUGUAUCCAAACAUAAGCUAAAUUGUUAGAUUUUAUUGUGAGAUUUCUUAGAUUCUACAAUUCAUAGUGAAAUGAAGAUGAGAGAUAACCGACUGAACUAUGAAAAAAAAAAAAUUAACAUUGAUGAGAUUCAAAAAUGCUAGUUAAUGAAAGAGUUUCUCCGCCAGGAUGACUAAGAAAAAUGCUGAAAUAUGUGUCAUGCCCAAAGCAAUGUUACAAUGAAGAAUAGAAUGAGAGCUAACCCGAAACAAAAUCCGACAAUCGCCAUGAAAGCCUGGAUGCAGAGGAAAUGUAACUAGAGACAUGUAAGGAAUCAUUAAGCAAGUGAGAACAAUAUCAAAAUCUCAUGUACGACUUACCUUUCCCUGAGAUUCAAACUUGAAUUUUACUGUAAACCAUGACAAUCCUCUAUCUACAAUAGGAGCAAGUGCAAGGGCCCUGCAUGAGAAGCACCUCUACAAAAAUCACAGAAAACCCAAAGGAAAAAAAAAAAGAUUAAAUAAAUAGAAACUAGUCUACCAGAAACCAGGAGGCUGCAACAAAUAAUCUCCAAAUGUCAGAUUUAAUAUUUAUUUACGAAUGCCGCUAAAAGGCCUUUUCAUCAGAGAAAUCUAAAAUAAAAAAGUAUAAGGAGCCAUUUGGAUUACAGAGGUCAAAGAUUGGGUUGGAUAGGAGCAAGUUUAACCUCUCAGUAAAAAUGAAAAUGCAAGGCCCAUCAUCAACGCUAGGUUCAAAAAUUGACACCAUUUCUUGAAGACUUUCUUUUUUCAUUCUUCAAUUGUCAUUUUGAUUCAAAGAAGCGGCAGCAUGAUAGACUAAACAAUCAUCAUAAACCCAGUUGCAAGUUAUAAGGAUAAGAAAGAAAAUGAACAAAAAACAUAUAUGAGAGAACUGAUAGGCCAAAAAAAUCAUUGUUGAAGGAAUCGAGCAUAAAUCUCUGAACAAAAUUUAGCUGAAAUUCACUGAUUUUGGGUUAUUUUGUGAUAAGAGCAUUGCAAUAUCCCAAUAAACUGUUACGCUAACUAAAGAUUUAAAACAGAAUUUAGCUGCUUACCCUCCAGCUCUGACAAGUUUAGUGACCUGGCUGCCUGCCCACACCAUAGCCAUGAUUUUGACAAAUCUGCCAAUUGGAUUCCAUAUGUCAAGAUAUUUUGAAAAACUUGUGCAAAAAGAAACUUUUUGGAAUAAGUUUUUACCUUUCAACUGCCGCCAAAUAACCCAUCCUUCCUGGUGCUGGAGCAAUAUAAAACCUAGAAGCAGCAUAGUGAAUUCAGAGUUAUACUGGUUAUUUGAAAUCUACUCUGAACACCUAUGAUAGAGACUGCAGGAUGUGGUAAAACACUAAGGCAUAUUUCAAACUACAUUAUAAGGUAUUUGAUUAGAAAAUUAAAUAAAUAAAUAAAUAAAAUAACAUAACAUAAAAUACAAAAAAGAAAAAAAAAAUUAACAAACUGAAUUUGUCCAUAUGCAACAAUAUGCAAUUGUUAGCCAUGAAUCCCAGUUAUGUCGGUUUCCAGUAUUAAUAAUUAAGCAUGAUGUUUAUGAACUAGACCAGCAUUCUAAUAACUCUAGAUUGAAGGGCAUGGAUGUCACAUUUGUAUUCCAUCAUGUGCAACUAACAUCACAUUGAAAUAAUAUCCACUAAAGCAAGUUAAGACCCAGUAUAUCAGAUUAAAAUUUUCUACCAUGAAUAUAAGCUUGAUAAAAAUGAAGAUGGAAAUGCAAUACUUCUUUAUAUGACAUAAUGAAGGGAACCAAAUACAAGGACUCCCCAUUCCAGAUGCAGAAAGCCAAGUUACAACCUUUGCCAAAUAAAGAGAUCCACCAUAAAUUCAUUUUUAGACAUGCUAUAGUUGAAUAUGCCAUCAAUAAGUGAUCAAAAGCCAAUUCAGAUGGGAAUAACAGCCACAAUGUUGGGAAGGUCAAUAACAAAAGCAUUGACUUGAAUGUUGGCAGUGUCAUUUACACUGGCCAUAAGAACCAGAGGUAAUGCAUACAGUUGGUAAGGUAGUGAGAAGGGGAUGAGAAAUUGAAAAUUCUUGAAUUUAAUUGUUUCAUGCAAUUCCGUUUUCCAAUACUCUAUACGAUAAUAUACAUUGUACAGCACAAGAAUAGGGUUGUUUUAAAAUUUUGAACAAAUAAAAAUUUCAUAUCAAUAUCUAAUAUUUAAUAAAAAAGAAUGAAACAAGAGUAAGUACAUUCUCUUCUCCUUAACAUGGUAUUAAAGCAGUCUCCAAAUUCUUAACUCCUAGUUGCAAACUUGAUUUGCACUGGAAGUUGCAGUUUGCUCAUUUUGUUAUUCAAGUAAGUUACUUCAAUCUAUCAUAGUUUAAAUGACUUGGGAUGGUAGUUGUCAUGGGCACGAAUUUUCCCACAAAUUUUUCGCAUUCACGCAGCGCUUAGAAGCCCUCUAAGCCAACAUACUCAAACCCACAUGAGAUUGCAAUCAAGAAAAAACUCACAAAGACACACAAGGCUAUGGAGCUCAAUCCCUAACUUGUAUUUUAUUUCUUCUCUAAAUAACAAUACAAGACAUAGCUUAACAAGACUUCCACAAUCUCUUUGGUGAGUUCAUGCUCUCUCUCAAGCUAUGUUUUAAGAAAGUUCCCCCUCUCAAUAUACCUCUGUAUAUUCUCUAUGAUCUCCAGAUUGCACGAUAAUUCAAAGGGCACUCCAGUCCUCCUUUUAUAGGUGUGACACCAACCACUCCCUAUUUGAUAAGGAGCAAGGAAUCCUAGUUCUACUCAAACUACAAUUAAAAUAAGAAUCUAAACUCUUAUUCAAACUCAAAUUACAAUAACAAUUUGAAUUCAACUCUGAACUUUCAAAUGUCUUCGGCCCAUUCCUCAUUCAUUUGAAACUCCUUGUAUCAGGCCACAUAUCAGCCCUUCAAUUCCCUGGUUUGUGGUGCAAUACAUCUUCCUUAAGCUUGUCCCAAUGCCAAGACAUCUUUGUUGUGUUCUGCCUGAAGUCUACCCACUCUUGUGCCUUGAGUCAGUCCAUUCAUGCAUUUGAAUCAGCUGAUGCAUCUGAUCAGCUUGCUAUAGCGUCUCUAGGCAGCCUACUACAUGUGUCUCUAUGCAACUAGUGUGCAUGCCAAGCCCUCUCUUAGCCUACAGAUCUAGCAAUUUUCCUUGGUGCCAAUCUUUCCUUUGGCUGUAACCCCUUGUUGUUCCUUGAGCGUGUCAGUCAUGCUCAUAUGUGUUCCCGCAUCUGGAUCACAUCCAUGCUGAGGCAACCUGCCCAAGUUUGCUCUGCCUAGCUGUUGUUAUGGCAUCAUGCCAUGCCCAAGCCCUCUUCUUGGUGCAGCAACGAGUCAUGGCAUUGCACCCAUGACUCCUCAUCUCUAUGCACAAGGCAUUGUGCCUUUGUGCUAAGCAUUAGGCAUCACAUCUGAGUCGGCUUCCCUUAUCUCUAUGCACAAGGCAUUGUGCCCUUGUGCCAAGCCACCUCAUUGCACAAGGCAUUUCCCCCUCAUGCUACCAUCGGGAAGGGAAGACUGCAUAGCACCCCAUGUCGUUGCAACCUUGAGUUGCACACCAUCACAUGUCAUGGAGCCCAUAUAUGGUUGCUAGCAAGGCUUGCCCAUGUGCCUUGCUCAUGUUUGAGGACUUGCACCAAAGCCCCUAAGUGUGGCCAUGCCCAUGCCACCUCGUCUCCCUUGAGUCACCCCCACCCUCACCCCCCUUAAAAGAGCAUUUUAAGCCCUUUUAAUUAAUUCAAGAAAAUCUAGAAAAUUCCGCUUCCACUUGGAGUCUCCCUUUUGAAGGUUCCUAUAAAUCUUUUAUCUCUAAGCAAAUUAACCAAGUCACUUAAUUGUUUUGCAACAUUCCUUCCCUUCCCUUAGUGUAUUUCAAGAUCUCUUAAUGAACAAGACAAUUGGUGGAGGGCAUGAAGUAAAUGGAAUUUAUCACCAUAUUGGCCCACCUCUUACUCCAAUUGCUCUACGUACUUCCAUUUCUUCUAUGUAGUGGCACACCUUUCACUUCGCAUCUUUAGCAUAUGGGACUUCUAGUUAUAUUGGACUCCAAGUUAAAGCACCAAGUUUGUGAGUCAAGCAAAUAGCAUCACCAUAGUGUUGUUCUAGUCCUUUUUGUUCUAUAAUCAAUAAGAGGAGUACUAGUCCUUUUCAUCUUGUUCAUUUAGACAUUUACAGUUUAUGUAGUGUUGUUCCUAAUGUUGAACUAAACUUUUUUAUUGCUAUUUUAUUAAUUAGAUCAAUGAAAAUGGUAUGAGCAUAAAGAGGCUGAAUAAUAGGUACUAAUCUCUUAAAAAAACCUAUCUUGUAGAAACAUCAUCAGGUGACUAUGCACAAGUAAAUGGUCUGAAAAGGCGUGAGAAAAACAUUCAUUUUUGUGCAACAACCAAGUAUUUGCAUCUUAAUCAACCAAAGAAUAAAUGGCUGAAGACAAUAAAUGACUGAACAAAAAGAAAAUCAUAAGUUUUAGGCCAGACACUUUUUUCAUCAAUUAUAUACAACAACAAUAAAUCAAAUAGUCCAAAAUUUCAAAAGAAUAAUGCUCAGCAGCUAUGCAUACUCACAAGUCACAAAUACCUCAUCCUUGACUAAUUUACAUGAAUGAAUUAUUUACUUACCAUACCAAGAGAAACGUUGUAAGAUAGUAUGCAGUAUUCAGGAGUCCAUAGGAUAAUAUUCCAGAAAUUCCAUAUCUCUUCAGUUUCUUUAGAAGACUGAAAGGUUAAGCAAGAAUGAGCUCUCAAUGUAAGUAGACAUGCAUUUCAGCGUACAAAGGGCAAAAGGAUUGAGGUAUCACUUCUUACAGAUUGUUUGCAUGAAAUUCAGUAGUAGAAGAGAAAUUAAAAUGAUUGGGACAAGAUCACUCAUCCAAACAAUAGUUUAUUUACAUAGAAAAGGUCUAAAGCAUAAUCAUGCAGUAGACAAAAUGAAUCUUUUGUGUCAUGUUCCAAUAAUGUUAACAAACUACAUUAAAUUUGUAAGGUUACAUAGAAAAAGAAAGAAAAGACAUUGUUACAAUAGUUUGGUUGUUACACUGCUAGCACCCAGACUACGACCAAAUCCUUGCAUUGAAAUUGAAUUUCAAACUCCCAAUGUGAAAAAGGAAGAUACAAAAAAGAAAAGAAAAACAGGAGGAAAAAAAAAAAAAGAGGGAAAGAAAAGAAACAUGGGAUUUCCAUGUAUAAUACAUACAUAUUAUAUCUAUAGAUAAAUGCAUGCAUGUGCAUAUGUCAUAGAGGCUGGUCAAACACAUUUCAAGAAGUUUGACAACUUGCUUUGGAAUGACAAACACGUGGAUCAAUAAAUGGCUUGUCUCCAUUAUUGAGAAAUUGCAGGUAAAUUUCAUCCACUACAGGCAUGGGGUGGCUGGACAAAGUUAUGCCAUUUGGUGGGAUGUAGUGGACUUAAGACAGAAAAUUCUCAAUCAUUCUUCUGUCCCUUGUGCAGUGUUGAAGCUGACAAUAUUAUUGAGCAUACAAGGAAUGUGAUGUAAAACAUCAUUGAGGAGCCAUGAGCUGCGAAUGCAGGGAGAAAUUAAGUUACAAUUAAGUUUUGGUGAGGGAUUUUCAGAUGCAGAUCAUAUGGCAAAUUAACUUCAGAGAAUUGCAUGUUUUUAUUCAUUUCCAUACACAUUGAAUAAUCAUAUUUAAAAUCCCUCAUUCACUUGUUUCGCUUCCAUUAGUGCUCCUUCCACAUGUGUAUUAGCAGCACAGACCUCAUGAUAGUUUUGUAAAGGUAAGACAAUAAAAUUGAAAAAUACAGCUAAAGCCUAAAAUAUUGGCUCAUAAAAAGAGAAACCAUCCAAGUUCUAUCUUAAAUGACUCUACAAGUUCUAAACAGGGAGACAAGGACUUCAACCUGGUCCAUCAAUGCAUAUAAAUGGGUAAACAUUCCAACAACCAUUACGUUAGAAGUACACUAAAAGAAAAUUAUUAAACAAUGUUGUUUCCAAAAAAAUUCCAUGUUAAAGAAUAGAAGAACAUACCGCUAUAAAUGAAAUUCAUUCAAAACAGUUCAAACAGUAAAGUUAAGAAUUGUGACUGCAUAUUUUUUUUUAAAAAGAAACAAGAAUUGUGACUGCAUAUCACCACACUUGUUUUAUUUAUAAUCCACACAAUGUAUUCUUCCCUAGCAUGUUAUCCCAUUAAGUAACCUCCAGAUAAAAUUCCCUUUCUGACUCUGUCAAUCAGUCAAAAAAUUUGAUGUAAAAUGUAAAAUACAUGGGUACACAAAAACAACUAUAUAAACUGCCAUCCCAUUAUUAAUAAAUCAGUAGGUCUAUAACAUAGACUAAUAGCAUUGUAAGGCAAGUAGGAAGUACUCUUUUGAUGUGUGCAGUUCUCCUUCACCAUUUUCGCCCUUUGCACUUGAGUCUAUAAAAAUAUGUAUAAGUAGAUUUUUAGAAAUAUCAAGUUUAUCAAAUGUAAAAUAUGGUAUCACAGAAAGCUACACCAUUUUUCUAGUUAUCAUUUGAAAGAUAUUGAUACCUUCAUGGUUGGCAGAGUAGUCAUGACCAUUUGACAUGCCAGAAGCCUAACCUACAACAAAGGCAAUGUUGAAAAAGCAAUAUUCAAAAUUCAAUGAAAAAAACAGAAGACAAACAAAUGAACAAAUAGCAAAUCAUCACACUCAAUUGUUUUCCAAAAAUGAAAAACCAAAUGAAAGGAACAAGGAAUAUAUUGAGAAAAAAACCUAUGAUCAAUGGAUAUGCAGUUGCAUUCUAGCACAUAUAGAGGAUCAAACAAGUAACUAAUCUAGACAUAGCUGCAACAAAUUUGUGUAUCUCUGAAUGCGUGUCUGCUUUUUGUGGGGGGAUAUUUAUUAUGACAUGUUCUUAGUGCAGACAAACCAUCUGCAUUUACUUGAGGAUUAGGUGAACAUACUUUCCAUUUAAAAUGAGGCCUUGAACAUCAAGCCUCGGUGAGUUUUCAAAUAAGGAAAAUGUAAUAGCUUUACAAUGAGUCCCAUAGCAAGAAGGCAUAUAAUUCCAUUCAUCAGCAUACCAGAAUAUAGAAUAGUGUGGACAUGUGGACACAUGCCAGAAUUAGCAUUGGACACACUAACAUGCCAGUCAUGCAUAGAAAGAAUUUCCAAAGAUAUUAAAGUAAAACACUGGUAGUAAGCAAAUUAGACCCUGAAAAACAUGCAAGUAUAGGCCAAGAUCAAAUCUUAAUUUUAAUUUCCAGAAAAAUAAAUAAAUUAUAUCAACCAAUAGAAAUGGUAUCACCAGCAAUUAACACCAAAGCACACCAACAUAUCGGAAUGCAUAACACGUGUACCCAUCUCCAAUCAGCAUUACACCUGUACAAGUUAGCCUGUAGCAGGUCAUAAUAGGUUCAGACUAUAAAACCUUCCAAAUCUUCCUUUGCAGGGCUUAGAAACCAUUUUCUAAGUAAUUUGCAGUUUUAAAAGCCUGUGACAAAAUUUUGGAUGAAGAGCUUGAACUAUAUACUCACAAACCCACUCCAAAAUUUCCUUAAGGUAAUACACAUUUUUUGAAGUCCUUUCCAAUGUCUUCUCUUAUUUGAGUUAGAAAAGCCAAUGUUUUUAUGAAUUGACUACUACGGCUGUUGAGGUUUGAGGUGUAUAACUAAUUUCUUAAUAUAUCAUAAUUUACAUCAGUCAUUAGAAAUUAAGGUUCCAUCCUUUUACACUAAGAAAAUCCUGAGAGCAAUUAAAAAAUACCUUCUUUUAUAUUAUUAAAUUUAAGUUUCCUUUAGGUCUUUGAGUCUAAUAGAAAUUAGUGUAAAAGGAAUUUUAAUUUUCUUACACUAAGAAAAUAAAAAUAAUAGGCAAAAUAAUUUUCACAUUUUGGAACUUUAUAGGUAAUGCUUAUUAAAAUAAAGCAACAAAGUUUGUCAUUUGCCAUUGAAUGAACCAAUUGUGGAAAACUAUGCAAAAAAUUUUAUUAGUAUGGAAUUUUUUUUUUUCUGCCAAUAUAUAGAAUUCAAUUUCAAACCUGCCCCUCCCAACCCACCACUUGCUGCUUGAGGCAAGCUUAGAGGCAGAAAAAUAUUUGCAAUUCUACGUAUGGAUAAAAAUUAUUUCUUAGAUUUUAUGCCAAUUCCAUAUUUAUAGGUAUCAAUUUAUUAUUCUACUGUUGUCAGAAGCUUCAAUUUUGGGCGUCCUCAUGGCUAUGCCACCCUUAAAUGAGAACAACUUUGGUCUUCUGUUUUUCUUUUUGAGCUCUUCAAAUUUUUGCAAGUUACUUCUAUCCAGGUUCUAGGAAACACCCAUUUUUUUAAAUCUCCAAUAAUUUAGGGUUCUGUGGCUGAGGGAAUAGACUUAUUUUUGGUUGAAGCACACAAAAUUCUUGGCUAUUUUUUUUUUUUUUUUGGCAUCAGGUCCUUUUAGGUUGAUUUUUCUACUUAUUUUUCACCCACCAAUUAACAUUGCCCUAACUCUAUUAUCUACCCGAGCAAAUGUUUAUGAACUAGCAAAUCAUACUAAAAUUUCUUACUAGUUGACAUGUGCAUCAUCUCAGCAUGUCAUUCCAACACCAAACUACAACCAUAAUCUCACUAACAUCCUAACUGCCUCAAUGAGUAUGGAUUACAGAAAUACAAUUAAAAUAUACUUCCCUAUUUAAUUUCAUAAUUUUUAUAAUAAUAUUUCGGCAAUAUUUCCACAUAGUAGCUUAUGUGGGAACCCUAGGAAUGCUGGGAUUGAAACCCUGGAUUGAAACAAGAGGAUUGUGAGAGAGAAUUGGAAAUUGAAGAAACAAACACAAAAAAUAAAUCCAAGAAAUAAAAAAGAAGCGUAAAAAUGAAAUAGAGAAGAGUGUGUAUGACGCACCUGAUGAUGUGAAAGCAGCUUCAGCUGGUGAAGGCAAACUUUCGACGGGAGAGACAUGAGCAUACCGGCCUCCGACAACAAUCCCUCCAAAAUAUUCUUUCUAUACCAUUUAUUAUUAUUAUUAUUAUUUUCAGGUUAUUUGAAGUGUAAUGUCUAGCUAUACCAUUUAUUAUUGUUAUUAUUUUCAGGUUAUUGAAGUGUAAUGUCCACCAUGAAGCCCUUAGAACUCUCCAUGGACCCUAAAUCUCGGGAUGCUAAUCACCCUAUAAUAACCAGCAUAGAGUAUAUUCAAAGUAUCAUUAAUGACAAAUUUUGAACUUAGGACCAUAUGUCAUUUACAGAGACCACACUUCUUAAUGUUCAUCCUUAGCGACAUACUCAUAUAUACCAAAUUACCCGAUAAUAUGCUUUUCCUAUUUUCUCAUUUUUAGAAAAAAAAAAAAAAAGAAUAACUUCUAUUUUUAAAAAUUUAAUUUUUUUUUAUAAGUAAAUUUUUGUUCUCAUUAGGACAUGUGGAACCUCCCACAAGUCCUCUUGAAUCCUUUACCACUUGAGUCAUGCCUUAAUGGCUUGUUUUUUUAAAAAAUAAUAACAACUUUUAUAUAAAAAAAUACUUAUAAAAAAUAUAUACAUGUCAUUAAAAGUCUAAAAAAAUAUAACUUUGUUAAUAAUUUUUAAAAUAAUUUAAUGUGUUAAUUGUUCUUAAAAACUAUAAAUAACCUAGAAAAGAAUAGUAUGUUUGACCAAAUUGUUAUAUGGUUUUAAAUAGUCACCUUAACAAUGUUACAAGUGAGUUGAUUAAUUUAUGGUAGAGAAGAAUUACAAUAGAAUUCAAUUAGUUAUCGCAUUUGAAGUCUUUGAUUAUUUGUUGAAUAAUAUUUGCAGCCAAUUAGAUAGGGUUGGCUAACCCAAGCCAAACCUACUUACUAAUAUGUCCAACCUAUGCUAAACUCGAUUCAAAGUUAGGUUGGUAGUUACUAAACUCAUUGACAACUAAAGUUUCUAUGGAUUCCCACGAGUUUUCAUGGAUUAUCAAAUAAACCACAUAUAAUGGAAUCUCCUAAUAUAUAAAAGACAUAUUUCAAAAUUAUAAAUUAAACCAUAUUAUAAAAUAAAAUUUUAACAAAGUCAUAAAUUAUAUUCCUAGUGACUAAUUUUAAUGGUAAGAUGAAACACAAGUGUGAAUAUUUAAAAAUAUUUUAAUAAUUAAACAAAAAUGAUAAACUUAUAGUGUAAUGUAAUAAAACUAGCAAAAGUUAUAGUUCUUUCAUUAUCCCUUUUAUAAAUUUCAUAUUUUAAAUAAACUAAUAAAUAAUAUAAUAGUAAUGAAUUUGCUUAGUCUUCAUCAUGUAGAACCAAUUUGAAGAAAUUUUUUUUAAUAGGACUGAUUAAUGACUUAAUUAAGGGUAGGUUACAGCUAAAAUAUUUAGUAGGACUGAUUAGUGACUUAAUUAAGGGUAAACUACAGCUAAAAUUUUCCUAGUAGUCUUCCACUAUGACAAAUUGUGGGAACUAGUAGUGGCCUGUCCAACCUAUAGAGGAAACAAAUAGGUGAGUGAGUUAUUGAAUAUGUGGCUGAGAGUGACCAACCAUUGAGGCUCACAUGAAGUUGUAGUGGCUGAGAGGAAGGGAUAAGAGACCAAAAACAUGCUCAGGGAGAUUCUUGUUAGGAUCAAAUUGGGGGCAUAGAUAUAUCUCUUUGGUAAGAGUUCCCAUAAUUUAGGUAUUAAUGAAAUAGGUAUAAAAGAAUUAUAUAUCUUGAUAUGAUCAUGUUGUUAAUGAUGAUCUAAUGAGUUGAAAUAUUAUGUUUUCAACUGUGUAUAUCUAAUAAAUACAUCAAGUGCUUAAACUUUAAUAUAGAAAUGGUCCACAAUGGCUUGUAUGACUCAUCGUCUUAUAAACAUAUUAUUUAGAUUAGGCUAAAGUGGUCAAAGUAAGAAGAAAAAUUGAUACUUGAUUUGAAGUAUAAAGAAUUCUUCUUAGACUUUGUGUGUAGUGUUGUUAGCUUAUUGUUGUGUUAAAGUCUAUUUUGAUGUAUUUUGGAAAGAAUGACCAACUAGAACCACAAUAAGAUGUUGCAAAACUUAUUUAAACAAGGGCUUGUGAGCAAGAUUUUUUUUUUUUCCUUUUCAUGUACAAAUAGUAUGAUGAAUGAAAAUUUGAUUCUCGAUUGUAAUUAGUAUUUUCUUUAAGUUUUAAAUCAUGCAAUGAAUACUUAAAAUUAGCUUACGAUGUCAAAGAAUGUAAGUAAACAAGGUUUUACAUGUUGGAUAUAUAAUAAAUUCAAAACCUUUACCUUCCACAUUGAAUGAUUACAUUUUUUCUUUAAGUGCCCUUUAAUCAUUCUCAUUUUGUUUAAUCAUUUUCUCUAAUGUCUUGAGCAUAGUAGAUUUCUAUAAAUUUACAUGAGCAUUCCUUAACUCUUCUUGAGUGAUCCUAAACUUAGCAUUGAAACAAUCAUAAUUUAGGCGAAGAUGCUUACACGUCUUCAUAAUCAUCCUUGGUUGCUAGCCAUUUUUCCUUAAUUACUUUAGGAUGUUUAGUGAAGAUGAUUACAAAUAUUAACUAGUUCACUCACACAUUUUUGUAUGAGUGUAGAACAAUUUUGCAUUCUUUCCACAUCACUUAUGCAUCUUCGUUCCAAGAAAGAAGAUAUAGAACUCUUAUCUUUUGCCUACGCCACUUGGUUCUCCAGCCCAUUAUGCUUAUGCAUCCUUUUUAUAUCACAUAUGCGACUUGCUUCUCAUUAAGAUAUUUCACUUACAUGUUCUUGUAUAUGCAUAAUUUAGGGAAAAAUAUUUUAAAAUAGCAAAAUAGAUUUUAAUACAUAUAUUUGGAACAAUUAAACUCAAACUAUGCAAGUGACCUUGUCUACUAUGUAGGUGACUUUGUUUACUACAUAGGCAAAGUAUAUGACAGUGAUAGUCAAGGAAGCUAUGUGGUUGCAUGGUUUAGUGGAGAAUUUAAGAGUAAAGCAAGAUCACAUUGUGAUUUAUUAUGAUAAUGGGAGUGCCCUAAAUUUAUUUAAGAAUAAAAUUCAUCACUCAUUGGUAAGGCAUAUUGAUGUCUAAUUUCAUUUUAUUUAAGAGAUUCUAGAAGAAAGUCAUAUCUUAUUUUAGAAAGAUUACUAAUGUUAAUGAGGUAGGUCAUAUUUAAAUGUGAUCCAUGUUGAAAGGAUCAAUGUACCUUUAGGUGUGUAGUAGCAAAAAAAUUCUAUUUGGACCUAUGUUUUUCUCUUGGAACCUCAAUUCUUUAUUUUUUUUAAAGAAAAAGUGGACAUAUCAAAUUAAGCAACAUCAGUCUUUUAUUUUUUUCAUUCUUGCUUGGUUUUUGUCUUGAAUUUAGAGUGGAGAAGAUGUAAUAAAUGAGUAAGGAAAGAGGUAGAAAAUAAAGAUAACAUUAGAACUAGGGAUUGUAAAAGAGGAAGAAGAUGAGGACAUUUUUGGCAAUGUUGCAUGUCAAUUUUCUAUUUAAUGAUUCCCCUAUAAUAGUUUUCAUAUUCAUUAACUCUCUCUAAACUAAGCAACAUAUUUCUUAAAUAUUUUAAAUUCUUAUUUAUUCUUAAACUCUUUCAUUCUCAACCGGCCUUUUCACCAUUCUCACAAACCUAAAAUUUGCUCUCAAUUUAUUUCAAUAAUGUUGACAUAAAAGUAAAUAGGUAAGUCAACAUUCAACUUUUUUUUUUUUUUACAAACCAAAAUCUAAUAUUUUUGUUUAGAAACAAAAAUUGAACAAAAAUGUAUAAACUAAGAGAAAGAAAAAGUAAAAACUAGAGACUUGUAAUUGUAUAAAUGUCAAGAUUUCAAGUUAGUAAUUUAUGUCAAUAUUUGUUUUUUUAUUUUUUUUCUUGAUUUUUAUAUACCAUUUUAAUUAAUAUUUUCAAUUUUGUGAUUGAAGUCUCAAGAAUUUAUGUUAUGCUUAUUUUAUUGUUUCCAUGUCAAAAACCAAUGUGAAAUUAGUAUGACAUGUACACUUAUUAUUUUGAAGCAUAGUGUUGAUAUCUUAUUUUGUAAAACCCAUGACGAUCAAUCAUUGUCUCUCAUGUGUCUCAUUUAUGACAUGUGAGUUUGACUAAUUAUAUAGCAUCAUGCCUCAAAGAUUAGUGUUACAUAUCCAAGACAUCUCUCUAAUAAACUUGACAUUCAUUACACUUUUCUUACCCUUAAUCUUUCAUACAUGGAUAGGUCCAUGUUCUACCUUCAUAUCUCCUAUGCCAUAGUGCUACAUUGUUUGAAAAUGAAUUUUUAUCUUCAAUAAGAUCCUAAGUCACAUGGAUGACUAUGAAGCAUGGAUGUCGCCCAUAGUGAAUGUCGAGGAGAGGGGUAGGGGUGUUUCUUACUCUAUUCUUCCUAAAGAUGGUAUCGCGUGCUUCUGAUAAUUGUUUCAUUUUUAAUCUAGAAAAUGCAUGCUUCCUAAAAACUAAUAGUUGUUAUUGGUUUAUGAUCUUUUAUACCCUCUUCUAAUAUGUCAACCUUAAAAUAAUGCCUUGAUGUUAAUAAAUCUACCUAGUUCAUGAGCAAAGCUUAAGGUUAUGAAAUGGACUUUGUGUCAUUAGUUGUAAAUCUAGUUUCCCUACCCAUUAGCAUUUCAAGAUUAGUUUGAGGGUCUUGGUUUAGUAGUUAGAUCUUAUACUUACCAAGGUCGGAUCAACACGCAUUGAUCUCAUUUUAGCUUAAAUGAGAGAGAUGACAAUUGUGUCUUCAUUAUAGGUGUCAUAUGAAGAAGUUUGUAUAUCCUUAUAGAAUAAUUAAUAUUCAAAAUACUAUUUCAGAGCAUUAUAAAAAAACUUCAUUUCUAGCCAAAUGAAAAAGAGUGAUAUUCUUGGUCUCUUUGAUCCUACUACCACCAUUUCCACCCAAUCAUCUACUCUCACUUUGCUUUGCUCUCAUUUUAAACUCUUGGCACAUUUAAAACUUUCAAGUUUUAGUUGUAAGCUUAUAGAUACUAUUUUAGAAAAAAAAUAAAAUUGCAAGUGAGAUCUAAUAUUUUGUUUUGAGAAAAGUAUUGAAAAAGCCCAAGGCUUAGAAACUUUGAUUUACCUAUGUCUAAUUAUGAACUUUCGAAUGAAGAUAACAAUGUUAUAUAAUUUAAUAGUUGAAGAGAGUUAGAAGGUUUUUUCUAAUUUUGGAGCAUGAUGUACAUUAUGAGCCUAAGUCAUGACAACUUAAGUCGCUAGGAAGAUCAGUUGCUUAACAUGCCAAUAGGGUCUUGUUUAGUGGGGGUUUGUGUGUUUGAAUCUCACCUCAUUAUUUCCAUGAUUUAUUGAGCCUCAAUGUAAGUCUAAUAUGAGGUUAGUUGUAUAGGAAAAUUUUUCUCUCCAUGUGUGGUAUGGGGUUGUAGUGAGAGAGAGUGUUAAAGAAUGGGAUUAAAUCUUAAUAGUUUAAGCUUUUAGAAAAAUCAAAAGUUCAACUUGGCAUUAGAGUCUUAUUUAUUCAAAGGUUAUUAGUUUGGACCUCAAGACAUAUUAUUUCCCUAAUUUAUUGAGCAAAAAGAAGGCUAGAUAUGAGGUUGCUGAUGAGAAGUUAAUGGAGGGUCCUGAGUCCAAGUUCUCCCCUCAUUAUUUAUCUAUCUAAUUAUUUAUGACCAUAAAGUGCUUCUCAUGGUAGGUAUGGGCUCACAUAUGGGGGGAGGAGGGGUGUUGGAGCAUUAUAUAUGUUAUGUGCCCAAAUUCUAACAACUUAGUUAAGCUUUUAGGAAAAUUUAUUAUCUAAAAUUAAUAUUGUUUUGUAAUCAAAGUAAAAUCAACCUUAGUUAUUCAACAUAAUAAAAAACAUUAGUUUCCUGAUUGAAAAUGGUAAGGACUAAGUAAACUGAUAUAAAAUAGAAUGUUAUUAUAGUUUAUGGGGUGAAGUAUUAGCACUAUAAAGUUAAGUAACUAAUUUGCUAAAAUUACUAGCUAAAACUUGAAAAGUCUUAUCAAAGUGAAAAAGAAAAUAAAAUUAAACUCUUUAUUUUACAUAAUAGCAUAUCUAUAUCCCCUUAAAUUAUGAAAUUCAUGUUGUUUUUUCAAAAAAAAAAAAGAAAGAAAGAAAGAAAGAAAAAAAAAAAACCUAGAAAUGCCUACUAAAAAAAAGUCGAUUGAUACACUCCCUAACCAUAAAAUUGAGUUGUAAAUAUAAAUUAUAGUUCAUCCAAGUCUUUAUACGACUUUAAGAAAUCAAUAGCUAGUUUCAUUUACACCAUUGGUUCGUUUUUUUUUUUUUAUUCCAUUGAAAAGAAAGCAAUAAAAAUGAAUUGAGACAAAAAUGAGAAUACAAUCCAUAAAAUAUCAAUAGAUUUGUAAACUCAUUAUAAAGUUCAUAAAUCUUUAGAUAAAAAAAGCAAUAUAAAGAGGUAAAAAAUUAGGAACUAUCAAGUUGAAAAAUAGAGUGUAUGGUAAAAAAUAAAAAAUAAAAAGAUAAAACAAACAACAUUUUAAAGUAAGGGUACAAUAGUUAUUAAAAUGAAUCACAAUAAAAGUUUUCUAAAAAUUGAAAAAAAAGAGGAAAAGUUUUUGGUAUGCUUUUAUGGUUUAGGGGGUAAAGGUUCAUAAUACUCGUCAUUUUAUCAUCUUUAUAGGAAAAAAAAUUUAGACUCAACUUUAUCACAACUCAUAUGAGUUAAAAAUUUCUUGAAUGUAUUUUCUCUCAAGUUUCUAAUGGAUACCCCUUUAUCAAAGGUGUGGACAUUGAGCUAAAUUCACCAUUAAAAUUCAUCAAGUUUCUAUUUUCCUUUUCCUAAUUCAUCAAGCUAUAUUUAUGAAAUAUCCUCAUUCUUCAUUAGUAAUAUCAUAUUGUCAAAAAAACCCUUAAUAGAUCUACACCUAUCACCAGUUAAUAGAUAAAAUAACUUAACAAUUAGUUUUAAGUUUUAAGGACUUUACAAGACAAGCUAAGAACCUCAUAUUGUUUGCACACAAUUGACAAGUUGAUUUGUUUUAAAAAGUAAAAUGCUAAAGAAAAUCCACAACACGUGUUGUUUUAAAAAUCUUUGUAUUUAUAUGACAAAAAAAAAAAAGAACCAAUAGUUUAAAUUGGAAAAGUUUAUGCAAAUUAGAUGAGGAAAAUGCAAGCCAUAAAAUAACAUUCAAACGUUAUCAUUCUCUAAGAAACAUCAAGAACAUAUUGAGAGAACCAUUACUCAACAUAAUAAAUUUGUCUUGAAAGGAAAAGAAAAUCAUCAAAGCAAUCAUAUUUGUGAUGCAUUCUGAUUUCCAUAGUGUUUCCAUAUUUACUAUUAGGAUAAAAAAAUGGAAGUUGAAAAUUAUGGCAAUUCCUUGAGACAAUGAAUUAGAGUAGUAGAAAAGGAAAAAAAAUAAAAAAUAAAGAGAAAAAUAUGGUGAGUGAAAAAUAUUUUAACCCCAUAAAUUUUUCUUUCACAUCUCUUUAAAUUUAUUAAUAUCAAUUCUUUUCUAAAUAAACAAUGAAAUUUUUGAAAUUUCUUGAAAUUUAAACAUAUUUACUAGUUGUAUCAUCUCCAGUCACCUAAAUCUCAAGAUGUUCUUCAAAUGAAUUAUAGACUUUAUUUAGAUAGGUAAACUAAGGGGACUCCCCCUCUAAGAACUGUAUAUAAGAAUUUCAUCUCAUACAACUCAAAUAGAAACACCUAAACACUAGAUGAAACGGAUAUAUAAUAGAAAAAUGUAUUUCAAUGGAUCCAAUUGGUAUUUUUCCUGUCUUAGAUAAACAAACAAAUUUUUCUUCAUUAAUCAUUGUAAGUAAAUUAUAUUUUAAUUUUAAAAAGUACUAAACUUUAUUUUAAUUUUCAUGUAGGAUCAACUAACUUAUCAUAAUUAAAAUUUGUCUCUAUGGCUGAAUAGAGCUUUGAUGUAAUAAUACUAUACAAAUUUCAAGUAACACUAAAUUAAUCAAAUAGGAAACUACAGUUACGUUUGAAUACAUAUUCUAUUUUUUAUUUUUAAAAUUAAAAUUUUGAUAUAAAAUUUUUUUUUAAAAAUAUUUUAAAAUAAUUUCAAAUACACAAGAUAUUGACUUUAUAUAUAUAAAAGUUCUUAUAUUUUAUAUAAAACUCUAUUUUAAAAAAAUAGAAAUAAAAAAAUGCAUUUAAACAUAUGCUAAAUUGUUAGAUUUCAUAGAUCCUACAAUUAAUAGUGAAAAUGAAGAUGAGAGAUAACUGACUGAACUAUGAAAAGGAAUUAAAAUUUAUGAGUUUCAAAAAUACUAGUUAAUGAAAGAGAUUUUGUGCCUGGAUGACUAAGAAAAAUGCUGAAAAAUGUGCUAUAGAGUGGCUUUUCCUUUCUCCUCUUGCUAUAUAUGCAUAUCAUCCCUCUUUUUUAUCUCGUUGAACUCAACAAAUUCUCAUUUGUUCUGAGAAAAAAAAGAGAUUAUGUUAUAUGAUGGUAGGACUUUAUUCUGUUAUGGAAUAUGCACACCCUAGAUCUAUUGGCUAGAGCUAUACAGUAGGUUGUUGGCUUGUUUAGCAUUGUCUCUUUUUUGGAUAGGUUUGGACAAUGCCUCUUGAUGUUGCUUUUUGGUAAUGUAUUUUUCUUUGAUUUUUCAUGAAAAAUUCCACAUUUUGAGAUUUUCACCAUAUUAGAGUCUUUGGAAUUGGUACUUGUCUUGACACAGUUAGUAGGAAUCAUUUUCCCCAAGCUACAUAACACAUGUCUGCUAAUUGGUAAUGUUCCAUUGGCAUUUAUAAACUCUCCUGUCAAAAGUGAAUAUGCUCUAACAUUUCAAAUAGUGUGGUGUUGUACAUAGGUUGGUAAUUGAGGAUUUUAUUAUGGAUUUUGUCCUAUUCUGGUCGUGCCAACAUGUUCUGUCUUGUUCUUUGUCUUACUGAUUUGGGUGGUUGCGCGUCAUGUUUCUACAAGCUGUAUUUUUAAGCUUCAGGAGCAAAGGUAUUUUGGUUCUACCAUUUAGAUGAUGGUACUAAAGCAUUUGUAUUAUGGAUUGCACAACCCCUUAUAUGGGAUAUCUUUGCACCAAUUGUUUGGUAAUCAAGAGAACUCUCAUAUUAAACAAAGUCAUCUUCUAUUAGUAAUAAUAAUAAUAAUAAUAAUAAUUGUGUGAUUUGGAUGCUUGUGAGUGACGAACAAUAGGGUUGUUUAGGUGUUGUUGGGUAUUGAAAAGUAUAGUAAUAAUAAUAGUAAUUUUUUUUUUAAAAAGUUUUAAUUUAGUUUAAGUAUACAAAAGAAAUAAAUUGUUAGAAUAGGAUUUGGAAGAAAUAUGAGUUUAUAAAAAAUUUGGAAAUUCAUUAAAUUAUAUUAUUAUUGUUUAAGAAGUUGAAAGUAAUAUGGGGUGGUAAUAAUAUUAUCAUACGAAAUUAAUUAGGAUCCCUAAUACUAAAUAAAAUAUCUUUAGGAUUGUCAAAUUUUUACCUUUAGAUAAUUGUGUAUGAUAUUAUAUUAGGUGGGGAGUAAAUUCAUCAAGCUAAAUACUUCAAGUUUUUGAGUGCUUCUUCAAGGUAAGGGAAAUUAAUGCAGAUUUUUAUAAAAGAAAAUAAUUUUCUUUUUAUAUUGUAUUUUGAAUUGUGUAAAAAUAUUAUUUUUAUCUUUACACAUGGAUCAAAUAUAUGUUUUGUAUGGAAAGUAUGUUUGAGCAUUUUCUUUAUUUAUGAAAAAUGAAAAAUUGAGGAGAUAUGAUGUUUUGUUUUGUAAGUUUGAAUUAAUGAAAUAAAGUGUUUGACUUUGGAUUAUAUGACCCUAGUAAACGAGUUAUAAUUGUUAACUUUUUUUGUCCUAGUCAACGAGUUAUAAUAGUUGAUAUUAUAUGGCCCUAGUCAACGGGUAAUAAUAGUUGACCUUAUGGUCAUAGUCAAUGGGUUAUAAUAGUUGACCUUAUGGUCCUAGUCAACGGGUUAUAAUAGUUGACCUUAUGACCCUAGUCAAUAGGUUAUAAUUGUUAACAUUUGGUUUUGUUCAUCUUAAAUGGAACAAAUUUGAAACUAGUUACUCAAUUGUGAAGUCCCACCUAAUUGGGCACCAUUUAUCAUACGAUAAUCAGAGUAAAGAUAUUUUGAAUGUAUUCGAUUUGGUUUUGAAGAGAAAUUGUUUUGAAAUGGAUAUGAGAAAGUUUUGUUAAAAAGUAUGAAUGUAUUAGCAUUUUGAACUCAAAAGUUUUUAUGAAAAUAAGUAUAUAUUAUAUCUCCUAUUUGCAAGCAUAAUUGAAAACGUUUGAUCCAUGAAACUGUAUUAAUGUUCCUUACUAUGCUUUGAGCUCAUCCCCUUUUGUUGAUAAUCUUUCAAGCAACCUCAGUUCGGGUGAGAAGUGACCGUUAUGAGGGAAAUUCGGCUUUAUUAGGACAUUUUUUUAAACUCUUUUUAUUUUGGAUAUUGUUUAGAUGUUAAAACUUAAUUCUUGUUUGAAUUAUUUUGAGUUUUGAGUUAUUUGGACAAUAACACUUUGGUUGAUGUAUUAGUUUUUUUUUUAAAGGUGAUACUUGGAGAUUUUAGAAUUUUGUCUUACUACUUUGAACAGAGAUUUGAUAAUUGGUAAAUUUCUAGUUAUAAUACGAAUGUUUGUGUCGCUUCCACUUUGAGCUUUUGGACUCGAGGUGUGAAAUGACCGUCAUGUCCUUGAAGUGGGUUUUGGGGCAUGACAUAGAGAGAUACCUAUAAGACUUUUUGGACUAUUGGGUUUGGAAUACUUGAAUUUAUUAUAUAAUUAUCUCGAUAGUCAGUUUCUUAAUUUGGAAAAAACGCAUAGAUUGAUGGUACUGAAUUUAUCACUUAAUUCUUUGUCAGGUCAGAUCCUAGAAAAUAUUUCCAAUCUUUGAAACCUAACGCCAUUGAACAUUUCAUAACAUUGCCUCUUUGGAAUGGUUCUAAAAGAGUGGGGCUAUUAGGAGGUUUCCAAGAGCAUUCGCAGGGAUCCAGAGCUAUUCGUGCAAUCCUUGGAUAAACAAUGUUAGAUAGCACAAGGACAUGCAAGCUUGAAAUAAAUAGAGGUAUUGUAGACCCUCAAUUUUGUCCCUUGACACUUGCAUUUUAUCCUAUGGGUGUCACAUGCACCCAUGCUUUCAUAUGAUUUCUCCAUGGCCUCCUUUUGGCCUUGAUAGGUUUCUGAGCCUUGUGUAGGUUCAUUUGCGGUCCAAUGUAGUGCGGGUGUGUAGUUCAUUUUGGAGUUCCAUCAUGGCCAAGUUCCUAGUUGUCACAUCAUGCUAUAGGGAAGGAAGUGAGGCCCCCCAAAAAUUUUAGUUCAGUUGGAAUUCAUAAGAGCGGGUUUGAAUUCAGAGCACUUGGGCUUGUUUUGAUCAUAUCUCCCUCAUCCGAACUUGGAAUUGCGCACCGUUUUUUUUUUUAUGGACUCCUUAUUCGUCAAGGAAAAUUUCAAAAUUUUUUUUCUCAACCAGCUUGACCGGUUCCCAAAGUUUGAGAUUUUUUCUCAAUCGGAUGAACCGGUUGGGAACCGGUUCAACAGGUGGCUUGGUGGCAGCCCCGUUUUAUAAAUGCUUUGCAUUGUUUCGGCCGGUUCUCCCUCAUCUGGGCUCAGAAUUGAGCACCGUUUGUUUUUUGGAUUCCUUGUUCUUUGAGGAAUCUUCUGGUAAAGUUUCAGAUUUUUUCUCAAUCUGAUGGACCAGUUGGGAACCGGUUCAACAGGUGGCUUGGUGGUAGCCCCGUUUUGUAAACGCUUUGCAUUGUUUCAGCCUGUUCUCCCUCAUCUGGGCUCAGAAUUGAGCACCGUUUGUUUUGUUGGAUUCCUUAUUCUCUGAGGAAUAUUUUUAUAAAGUUUAAGAUUUUUUAUCAAUCGGAUGAACCAGUUGGGAACCGGUUCAGCAGGUGGCUUGGUGGCAGCCCCAUUUUAUAAACGCUCUGCAUUGUUUCGGUCGGUUCUCCCUCAUCCGGGCUCGGAAUUGAGCGCCGUUUGUUUUGUUGGAUUCCUUAAUAUCUGAGGAAUCUUCUGGUAAAGUUUUAGAAUUUUUUUCUCAAUUAUUCGAGCCAGUUGGGAACCGGUUCAACCGGUUAUGCUAGGUAGCUCCAGUUUCAGCGUGUUUUAACCCCCAUUUUUGUUGUGGCUUGGGCCCUUAGACUCCAAGGCACUUGUAGGCCACCUUUAGGGUCUGAAUCCAAAUUUGGUUUGAAUUAAUGUGGGCCUACCUAUGAGUCGAGGGUAUUAUUGGCUAGGAAGGUUAGGGGGUUAUUGUGAAUGUUUGGCUUGGGUACAUUUUGAUGUUUGAUUAAAAAUGCUUGUAUCUAUUGAUUUGCCCUUGUUUGCAGCGCUUGGCUGGGGACCCGAGGUACGUACUUGACUUGUUGGGAAUUGGAUUCAUUUGCAUGCGUGGGGCUUGGAUAUGUUUGCUUGUUGUGUGUUUAUAUUGCUUGACUAACCUCUUAUGUAGCGCUUAGCUAGGGACCUCAGGUACACACCUUUUAGCUUUGAUUUGUGGAGACUAAGUGCACGCUAGAUACUGAGCAGGUUCGUGUGAUCUAUGUCAUUUGUUUAGCCUGAUUGAUCAAUUGAUUUUUGACCCAUAUGCUCCCAUGUGCCCAAUUCAUUAGUAGAGAGUAGAGACCGAGUUCCAGGCCUAAAGAGGUGCUCCCUCACAUGAGGUACCUUCCCAAUAGGUAACCUGAUCCCCGGACCCAGAAUCUAGUUUUCCCAGAUUGCUUUUUCCAUAUUGGAGUCAUUAAGGGUUUUUGUUCUUACUUGAUUUUCCCCUUUAUAAAAUAAAAAUAAAAAGUAAGUGGCGACUCCAAACAAUCCUCACCGGGAACGGAUUUUCCAAAACCCAAAAACACACUUACUUUCUUAUUCUUUUAAAAAGCGUGUCGCGUCGGCCCGUGGAUCGGGUGAGAGUCCACAAAUUGGUGACUCCACUGGGGAUCGAACCUAGGAUCUCUGGUUUCAUAAGAGAAUCAAGCUUGAACUUGAAUUGGGUAUAUUGGAGCACAUGGUUCUCUGAUCAGUAGACUCUUAGGCUACAUAGAUGACUAAUGAUCACGUACUUGAUUGGUAUCUGGCUUGCACCUUUGAUGUGUUGAUGCUUGUGUGUCCACUUGAUUGGUUUUAACAUGCUUGCUCAUUGUUGAUUGGUACUUAGUUAUGAGAUUUGGGAUUGUCAUAAAUGGUCAGAUUGUGUGUAGAUUUUAUGGUAGGCCUUGCCCUUUGCGCAUAACUGUUUGCUGCAUGGCUACACUUUUUCUUGCAUGACUGUUUGCCGCUUGUGUUUUGGGGCGCGCUUGUAUCCCCUUAUUUUCGAAUUACUAGUCUUGGUUGACUAUUCCUCAUUGAUUGCUUGAGUUGUUUGGGAGUCAUUCCCAACUGUUUGCCUUCGACCAAGAUAGGGGUUUGGGAGUAGGGUCUAGCAUAAGGGUUAUAUUGAUGUUUGGGAGCACUAUGAAGAUGAUGGAUAUCCGAGCAAUGAAGAUCUGUAUAGCCCUGAGCUGGAUUUCAUGGAUACAUGCGUGGCCAGUGUGUCGCUUUGAUUGUUGAUUGAUUGUAGGUUAGGAUCAGAAGUUGCGUAUCCCUGUGGGUACAUUCAUCUAGCUUGUAGGACUUGCCUUUUCCCAUUAUUAGCUUUUGAGCCACCUUACUUCUGAGGUAUCACCAUGUCAGAGUCCUGUUCCUACCUGUGGAGCCAUAUAUUGGAUUAGCUGUUGACAUCACAUGUCAGCUCAUUCCUUUAGAGGAUUUAGUUGUAAGAUUGCAUUACUAGAUUGAUUUAAGGAUUAAUAGUCACGGGAACUGACGUACCCCUUUCCUUUUGUAGGAUUGUUGAUCGAGACCGACUUGGGUUCUCGAGCUUGGAUCUAGAUCGGAGGUUGAUUGGUUAGAGGAUCAGAUCUACACAGUCAGUUAGAGCAGAUAUCAGAUCAUAGAGAUAUGGACCCCCAAUACGCCACUAUUGACCAGUUGACUGAGAUUACAGAUACCAUGGCAUCACUCCGGGAUGCUAUAUUGGGAUUGGGUCAGAGAAUAGAUGGGCACCAGGCCCAGCCAUUGCCGGUUCCGGGGAGCACCCCGCUUGACUCUACUGCACCUCCACCUCCACCAUUGCCAUCUAGGCCUACUAUACAGUAGGAUUAUAUAGUUCCAUCUCCGCCACCACCCCCAAUUUAGUCAGCCCCGUGGGCUAGGGCCUUUAUCUUACAUGGUCAGACUGAGACUACGCCACAUUCUGUUGUGUCACCUACACAGAUUGUUGAUGACACUCAGGCCCAUAUCGAUAGGAUUGAGCAGAGGAUCAGGUCUCUACAUGUUUUUGAUGGAUGGGUUGGGACGGAUAUGAUGACUUGCCAGUGGCAGCUUUGCUAGUUGAGUUCUGCAUGUCGGACAUUGAGAGGUACACGAGGAUAGGGUGCCCCUGUAUUCAUUUACAAUUGUAUAGCACUAUUAUGCGCUGGCAUAGAUUGGACAAGGCACAGAUGAUCAUGCUAUUCCUUCUGUCUCUAAGUGGUGCCGCUCAGCGUUGGUUUGCCUCAUUGGACCCUUCAAGGCACCGGACAUGGGCUGAUUUGGCACAGGAGUUUCUUAGACAAUAUUCUUUUAAUACUAUAGUGGAUGUAUCCCGAAGGGAGCUAGAGGCCCUCAAGCAAAGGCCAGAUGAGUCAGUUACUUCAUUCAUCUCCUGCUGGAGGGAGAAGAUAGCACAAAUUAUAGAUAGAUCCUCCGAGCGUGAUCAGAUCAGCAUGAUUAUGUGCAGUCUUCACCCUCGCUUUGCCAAGCAUCUCAUGGGCUUUCCACAGACAGACUUUGGAUCAUUGGUUCAGGUCCUCUAUGGCAUUGAAGAGGGCAUAGCUAGAGGAUUAUGGGUAGACUCUUCCCGUUCAAACUCAAAGGGGAAGAAGCCAGGGUCAGGAUCCAGGCCUUCAGAUGUUGGUACCAUUGGCACGAUAGGGCACAGGUCCCAUCGUCACCCUCCUUCUCAGAGACAGUUCUUAGACACUCUUUACCAGAUGAUACAACACGAUCAGUACAAACCAGUUGCUCCCUAUAGGCCGACAGGGCCUACUUAUCUAUAUCUGGCACCGUAGCCGAUAUAUGCUACAUAGGCUCCUUAGAGGCCACCUGUACAGUUCCAUCAGCAGUAUAGAGCACCGCCUCCACCGAGGUCGGCUAGGCAGUUUACAUAGUUAGAGAUUGGUUGAGGGGGGUUUGAUUGCUCCACUACCACCCAGACCAUCACCACAUCCUACCCCACUAGGAUUCAGGAUAGAUCUUCACUAUGCCUACCAUCAGAGAGCUGGCCAUGAUACAGACAAUUGUGCGAUGCUGAGGCACGCCAUUCAGGACUUGAUUAAUCAGGGUUUGGUUGAUUUAGGACGCCCUGCAGUGACUACAGACCCACUACCUACUCAUGACAUUAGAGCUGUAUCUUCACCCCCGGGGAACGUACAUUUGAUUGAUUUUUCAGGAGAUGAGAUAUUCAUGAUGGGGUGGGACGGAGAGGCUCCUCAACCUAUUAGUCUGUACGAGGACUCAGAUUUUAGUGGAUAUAUCCAUGGACAGUAAGCUCCCAGGCCAUUCAGAUUGAUCCCGAAUGAGAUUCCCCAACAGACAGCAGUAUCGUCGGUAUACUUACAACAUGUUCUGCCCAUGACACCCUUCAUUCUAUUCCUGGAAGAGUAUAGGCCCGUUCACAGAGAUGUUCAGAUUGUUACACGGAGUGGGAGAGUAGCUCAGCCUCUACCCUUUGAUAAGUCUUUUGUUGGCACAGAUGUUAGAGAUGAUGUUUAGAGAGAGGAUGAUGAGAUAUUGCACCAGCUGUGCACCACACAGGCUCGCAUAUCCAUUUGGAGCCUCUUGGCAUUGUCCAGCACACAUAGAGAUGCCUUGGUCAGAGCUCUUAGUUAGAUCAGAGUUGACACUGCUACUACUCCUGAUGGACUGAUUCACUUUCUGACGGUUGAUAAAGCUACAUGCAUUGUAUUUUCAGAUGAUGAUUUACCACCUAAGAGAUCAGAUCAUGUUUGACCCUUAUUCAUUGAUGUUGCUUGUUCAGGUUGUUGGGUGCCGUUUGUCCUGCUAGACAACGGCUCCGCCUUGAACAUAUGUACAUUGGUUACUGCCAUUGCUUUGGAAUUUUCACCAUCCGAUUUUGGGCCAUCUACGCAGACCUUCAAAGCAUACGAUGGGACUCAGAGGACAGUUAUGGGUACUCUCACUACACAUGUCAUGAUAGGGUCGGUCAGAUAUUCUAUACUCUUUCAGGUUUUGAGGAUCCAGACAUCCUUUAACUUACUUCUCGGCUUCCCCUAGAUUCAUGAGGCGGGUGUUAUACCAUCUUCCCUUCAUCAGAAGGUGAAGUUCAUACACGAAGGGUGCAUUAUCACGAUACAGUCAGACAGAGACGUUGUUACCUCUUCCAAGCCAGUGUUACAGAUCAGUCACAAUGAGAAUGACUUGCACUUGACCGGAUUUACUUUUGAUGAGGUUCAGGUUGUUAGUUUAGAGGAUGACAACAGAGACAUGGUACCUAUGUCUUUUGAUCAGUAUAGCGGCACUUUGGUACUCAGUAUGAUGAGAGGCAUGUCCUAUAUGCCUGGCUUGGGAUUGGGUCACCGCCAACAGGGGUCGUGCGAGUUUGCUUUCACAGUUGAUCAUGAUAUACCACAUGGAUUGGGUUACACUCCUUCUGAGGAGGAUGCAUGACACAUGGCGCGAUUGAUCCGAGAUAAGGUGAGAGCUCGCUUGUCCGAGGUUCCAUUCGAUUACCCCCUUCGCCCAUACACUUUUCAGUUGGCUGACUAUUUUGCCAAAGGAUUAGAGCAUGCACCCCACACAAAGGGAGUUGAUCGUGUUCAUGAGGUAGUUGAGAUUCAGGGUAUUCAAUAGGCCUUAGGACAAAUGUGUUUUGAGUUCUGAGACCACCGAGCCACCCAAGGCCAUGGUAGUUGCAUCCCCAUCGACAUUGGUCGUAUCCUUGACACAGCCCCAGGUGGGCCCCAUUAUGCUUUUGAUAUGUUUGGAGUUUCUAUGAUUAAUUCUGAUGGUGUGACACUUUAUGACGCUUGCACUGACACGAUGGACAUGAUCGGCACUGGCCGCAUUUUGGAUACUUCCCCACCUAGGCCCCGAUCCGCUUUUGAUGUGUUUGGGAUUUCUAUGCUUGAGUUUGAUGGUGAUGGACUUGUUGCUACUAAUAUUACUCAUGAUACUAUUUUUGUUGAGGGAGUGUUCGACUCUGUGGACCUACCUCUUUCUUUUGACACUAUGUCCGGGUUUGUCACCCGCUUUGAUGACAUUUCUGAUGGUAAUAAUGACAUGAGUAUUUUCGAGUAUUUGCCUGUGUCACAACAUUUUCCUUUGAUUGCACCACGAGCAUCCACAGCACAUGUAUGUGAUGUUGAUGAUGUGGAAGACACAGAUGACCCACUAAGUGGUCAGUCAGAGUGUGACUCUGAUUCAGAUACGGAGGAUAGGAAAGCUACACCCAUUUCUGGUAUCACUGAGUUGAUAGAUUUUGGGGCACCUAACUAGCCUAGGGAGCUUAGGAUUGGCUCUUCCCUAUCUCCCGAUGAGAGAAGUAGAUUGAUAGACCUAUUCAGGUCAUCCUUAGAUGUAUUUGCAUGGUCGUAUGAGGACAUACCGGGCCUUGACCCCACUAUAGUUCAGCAUCACCUGCCCAUUUUGCCAUAUGCUAGGCCAGUUAAGCAGAAAUUGAGAAGAGUACACCCUCGAUGGAGUUUGUAGGUGAAAGAGGAGAUUCAGAAGUAACUCAGUGUUGGAUUCUUGUCAGUGGUUGAGUAUCUUGAGUGGCUGGCUAAUGUCGUCCCUAUUCCCAAAAAGGACGACAAGGUUAGAGUUUGUGUUAACUUCCAAGAUCCGAACAAGGCCAGUCCUAAGGAUGAUUUUUUCUUCCAGCACAUCUGAUUCGUGCCCAGUCGGUGUAUCAGUUGAUUCAUGUCCAGCUAGUGCUCCUUGCUUGAGGAAGUAAUCAACAAAAUUUAUAACCUAUUACACCAUGAACUAGGGUAGCAAAGACAAAGCUACUAUAGCAUAGUGGCUCUAGGAUUGUUCACUGGGAAGGGUUUUUAAUUCAUAAAUGAUACCAAUUCAAAGCUGAAUUGGUGCCUUUUGAUUUCAAGGUUAGCUUUAAAAGAAAACAUAAUUUUUGGAUGAAAAAGGUUUGGUUUAAACUAACGGUAAAGAAAGUAAUGGAAAUUACUUAUGAAGAAAAACAUUCCUUGAAGGUUUAGGUUCACAGGGGAGGUUCCUCGUGCAAAAACAGAGCUCUGGUCAUUUGGUUCAUUUCCUCGCAUUAGAGAAUUAACAUAUAGUCAAUUCUCUAAUCGGCUCUGUACAGAUGCUUCCCUUUAAUGGGUUCAAACACUAAAUCACUCUCACUGAUGCACCUUGCAAUGGCUCAUACCUCUCACCUAGCACUUGCCAUUCAAGGUGAUCUUUAACCUUGGACUUCCCGUCAAAAGCUCGUAAGAGAUAACUAAUGGAUGUCUCCUUGGAGUCCAAAAGCUUACCAAGUGUUAGCUAUUCUAGAAAAUCCUACCUUCAAACCACCUCCCAAAGGCUCGCAAUAGAUAAACUAGUGCAUCUCAAUGGAGAUCACUUGCCUUAUCAAGUGUUGGCCUAGGUGAUUUAAAGGUGUUUUAAGUUAACUAAAAACAUAGAAAUCAUUAAUGGGUCAUACUUUCUCUUCAUUAAUGGCUGAAACCGCAAAGCUACUAAUUCUUGCACUUGGAACCUUUCCCAGCAACCUUAACUCCAAGGAACUAAAAGUCUAGCCACUCAUUCUCUGAGGAAACAUCCUUAGAGCUUGUUUGGCUAGUAAGAAAAUACAAUUAAAAUGAGAAGGUAAAGCAGAGCAAAACUUUGUAUUUUUCUUCCUUUUAAAAACUAUACAAAAGUUUUUUCGUCGUCCUUUUUUGGGAACAGGCUCCCGAGAGAUAUAUAUAUGGAAAAUUACAAAAUAUCUAUCUGAGGUUAUUCACCCUUUUUCCAAACUUAAUAACUAAGGAAUCCUAUAAUUGGUGGGUUACAAGGAGAUUUUGGGGAUUUAGACAACAAAUAUCUAAAGCAAAAUAUCUCAAAAUAUCCCAAAAUAUCGGUGGCAAAUAUUAGGACGCUUCAGGAGAACACCGCAGCACUGUGCAAAAUGGCUGCUCUUCCAUCCGGGUAGACGCUAUCAGAUGAUCCGGAUACGUCCGUCCGGAGAAGUUGAAACACUCUCCUUUUCUAUCCGACAUCAGAAUUCUGGACGUGAACAUCUGGGUGGAAGUGGUGGCAGUCGGGUACAAAUUGGCGGCAGCCGGGUGCAAAAUGGCGGCAGCCGGGUGCAAAUGGCGGCGCACAUCCAGAUACAAAUUAGCGGCAGUCGGGUGCAGAAUGGCGGCAGCCGGGUGCAAAUGGCUGCGCACAUCCGGAUACAAAUUGGCGGUAGCCGGGUGCAAAUCCUAUCUGGAUAUGUGGUCCGGAUGCUCUCCGAUGGUGUAUCCGGACGCCCUGUCCGGGUAUACUCCUUACAUAGAUUCCAAAUAACUCUCCUCAAUUUCAGAUUUGCUUUGGUGAUAAAAAAGCUAUCAAAACACCAAAACUUAACACAUUUUUUAUUAGAAUUGAUUGCAAGGUCCUUAACAUGCCAAUUGAGUUAAAAGGUGAUAACUACUACUCAAAAGUGUUUAAAAGAGUUAAUUACAAGCUAUGAAAUAGCACAUUUUGAGUAGUAAUCACUCCCCCUAACCGACAUAUUGCUAGUCCCUUAGCAAUGAAAGAGAGAAAAAAUAAAAAUAAAAAGUACUGUAAUUUACAACAUCAUGCUGAUAAAAAAAAAACAAUUUCCAAGCGGCAUGAUGAUCUAACUCUCACAUGGAAUAUUAAAGAAAUAAAACUCAAACUUCAACAAGAGUUAUCAAAAAAUUUGUCUAAUCACAAUUCUUAAAGAGAAGGCUUUAUGCAAAUUUAAGCUUUAAAAGAGUUUCCACUCCCAAAGGGUCAAACCUUACUCUUCCACAAAAAUCUAAGUGUUACUUGAUAGCUUCCGAAUAUAGUAUGUUGAACUAAUCUCUCCCCCCAACCUAACUCUUUUCCAACACUUAGUAAACUGACCAAAUUCAAUAGGCUAAGAACGCACCCUUUUAUUUCACAUUUAAGGUAUUCUUUUCUAAAUUGUCCAUGUAACGGGGGUCCAUCGAUGACUCCCAACCAAUUAAGGUUUAGGGCAUCAAGCUUUAAGGAUCUUUCAACCACUAACUCCUCGAAUUUUACCCCGGACUUUUGAGAAUGAAUUUUUAUACCCAAGCACCUACAGUAUGUUAAACUCCACCUAUUCACCCUUGUAACGAGCAUUGAGGUCGGUGACUCCCAACCAACGAAGGCUUAGGGCACCAGGUUUUAAAGAUUUUCACCAUAUACCCCUCAGACCUUGCUCGGGUUUCAAGGCAAGCAAACAUUUUUUUAUUUUUUUAUUUUUUAUUUUUUUAUUUUUUUUUCCCAAAGGCUCAUUGGCCUUUUACAAGGUGUCCUAACACUAUUAAAUGAGGGCAAAGGUACCAAGUCUAAAAUUUUCUUAAGUCAAGAGGGAAAUAGUUUUUCAUCUUAUACUCGGAACUUAUUGUGCACAGUGUGUGAAUAGCUUAAAGUGGAAGACAUAAGCUUGAAUUCAAUAGAAAUUUCAACAAUUCAUCAACUUUAAUAAGCAUAAUACAAACUCUAAGUUAAGUAAAAAGACAAAAAUUCAAUUUCUCCCAUUUCAUUUUGAAAAUUUUUCCUUAAUAACCAUGGAGAGUAGAAUAAAAACUUAAAAAUUAAGCAAAAAACAACUAAAUUACCAAAAUAGCUUAGCAUUAAUAACAAAAACUUCCUUCCUCAACUCCCCCCCCAACCAAGCUGAACAUUGUCCUCAAUGUGACAAAGCGAUUAAAAAAUAGGGAGAAAGUGGUACCUCCUGAGUGGCGUGAAGUCUGAGAUGUAUAGGAGAAACCACAUGUUUCAAAAAAACAAUAAAAGAUAUGAGUAGAGGAAUUAAAAUAAUAUAAUGCUAAGUGUGGUCACAUACAACCAAUCCCACUAUAUAACACUAAAAAGAUGGGGAUUUCAAAAAGGAAAUACAUAAAGUAAAGUAUGUAAAUGAUCAGAAAUGGGGAGGAUGAUGCUGGUAAGCUGAUGACUCAGGCAUGGGGCUCUGCAGUGGUAGGGGUGAGAUGCUCAAUAGCUGAUGGAAGACCCAGAUGGUGCUGAAGCUGACUCAGGAUGGCAGUGUGCUGAGUCUGGGUGGUCAAAAUCUGCUCCUGCUGAGAACGAAUAGCUGACAUCUCUUGAGCAAGGCUGCUCUGAGUCGCGGUCAGUGUCUGCAAUGUGUGGCAUAGGUCUCUAUACUCUGAAAUGGGUAUGGUCAUUCUAAGCUCGGUUGAAGUAGAAGGCUCUGAUGCAGCUGGAAUAACUGGCGGGGUGCUAUGGGUGGCAGGAAAAGCAGAGGGUAUAUCCUCAUGUAUGGGCUCUGUAGAUGCUCUCCUGGCAGCUGGUAUCUCAGCUGGCUGUGGGUCCUCUGACUGCUGUGGCUGUGGAAGCUCUGGAUGCUUUGUUCUAUAUGCUGUCAUAUUGGUUCACUUGUCGAGAGUGAAUACCUCUCGGCAUAUGCGUUUGCGCUCCAACUGAGGGUCUGAUGGAUACCCCAGAUGCUCCAAAAUUUGGCAUAGCAAUCUCGGGAAAAGAAGUGGAAUAGCAUCUGCUCGCAGCAGCUUCUUCCUAUGCACCUUCUCUUCAUAGUAGAGAAGGACAGCCAUAAUUAGAUGGUGAGGGCCAAAGAAAUAUCCCUCUGAUAUCCUAAACAGGGCUUCUAGCAGAACUCCUCUCCUCUGCACCCAAUGCUGAAGUGGAUAAAUGUUGUGGCGCAAGAGUGCAUCAAUGAAGAACAUGCUCGGAGGAAGUUCCUUCCUCAACAGAUAUGGAUUUGUGGAUGUUCCUCUGGACAAGAGAUGAACCAUUUCAAGCUGGGGAGGAUUAGUCCAUACUCGAUAAUCCUCUAGACGGGCUGGCUCAUAUGGAAUAUGCAGGGCCUCUGCUAUGUGGCGAGCUCCUAAAAUACAAUGACGUCCGUCAAUGGUGAAGUGAAUAAGAGUAGCAUCUCUGACCUGAUUAGUAGUCAUGGACUGAUAGAGUUCCGUUGCUACUCGGGGAUAGAAAAAAUCCCUGGGGGUCAACAAAUGCUCCAUGCGAUAUCUGUGCAGUAGAUGGAAUGAGUCUGCUAGCUCCGGCUGAAGCCUGAAGGUGGCUGUGUCAAAACACAGCUCAGAGUGAAAUGGUCGAGCUCGGCAGUCCAAAUUCCCUUCAAUGGGCAGCUGAGGCUCCACCGGAGGUUCUAAAGACGACGCCAGAGUUGGGUCUGGCGAGGGCUCUAGAGAGGGCUCCGUUAAGUCGAUUGGCUUUGCAUUUACUACCCUGGGUUUCUUUUGAGGGGGACGGCCACCUGACCUGGUCUGAUAACGCCUCGCCGGAUGACUCAACGGCAUGGGCUUGGCCGAAGGUGGGGCGGCUACUUGUCGCGGAGGCUCUAAUGUGGAGCCUUGAAUAGGCGCCUUUCGCAAGACUCUCAUGCGGCUUGACGGAAAUGAUGACUUUGCUCCUCUGGUUCGCGCCAUGGCGGACUGAAGAAAAUGGCCGGAGGUGAUGGCCGAUGGCUCGCGCGGCUUCGGGCUCAGGUGAAAGAGAAAACAGACGGUUGCUCUGAUGUUCUUCCUUUCUGAACCCUUUUGGCAGCUUAAAUGACCGAUUUUUAUAAAAAUAAAGGAAUAUCAAGGGUCGUUUUCACAGCUCAUUUCGCAACUGCGAAAUGAGGGGAACUGUGCUGCGAAAUGGCACUCGUGUGCCAAGAGGGUGCUUCACAGCUGCGAAAAUUUUCGCAGAGAGGGGCCUGAGGUUGCGAAAUGAUUUCACAAAGGCUUCUUUUAGGUUGCGAAAUCUCGCAGACCUCUGUUUUUCCCCUGUUUUACACUCUUUCUUGCUCCAAACGACUUUCCUUUAAUUUCUUUGCAAUUCCUCCUACAUGAGAUCAUUUAGAAAUACUAAGUUACAUAUAAAUACACAACUUAAGACCAAAAAUCACAAGAAUUGAUAAAGCUUGAAAUUAACAAAAUUAACAAAAACAAACAAAACAACAAAAAAAAAAAUUAUGGACUUUGGUGAAACCAAGUCCAUCUAACCCUUAUUUGAUUAGGCUUUCUGUGGCUCAAGGAGGUUGAUUUCCUCCUUUUCUGGUUUGAAUGGCUCAAUGAAUGGCUUGAGACGAUGACCAUUGACCUUGAAAAUGUCAGUGCUUUUGGAAUUUAGUAAUUCCACCACUCCAUUGGGAUACACUUGGUGAAUAAUGAAAGGGCCUAUCCACCUUGACUUGAGCUUUCCUGGAAAGACAUGGAGUCUUGAAUCAUAAAGCAAGACUCUUUGUCCUUUAUGGAAUUCUUUGUUGGAGAUUAAUUGAUCAUGCCACCUCUUCAUCCUCUGUUUUGCAACUUUGGAAUUGAUGUAAGCAUCAUUUCUUAAUUCCUCCAUCUCAUUAAGGUCUAAGCACCUCUUUGCCCCAACUCUGAUCAAGUCCAUGUUUAACUUCUUGAUUGCCCACCAAGCUUUAUAUUCAACUUCCACAGGGAGAUGGCAUGCUUUGCCAUAGACUAGGCGAUAAGGAGACAUACCAAGAAUAGUCUUGUAAGUUGUUCUGUAUGCCCAUAGUGAAUCAUGAAGCUUAAUAGACCAAUAUUUUCUGCUCGUGAUCACCACCUUCAUCAGUAUAUUCUUGAUUUCCCUGUUUGCUAGCUCCACUUGCCCGGAAGUUUGAGGAUGAUAAGGUGUAGCUACCUUAUGCUUCACUCCAUACUUGGCUAAUAGGGUUUCAAAAGAUUUGUUGCAAAAAUGAGUACCUCCAUCACUGAUUAUGGCCUUGGGCACCCCAAAUCUUGAGAAGAUGUUCUCCUUAAGAAAUUUGAGAACCACCCUGUGAUCAUUAUGUUUACAGGGGAUUGCCUCAACCCAUUUAGAAACAUAGUCUACCCCCACCAAGAUAUAAGAGUUACCAAAAGACAUUGGGAAAGGUCCUAUGAAGUCAAUACCCCAAACAUAAAAAAGAUCAACUAUUAGAAUGGGGUUCAUAGACAAUUGAUUUCUUUUUGUUAGCUUCCCAAGCCUUUGGCAUCUAUCACAGCUCCUACACAUGAUGUGGGAAUCUUUGAAAAGAAAUGGCCAAGGAAACCCUGAUUGCAACACCUUCAUGACUGUUUUCUGAGAGGCAAAGUGGCCUCCACAUGCAUUUUCAUGGCAAUGGCUGAGGAUCCCUUGUUGCUCUUCUUUAGGGACACACUUUCUUAUGAUCUGAUCUGCACAAUACUUGAAAAGGAAGGGCUCUUCCUAAUAAUAAGCAUGAAUCUUUGCAAAGAAGUGCUUCAUGUCUUGUGCAUUCCACUCACUUGGAACUUCACCAGUAACUAAAUAGUUAGCAAUAUGAGCAUACCAAGGAGCUUUCUCUAGCAACAUAAGUGAUUCCUCAGGAAAGUCAUCAUUAAUAGGUAAGACAUGGGAAUUGUGUGCUAUAGCCAACCUUGACAGGUGGUCAGCUACCACAUUCUCCACCCCUUUCUUGUCUCUGGUCUGGAGAUCGAACUCUUGUAACAAAAGAAUCCAUCUAAUCAGCCUUGCUUUUGCAUCUUGCUUCGUCAAUAAAUACUUCAAGGCUGAAUGGUCAGUGAAAACAAUGAUGAAAGACCCUACCAAAUAAGCACGAAACUUGUCUAAGGCAAACACCACAGCUAACAAUUCUUUCUUUGUAGUUGUGUAGUUCCUUUGAGCCUCGUUCAAUGUUUUGCUUGCAUAGUAGAUCACGUAGGGCUUCCCAUCUUCUCUUUGGCCAAGUACAGCUCCUAUAGCAAAGUCACUGGCAUCACACAUCACUUCAAAGGGUAGUUGCCAGUUAGGAGCCCUCACUAUUGGAGCGGUUGUUAAGAAUUGCUUCAGUUGAUCAAAGCUAUUUUGACAUCUCUCAUCCCAGACAAACUUAGCAUCCUUAGCCAAAAGCUCACAAAGAGGUUUUGAAAGAUUAGAGAAAUCUUUUAUAAAUCUCCUAUAGAACCCUGCAUGGCCAAGAAAUUGCCUUAUUUCUUUCACAGUUGUUGGGGACGACAAUUUGACAAUAAGCUCCACCUUUGCCUUAUCAACUUCAAUGCCUUUCUCGGAGAUGAUAUGGCCAAGGACAAUUCCUUGACGUACCAUAAAAUGACAUUUCUCCCAGUUGAGCACCAAGUCCUUCUCAAUGCAUCUGUUCAGAACUGCUUCCAAAUUGACUAAGCAUUCCUCAAAUGUACCUCCAUAAACGGUGAUGUCAUCCAUGAAAACCUCCAUAAUUCGCUCCACCAUAUCACUGAAGAUACUAAGCAUACAUCUUUGGAAUGUUGCAGGUGCAUUGCAUAAACCAAAAGGCAUUCUUCUGUAGGCGUAUGUUCCAAACGGACAUGUGAAAGUGGUCUUCUCCUGAUCUUCCACAUCAAUUUCAAUUUGGAAAUACCCUGAGUACUCGUCCAAGAAACAAUAAAAAGGAUGGCCUGAGACUUUCUCUAGCACCUGAUCAAUAAAUGGGAGUGGAAAAUGAUAUUUCCUUGUCACAACAUUCAACUUUCGAUAAUCAAUACACACCCUCCAACCUGAAGUGAGGCGUGUAGCAAUUUCUUCUCCUUUUUCAUUCUGAACCACAGUAAUCACUGACUUCUUUGGUACCACUUGAGUAGGACUCACCCAAGGGCUGUCAGAUAUGGGGUAAAUAAUACCUGCUUGAAGUAGCUUCAGCACUUCAGCUCACACCACCUCUUGCAAAUGAGGAUUCAAUCUUCUUUGAGGUUGACGAAUUGGUUUAGCUUCUUCCUCCAUAUAAAUGUGAUGUGUACAAACCAAAGGGCUAAUGCCUUUCAAGUCAGAUAUUUGCCAUCCUAUUACUUUCUUACACCUCUUGAGAACUUCAAGUAAAGAAAUUUCCUGAUGACUAGUAAGAGAUGAAGAUAUAACAACAGGACAUUGAUUAUUUUCUUCAAGGUAUGUAUAUUUCAGCUCCACAAGCAGAGGCUUCAAAUUGAGCUUUGGGGUCUCUUUUUCAGCAGCUUCUCAUUCCUCUUUAUUGAACAAAGGUAGAAUCUCUUCUCUCCUCCUCCAACCUUGUAGAGUAGCAAGCACAUUAGGGGGUUCAGAAAACCCUUCUUCAAGAUCCCCAAGACUUUCAUUCAGCUUGUCUUGCAUAUUCUGAUUACAGUGCUCCUCCACUAGAGUGUCGAUAAUGCAUACCUCUUCUGGAUCUUCUUCUUCUUCCGGAGUGAUUUGCUUUUUAGACAUAUGAAAAAUGUUGAGUUCAAGUGUCAUAUUGCCAAAAGUGAGUUGCAUGAGUCCAUUCCUACAAUUGAUGAUUGCAUUUGAAGUAGCAAGGAAUGGCCUUCCAAGGAUGAUAGGAACUGAAUUAGCUUCCUUUACAGUAGGAUCUGUAUCAAGAAUAACAAAAUCUACUGAAUAGUAGAAAUUAUCAACUUGAACUAAGACAUCCUCAAUUACCCCCCUUGGAAUUUUUACUCAUCUAUCUGCUAGAGAUAGGGUGAUUGAUGUUGGCUUCAACUCACCAAGUCCCAAUUGCUUAUAGACAGAGUAUGGUAGCAAAUUCACACUUGCUCCCAAGUCUAACAAAGCUUUCUCCACUACCUUUCCUCCAAUCAUGACUGAAAUGGUAGGACAUCCCGGAUCUUUGUACUUCAAAGGAGACUUGCAUUGUAUGAUUGCACUUACUUGCUCAGUCAAGAAGGCUUUCUUGUUCACAUUCAACCCUCUUUUGAUAGUACACAGGUCCUUUAGGAAUUUUGCAUAUGUUGGAACUUGCUUAAUCAUAUCCAGCAAUGGAAUGUUGACCUUCACUUGUCUCAAUACUUCAAGGAUUUCUGAUGCAUUUUUUAUCCCCUUUUUCCCAUGCAAAGCUUGAGGAAAAGGUGGAGAUAUACGUUUCUUCAUCAAUUCUUCCUUAAUAAGCUCUUUCUCCAUAUUUGCAUUCACUGUUGAAUCACGGUCCUCCUUCUCUUCACUAACAUCUUUCUGUUUUCCUUUCAUUUCCUCCCCCUUCUUUGUUUCUUCUUCUUCUUCAACAUGUGGCUUGGGUGUUGGUGGCUCAACCUUUUUACCACUCCUUAGAGUGAUCAAGGCUUUAACAUUUUUCACCUGUGACGAUUCUCCCUCAUGGAUUUCCAUUUCAUGGAUACCCUUGGGGUUUUGGUGAGGUUGAGAAGGAAAUCUACCCUUCUCUUGCACUGUGUUCAAGUUAGUGAGCCUUGAUAUUGAGUAUUGGAGAUUAUCUAUCUUUUGAGAUAGAUGAUUUUGCAUCCCAUUCAUCCUUCUCUCUACACUGUCAAUUCUUUGACUGAGUUGAGCAUUGAUGGCUUUUUGGUCUCCAACAAAAUCUUCCACAACCUUGCUUAGAUUCGCUAUUGCUUUUUCAAGACUUGAAGAUUGUUGAGAUAGUUGAGCCGGUUGAGAUGGUGGAGCCGGUUGUUGGUAUUGAGGUGCUCUUGCCUUCCAUGAGAAAUUUGGAUGAUUCCUCCAACUUGAGUUGUAAGUAUUUCCAUAUGGUGCAUUGUUAUUGGGCUUGAAUUGACCAACAACAUUUGCUUGAUCUCCAAACAUUUCCCUUACAGUUGGAAUUGUAGGGCACUCCUCCACCAAGUGUUCAUAAGACUGACAAAUAGGACACAACUUUACUUGCACUGGUGCUUCAGCAACAGCUUGCACUUCAUGCAUCUUUUUCAGUUCUAGCUCCUCCAAUCUUCUUGUCAUAGCUGCAAAUUUUGCUUUCAUAUCAUCAUCUUCAUUCAAGGUGUACAUCCCAGCCUUAGCAUUGAAAGCACUCGAUUGAGACUUCAUCUUUCCCACUUCUCCUUUGUUGGGUUCAUCCCAUCCCCUUGAAACUUCAGCCACAUAACUCAAGAAAUCCAUAGCUUCCUCAGGAUUCUUACUCAUGAAAUCCCCUUCACACAUUGUUUCAAGGAGUUGCUUCAUUGAGGAAGACAUCCCAUCAUAAAAAUAGCUCACCAACAGCCAUGUAUCAAAGCCAUGGUGAGGACAAGCAGUUAUGGCUUCUAUAUAUCUUUCCCAACACUCAUAGAAUUUCUCAUUCUCUUUAGCUGAGAAGUUUGAAAUUUGCCUUUUCAAGCCAUUUGUUCUGUGAGUAGGAAAAAAUUUCUUGAGGAAUUCAGCUUGUAAGUCAGUCCAAGUACGGAUACUCCUUAGCCUUAAAGAAUUAAGCCAGAUCUUGGCCUUAUCCUUUAAAGUAAAAGGAAAUAGCUUAAGCCUCAUCAAGUCGAUAGAAGCUCCUUCCUCUCGGAAUGUAUUACAAACAUCUUCAAAUUCUUUGAUAUGGGCAUAGGGAUUCUCACUUUCCAUUCCAUGGAAAGUUGGUAGAAGUGGCACAAUAUGAGGUCUGAUCACUAGCUGCUCUGUAGGGGGCACUAUACAUGAUGGUGCACUCAUACGAGGUGGAUGCAUUCGGUCCCUCAUUGAGAUGAAAGCAUUGGGAUUAUCCUGGUGACCAUGGUGACUAUGCUGAUCUUCAGGUGUAGCUUCCAUGAUAUUCAAGCUCAAUUCCAAUUCCUUGUUAUGAGGUUAUCAAGUUUAACAAGCCUUCUUCCACUGUCUCGUAUCUAAUUUGGCAUACACAACUAGUAUCGAUUGUAACUAAGAAAGAAAAACAAAAAUAGAGGAAAACAAAAAAAAAACUACCAAAAAGAGUUCGAUUAACUAAAACUAAAUUAAAAACUAUGCUAGUAUAUAAACGAGUAAAAGAAAAAACUAAAAGAGUUAGUAAAAUGAGAGAAAAUUCACUAAACUUGUGAUGAAAACCACAGGUACCUUGAAAUAAUAUCACUAUGAAGUUGGCACCUUCCCCGGCAACGGCGCCAUUUGAUUCGUGCCCAGUCGGUGUAUCAACUGAUUCAUGUCCAGCUGGUGCUCCUUGCUUGAGGAAGUAAUCAACAAAAUUUAUAACCUAUUACACCAUGAACUAGGGUAGCAAAGACAAAGCUACUAUAGCAUAGUGGCUCUAGGAUCGUUCACUGGGAAGGGGUUUCAAUUCAUAAAUGAUACCAAUUCAAAGCUGAAUUGGUGCCUUUUCAUUUCAAGGUUAGCUUUAAAAGAAAACAUAAUUUUUGGAUGAAAAAGGUUUGGUUUAAACUAAUGGUAAAGAAAGUAAUAGAAAUUACUUAUGAAGAAAAACAUUCCUUAAAGGUUUAGGUUCACAGGGGAGGUUCCUCGUGCAACAACAGAGCUCCGGUCAUUUGGUUCAUUUCCUCGCAUUAGAGAAUUAACAUAUAGUCAAUUCUCUAAUCGGCUCUGUACAGAUGCUUUCCUUUAAUGGGUUCAAACACUAAAUCUCUAUCACUGAUGCACCUUGCAAUGGCUCAUACCUCUCACCUAGCACUUGCCAUUCAAGGUGAUCUUUAACCUUGGACUUCCCGUCAAAAGCUCGCAAGAGAUAACUAAUGGAUGUCUCCUUGGAGUCCAAAAGCUUACCAAGUGUUGGCUAUUCUAGAAAAUCCUACCUUCAAACCACUUCCCAAAUGCUCGCAAGAGAUAAACUAGUGCAUCUCAAUGGAGAUCACUUGCCUUAUCAAACUAGUGCAGUCGGGUACAAAUUGGCGGCAGCCGGGUGCAAAAUGAUGGCAGCCGGGUGCAAAUGGCGGCAGCCGGGUGCAAAUGGCGGCGCACAUCCGAUACAAAUUGGCGGCAGCCGGGUGCAAAUCCUAUCCGGAUAUGUGGUCCGGACGCCCUCCGAUGGUGUAUCCAGACGCCCUGUCCGGGUAUACUCCUUGCAUGGAUUCCAAAUAACUUUCCUCAAUUUCAGAUUUGCUUUGGUGAUAAAAAAGCUAUCAAACACCAAAACUUAACACAUUUUUUAUUAGAAUUGAUUGCAAGGGUCCUUAACAUGCCAAUUGAGUUAAAAGGUAAUAACUACUACUCAAUAGUGUUUAAAAGAGUUAAUUACAAGCUAUGAAAUAGCACGUUUUGAGUAGUAAUCAACAUCGAUAUGCUAGUUGACAGCACUGCAGGGCAUUCGAUGUUGUCCUUCAUGGAUGGAUUUUAUGGGUAUAACCAGAUUGUAAUAGCUCUAGAGGAUAUGGAGAAGACUUCUUUCAUCACUAAGUGGGGUACUUAUUGCUACCUGCUUAUGCCAUUUAGGUUGAAGAAUGCGGAAGCCACUUAUCAGAGAGCUGCUACUACUUUAUUCCACGACAUAAUGCACAGAGACGUCGAGGUAUAUGUGGAUGACAUGAUAGUGAAAUCCCGAGACAGGGCAGAUCACUUAGCAGCACUACAGAGAUUCUUUGAGAUGAUCUGACAGUUCAGGCUAAGAUUGAAUCCCAAGAAGUGUACAUUUGGGGUGACUUUUGGGAAAUUGCUAGGACAGAUCGUCAAUGAGCGUGGUAUAGAGGUUGAUCCCGAAAAGAUCAGAGCCAUACUUGACAUGCUUGCUCCGAGGACUGAGAGAGAGAUUAAAGGCUUUCUUGGCAGACUACAGUAUAUAAGUUGUUUCAUUGCUAGAUUGACAGACAUAUGCGAGCCUAUCUUCCUUCUUCUGAGGAAGAACCAGCCUACAGUUUGGAAUGAUGAUUACUAGCGCGCUUUCCAGAAGAUUAAGGAGUGUCUCCUCUCUUCUCCAGUUUUAGUGCCUCCCACACGGGGGUGGCCUCUGCUUCUGUACUUGUCCGUUUCAGACAUGGCUUUGGGAUGCAUGUUAGCUCAGCUCGAUGAUUCAGGGAAGGAGCGAGCCAUUUAUUAUCUGAGUAAGAGGAUGCUGGAGUAUGAGUGCAAAUACAUUAUGAUUGAGGGCCUCUAUUGAGCAUUUAUUUGGGCCACCAAGAGGCUGAGGAACUACGUGACAGAGUAUUCCAUAUUAUUAGACUCACGAUUGGAUCCAUUGAGAUAUUUGUUUGAGAGGCAUGUCCUGACUGGUAGGCUCAUGAGAUGGUUGGUGCUGUUGACAGAGUUUGAUAUUUAGUAUGUUACACAGAAGUCGGUAAAAGGGAGCAUUGUUGCAGAUCAUUUGGCUUUUUUUCCCGUAUCUAACGACAAACCGAUUGACGAUGAUUUCCCUGAUGAGCAGUUUGUCUUAGUGACCAGUAUUGCAGGAUGGUGGUUAUACUUUCAUGGUGCUGCCAAUCAGUCGGGGUUUGGUAUCGGUAUCCUAUUGAUAUCACCACAAGGUGAUCACAUUCCCAUAUCAGUCCGAUCGGCAUUCUUUGAUCAUCAUCGACUGACGAAUAAUAUUGUUGAGUAUGAGCCGUGCAUUACAGGUUUGUAGACUGCGCUAGACCUUGGAGUCAGAUAGUUGGAGAUCCAUGGGGAUUCCAACUUGGUUAUUCAGCAAACUUAGGGUAUUUGAAGGACUUAGGAUGAGAAGUUAAAGCCCUAUCAUGCUUAUUUGGAUUUGUUGGUUGAUAGGUUUGAGCAGUUGAGAUAUAUACAUCUGCCUAGGGCAGAAAAGUAGUUUUCUGAUGCAUUAGCCACCUUAGCUUCUGUGAUUGAGAUUCCUGCGGGAGUGAUAGUGUGACCAUUGGUGAUUGAGACUAGGUCCGCACCAGCUUACUGUUGUUUGAUUGGGGAUAUUGAGGACCAGGAUGAGUUGCCCUGGUAUCAUGACAUUUAUCAGUUCUUGUUAUGUGGCGCUUACCUUGAGUCAGCCUCAACCAAGGAUAGGAGAGCUUUGAGGCAGCUAGCCACUAGAUUCGUGAUUUGUGGAGAGUCCUUCUAUAGACGAUCACCCGAGGGCUUAUUAUUGCUGUGUUUAGACCAUACCUCUGCAGAUAGAGUAAUGAGAGAGGUUCAUGCAGGAGUUUGUGGCCCACACAUGGGGAGACAUAUGUUGGCCCGAAAGAUUAUGAGGACAGGUUAUUUCUGGUUGACUAUGGAGGUAGAUUGUUGCCAGUUCGUUCAGAGGUGCCCAGAGUGUCAGAUGCAUGGUGAUCUCAUUCACGUGCCACCUUCGGAGUUGCAUGCACUCACAUCCCCUUGGCCAUUUUCAGUGUGGGUUAUUGAUGUUAUUGGAAAGAUCUCACCCAAGUCUUCUAGCGGGCAUGAGUAUAUCUUAGUUGCCGUUGAUUAUUUCACCAAGUGGGUGGAAGCUGCUUCUUAUGCUAGAUUGACAGCGGCCAAGGUGGCCAAAUUCAUCAGGUCACAUAUUAUCUACCGAUAUGGGGUCCCCCCGAGCUGAUUUCUGAUAGAGGGUGUAUUUCAGGGGCGAGGUGGAUAUAUUGAUUAAGGAGUAUAGCAUUUAGCAUCACAGAUCGUAUGCGUAUAGGCCGCAGACUAAUGGGGCAGUUGAGGCUGCAAAUAAAAAUAUCAAGAGGAUUUUGAGAAAUAUGGUCGAGACUUCUCGGGAUUGGUCAGAGAAGCUCUCUUUUGCAUUAUGGGUUUACCGUAUAUCUUUUCGUACUUCUACCGGGGCUAGCCUGUAUUCUUUGGUAUAUGGUAUGGAGGCGGUGCUGCCUGUUAAGAUUGAGAUGGGAUCCUUGAGAGUAGCAUUAGAGCAGCAAAUAUUUGAGACUGAAUGGGCUCAGUCCCAUUAUGACCAACUUAGUCUUCUAAAUGAGAGGAGAUUGAGGAUAGUAGAUCAUGUUCAAGCUUAUUAGAGGAAGACGACUCGUGCAUUUAGAAAGAGGGUUAAGCCUAGGAAAUUUCAGAAGGGUGACUUAGUCUUGAAAGUCCUCAGGGGAUUGAUCAGUGACCCUAGAAGCAAGUUUAGACCGACUUGGAGCGGGCCUUAUGUUAUUCGAGAUUUGACCCGAGAGGGAGCCGCCUGGCUGACGGACUUAGACGAAAAUCAGUUUAAGGAGCCAGUCAAUGUGGAUCAGUUGAAGAAGUUUUAUGCGUGAGAUCAUGGUUAGAGGAUGGGUGGCCAUCAUUUUUUAGUAGCCAUUUUUCUUGUUGCACACCCACACAUUGAUAUAUCCUAUUGCUAGCCUGUUGUGCCUCAUGUGGUUUGUUAUGGCCUAUUCAUUCACUUAGCCUUGCAUACAUUUUCUCACCUGGGUUGGGGGCCUGUCCUUUGCGCUUUACAUUUAUUGAUUGGAUCUGUGAGUAUCGUGAGCUUUCUGUCAUUGUUCAUGUGUUCUUUCUUUGGUCAUUCAUGGUUUCUUCUUUCGUCCAUUGUGCAUUUUCAUUUCAUCUGGCUUUGAGUUCUGUUUCUAUCAUCUCGACUCUAUUCGCUUCUGUUUUCUCUUAUGUGAUGAUAACACGCUCUUGUCUUGGAGCUACAGGUCAGGCCUUUCACACCCUUCAUUCCACUUGUAGUCUUUGAUCUAGGAUUCUUAGGUUGAGGUGGGACCAUUUGGGAUGAGAGUUUUGAGGUUCUUUUGGUUGGACUAUGCUAGUGUGGCAUUCAGCUAGCUUUGGUUAUUUGGCGCAAAAAAAAAAAAAAAAAGAAGUGCUUAUUUGGUAUUUGUUGUUAUACUUGGGAUUAUCAGAGAUCAUUUGGGUUUGAGAGAUUUAUUAUUCCUCUGAGAGUUGGAUGAGAGCAUUGUACAAUCCUUCUCCAUGGAUUUGGGUGACACAUUGGGAGUAAGGUUUGGGUUUCUUUGGCACUCGGUCCCCUGGAUCAUUGUUUACAUCACCUUUCCCAUCUUACAGUGACUUGCUUCAGUCUGGCGUUCUUGGGAUGAGUUGUUCAUCGUUGUCACAUAUUGCUACAUUUUUAUCCUAGCUUGUUCCUCCAUUUUCUACUACAUCCAAUCAUCAUUUGUCUUAUCCCUUUUCGCCUUCUUCUAUCCUCAUCGAAUGUCGUUUAGCUUUAUGAACGACGAGUUCUUUGGUGCACAUCACCUAUUGUUUGACAUUAUUCAUUUGGAUGUAGGUUGAGUCACCUUGCUCACUGAUUUCGUGCCCAGCUGGUGUACCUUGAUUUUGGUCCUUAGAUAGGAGUAAUCAACAAAAUUUAUAACCUAUAUCACCAUGUACUAGGAUAGCCUCAGCUAACAUAGCAUAGUGGCUCUAGGAUCGUUCACUAGGAAGGGUUUUCAACUUGCAACUGAUAAUAAUUCAUAGUUGAAUUGAUGUUUUUUUUCAUUUCAAGGUUACCUUUAAAAGAAAACAUAAACUUUGGUUUAAAAAUGAUUGGUUUUAAGCUAACUAAAAAUAGAGUAACAAAAAUGACUUAAGUGGAGCUAAUAUCCUUGCUUUCUUCUUAGGAGGACGGCUAGUUGACUUCUUUGCACGAGAAGAGCUUGCCCCGAGUGUGGUGGGUGAUCUUCUUGUCUCAUAUCGCCUCGAAUGAGAACUCAAAGGCGCGCCCUCUACUGAAGGUGGGACGACAAGUGGCUGUGAAGGCUCAAUCAUGGAGCCUUGCAUAGGGGCCACUCUUGGUGCUCUGGGAUGGCCUGAGGGAGAUGAGGUCUUGGUUCCUCGGGUUUUUGCCAUGGCUGACUCAGAGAGGUUUGAGAGAGGGUGGUCGGAGGUGCGUGCGCGGCUUGGGCUCAGAUGGAGGUCCUCUGGAAAUGGUGCUUUGGCUUGGCUCCUAUUUUGCACCAAAGGGAGGUUUUCGCAAGGCAAAUGACCGGUGUAAAGUGAAAAAAAAUGGAAUUUAAAAAGUUAAAUUAGAAGCCAAGUGACGGUUGAGAUUUUUCGUAGAGGAGCGGGCAUUUCGCAGCGGAGGCCCAUUUUCACAGCCAAGGACCAUUUUCGCAGCCCAUUUUGCAGCUGCGAAAUGAGAAAGUGGGGCUGCGAAAUGGCACUCGUGUGCCAAAGUGGGGUUUUGCAGCUGCGAAAUGGAGCUUUGGCUGCGAAAUUGAGCUUUUGAGGGCCUUGGAUGGUUUCACAGAAGGUUUCGCAGUUGCGAAAUGAAGGCUUGGGCUGCGAAAUGACACUCGUGUGCGAAAAGAAGGUUUCGCAGCUGCGAAAAUUUUGGCAGAAGAGGGCUAUGGGGCUGCGAAAUUGUUUCGCAGAGGAGGACCCAUUUCGCAGCAAACCCUUGAUUUCACAGCGAGUCCCUUUUGGCUGCGAAAUUAUUUCACAAAGGAUGGUCGUUUUCGCAGGGGGCUAUUUUGGGCUGCGAAAUUUUGCAGGCCACUGAAAUUUCUUGUUUCUGAGCUCCUUUUGGCUCCCUGAGACCUUCCUUCACCUCUUUUGCAAUUCCUCCUAAAUUAGAUCAUUCAAAAAGUCUAAGUUACAUAAAAAUAACAUAAAUUAAGACUAAGAUUAAAAUCAAAACAAUUAAUAAAGUUCUUAAAUUAACAAAAUUAAACAAAAAAUAUGGACUUUGGUGAGACCAAGUCCAUUUAACCUCUUUCUGAUUAGGAUUUCUGUGGCUCAAGGAGGUUGAUUUCCUCCUUACCUUGCUUGAAUGACUCAAUAAAUGGUUUGAGACAAUGGCCAUUGACUUUAAAGGUGUUAGUGUUGUUGGAAUUCAGUAAUUCCACCACUCCAUUGAGAUGCACUUGGUGAAUAAUGAAAGGGCCUAUCCACCUUGACUUCAGCUUCCUAGGAAAGAUAUGGAGCCUUGAUUCAUAGAGUAAGACUCUUUUUCCUUUUCGGAAUUCUUUGUUGGAGAUUAACUGAUCAUGCCACCUCUUCAUCCUCUGUUUUGAAACUUUGGAAUUGAUGUAGGCAUCAUUUCUUAAUUCCUCCAUCUCAUUAAGGUCUAAGCACUUCUUUGCCUUGGCUCUGAUCAAGUCCAUGUUAACCUUCUUGAUUGCCUACCAAGCUUUAUAUUCAACUUCUACAAGGAGAUGGCAUGUUUUGCCAUAGACUAGGCGAUAGGGAGACAUGCUAAGAAUAGUCUUGUAAGCUGUUCUAUAUGCCCAUAGUGAAUCAUGGAGCUUAAUAGACCAAUCUCUUCUGCUCGUGUUCACCAGCUUCAUCAAUAUAUUCUUGAUUUCCCUGUUUGCUAGCUCAACUUGCCCGGAAGUCUGAGGGUGAUAAGGUGUAGCUACCUUAUGCUUCACCCCAUACUUGGCUAAUAGGGUUUCAAAAGGCUUGUUGCAAAAAUGAGUACCUCCAUCACUGAUUAUGGCCUUGGGCACCCCAAAUCUUGAGAAGAUGUUCUCUUUGAGAAACUUGAGAACCACCCUAUGAUCAUUGUGUUUACAGGGGAUUGCCUCAACCCAUUUAGAAACAUAGUCCACCCCCACCAAGAUAUAAGAGUUACCAAAAGACAUUGAGAAAGGUCCCAUGAAGUCAAUGUCCCAAACAUCAAAGAGAUCAACUAUUAGAAUGGGGUUCAUAGGCAUUUGAUUUCUUCUUGUUAGCUUCCCAAGCCUUUGGCAUUUAUCACAACUCCUACACAUGGUGUGGGCAUCUUUGAAGAGUGAUGGCUAACUAAACCCUGAUUGCAACAUCUUCAUGGCUGUUUUCUGGGAGGCAAAGUGGCCUCCACAUGCACGCUCAUGGCAAUGGCCGAGGAUUCCUUGUUGCUCUUCUUCAGGGACACACUUCCUUAUUAUUUGAUCUACACAAUACUUGAAAAGGAAAGGUUCUUCCCAAUAAUAAGCAUGAAUCUUUGCAAAUAAGUGCUUUCUAUCUUGUGCUUUCCACUCUCUUGGAACUUCACCAGUAACUAGAUAGUUAGCAAUAUGAGCAUACCAAGGAGUUUUUUCUAGCAACAUAAGUGAUUCCUCAGGAAAGUCAUCAUUAAUAGGUAAGACAUGGGAAUUGUGUGCUAUAGCCAACCUUGAAAGGUGGUCAACUACCACAUUCUCCACUCCUUUCUUAUCUCUGAUUUGGAGAUCGAAUUCUUGUAGUAAGAGAAUCCAUCUAAUCAACCUUGAUUUUGCAUCUUGCUUUGUCAAUAAAUACUUCAAGGUUGAAUGGUCAGUGAAAACAAUGAUGAAGGACCCUACUAGAUAAGCAUGAAACUUGUUUAAGGCAAACACUACAGCUAACAAUUCUUUCUCUGUGGUUGUUUAGUUCCUUUGAGCUUCGUUCAAUGUCUUACUUGCAUAGUAGAUCACAUAGGGCUUUCCAUCUUCUCUUUAGCCAAGCACAACUCCUAUAGCAAAGUCACUGGCGUCACACAUCACUUCAAAGGGUAGUUGCCAGUUAGGAGCCCUCACAAUUAGAGUAGUUGUCAAGAAUUGCUUCAGUUGAUCAAAACUCCUUUGACAUCUUUCAUCCCAUAUAGACUUAGCAUCCUUAGCCAAAAGUUCACAAAGAGGCUUUGAAAGCUUAGAGAAAUCUUUUAUAAACCUCCUAUAGAACCCUGCAUGGCCAAGGAAUUGCCUUACUCCUUUUACAGUUGUUGGGAAUGACAAUUUGACACAAUAAGUUCCACCUUUGCUUUAUCAAUUUCAAUGCCUUUCUCGGAGAUGAUAUGGCCAAGGACAAUUCCUUGCUGUACCAUAAAAUGGCAUUUCUCCAAGUUGAGCACCAAGUCCUUUUCAAUGCAUCUAUUCAGAACCGCUUCCAAGUUGACUAAGCAUUCUUCAAAUGUACUUCCAUAUGUGGUGAUAUCAUCCAUGAAAACCUCCAUAAUUUGCUCCACCAUAUCACUGAAGAUACUUAGCAUACAUCGUUGGAAUGUUGCAGGUGCAUUGCAUAAACCAAAAGGCAUUCUUCUAUAGGCAUAUGUUCCAAAUGGACAUGUGAAAGUGGUUUUGUCCUGAUCUUCAAUAUCGAUUUCAAUUUGAAAAUACCCGGAGUAGCCGUCCAAUAAACAAUAGAAAGGAUGGCCACAGACUCUCUCCAACACUUGAUCAAUAAAUGGCAAUGGAAAAUGAUCCUUCCUUGUCACAGCAUUCAAUUUUCUAUAAUCAAUACACACCCUCAACCCUGAAGUGAGGCGUGUAGAAACUUUUUCUCCCUUUUCAUUUUGAACCACCGUGAUCCUUGACUUCUUUAGUACCACUUGAGUAGGACUCACCCAAGGGCUGUCGGAUAUGGGAUAGAUAAUACCUGCUUGAAGUAGCUUCAGAACCUCAGCUCGCACCACCUCUUGCAAAUGAGGAUUCAAUCUUCUUUGAGGUUGAUGAAUUGGUUUAACUUCUUCUUCCAUGUAUAUAUGAUGUGUAUAGACCAAAGGACUGAUGCCUUUCAAGUCAGAUAUUUGUCAUCCUAUUGCUUUCUUACACCUCUUGAGAACUUCAAGUAGACACAUCUCCUGAGGAGUAGUAAGAUAUGAAGAUAUAACAACAGGGCACUUUUGAUUUUCUUCUAGGUAUGUAUAUUUCAACUCCGUGGGUAGAGGCUUCAGAUUGAGUUUUGGGGUCUCUUCUUUAGCAGCUUCUUGUGCCUCUUCUUUAUUGAACAAAGGUAGAAUCUCUUCUCUUAUUCUCCAACCUUGUAGAGAAGCAAGCACAUCUGAGGGUUUAGGCAACCCUUCUUCAAGAUCCCCAAGACUUUCAUUCAACUUGUCUUGCAUUUUCUUAUUACAAUGCUCCUCCACUAGAGUGUCAAUAAUGCACACCUCUUCUGGACCUUCUUCUUCUUUCGGAGUGAUUAGCUUUUUGGACAUAUAGAAGAUAUUGAGCUCUAGUGUCAUGUUGCCAAACGUGAGUUGCAUGAGUCCAUUCCUACAAUUUAUGAUUGCAUUUGAUGUAGCAAGAAAUGACCUUCCAAGGAUGAUAGGAACAUAAUCCGUUUCCUUGACAAUUGGGUCUGUGUCAAGAACAAUAAAGUCUACUGGAUAGUAGAAAUUAUCAACUUGAACUAAGACAUCUUCAAUUACCCCCCUUGGAAUUUUCAUUGAUCUAUCUGCUAGAGAUAGAGUGAUUGAUGUUGGCUUUAAUUCACCAAGUUCCAAUUGCUUGUAGACAGAGUAUGGUAGCAAAUUCACACUUGCUCCCAAGUCUAACAAAGCUUUCUCCACUACUUUUCCUCCAAUCAUGAUUGAAAUGGUGGGACAACUCGGAUCUUUGUACUUCAAAGGAGACUUGCAUUGUAUGAUAGCACUCACUUGCUCAGUCAAGAAGGCUUUCUUAUUCACAUUCAACCCUCUUUUGAUAGUACACAAGUCCUUUAGGAAUUUUGCAUAUGUUGGAACUUGUUUAAUCAUAUCCAGCAAUGGGAUAUUGACUUUCACUUGUCUCAAUACUUCAAGAAUUUCUGAUGCAUUUCUGAUCCCUUUUUUCCCAUGCAAAGCUUGAGGAAAAGGUGGAGAUGUGUGUUUCUUCAUCACAUCUCCCUUGAUGAGUACUUUAUCCGGAUUUGCAUUCACUGUUGAAUCAUGGUCCUCCUUCACUUCACUGGUAUCUUUCUUCUUUCCUUUGAUUUCCUCCCUCUUCUCUGUUUCUUCUUCUUCUUUUUCUUCCUCUUUAACAUAUGGCUUGGGUGUUGGUAGCUCAACCUUUUUACCACUCCUUAGAGUGAUCAAGGCUUUGACAUCUCUCACCUGAGAAGAUUCUCCCUCAUGAGUUUCCACUUCAUGGAUACCUUUGGGGUUUUGGUGAGGUUGAGAAGGAAAUCUACCCUUCUCUUGCACUAUGUUCAGGUUAGUGAGCCUUGAGAUUGAAUAUUGGAGAUUAUCUAUCUUCUGAGAUAAGCCAUUUUGCAUGUCAUCCAUCCUUUUAUUCAAUGUAUUCUCUACACUGUCAAUUCUUUGACUAAGUUGAGCAUUGAUGGAUUUUUUAUCUCCAAUAAAAUUUCCCACAACCUUGCUUAGAUUCACUAUUGCUUGUUCAAGAUUUGAAGCUUGUUGAGAUGGUUGAGCUGGCUGUUGGUACUAAGGUGCUCUUGGCUUCCAGGAGAAAUUUAGAUGGUUCCUCCAAUUUGAGUUGUAAGUAUUUCCAUACAAAGCAUUGUUGUUGGGCUUGAAUUGUCCAAUGACAUUUGCUUGAUCUCUAAACAUUUCCCUAGCAGCUAGAAUUGUAGAGCACUUCUCCACCAAGUGCUCAUAAGAUUGAAAAAUAGGACAUGGCUUGACUUGCACUGGUGUUUCAGCAACAGCUUGCACUUCAUGUAUCUUCUUCAGUUCUAGCUCCUCCAAUCUUCUUGUCACAGCUGCAAACUUUGCCUUUAUAUCAACAUUUUCAUUUAAGGUGUACAUCCCAGCCUUAGCAUUAAAGGCAUUCGGUUGAGACUUCAUCUUCUCCACUUCUCCUUUGUUCGGUUCAUCCCAUCCCCUUGAUACUUCAACCACAUAACUUAAGAAAUCCAUGGCUUCCUCCAGAUUCUUACUCAUGGAAUCUCCUCUACACAUUGUCUCGAGGAGUUGCUUCAUUGAGGAAGACAUCCCAUCAUAAAAGUAACUCACCAAUAGCCAUGUAUCAAAACCAUGGUGAGGAUAAGCAUUGAUGGCUUCCAUGUAUCUUUCCCAACACUCAUAGAAUUUCUCACUCUCUUUAGCUGAGAAGUUUGAAAUUUCCCUUUUCAAGCCAUUUGUUCUGUGAGUAGGAAAAAAUUUCUCGAGGAAUUCAACUUGCAAAUUAGUCCAAGUCCGGAUACUCCUUGGCCUUAAAGAAUUAAGCAAAAUCUUGGCCUUAUCCUUUAAAUUAAAAGGAAAUAGUUUAAGCCUCAUCAAGUCGAUUGAAGCUCCUCCUUCUUGAAACGUAUUACAAACAUCUUCAAAUUCCUUGAUAUGGGCAUAGGGAUUCUCAUUUUCAAUCCCAUGGAAAGUUGGUAGAAGUGGAACAAUAUGCGGUCUAAUUACUAGCUGCUUUGUAGGGGGCACUAUACAGGAUGGUGCACUCAUACGAGGUGGAUACAUGAGGUCCCUCAUUGAUCUGAAUGCAUUGGGAUUGUCCUGGUGACCAUGGUGACUAUACUGAUCUUCAGGUGUAGCUUCCAUGAUAUUCAAACUCAAUUCCAAUUCCUUGUUAUGAGGUAUUUCAAGUUUCACAAGCCUUCCUCUACUAUCUCGUAUCCAAUUUGGCAUACACAACUAGUAUCAACUGUAAUAAAAACAAAAACAAAAGAAAACAAAAGAAAACAAAAGAAAACAAAACUACAAAAAGACUAAGAUUAAUUAAAACUAAAUUAAAAAAAAUGCUAAAAUAUGAACAAAUAAAAGAAACAAUUAAAAGAGUUACUAGAAUGAAAGAAAAAUCACCAAACUUGUGAUGAAAAUCACAAGUACUCUGAAAAGAUAAUAUCACUGUAAAGUUGGCACCUUCCCCGACAAUGGCGCCAUUUGAUUUCGUGCCCAGCUGGUAUACCUUGAUUUUGGUCCUCAGAUAAGAGUAAUCAACAAAAUUUAUAACCUAUAUCACCAUGUACUAGGAUAGCCUCAGCUAGCAUAGCAUAGUGGCUCUAGGAUCGUUCACUAGGAAGGGUUUUCAACUUACAAUUGAUAAUAAUUCAAAGUUGAAUUGAUGUUUUUUUUCAUUUCAAGGUUAGCUUCAAAAGAAAACAUAAACUUUGGUUUAAAAAGGAUUGGUUUUAAGCUAACUAAAAAUAGAGUAACGAAAAUUACUUAUAAAGAAAAGUGUUUCUUGGAGUUUUAGGAUCACUGGGAUCAGGCUCCUAAUACAAAAACAGAGUUCCGGUCACUUGAAUCUUUUCCUCGCAUUAGAGAAUUAACAUAUAGUUAUUUCUCUAACCGGUGUGGUACAGAUGCUUCCCUUUUAUGGAUUCAAACACUAAAUCCCUCUCACUGAUUCAUCUUGCAAUGGCUCGUGCCUCUCACCUAGCAUUUGUCAUUCAAGGUGAUACUUAAUCUUGGAUUUCCUUUCACAAGCUCGCAAGAGAUAACUAAUGGAUGUCUCCUUAGAGUCUAAAAGCUUACCAAGUGUUGGCUAUUCUAGAAAAUCCUACUUUCAAACCACCUCCCAAAGGCUCGCAAGAGAUAAACUAGUGCAUCUCAAUGAACGGAGAUCACUUGCCUUACCAAGUGUUGGCCCAGGUGAUUCAAAGACGUUUUAAGUUAACUAAAAACAUAGAAACCAUUAACGGGUACACUUUCUCUUCAUUAAAAGUUGAAACAACAAAACUUCCAAUUCUUGCAUUCGGCACCUUACCCAACUACCUUAACUCCAAGAGACAAAAAGUCUAGCCACUCAUUCUCUGAGGAAACAUCCUCAUUUGUCUAGUAAGCAAAAUACAAUCAAAGUGAGUAGGUAAGGCAGAGCAAAACUCUGUAUAUUACUUCCUUCAAAACUAUACAAAAGGUUGUCUUUAAGAACAAACUCCCGAGAUGUCUGUGUAAAGAAAAUUACAAACCAUAUAUAUGAGGUUAUUCACCCUUUUGUUCUUACUUAUUAACUAAGGAAUCCUAUGAUUGGUGGAUUACAAGGAGAGAAUGGGGAUUUAAACAACAAAUAUUUGAAGAAAAAAAUCUAAAAGAGUCGGUCGCAAAUAUCUGGAAGCACUCAGGUGGAUUUCGCAGGCAUGCAAGAUGGGCUGCGAAAUUUCGCAAGUUGAAAGUCUCCAUUUCGCAGCCAAAGGUUGAUUUCAACUUUUAGCUUGGUGUGAUUGGCUUCCAAUGACUAUAACUCCUUCAUUUCAGCUCCAAUUCAUGCACCGUUUGAAGCGUUAGAUUCCUGACUUCCCAAGCUUCGAAACAACAUAUAGUAUGCAUGAAAUGGACUCUAGAAAGUGCUCUAAAUGUGUCCAAAGUUGUUGUCCUCUUGAAUUCUUCAUGUUAGAUUUCUCUCUUUGCUUUCCCUCAUUGCAUUCAUGAUUUGCUUUUGGAAAAGGACUAUAGAGCUUCAAAACUUGGGUUCUUAAUGUAAAUGAGCUUUCAAUUGCUUUGCCAUGGAUUCUAUAGAACUCUCCUCAAUCUUGAAUUGCUUUGGUGAUAAAAAAGCUAUCAAAAACACCAAAACUUAACACAAAGUGAUUAGAAAUGAUUGCAGAGGUACUUAAUAUGCCAAUUGAGUUAAAAGGUAAUAACUACUAUUCAAAAGUGUUUAAAAGAGUUAAUUAUAAACUAUAAAAUAGCACUUUUUGAGUAGUAAUCACUCACAUGAUUCUAUGAUAUUUGGCAUUGCAUACAGGGGUUUGGCAUUUAGUUAUUGGGUAUUUGGGCCUUUGUGUCCCAUCAUUUCAUUCACCUGUCACCCCUGGCCUACAUUACGGUCCGAGUCGUAAGACCACCCUGAGGCCAUGAGAUCUCGUAUCUGCUUCGAUGCGGUUCAUUCGGAUAGGCUCCAUCUACUGAUUGAGUACGGGAUGUCAACAGGUCUCCAUUGCUUCAGGGAAUAUCGAGGGUCACAUAUUGCCUUUCCAUUCAGUUUGCUUGCCUCAAGUCCAUGAUCAGAGGCAAAUGAUACAGAGAGUUGGGACCGUUGAAAACGUCUUUGCUUGAUGCUUUGACAUGUUCAUACUAGGGCAUACCCUCAUCCUUGCAUACUGGCUUCGACUCUUACACAUGUACGCAGGCAGUUCGUUUCGCCUAGAGAUGUUUUGGAUAUCAGAGUUUAAGUAAGCCCCACAUUCAACUUGGUUUCUUCAUACAGCAGAGUGCUUUUGGGAGCUGACCUGAGAUCAAAUUCACGGUAUUCAUUGACCCAGCAGGAGUGUGCACACCCGGGCAUACCCCAUUCAUUGUCUUGUUCGCUAGCUCAGACAAUUGGGUCUUCAAUGAUGUAUUUCAGAGUUUUCAUUGAGAUAUUUGAGUUUCAGAGGUAAACAUUGGGGCAUACCCCUUAUCAGUUUUUUUGUGGAUAUUGGAUGUUAUGGAUUAGGGUGGAGGGUUUUUCCUCAUGGAUGGAUGUUUGUGAUAUUUCCAGCUUUUUGACUUUGAAUCUAUGUGCAGUUGUGGGUUUCUAACAUGGUUUUGAUGCCUUAGACUGGAGCAUGGCCCUUUCUUUGCACUUUUGGUCACUUUUAAGAGUUGUCAUACAGGGGCAUACCCCCCAUCUUUCUAUCUUGUUGGUGGGGUUAUUCAUUUCUUGUUUAUCGGCGUUUUCUGAUGUCACACUAAGGCACACCCCCUUUCUUUCGUCAUGAUUGACGGGUUUGACUUUUCUCUUAUUUGAUUCAUUUAUUGACAUUUUUCGGACGCCACACUAGGACAUACCCCCCUUUUUCAUGGUGCCAUUACUUUUCAUUUCCUUUCAUUUCAAUGGCUCUCUAGCAUCGUGCCCGGAUCCCCUAGUCAUUUCGGCGGCUCUCUAGCAUCGUGCUCAGAUCCCCUAGUCAUUUCGAUGGCUCUCCAAUAUUGUGCUCAGAUCCCCUAGUCUUUUGGGGGCUUACCCGCAUCAUGCCCGGAUGCCCUGGUCAUUUCGGCUGCUCUCCAGCAUCAUGCUCGGAUCCCCUAGUCAUUCGGCGGCUCUCCGGCAUCAUGCCCGGAUUUCCUAGUCAUUUCGGUGGCUCUCCGGCAUCGUGCCCAGAUCCACUAGUCAUUCCGGCGGCUCUUCGACAUCGUGGCCGAAUCCUUUAUUUUUCGGCAUCGUGCCCGAAACCCCUAUUUUUCGUCAUCGUGUUGGAUUUUCUUUUAUCUUUCUCGGCAUCGCAUACUGAUUUCCUUUGUUUUCUCCGGCAUCAUGCCCGGAUCCACUAGUCAUUCCGGUAGGUCUUCGACAUCGUGCCCAAAUCCUCUAUUUUCCGGCAUCGUGUCCGGUUUCCUUUUAUCUUUCCCGGCAUCGCGCCCGGAUUUCCUUUGUUUUCUCCAGCAUUGUGCCCGGAUCCCCUAGUCAUUCCGGUGGCUCUUUGGCAUCGUGCCCGAAUCCCCUAUUUUCCGGCAUCGUGUCUGGUUUCCUUUUAUCUUUCUCGGCAUUGUGCCCGAAUUUCCUUUGUUUUCUUCGGCAUUGCGCCUGGAUCUUAUAUCUCUCCCGAAAACGCGUCCGAUUUUCUCCUAUCUUUUCUGGCACCGUGUCCAAAUUCCUUUAGCUUUCUCCUGCAGUGUGCCUGGGUCCUUUAGUCCUUCGGUCAUCAUGGCUCAUUCCCUUAGCCUCUUUAUGGUUGUGUGGGGACAAAAUUGUUGGUCAUUGGAAUUCUUCACUAGAGUUCAUUUCACUCAUUCAUUCUUGCACUUUGCAUUCGUGACUCACUCGUUCAUUCACUCUACUAAAGAGGGGCAUAUUUGUAAACCCUCAAUUUUGUCCCUUGACACUUGCAUUUUAUCUUAUGGGUGCCACAUGCACCCAUGUUUUCAUAUGACCCCGCCAUGGCCCCUUUUUGGCCUUGAUCGAUUUCUGAGCCUUGUGUAGGUUCAUUUGCGGUCCAAUGUAGUGCGGGUGUGUAGUUCAUUUUGGAGUUCCGUCAUGGCCAAUUUCCCUAGUUGUUCACAUCAUGCUAUAGGGAAGGAAGUGCAGCCCCCCAAAAAUUUCAGUUCAGUUGGAAUUCAUAAGAGCAGGUUCGAAUUCGGAGCACUUAGGCUUGUUUUGAUCAUAUCUCCCUCAUCCGAACUCGGAAUCACGCACCGUUUUUUUUUAUGGACUCCUUAUUCAUCAAGGAACAUUCUGUAAAAAUUUCAAUUUUUUUUCUCAACUGGCUCGACUGGUUCCCAAAGUUUCAGAUUUUUUCUCAAUCGGAUGAAUUGGUUGGGCACCGGUUCAACAGGUGGCUUGGUGGCAGCCCAGUUUUAUAAAUGCUUUGCAUUGUUUCGAUCAAGUCUCUCUCAUCCAAGAUCAAAAUUGAGCUCUGUUUGUUUUUUUGGAUUCCUUAUUCUCUGAGGAAUCUUCUGGUAAAUUUUCAGAUUUUUUUCUCAAUCGGAUGAACUAGUUAGGAACCGGUUCAACAGGUGGCUUGGUGGCAGCCCCAUUUUAUAAACGCUUUGCAUUGUUUUGGCCGGUUCUCCCUCAUCCAGAAUCAGAAUUGAGCACCAUUUGUUUUUUUAGAUUCUUUAUUCUUUGAGAAAUCUUCUGGUAAAUUUUCAAAUUUUUUCUCAAUCGGAUGAAUCAGUUGGGAACCGGUUCAACAGGUGGCUUGGUGGUAGCCCCAUUUUAUAAAUGCUCUGUAUUGUUUCGGUCGGUUCUUCCUCGUCCGGGCUCAGAAUUGAGCGCCGUUUGUUUUGUUGGAUUCAUUAUUCUCCAAGGAAUCUUUUGGUAAAGUUUUAGAUUUCUUUUCUCAAAUGGUUGAGCUGGUUGGGAACCGGUUCAAUCGGUUUUGCUAGGUAGCUCUAGUUUCAGCGUGUUUUGACCCCCAUUUUUGUUAUGGCUUGGGCCCUUAGGCUCCAAGGCACUUGUAGGCCACCUUUAGGGUCUGAAUCCAGAUUUGGUUUGAAUUAAUGUGGGCCCACCUAUGAGUUGAGGGUAUUAUUGGCUAGGAAGGUCGGGGGGUUAUUGUGAAUGUUUGGCUUGGGCACAUUUUGAUGUUUGAUUAAAAAUGCUUGUGUCUAUUGAUUUGCCCCUGUUUGUAACGCUUGGCUGGGGACCCGAGGUACAUACUUGACUUGUUGGGAAUUGGAUUCAUUUGCAUGCAUGGGACUUGGAUAUGUUUGCUUGUUGUGUGUUGAAUUGAAGCCCCAUUUUAGAUGAAGUGGCACACUAAAACCCAGUGAACAUGAGCUCUAAAAUGCAUACAUUCAAUUUCUUUCCAAACAACCAGCGAUAAGCAGAGCCCCAUGCAAUUCGUAGAGUUCUCCUCAUGCAAUUUAUAUCAGCAAUGUAGUCUCAAGUACAUUCUCGGACCUCACUCUAGCAUUGGCUACCUUGGUGCACCUUACCCUCAUAAUUUUUUUUCUUUUCUUUGUGAUCUUACACAUCUUAAAUCUGGAUUUCAAAACCUUUUUCCAUCAAAAUAACUCUACUUUUCUUUAAAAUUCAUUCCUUAGGAGUUUCUAGGCAUAAAAUCCAAAUUUUAACAUACUAUUUGCUGCAAUUUUCCUUCUAGCACGCGUUCUCACUAUUUUCUACUAAUUUUCUUGAUUUUCUUGUUUUUCCUAAACAAGCAUGAAUAAACUUCAUGAUUCCAAAUAAUGGAACUCAUUAAACCAAUUCAUGCAAAAGUAAUUUGGACCUUGGUGGGUGGCGCGACAUCCAUGAAUUUUUUUUUAGAUAUUGAUUCAAAUGAGGUGUUUGCUUGAUAUUUAAUUGAAAUUGAUCCUCUUCAUGAUACAUGAGUUUGUUUUAUAGUUAUUUUUGAACUAACCAUGCUCCCCAUUAAAGCGCUUAGCUUGCUACUCUUGUACGCUAUCUAUCACCUAAUUUUCAGAAUUCUAUGAAUAUGCAUAUUAUUAUGAGCUAUAUCUAUGUUCAAUUCUAUCAUUGGAUGCCUAAAUGUUUGUUUUAUUUGCUCUAACAAAAUGCAUGUUGUGUGUCAUAUUUGUAAGCUAACUUUGAUGUCUUAUGAUAGUGCUUGAGGAGCAAUCUAGGUACACACCCUAACUCUCCUUUAUGAUUAUGAUUUGAUUUAUUAUUGGGCAUGCUUGUUUUGAAAUCACCUUAGCCUACCUAGGCAUUCAUAAUCAACUUAUUAAUUGCCACAUUUACCUCAAUUUAGUCAAUAGAGACCUUUUUAUGGCUUAGAGAGGUACUACCUCUUUGAGGUACCUUCCCAAAAGGUAACUUGAUCGCCGAACCUCCUUUUAAAAUAAAAUAAAAUAAGCAAUGACUCUAACUUUGACCAAAAUUAAUUUUUCACCAAUAAAAGCAAGUAUCGCUGAUGAGUGGGGACACACGUGAAAAUUGCAGGUCCACAGCAUGCACCUAGUCAAAUUGUGUAUUGUUUGCAAGAGAUGCUUGUAUUUAUUUCCUAAUGAGUUUAUUCUAAUUCUUUGAUUAGGAUUUCUUCAAUCACAUUGCUUGCUAUUGAAUUUCCAAUGGCUUAAUAUAAAUUAUUAGAAAAAUGUUGUUUAAUUAUUUCAGCAACUUAUCCUUUAUAAUUUUUUUUAACAAAUAUUAUCUCUGAUGUUCAUUUGUAAUAAAUAGCUAGAGAAAGGGCCCAAUGUGAACACCUAUGAGACUUAGUUGUGUUUGAGAGAUUACAUGGAAAUCUUGGCAAAACAUCUCCAAGCCUUGUUGUCAAAAAGGAAACCCUACAUCUCAUGCCUUUAUACUGCAUCUUAGCUUCUCAUCUUGCAAUGGACAAUGGUACUCUUAUUGAAUCAGUUUUACCAUACCAGUCAUCAACAUUUGCACUCAUUAAGCACUAAUUUAAGCACUGAUGCUUUUGUUAAAGUUAUUUCCUUUUUUGUUUGUUCGUUUUUGUUUUCUUUUGUUUUGGAGGUAAUUGUGUUGGAUGAUUUAUGUUUGUGUUAGACAACAAAGCUUGUCUUAAUGCUAUUGUAAAACAAGACUAUGCUAAUAAGAUUUUGAUGUUUACAAUGUUUAUGCCAAAUUGAAUUUUUAGUUUUCCUAAUUGAAAAUUUGCUUGUUUUCCCCAUUAUAUCGAUGUUAUUGUUGGAUUUUUGUUUCUGUUGAUCAAGCAUGUGCUAAAAGUUUGUUUUUUUUUUUUUUUUCCGUUGCUACUUCAUGUGUGUGGAAUUCUAGCUUAAAGUUAGUGAGGAAUUCUAGGGUUUGUUAAGGCCAUUUUUGGUAUUUUGUUAUUAGUUCCUAAUUUAAUGUUUUUCCUUAUUUAGUGGAGAUUUUGUUCUCUAAUCAAUUAAGAUUGAAUCCUGGUCCUUAUGGUGACUGAUUGCACUAUUCUCUUGUAUAUAUAUACCAUGUUGUAUUCUAUAGAAAGUAAGAGAAUUAAUAAAUAAAUAAAAAUUAACUUCUCAUAAAUCUUCAUGGUAUCAAAGCCUUCCCUCUAAAACCCUAAUUUUCCACAUCACCAAAUUCGUCAUGGCUAUUGAGAGACAAAUCUCAACCUUUGAAGUGACCUUCAAUCCAGAAACGAUGCCAACGAUGAACAACCAUGGAAGAGCCGAGAACCCAUCUAUGCUCAUCACAGGUCACAAACUCAAUGGCCAUAAUUUUCUCUAGUGGUCUUAGUUAGUGAUGAUGUAUGUCUGUGGAAAGGGCAAGGAUGAAUAUCUCACCAGUGAAGUAGUUAUCCCUGAGAAGACCAAUCCCAAAUUCAGGGUGUGGAAGACCGAGAAUCACAUGGUGAUGUCUUGGUUGAUUAAUUCGAUGAAUACCGACAUAAGAAAGAAUUUUCUCCUCUAUGGAACUGCCAAAGAAUUAUGGGAUGUAGCAAGGGAGACAUACUCAAAUUCUGAAAACACUUCAAAAAUAUUUGAGAUAGAAGCCACUUUACACAACCCUACGGCAGGGAGAUCUCUCUGUUACCCAAUACUUCAACAUUCUUUCUCGUCAUUGGCAGCACCUAGACAUGUUUGAAGUUCACACCUGGAAGUGCCCUGAAGACACUGCAUUGUACCGAAAAAUUGUGGAGCAAAAGCGAACAUUCAAGUUUCUCCUUGGCCUCAACAAGAAUUUGGACGAGGUUAGGGGGAGAGUGAUGGGGACCAAACCUCUUCCAAGUAUUAGAGAGACAUUCUCAGAAGUUCGCCGUGAGGAAAACAUGAAAAAGGUUAUGAUGGGAUCUCAGAAUUCUGCCCUAUCAAUUGAAGGAUCUACCUUUGUAGCACGAGGACUUCCAUCAAACACCAACAGUGAAAAUCGCCAGAAAAUGGGAAACCUUAGUGUGACCACUACCGAAAACUAUGACAUUCCAGAGAAAAUUGCUGGAAGAUUCAUGGCAAACCAGCUAAUUGGAAGCCAUCCAAACCAUUCAAUGAUAGAGAAAGUAGUGUCCAUAAUGUUGCUACCUCAGAAGACAAGCCAACCUCAACCAAGACCAGUCCUUUCAGCAAAGAGCAGCUUGAGAUGCUUCAACAACUCAUAAGUCAAAACUCCCUAUCUCAAUCCAGUAACUCAGCAUCUGGUAUAGGCAUGUUGGCACAAAAAGGUGAUUUUUCAAAUGCCUUUGCAGUAAAUAAACAACACUUGAAUCCUGGAUUAUUGACUCUGGAGCAUCAGAUCACAUGACAAGAGAAGGAACCAUAUUUCAUGAGUACAACCCUUCUAAAGAGAAAUAUACAGUUUGGAUUGUUGAUGGAUCUCUAUCCAAAGUUGCUGGAACAGGCUCAAUCAGGGUUACAAACGACCUUAAUCUAAACCCUAUUCUCCAUGUCCCUAAUUUGGAAUGUAAUUUACUCUCAAUCAGCAAAUUAACUCGUGAUCUUCAUCGUGAAGCUAAAUUUUUCUCAAACUUGUGUAAAUUUCAGGAACUGGAUUCGAGGAGGAUGAUUGGCAAUGUUGAGAUGUGCUCUAGACUCUAUCUUCUCAAGGGUGAUACUCCUCUAAGAAGACGAACUCAAAAUGCAAGUUGUGUGUCGCUUAAGAGUCGGUCAAUUUUAGAUUUUUGUGUCAAUAAAGAUAAUGAGGUCAUGUUAUGGCAUUAUCGUCUGGGUCAUCCAAAUUUUAUAUAUCUUGAAAAAUUGUUUUCAUCUUUAUUCAUCAAUAAAAGUCCAAAAUUUUUCAGUUGUGAAAUCUACCAGCUUCCAAAACAUACUCACAGUAGUUACCCUAGUCUUUCAUAUACACCAUCUCACCCAUUUGCCAUGAUUCAUAGUGAUGUGUAGGGUCCUUCGAGGAAAAACAAUAUAACAGGAGCACGGUGGUUUGUCUCGUCUGUUGAUGAUCACACUAGAUUGACCUGGGUAUUCCUGAUGAAAGAAAAAUCUGAAGUUGGAAAAUUUUUUCAAAUUUUCAAUUCCAUGAUCUAAACUCAAUUCCAGACCAAAAUCCAAGUUCUAAAAACUGAUAAUGCCAAAGAGUACUUCAAGUUUGUUCUAGGUAGUUACCUCAUGAGUCAAGGAAUAGUCCACCUAAGUUCUUGUGUUGUCACCCCUUAAUAAAAUGGGAUUGCAGAAAGAAAAAACCAACAUUUGUUAGAGGUAGCUAGGUUCCUCAUGUUUUCCACUCACGUUCCUAAACAUUUUUGGGGGGAGGUAGUACUUAUAGCCACGUAUCUCAUCAAUAGAAUGCCAUCCAGAAUUCUUAAAUUUAAAACGCCUUGUCAAUCCCUUCUCUAGAUCUUUCCACAUACAAAAAUCAUCUCUUCAUUAGAUCCAAAAAUAUUCGGGUGUUCAACUUUUGUCCAUAUACAUCAGCAACAUCGUAGCAAAUUAGACCCUAAAUCCAUCAAAUAUAUCUUUAUAGGGUACUCUUCACAUCAAAAGGGUUAUAAGUGUUAUUCUCCCAUCACUAAAAGGGUAUACAACUCUAUGGAUGUGACAUUUUUUGAACAUCAAGCUUACUACCACAAAACCGACAUGCACGGGAAGAACAUGAGAGCAUUCCAGUUUUGGAAGACACUUGAUCUUGGGGACACCCUACCAUUACCUCAUCUUACUUCUCAGCCAAUUUUCAGUCAACAACCAAAAGUCAUUAAUCAAAUUCCAGUUCAAAUUUCAAUGUCUUCACAACCUAAACCUGAGAGUCAUCCUCCUACUACCUCACCUCAAACUCUAGUCCAUAAUUACUCUAAAUCACCACUAACUGCAAAUAAUGAGUUUAGCGUCUACAUUAGGAGAAAAAGGCCUAAGAGAACAAUAGAGCAACCAACUCCUCUAAAAAAUGACCAAAAAUCUUAACCUAGUCCAAGUCCUACUCAAAUUCACUUGGGUAAGGGAACUACUAAUCUUGAAAAGCUAGUACCAUUUGUAGAUGAUUCAAAUAUUCCGAUUGCUUUGAGAAAGAGUGUUAGAACUUGCACAAACCAUCCUAUCUAUAGAUUUAUUUCAUAUGAUGGAUUGUCUCCCUCCUAUCAAGAUUUUGUUUUAGUUCUUGAUAGUGUGCAGGUUCCUAAUUCUAUUUAGGAGGCUCUCAAGAAUCCAAAGUGGAGAAAGGCAAUUAGCGAAGAAAUCAAAGCUUUGGAGAAGAAUGGAACAUGGGUAAUCUCUGAUCUUCCUCAUGGAAAGAAACCAAUCGGGUGUAAGUGGAUUUACCAUUAAACAUAAGGCUAAUGGAAGUAUUAAGAGAUUGAAAGCUCGCCUUGUUGCCAAAGGCUUUACUCAGUCUUAUGGAAUAGACUAUCAAGAAACAUUUGCUCCAGUGGCCAAACUCAACACUAUUCAAGUUCUUUUUUAUCUUGCAGCAAACCAAGAUUGGCCAUUACAUCAACUAGAUGUCAAAAAUGCUUUUCUGAAUGGUAACUUGGAGGAAGAAGUGUAUAUGGAGAUACCAUCAGAGUUGGAAACUUCUUUCAACAACAACAGGGUGUGCAAGCUUAAGAAAUCUCUGUAUGGACUCAAAAAAUCACCUCGAGCAUGGUUUGACAGGUUUGCAAAGUCAGUUACAAAGCAAGGAUAUACUCAAUGUCAAGCGGAUCAUACACAAUUUGUGAAGUUCUCUUCAGAAAAGAAAAUAGCAGUCCUCAUAGUGUAUGUUGAUGAUAUCAUCUUAACAGGUGAUUAUGAAGAGGAACUAUUGGGAAUGAAGAAACACUUAGCCAAAGAAUUUGAAAUCAAAGACCUUGGCUAUCUUAGAUACUUUCUCGGUAUGGAGGUGGUAAGAUCUAAGAAAGGCAUAUUUUUCUCCCAACGUAAGUAUGUUCUAGACUUACUAAAAGAGACAGGUAUGCUUGGAUGUAAACCUGCAGACACUCCAAUGGACUCAACCAAGAAAAUAGGAACUGAGAAGAACAGUGCACCAGUUGACAAGGGGAGAUACCAGAGACUUAUAGGACUUCUUAUCUACCUUUCACAUACUCGACCUGACAUUAGAUUCUCUGUUAGUGUUGUGAGUCAAUUUAUGAACAACCCAAUAGAAGAACACAUGGAAGCUGUGAAUACAAUUUUGAGGUAUCUGAAUAUGACCCUAAGAAUAGGACUGUUGUACAAAAAGAAUGAUACUAGAGAUGUUGAAGUUUUCUCAGAUGCAGACUGGGCAGGUGAUGUGUUAGAUAGGCGAUCAACAUCUGGAUAUCGUUCCUAUGUAUGGGGAAAUCUCGUGACUUGGAAAAGCAAGAAACAGUUUGUAGUCUCAAGAAGUAGUGCAGAAGCUGAAUUGAGAUCUUUGGCUCUUGGUAUUUGUGAAGGAACCUGGAUAUAGAGACUGCUGAAUGAGUUGGGAAUAUCUACUGAGAAGCCUAUUAAAAUGUUCUGUGACAACGAAGCUGCCAUAAGCAUUGCAAAGAAUCCUAUACAUCAUGAUAGGACGAAACACAUCGAGAUAAAUCGACAUUUCAUUUCAGAAAAGAUUGAGAAGGCAAUUGUACAGUUGGUCUAUACUCCUACAAAAUCCCAAAUGGCACACAUACUCACUAAAGCUUUUUCAAGAACUAACUUUGAAGAACUGAGUCACAAGCUGUGCAUGUACAAUAUCUAUGCCCCAGCUUGAGGGGAAGUGUGGAAUUCUAGCUUAAAGUUAGUGAGGAAUGCUAGGGUUUGUUAACGUUAUUUUUGGUAUUUUGUUAUUAGUUCCAAAUUUAAUAUAUUUCCUUGUUUAGUGGAGAUUUUGGUCUCUAAUCAGUUAAGAUUGAGUCCCGGUCCUUAUGGUGACUGAUUGCACCAUUCUCUUGUAUAUAUAUAUCAUGUUGUAUUAUAUAGAAAGUAAGAGAAUUAAUAAAUAAAUAAAAAUUCACUUAUCAUAAAUCUUCAAUGUGCAAAGCAUCAUUAUUCAAAUUUUUUGUUUGUUUGUUUUUGUUUUGUUUUGUUUUGUCUUGUCUUGUUUUGUUUUGGAGGUAAUUGUGUUGGAUGACUUAUGUCUGUGUUAGACAACAAAGCCUAUCUUAAUGCUACUGUAAAGCAAGACUAUGCUAAUAACCUUUUAAUGUUUACAGUGUUUAUGCCAAACUGAAUUUUUAGUUUCCCUAAUUGAAAAUUUGUUUGUUUUCCCUAUUAUAUCGAUGCUAUUGUUAGAUUUGUGUUUCUAUUGAUCAAGCAUGUGCUAAAACUUUGUUUUUUUUUUUUCCUUUGCUACUUCAUGUGCAAAGCAUUAUUAUUUGAAUUUUAAUGAUUCCAUUCAAUUCAUUAUUCAAUAUUUUCAUUUGAUAUUACAUCUAUCACAUUUGUUUUCUUUUCUUAGUUUGUUUUGUUUUGUUUUUGUUUUUUUUUUUUAAUUUGUGAAAUUUGAAUUUGAUGGAGCCACCAUUAAUUUAUUUUUCCUUAUUAUUGUGGGGUGUGCUUUAUUUUGUUCAUGUAAAUAUCAUCGUUGUGGCACUAUUAUUAUUAUGUAACCUUUUUUUUGUUUAAUCUAUUGUUCCUAUGAGCAUUAAAUUCUCCUAAAAUGUAUGGAACAGGCUAAACCCUUUCUAUAGUUAUUUUAAAAAAUUUAUUUUUCAUCUAUUUUCUUGUGCUCAAAAAAUUAUAUUUUUUAGUAAAAUUGAAAUUUUAGGGAGCGCUUAUGCCUUAAUGACUCAACCCCUUGAGGGUUUAUACCUAUCUUAGCAAGAUGUAAACCCUCAUGCCUCUUAUGCUUUUACCUUAUGAAACUAUACCCAAAAACAAACACCACAACUCCUUGCCCCGAUCAAAGGAUACUUGAAAGUUUGCUUCAAAUCAAUUUCAAGGCUAAUAAUCAUAGGCUUGUCAAAUUCAUGUUGCUAAAAUUGGUAUUGUAACCAAAGUAAUAUUAGGAAAUCUUCAAGUUUCAGCUCCUCUUUUUAUGUUGGCUCUUGUAUUGUUAGGUGGCUUCAACCUUUUGCUUUACUUAUGCUUUAUGAGCUACUCCAAUUAAAAUAAUGCUUCAAGUAGAUGUUCUUUGGAUCUUCACUCUAGCAAGAUACUUGCAUUGCAAAAAUUUUUUGUAGUCCUAGAUAGGUUAACUAGGAAGACAAUAGCUUGCUUAAGAGGAUUGCCUCCUCUUCUAUUGGGUUUGUAAAAGUUUUGCUUCUCCCUUGACUUUAGGAGUCCCGUGGUUUCAAAUUUGGGUGUGCUCUAGGUUGUAGCAUGCCUUAUGCUUUCUAAAUGGUAAUCUUCUUCUUGUUUUGGCUAGGAUUCUUUCAUUUAUUUUGCUUGUUUGCUUUCUUUGUUUCUUUAUUGUGGUUGAAGGAUCACCAAUCAACUUUUUAUUCUCUGCAAAAAUUAUUUAUGUUUCAUACCUAAAAAAGAAAAAACAAAGGCUAGUUAGCCUAGAACAUGUUUUAUCUUGUUCUUCUUUUACUAUUAGUAUGGAUUCAAACUUGGGAAGAGGCCUUGAAACAAGUUGCAUUUGUGUUUUCUUAACAUACAUCUUUAUUCGAUCAUUUUUGUUAAGUAUUUGGUGUCUUGUUUGUUCUUUUAGUUGUUUUUGUCUCUGUCAAAGUGUAUAAUUGUAAUAUCCCAUAUCAUAUAGGGAAAAAAGUUUUUCGUGCUAUAUAUAUGUAUAAACUCCACUUAAUCUUGUAAAUGUGUUUUAAAGUCACGAGGGUUUCUUAGGUUCAGAGCAGAUAAUAUCUACACAGUUGGAAGUAGGUCAUUACUAAUGGUAUCGGAACCAAUCUCCAACCUCAAUGUGAGAGAUUGUUUAGCACCGAAAGGAGUGUCUAUCUAUUUGACCCUACAAUCAUGUGGAAUAUAAUAAGGAAAUUGGGUUUGCAUGAGGAGUGUGAUUAUGAUAUCCUACAUCGAAUAUGGGAAAAAGUUUCUAAUGUUAUAUAUGUAUGGACUCCUCUUAACCUUGUAAACGUGUUUUGAAAUUGUAAAUGUCACUUAAGUUUAGAGUGGACAAUAUCUAUACAAUUGGGAGUAGGUUGUUAUAAUAAUUUUGAUUUUCCUUCCAUAUAUGUUUAAUUGCAUAACAUUAUCAUAGAAAAAUAUUCAUCUAUCAUAAUGUAGCGUCUUGUAAAGCUUAUGUUGGGUGUUAUGAUUUUAUCUCUCAUCAUUUUUAUUAUUCUGAUUCAACAUCAUCUUAGCUUAUAAUCAAAAGGCUAUAAAUUGUAGGAUUCUUUUCUCCAAUUUUUUACUUGAUAUCUUAUAAUGCCAUGAAAUGUCUAUAUUUUGAUGCAGAAAGUCGUUCAUCCUUCAUCUCUCUCACUAGUUUUGCAGAACCAUAGUCAUUAGGCACAUGCAAGCGUUAGACAUGCAGCCACUUCCAGUGUUGGAAGAGACUUUGAACUACCUCUUAAACCUAUUAGAUCCACGGAGCAUCCUUUUGAAGUGGUUCAUGAUUUCAUCUUUGAUAGGACAAGAUCAAUAAGACACGAUCUUAGCAUGGAGAAUAUUGUUAAUGAUCAAACAAUUCAUACGUAUGAAGAAAUGGUAUAAAUUUCUUGAAACAUAAUCUUAAUUACCUUUCUUUUCUUAGCAUUAAUCUCCUCAAUAUACAAUAAGUUAGCCAAUCCACUACUAAACACACUCCUAGUUGCAGAAAAUAAUCAAAAUAUACAAGAGAUGUUGUAUAAUUGAGUCAUUAUCCUCUCUUUUUGCUUUAUUGAAUAAGAAAAUUCUAUUCAGUGGAGUCCAAAUGAGGUGAAACUGUGAUCACACAACUUUUAAAGCCUACUUUAUAAUGGAUAAAUGAAUGGUCUGGUUCUGAAUCUUUCUCGGCACAUUAGUUAUUAUCCAAUCCAUUCUAAUUAAGUUAUCCACUAUUGAGUGUCUAUUUCCAAUGAAAGUUAUGAAAGGCCCAUAGAACCCAAGCAACUCACACCGCUUGCGAUGGGAAUUGGUGUUCUUUCCCGUAAUGUCAAGUUUUCUAGUACACUUGGUGACUUUGUAGAAUAUGCCUACGGAAAGGGCUGCCACCUUCUAAUUCCCAAUCAUACAAGUUUCUUAACCAUAUUUCAAAAGUUGUAUUUCUUGUUCCGUCUCUUAAAGUUUUUUAAACCUAUAUCUCUUUAUCCUUGGCAAUUCAGAAAGAUGAGGAAACUAUUUAACAAGAACUCCAUCAAUUUGUUCCUCAAAAUUUUAUAUAGUUUCUCUCUCUCACUUUCAAUUUAAACUCUUGAUUUAAAAGAACAAAUUCAUGGCCAGCAACAUUUUUAGCCAAGCAAUAGAAUGUACAACAAGCAUGCAUAUGAAUGAACUGUAUUGUUUAAUGAUAAUAGAUCAAAUAUUUUAAUCUAAUCCUAAAACCUUAGAGUUAGCUAAAAGCCUCAUCUUAUGUUCUAACUUGUGGUUUGUUUCACAAUACAGGUGAAAUUUCAUAUUAUAUCCCACCAAAAGCUUUGCAAUUGUAGCAGCAAGCCAAAUUUUUAUUUAGUUAUUACCUUAAUAUGGAGCAACUGAAAAAGUGUCUAACAUCUCUAUAUGCUCUAUACAAAGAAAAUUGCAAUUCAAAUUUUAUUUACAAGAAUGAACCUGAGUUUUGCUCAUUUCACGUUCUUCUUCACCUUGGCUCUAACAGCCAACCACUGGUGGAUAUCUGCUUUCAUUGUUUGUUUGAGUUCAUCUUUUUCAGUAUUUGUACUAGUUUCUGAAGGUGUUACUAUUUUUGUUCUGAGGGGAGAGUCACUCUCUUUGUGGUUGGGUCUUGUACCUUCUGUCAUUUUGAAGUCAAAGGAAAAAUGUUUUGCCCAAGACUUUUAUAGUACGUUUGGUAGUGAUUUUAGGAAGUGUUUCUAGUCUUUUUUAUGCUUGAAAGAUAAAAAAAAAAAAUUAAGUGGUAAAAAGACUAGAAACACUUUAUAAAAUAACUGCCAAACGCACUCUUAAGAUGACCAUAAAGCUGUUGUAGAUUCCACUUGCAUUUAAAUUGUUUUUAUUCCCUUUACAUUUAACUCAAUGUAGAGUGGUUAUGUUUUUCCGUUGAUUUUUUUCUCUUUUUUAGUACCCAAUGUUAAAGUUUUGUUUCACGAACUGAAAGGUCCGUCUUUUCUAGUGACAGUGGAUGGGCAAUUAUAAGUGUUUCCUUUGUACUACAACAAUUGAGGCAUCAUAUUUGCAAUAUUACAUUAUUAUUAUUUUUUAUAAAUGAGCACAAAAUAUAUAAUAAAGGGCGGAAAGCCACAAAGCAUACAGGGAGUAUACAAAGCAGCUAAAAAGCAAAAAACUCAUAAACAGAACAAACUCACCAGCCCUUAAAGAGCCGCUAACCACUCUAAGAAGCCUAAAAUCAAAGAUGACUCCUCUCCCAUAUACAUCCUAGUCCAACUCCAUAAAUUACAUGCAAAAGAAUUCUUGAGUUUCUGAAUAGCUAAAGAACCCCAUCUAAAAGCUAACCUAUUUCUUUCCUUCCAAACCGUCCAAAAUAUACACAACGGGAUGGAAUUCCAAAUCUUUUUCCUCUUUUCCCCAUAAAAGGGCCCCUCCAACAAAAUAACACCUCUUUGACUGUCUCUAGGAACACCCAUUGAGCCCUAAACAAGGAAAGAACGAUCUCUCAGAGGACCCUGACCACUGUACAGUGUAAAAGAAUGUGAUUUACAUUUUCCUCUUCACAGCCACACAAAUAACAACGAUUAGGGAGCUGCCACCCUCGUUUUUGAAGCCUAUCCAAUGUGAGGAUUUUUUCCCAAGUGGCUUCCCACGCAAAGAAAGCAACUUUGGUUGGAACCUUAUCCACCCAAAUGAUUUUUUUCGGAAAGACGAGGGGAUUGGGGGUGAUUCGUGUUUUCCCAGCUGGUGUACCUUGAUUUUGGUCCCCUGAUGGGAGUAAUCAACAAAAUUUAUAACCUAUAUCACCAUGCACUAGGAUAGCCUAAGCUAGUAUAGCAUAGUGGCUCUAGGAUCGUUCACUGGGAAGGGUUUUCAACUUACAAUUGAUACCAAUUCAAAGUUGAAUUGGUGCCUUUUCAUUUCAAGGUUAGCUUCAAAAGAAAACAUAAACUUUGGUUGAAAAAGGUUUGGUUUCAAGCUAACUAAAAAGAAAGUAAUGGGAAUUACUUAUAAAGAAAAAGCGUCUCUUGGAGUUUUAGGAUCACUGGGGUCAGGCUCCUCAUGCAAAAACAGAGUUCCGGUCACUUUGGUUCUUUUCCUCGCAUUGGAGAAUUAACAUAUAGUUCAUUCUCCAACCGGUGUUGUACAGAUGCUUCCCUUUUAUAAAUUUCAGCACUAGUUCCCUCUCACUGAUUCAUCUUGCAAUGGCUCGUGCCUCUCACCUAGCAUUUGCCAUUCAAGGUGAUCAUUAACCUUGGACUUCCCUUCUCAAGCUCGCAAGAGAUAACUAAUGGAUGCCUCCUUAGAGUCCAAAAGCUUACCAAGUGUUGGCAAUUCUAGAAAAUCCUACCUUCAGGUCACCUCCCAAAAGCUCACAAGAGGUAAACUAGUGCAUCUCUGUGGACAGAGAUCACUUGCCUUACCAAGUGUUGGCUCAGGUGAAUUGAAGGCGUUUUAAGUUAACUAAAAACAUAGAAAUCAUAAACGGGUUACACUUUCUCUUCAUUAAAAGCUGAAACAUCAAAACUACCAAUUCUUGCAUUCGACACCUUCCCCGGCUACCUUAGCUCCAAGAAACAAAAAGCCUAGCCACCCAUUCUCUGAAGAAACAUCAUCAGAGCUUGUUUGGCUAGUAAAUGAAAAAUACAAUCAAAGUGAGAAGGUAAUGCAGAGCAAAGACUCUGUAUUUUACUUCCUUUCAAACUUUUACAAAAGGUUCGUCUCCUUGAUAACAGGCUCCUGAGAGCUAUUUAUAUGAAAAUUACAAUAAUAAUUAUUACCUGGAUAUUUACCCUUUUUCCUAACUUAAUAGCUAAGGAAUCCUAUAAGUGGUGGAUUACAAUGAGAGAAUUGGGAUUUAGACAUCAAAUAUCUGAAGCAAAAUAUCAAAAAUUUGUCGGUCGUAAAUAUCUGGAAGCACUCAGGAGAAUUUCGCAGGCGCACAAAAUGGCUGCGAAAUUUCGCAGACGUACAAGAUGGCUGCAAAAUCAUUUCGCAGCCAAAGGCUGAUUUCGCAGCCUUGCGAAAUUGGCCUUCAGCUUGAUGUGAUCAUCUUCCAAUGGCUCUAACUUCUUCACUUCAACUCCGAUUCGCGAACCGUUUAAAGCGUUAGAUUUUUUACUUCCCAAGCUUCGAAACAACAUAUAGUAUGCAACAAAUGGACUUCAGGAAGUACUCCAAAAGUGUCAAACAGUUGAUGUCCUCUUGGAUUCUUCAUGUUAGAUUUUUCUCUUUGUUUCAUCCUUGCAUUCAUGAUUUGUUUAUGGCAAAGGACUUUAAGGCUUCAGUUCUUCAUGUUUCUGAGCUUUCCAUUGCUUUGCCAUGGAUUCCAAAGAACUCUCCUCAAUCUCGGAUUGCUUUGGUGAUCAAAUUACUAUCAAAAACACCAAAACUUACACAAUUUGAUUAGAAACGAUUACAAAGGUCCUUAAUAUGUUAAUUGGGUUAAAAGGUAAUAACUACUACUCAAAAGUGUUUAAAAGAGUUAAUUACAAGCUAUCAAAUAGCCCUUUUUGAGUAGUAAUCAAGGGGUAGUGAUUCAUGCCCAAUUGGUGUCUUAGCUGAUUCGUGUCCAGCUGGUGUUCCUUGAUUGAGGGAGUAAUCAACAAAAUUUAUAACCUAUUACACCAUAUACUAGGGUAGCAAAGAAAAAGCUACUAUAGCAUAGUGGCUCUAGGAUCGUUCACUGGGAAGGGUUGGCAAAUUAUCAAUGAUACCAAUUCAAAGUGAAUUGGUAUUGUUUCAUUUCAAGGUUAGCUUAAGAAAUAAAACACAAACUUUGGUUGGAAAAGAUUUAGAUUUAAACUAACUGCAAAGCAAGUAAUGGAAAUUACUUAGGAAGAAAAACAUUCCUUGGAGAGUCAGGUUUACAGGGGAGGUUCCUCAUGCAAAAACAUAGCUCCGGACAGUUGGUUCAUUUCCUCGCGUUAGAGAAUUAACAUAUAGUCAAUUCUCUAACCGGUGUUGUACAGCUACAUCCUUUAAUUAGAUUUCAGCUUUGAUUCUCUCUCACUGAUGCAACUUGCAAUGGUUCGAGCCUCUCACUAAGCCUUAACCAUUCAAAGUGAUCUUUAACCUUGAACUUCCCUUCUCAAGCUCGCAAGAGAUAACUAAUGGAUGUCUCCUUGGAGUCCAAAAGCUUACCAAGUGUUGGCAAUUCCAAAAAAUCCUACCUUCAAGUCACCUCCCAGAGGCUCGCAAGAGGUAAACUAGUGCAUCUCCAUGGUCGGAAAUCACUUGCCUUACCAAGUGUUGGCCCAGGUGACUCUAAGGUGUUUUAAGUUAACUAAAAACAUAGAAAUCACUAAAAGAUUACACUUCCUCUUCAUUCAUGGCUGAAACCACAAAGCUAUUCAUUCUUGCACUUGGAACCUUUCCCGGCAACCUUAGCUCCAAGGAACUAAAGGUUUAGUUACUCAUUCUCUGGGGAAACUUCCUCAGAGAGUGCAUAACUUAGUAAAUGAAAAAUACAAUCAAAGUGAGAAGGUAAGGCAAAACAAAGGUCCUGAAUUUUACUUGCUUUCCAACUUUUUACAAAAAGGUUUCUCUCUUGGAACAGGCUCCUGAGAGCUAUUUAUAUGAAACUACCAUCAUAGCUAUUACAUGGAUAUUUUUCCUUUUUCCUAACUUAAAAGCUAAGGAAUCUUAUUAUUGGUGGCUUACAAGGAGAAUUUUGGGAUUUAGACAACAAAAAUCUGAUGAAAAAUAUCUCAUUGUGUCGGUCGUAAAUAUCGGGAAGCACUAAGGACCAUUUCGCAAGUGAAAACGAGGUCUGCGAGAUUUCUCAGAUGCACAAAAAGAGCUACGAAAUCACUUCGCAGCAAACGGUUGAUUUCGCACCGCUGCGAAGUGAUCUUUCAGCUUGCGGCAUUCGGCUUCCAACGUGUCGGGAAACUUCAGGGGGAAUUCCUCAGCACUGUGCAAAAAGGCUGCGAAAUCAUUUCGCAACAAAAGGGUGAUUUCGCAACGCUGUGCAAAAUUCUUCCUUCAGCUUGGAGUGAUCGGCUUGCAAUGGCUGUAACUCCUUCAUUUCAACUCCAAAUUGCAAACCUCUUGAAGCAUUGGAUUGUUGACUUCCUGAGCUUCGAGACGACAUAUAGCAUGCAUCAAUUGGACUUCAGAAAGUGCUCCAAAAGUGGCUGACAUGACUGUCAUCAAGAAUAUGCUUCAUGGCAGAUUUCUCUUUGCUUCCUCUCCUUGCAUUCCGGAUUUGCUUAUGGAAAAGGUCUUCAAAGCUUUGGUUCUUCAUGUUUCUGAGCUUUCCAUUGCUUUGCCAAGGAUUCCAAAUAACUCUCCUCAAUCUCGGAUUGCUUUGGUGAUUAAAAAGCUAUCAAAACACCAAAACUUAACACAAUUUGAUUAGAAGUGAUUGCAAGGGUCCUUAACAUGUUAAUUGGGUUAAAAGGCAAUAACUACUACUCAAAAGUGUUUAAAAGAGUUAAUUACAAGCUAUGAAAUAGCACUUUUUGAGUAGUAAUCAGGUAGCCAUCAAAUUAUAAGCAUCCCGAAUCCGAAAAAUAUCAAGACCCCCUCCUUUCCAUAACACUGAGUCCUCUUCCAUAUCAAGCCUUUUUACAACUAACUUGGGCAUUCGAAAAAGGGAUAAUUGGUAGAUGGGUAUACUGGCCAAUGUACUUUUAAUGAGGGUAAUUCUCACACCCUUAGACAUGUAUUGCAUUUUCCAAAUAGCUAAUCUUCUUCUUAUUCUUUCCUCCACCCCAUCCCAUAUAGACAAGGCCUUGUGAUGGGCUCCAAGGGGCAGCCCCAAAUACUUAGUAGGAAAAGCCCCCACUCUGCACCCUAACUUCUCAGCCAUAUCCUCAAUAUCUUCAACCUCCUCAACAGAAAUUAAUUCACUCUUAGCUAGAUUAAUCCUAAGACCAGAAGCUGCCUCAAACCACCCCAAAAUCCAGCCAAGAUGAGUUAGAUGCUCCUUCCUUGCUUCAUAGAAGAUGAUUGUGUCAUCAACAAAGAGCAAGUGGGACACAUUCAUCUCCAUCCCCCAUUUUCCUCGAAGUUUGCAACCAGAAAUGAAGCCUCCAUCAAUAGCCUUUCUUAUAAGUGCACUCAGCACUUCCAUACCCAAAACAAAAAGGUAAGGAGAAAUGGGAUCUACUUGACAUAGCCCCUUGGAACUGGAAAAGAAGCCUACUGGCACCCUGUUGACAAUAAUAGAAAAUUUUGCAGUUGAGAUGCACCACCAAAUCCACUCCAUCCAACGAGACCCAAAGCCCAUCUUGUGCAAAACCUUCAUGAGAAAGUUCCAAUUAAUACUAUCAUAAGCUUUUUCAAUAUCCAAUUUGCAAACCAGUCCUUUCUCUUUAUGUUUCUGCCAAUAAUCAACCACCUCAUCAGUUAUGAGAGAGACGUCUAGAAUCUGUCUUCCCCUCAUAAACACAUUUUGAUCCACCGAGACCAUCUUACCUAACACUUUCUUCAACCUAUGGGCUAGCACUUUGGCCAGAAGCUUGUAUAGCCCCCCUAAAAGGCUGAUAGACCGAAAAUCCCCGAGGUCCACAGCCCCACCUUUUUUUAGGAUGAGGACCAAGAAGAUAGUAUUUAGACUUUUGGCAAAAUAUUUUUGGUCAUAAAAUUCCUUAAACAGCUCUACAACCUCCUCCUUCACAAAAUCCCAACAAGAUUGCCAAAAGGCCACAGUAAACCCAUUCGGCCAUUCAUUUCCAACAGAGUUAAGUGAAUUUCUUCCUCAGUAAAGGGCAUCUCCAGAGCUUCAACUUCACCGUGGUUUAGACGUUGAAGGUGCAACCCCUCAAUGUCAGCUCUCCAUCCUGGCUCUUCUGAGAGCUAUUGUUGAAAAGCAUUCACAAUCCCCUCCCUCACCUCCUGCUCCUCAUCCAACUCCACCCCAUUGAUCUUGAUUUUAUCCAAGGAGUUGUUUCUUCAGUGGGCAUUGGCCAUUCGGUGGAAAAAUCCUAUGUUCUUAUCCCCUUCCUUUAGCCACAGCUCCCUUGACAAUUGUCUCCAAUGGGUUUCUUCUAAAAGCACCCACUUUUUAAAGGUUUCCUUAGCUUCAUUUUUCAACUCCGUUUCUCCUUCUGGCGGGCCCCUUUCACAUUCCACCCCAUCCCAAAAUUCAACUUGCUGGAGAGCUGAGCUUUUAUUAAUUUCCAACCUACCAAACACAUCCUUGUUCCAAACUUUGAUUUUUUUCCUUCAACACCUUUAGCUUAGCAGCCAGUCUAAAGUUGGUCCUCUCUCGCCUCCCCGCUCCCUACCACCAAUCCCGAAUGAGAUCCUUAAAACCAUCAACUUUAAGCCACAUGUUUUCAAACCUGAACGGGGAGGGUCCUCGUCUUAACCCGCCACCCUUCAAUAGAAUGGGAAAAUGAUCUGAAGUGGGCCUGGGAAGCCUACUUUGGACAACCUCCCUAAACAAGUCAAGCUAGUUUUGGGUCACCAGGAAACAAUCCAGUCUAGCCCAGGACUGAUUGUUCCUAUCUCCACUCCAGGAAAACACAACCCCUUGCAAAGGAAGAUCUAGGAGCUCUAGUUCAUCAACCACCUGAGCAAACCUUCUCAUUGCACCAUUUAAACUAUCCUGACUGCUCCUUUCCCUUUGGAAAAGGGUGACAUUAAAGUCGCUCCCUAAACACCAGGGAUCAUCCCAGAUGCCCCUUAUUGGCCUUAGCUCAUCCCACAAAGUCUCCAUUUCAUUCCUAGUGAACGGUCCGUACACUCUUGUGAAGAUCCAAACAAGCCCAUCUUCAACAUUCCUGAGCCUACAGGAAAUAGAAAAUUGUCCCACCUCCAUCUUUAGCAUUUCCAGGGACCUUUUAUCCCAGCAAAUCAAAAUCCCACCCGCAAAGCCUUGAGCACCCAUGGCUCCCCAAUCUAGAAACCUCCCAGAGCCCAAAGUCCUCACCACACCCACUAACAUUGACUGAAUUUUCAUCUCCUAAAUACAGAACAAAUUCACCCUCUGACUUCCAAUCAUAGCCUUGAUCACCUUUCUUUUAGAGCUAUCGUUAGCUCUACACAUGUUCUAGUUCAACAACCUUAACUUCAUUAGACAACCAAAAUCUGGCACCCUCUUCCUUGCAUGGUACCUUUUUAUUUCCUCCCCCCUUCAUAAUUAAUGGAUCAUUCAAGUCUCUUCAAUUCCCUUUCAAAUUUCGAUUUUUCUAGAAGAGUUUCACUAUGAACUCUUUCCCUUCUUUUUUUUAUUUUGACCAGAAACUCCAAAAUGUCCUUCAAUCUCUCUGUCAAAAACCCCAAAAACCUGCUGAACCUCACUAGAUCGCUUUCCUCCCAACUAGUUUCCUCUCAUCCUCUAACUUCGAGUGGCAUAGCACUAGCUAAGCAAAGUUCCUCUCCACUUUCUUCAAUACUACCAUUAUUAACUUUCAUUAGCUCCCAACGAGUAACAGUCUCCAUCAUUGAAGACUCCGUACCAUUAACCAUGCAGCCCGGUCAUUCCCUCUGGAAUUUUUCCAAUCUGGCCCUAGAACAGUCGUAAUACUCCCCCAAUUGAGUCCGACCAGAAAAAGAAGAGGGGGGAGAUGAGAAAUCACAAAGCAACGUUCCACAAGGGUUAGAGGUGUUCUCAUACCUCGAAGCUUCCUCCAUUAGAGCACAGUUAGUCUUCAAACUCUUCUCUAAAAGUUGUUCCUUAGUCGAAGGUCUUCGCAGACCUUCGUGCACCCAAAAGGAAAAGAUGGAAUGGUCUGGAGCCCCCAAAAGUCUUAGGCCAAAAAGAUUGUAAAGACGGGAUGCUCCCAGCUGGGCUCUUCCCUCAGCUAAGGGCAAGGUCAGGCCUCGGCAAACCAGCCCAAGCACCACAAUAGGCUCCUUUUCCUUGGCCCACCUAGAACCCUUAAUAAACGACAACCCAAAAUGAGAUGGCCCAGUCUCGCAGAGAAAGGCCACAAGAGGAGCAGGCCCAGUAAUCACAAUGGGCUCUGCUCAACACGGUGACGAAGACCAACCCGAACCUUGGGACCCAACUGACAGCCCAACAAAGCACCAACCAUGACCCAUGGCCUGUCCCGACCCACUAGUCUGCCCCCUCGUCCCAUCAGCAGGUAGUAGCAAGUCCUCAAGCCUCGAGGCAUCGUCCUCCACCCGCACGCGCUCGAUUGUGCAUGCGAUGGCCUCACCCCCAACCUCGCCUUCUGUACCGAUAAUGUUUCCACUCUUUCUUGCCAUCGUCAUUCUCAGGAUUGGCCUGACCUCCCACCGGAGGGUUACCUCGUAGUAGAAUUCCUCAGCCCAAACCUCCACCACGUUGGGAAGCUUCUCGUCGUUGAGCUUCAUCAGGAUCCUUGCCCACUGCAAAUCCUCCAGCUUCUCCAUUUGGGAAUCGACUGCGAUGAAGCCCCCGCACUCCUCCCCUAUCCUUCUCAUAAUGGCUCGAUCCCAUAAGGAAAUGGGUAAUCCCAUAAUACGCACCCAAGCCUUGCUCUUUUUCACCCCAUCCAUCAGGCAUCCCAUCUCGGGCCUCCAUUUCUCCAAACGAAUGAGAGACCCCCCAACCGAAAUACCCCCGAUUUUUAAGGUUUUCUCUGCUUCUACCAAAAACUCAAAUUCAAGUAAAACUUUGCCCCUUUCCAAUUUCGCUAGCCCUAGAUUACCCUUCAGUCUCCAAAUAUUCUCCAAAUGGGUCCUUCUACUUCUUAGGUCAUCCCCUCUCACAGAGCUAGGAUUCCAAAUCCCAACUAAACAGUGAGCCAGCUUGUUUAAGUUUCGGCUCAGCUCCUUCUUUCUUAUCUCCACCCUAAUCAUUGUUUUUUCUUUUCCUCUUGGCUAUUUAGCCACUUCCGCGUAGGUUUUCCCCAUGCUAGAUUUCGACAACAACGCUUCUUUUUUUUGGCAUCCCUCUUCUCCGUUAGUAAAACCCAAUCGCCAUAGCGUCUCCACCAUUGAAACCCAGCCACCCUUAGCUCUUCUUCCUUUUGGAAUAAAGAUGCAAAACCUUUUGUUUUCCAGGUCCGCAACCUCUAAUCGAAGAAAAUACCCCCCUUAUUUUGAUCCCGCACCAGAGAAUAGGCUCUCCCACUUUCCUUCCACUUUCUUUCCCUUUUACCAGUUCCCGCGUCCUUAAUACAAAGAACUAGACCAUCGAAAAAAAACCCAAUGAUCUUCGGUCCCAACCUAAUCCACGAGAAGAUCCCUCAUUUCAGUUCCACAAUUGUAGCUUGCACUUUACCUUUCUGCUCCUCCACCUCGACCUCGAACGACUUCAACUCCACUCCAAAACUACCCUUUCUAAAGCUUUUCCUAGUCCCCACGAAGACAACACCCUCUGCACCCUCGCUCGCUCCACCAUCUACACUUUCUCUCGCUCGCCGCACGCCUCACUCUCCAUCGGAGCUCUCGCUCGUUCUCUCUCUAGCCCUCUCUCCUCCAUUUCUCAUCUGUCUACUAUAUUAUUGAACCUUACAUCAAUGAGGUUGCUUAAAUAUGUUGAUUUUGCUAGGUUUCUCAAUUUGAAAAAUAUAUUAUUCUCUGUUCAUUUAUUGUUUUCCAGAUUCAUCUCUGAGAAUAUAUCUAAAAUCUAGAGUUGAGUAUUUGUGCUUUUAGGUUUUAUUUUCCUUUCAUUUUUGUUGGUAAUUGUAUUUCAUUAUUCUUAAAUUUCUCACCAGCUAUUUCUUUAUAUGGUUUAUUGUCCCUCACUUUCUUCAUCCAUCUAAAGUGUUCAGAUUCAAUUAGCUUGUUUCGUAAUCUAGGUCUUAUUUAGGAGUUUCUUCUCAACUGCCUUUUUUAGUGCUUCUAAAAGACAUGCCUGAUUUAUAUACAUUUUUAUUGGUUUUUUUUUUUUACCAUAAAAGGUUCAAGCAUUGGCAUUGUCAUGUGUUAAUUAGUGGCUAUAAACUUCAUCCGUAUCCAAUUGCACACUUGUCCAAACUCUUGAUGAUGAAGGUAUGGUUGCAUUUACUAGUAUGAAAUUGCUAAAAUUUGUCAUCCAAAGUUUCAAUUUCUUUUGAAUCUUGAAGACUUAAUUUGCAUUCUUGUAGGAAUUAGAUGUGGAAUAAUUUUGCAAUGUUUGUUGUCUUAAGACCAGCACUGAUGAACGGGGAAAUAAGUUCUUAUCAACCAAGCAAACAAACUUCCAUUAUCCCAAGGAAGUCUUUCCAAGCUACUGCCUUUUAGGUUUGGAACACUUUUAGAGGUAACAAUCAAUAGGAAUUAGUUAUUCUUUCAAACUUCUUAUUGUACAAAUAUAACCUGCAUGUGCAACCAUUUAUGAUCCCAUAAUUUCAAGAAUUUAUGACACCUUCUAGUGGUUAGUUUUUCUAGGAAUAGAGUGAGACAAUCUAUUCACCCCCAAAAACCAUCGUCAGAGGAACAGUAGAUAACCCGCAAGACCAAAUUUAUGUGUGUGAAUGGAGAUGCAUGUUUUUUACAUCCCAGUCAUGUAGUGUUGUGUCAAAGGGAAUAAUAGCAGGUGAUGAUAAGUGGUAUUUCUAAAAUGUUCGAAGAAUAUUCCAUCUGUCAUGUAAUAUUGCUUUCUCAAAACUGUUUUUGAAGUCUUAUUUUUAAAUAUUAGAGUUGACCUCUUGUACACUAUCAACUGAUGUUGUAACUUAACUAGAAAGAGAAAUUAUAUAAACUUAGCCUUGGUUUGGAUCUUGAAAGAUAGCAAGCAAAGAAAAAUUAGGUUAAUAGUGAGUUGAUUUAUUCUCUUCCCAUGGAUGUAAGCACAUUCUUGAAUCACUUAAAUUAUUUUUUUCUUGUCUAUUAUUCAAUUGUCUCUGAAAAAAAAAGUGGUAUCAGCGUUUUUUCCAACACAACAAAUGAUUCAUGUGACAACUGCCAAUAAAGGAAGCACUUAAGAAGGAGUUUGUAAGGUGUUACAUGGCAGGUUGAACAAAACCAAUAGCUAGAGAGAUAUAUGAAAUAUUUGGGGGCCAUUGAUCCAACAAUAGUAGAGAAUAACAUAAGAAGAGACCCUCUAAUCACCAUUUUUGCUUUCGAUUCUUCUCUACAAAACAUCAUCUCUUUAUACAAAAAGACACCCCAUGGCUGAGCUCGUAUUAUUCUCUGCAUAUCCCAAAACUGCUCUCCAAAUUUUAGGGCAUGGUACUCUUUUGAGUGGUAUUUUUGGUACUAAAUUUAAGUAUUCUCUCAAAUACCUAAAAUGCCCUCUAGAUUUUAGGGCAUGACCCACUCUUUGAGGUGGUAUUUUGGGUACUAAGUUUUGUUAUGAGAGGUUUUGGUGUGGAAAUCGGAGGGCCUCUUGGGAAUAUGAAAUUAGAAAUGUUACACACGUUGCAUGUAUUUUCUUUUGCGUGCAUUACACUUAGAUUGGAGUUUAUGCAGUUACUCACUUUUUGUGUGUCCAACAGUACUGUAUGUCACAUCACCAUAUGAUGGGCCCUUUAGCCUUUUUUUAACCCCCUCCCCCCAAGAAAAAAAAAACCUAAUACUAAAAAUAAAAAAAUAAAAAAAAACCUAAUACUAAAAGGACCUUAGCUUGCAAACUAUGUGGAGGUAGGCCUCCACAUCCAACUUCUUAGAGGGACCAUGAUCACUUAGGCCAAGGAAGUUUGAGGCAAUAAUACGUCUACGAUGCCCUUAGAUGUUUUGGGCACAUGCACGCUACACUAAUGUAUUCAACGAGUCUGUAACCUUGACUAACAAGCUUAGGUAAUCUUUGAAAUUUCAUUAUGAUGGGGAAGGUUCCACAUGAACGACACUUGCACAUGGGUUAGUUAAUCCUAAGAGAUGGGGGAAGCUCGUCAGACAACGCGUGACACUCGAGCUUUGAAAGGUAAUUGAGUUAACAUUCCUAAACCGGGACAUGACGGUCUACAACAAUGUUAGGUAGUCUGAAGAGUCAUGUUAAUUGUUAUCGGUAUUUUUAUUUAUUCAAUAGAAAUUGAGGAUUUAAAAAAUACCACAAAAAUUAGAAAAAAAAAUUAAUUAUAUGAAUAACAUUUCAAAUAUUUAACAAAAUGUAUGAAAGUUGAAUAUCAUACACGAUUAAAUGGCUAGAUCAUCUUCUUUAGUUUUUCCAUGAUCUCAUCCUAUUAAAUGACUCAUCCAAUAUUAAUUUAUUUUAAAGGUAAAAUUAAUUAUAUUAUAAUACUUAAAUACUUUACCAUGCUAUAAUCCUCUAGCUAAUAAAUGAAAUCAAAACUUAAAAAUCAUUUUUAUAUAUAGAUAUAUAUUAUUAAGUUUAGGUAGUGAAGCAAUUAAUGUGGGUAUAAAAUUAAUGCCAAAACUUUUGAUUGUUCCUUCACAUUCUCCACAGCAAAGGAAAUAAGAAAAAUAAAGAAAGAAAUUUAGGGUAGUUUUAUUUUUUGUUCUCAUCUCAUGGUGAAAUUAAUAGAGGAAUGCUUGGGUUGGUGCUCAACAAUCAAGUGACAUCCGAUAUAAUGAUUCUUCCAAUCCUGUAAAUAUUGUCCGCUUUAAUUUUAAUGGAUCAUCAUCACUUUAAAUUGCAUUCACAUUGUUAAGAGCAAUUCAUACGUACAUAAUAUUAAGAACUUUUUCUUAUUCGAUAUGGAAUAUAAAAUUGGGUAUCUUUCUGAUUACUACCAAAAAGUGCUAUUUUGUAGACCUAAUUAUAAUGGUUUUAAGCACCUUUGAGUAGUAAUCAUAUUCAUUUAACCCAAUUAAUUCAUUAAGGUCCUUAGUAAUUGGUUUUAACCAUUUUGUGGCAAGUUUACAUGUUUAUAUCAGCUUAUGAAUCAAUUCAAGCAUGCCAAAUGAUGGAGGAGCUACUUGGACAAGUUAAAUCAAGCUUUUAGCUACACCAAAGCAAGCCAACAAAAGGAGAAAAGCAAAGAAAAGCAAAGAAAAGCAAGGAGGAAAACAGAGGACAGCAGCUGCAGUCUUCGUUGGCACUUUUGGAGCACUUCCCGAAGUCCAUUCUCUACAUGCUAUAUACCAUUUCAAAGCUCAGGAAGUCAAGAAUCCAACGCUUCAAACCGUGCAUGAUUUGGAGCUGAAACGAGGAAGAUAUGGCCUUCGGAAGACAACUGCUCCAGGUGUGCGAGAAUUUCGCACACCCCCCUUUAGCUGUGCGAAUGGUGUGCGAAGUUCGCACACCUUCUUCAGGUGUGCGAAAAUUUCGCACACCCCAUGCGUGGUGCGAAUUUUCCCCUGUUUCUGCCGACUCCACUUUAGAUCUUUUCUUUUAGAUAUUUUUGUAUAAAUUUCCAUUCUUCUCCUUGUAAUCCACCAAUCAUAAGAUUUAUUAGCUAGGAAAGUUGGAAAAACUUCUCUAUUUAUAUCCCCUUGCAUCCGUUGUAACAAAUAAUUGAUAUAUAGAUAUAUAAUACAUAUUACGUUUUACACUCUCUCGUUUUCUCUUUUCUCUUCACUAUUUUAUUUUCUUGGUAGCCAAACAGCCUCUAAGGGCUUUUCCUCAGAGGAUGAUUGGCUAAAACUUUUAGUUUCUCAAAGUAUGGAUGUUAUGUGAUGACUUGGAUGCAAUCCCAUGGAAAUUUCUCACACCCGGAAGGUAAGGUAGUCGUUUUUCAUUAAAGGUUCAUUAAUGCAAAGUUUGGUUUUUAUUUCCUUUGGACAACUUCCAACGGCCAAUACUUGAUAAGCUUUUGGAUUUCUAUCCAUUAGUUAUCUCCUACGAGCUAUUGGAAGGUGAGGUUUUCAAUUCCAAGUUUUGUAUUAAUCCGUUAGAACCAAUUUCAAUGGCCAUUGAAAGGUGAGUUUAUCACCUGGAAUGACUUUGAGUUGCCAAUAUUUGGUAAGCUUUUGGCUUUAGACCAUUAGUUAUCUCUUACGAGCCAUUCAAAGGAAGUCUAAGGUGAAUAACCAUUGAUGAAAUUCACUACCAUCUGUUUUGCCAUUUUAAAGGAUUAAAACGUGAUUUGCUAAAUCCAUACCGGUUCGGGAAGCAAGCAUCACCAUAGUUGCAACCCCAACGCGAGGAGCCUAUCCUGAGAUUUCCAAUUUGCAUAAGAGCCAGAGCAUAGCUAUCCUAUCUUUGAGAAACUUGUUUUUACACCCUUUCAUUUUAGUCUUUAAUGUUAGCUUAGAUUAGUUUAAAUCUUUCUAAAACAUUUACAUCUUCUUUUAAAGCUAACAUCCAUAAGAAAAUCACCUAUUUUCCUAACUUGAAUAUCACUUGUGUUUGCGAAAACCCUUCCCAGUGAACGAUCCUAGAACCACUAUGCUAUAGUAGCUUGGCUACUUUAGUAAUAGUAUUCAAGGUAUAAAUUUUGUUGAUACGCCUUUAAAGCUAAGCUACCAUGAGUCGCAUCACUUUCAAUUUUAGAUGUUGCAUAAGCAUUCCAACUCCUAUAUAGACACAUUGCGUAAAUAUUCUUAUUUAAUAAAAGUUUAUAUGUCAUUAAAUAAAUAUAGAAUUUUAACAUUAAUUGCAGUGCUAAGUGCAAGAGAUCUCAUGUUUAAGUCAUUGAUUAAGAUUUAUUUGAAAACUUAACAUUUGUUACUUAAAUAACUUAAGUUGACUUUAAAUUAUAUUAUAUUUAAAUUAUUUGCUUAAAAUUUAUUGUUUAAUAUUUAUUUUAAGUAUUAAAGUUAUUUGAUAAAGUUAAUUUAAAAAAUAUUUUAAAUCACAAAUUGUCAUAUUUACCUUCAUUAAUUUGAAUUAGUAUUUACAUUCAUUAAUUUUAUUUAAUAUUUAUUUUUAUUAAUCUUAAAUAAUAAAUUUGUUUAUUAAACAUUUAACAGAUUCAUAAAAUAACUACACAAUAUUCACAAUAAUAAAUGAGUCAUGAAUUUGAAGUCAUGAUUUUAAAAUGUACGCUAACAAGAUAUGAACAAAUGAGACAAAAAAAAAUGAGAUUAAAAAUAAGUUAAUUAUUUUGAUUUAACACUUAAAAUUAAAAGUAACUUUAAAUUAUAAUAUUAAGUUAUUUUAGCAAAUAUAUUUAAUCUAUUUAAUGAAUUAAAUUAAGUUAUUAAGUCAAAUGAUUACCAAACACCCUAUUAAGACCCAGAAAAUGGAAUGAGUUUUAAUAGUAUUCAGGAUGGGCAUGACUAGGUGGUGGUUCAAUGCUGAUUAAUCAUAAUUUAAUCUAAGCAAAAUAUGUAACGAAACUCAAACUGCACUAUCCAAAUGGGCGCCAAGAACGUUACAUUUGACAAAUGCCAGUAAACCUCUACAGCUAGAAAUUAAAAGAUCACUCUCUUGUUGUAUCUCUCUUUUUCUCCAAGCCCCGGAAGGAAAAACUCGAACCCCAUUAUUUUGAUCACAGAAAAAGUGGCAAAAAAGUGUGUUGUAGUUCAUCUUGAAGCUCAUUAACUUCAUCUUAAUUUGAUCCAAAUUGCAGAAACAUGGGAAACUCCAUGAAUCUAUGGUGCUAUGGUGGCCUACAUUCAUAUAACUGGGGACACUUUGGUUUAAACUACAAUGACCCCAAACAGGGUUUGUAGAGACUUCAUCGAGAUCACUAGCUUCAAAAGACUGAGGAAGAAAGAUGUUCUCAAUGAAAACUUGGUGUCAAAUUGCAGAUAAAGACCUAAAAAUCCCACUUAAUGUGUUCUAGGAAUUGUUGUUUGAUAGGGAGUAAGAACAGAGUGCACGAGUUUUGGGGUGGGGUGAUACCUAAAGCACUAGAGUAGCACGUGAUCAAGCCUCACUUAGUGAAAAGCUGUUUGGUUUGUACAUGUCUGCUUAGUGAUACUUAGGAUUGGCGAAGUAUACAUCUCCUUUGUGAUCAGGUUUGUAUAUGGGCAGAUGAAUGUUCAUGUGAGGUUCAUAUAUGUUUCUGAUACAUAUCACCCUGGAAGAAUCUAGAUCAAGGGGAUGAGUUUCUAAGCUUGACUAGGUUUGAGAUGUUUGAGAAUUGGUGAGCAUGAUAUAUAUCAUGAUAUUGCAGAAGACAACAGAGCUUCUGAAAUAUGUCAGGUUCAAUAGUAGGAAAUCUUAUCAGCUGUCACUUACUUUAAUCCUAUGAUCUCAAUAUUCAUUUGUUGAAGAAGAAAGAGGUAUCUUGAAAAAAAUUUGCUUUCACACUAUUCAAUUACAAGAGGAUGUUCAAUUAUAGAAGAAAAUAAUAUUCACUAGACUCUUUCAACUUAAUCAACAUGCAGGGAAAACCAGUCGGGUGACCAAUUAUUCACAUAAUAACUUAGGUGGUGUUUGUUUUUUUGGCUUUUUGCUGAAAACCAUUUAGUUUUAGAAUUUAGGUAGUUUGUUUUUUUACUUUUUCAUAACUUAUCAUAAACUUUUUACUAAAUAGAAAAAGCCAAAAUAUGUGGCUUUUUCUAAAUAGAAAAAAUAACACAAUGGUUUUUUUUACUUUUUAAUACUUAAUAGAAAUAAAAUACUACAAAAACAAACAACCUAAUAUUUAAUACUAUUAAGUAUUAAGGUUCUAUUUAGAAUUAAGUAAAAAAACAAACACCACCUUACUGUCUUUCUACCUCUACUUGUUAAUCAUCAGCCAAGCUUAUAGUAAUAUAAGCUUGGGUUCAUCUCUCUAUGCCACUGAUGACAACUCCACAUGGGCUUCCCCUUCUGGUGAUUUUGCAUUUGGAUUCCGACCGUCUCCAAGUGAAAAGGAUCUAUUCCUUCUUGCUCUCUGGACUGCAAAUGGAAGUUAACCGGCGCCAAGAGGAUCAAAAGUCGAGCUUGCUACCAAUGGACAGCUUGUUCUCCAGAGGCUAAGAGAUAUGGAAGACAAAGACUGGUAAUGUGAGCAGCAAAGCAGUGCAUGGUGCCAUGCUUGGAGAUGGAAAUUGUAUACCUGUAUAUGGGAGAGCUUCAAGCACCCAACUAAUACCAUAUUGCCAACUCAGGGAUUGGUGUUGGAGCCUACUGUGCAGUUGCCAUUUUUGAGAACCUGAGGUUUGCAAAUGGAACUGGUGUAUGAGUUUAUGCACAAUGGUUCUUUAUCAAGCUUCCUUUUUGGAGGCGCCCAAGGACUGGUGUACCUACAUAAAGAAUACAGUAAACAGAUCAUCCAUUGCGACAUAAAGCCCUCAGAACGUAACUCUUGGAUGAUUCUUUUACAGCCAAAGUUGCAAACUUGGACUGGGAAAGCUUCUGAUAAGCAACCAGACUAGAACACUCACAGGCAUCAGAGGGACUAUGGGGUAUAUUCAGACAACUCGGGCAGCCUAUGUCUCUUAUAAUAACACGUUAUGAAGCAUCAGCUCAAUGCCGGGGUUCAAUCUGCAAAGCAAGGGAUUCAUCAAUGUUUCCUUCAAACUAAAUGAUAAGGAACAGAAAUGGAUCAUUCUGCAUUUUCAGUGGUGUUUGUUAUAGCAUUUAUACAAGAACUCUAGGGGUUUCUAUGUAUAACUUCAUUCCCAUUUUGUAUAAUCCAAAUCUCUUCAAUCGAUUAAAUGUAUAAAUGAAUCCUAUUCAUUGUUUGGAGUAACAACAAAAUUCUGGAAGACUGGGAAAGUUUCAACACUGGAGAGAAGACAAAAUGACCAGACCAUAAAUUCUGGAAGAGGGCUUUGCUUUCUAACCAUUACCAUAAUUUUAGAGCUCAACCCGGAUGAGUAAAUUAUAUUUCAGAAUGUUCAGGAGAUAAUUCUAAAGUGAUGAACCUUCUACUCACAGUUUUUUGUUCUUCUUGAACAGAGCAAUGAACAUCAAUAGUUCAGCACCCAGGAAUCUCCCCUUCCUCCAAUUCCCCCACUGGGAAAAGUCACCUUUCCAGUUAAGAAAAUCAUCAGGAUUAAUUUGAGCAAAACAUCAGAGUAUACAUCAAGAAAGCCUUGAUCAAAAUCAAAAUACAUCAAGAGCUGCCAUUUUCUUCUAUUUCCUCUUCCCUGAAUGGAAUGCCUUUUGGACUGAGGUGAUCAAUGGUAACAGUCUAACACACUCCUUAAGCUCUGAUUGAGGUCAACGGGGAUUGGCACAUUUAAUGACUUUGAAAUCAUAGCUGUGUGAAGGGAGGCAAACAUGAAUCUCAGGAUAAUCAACAAGUCAACAACUAUCAAUCAGUAAGGAAAAGGAAAUACCUUUGGAUAUUUACAAAUCAAAAAAUUGAGAGUCCAGCUUCUCUGUACAGAAAGGCUUGAGCUUAUUCCAUGGCCAGUCUGAAUUACGGAUGAGAGGGUUGAGUUUUCUUUCAUUCUGCAAUAAGAUUAAAAACAUCAAUGAAACGCUAAAAGUUUAUAUAUAGAAGCCCUUUAAAGAUGAGAAUUGGUCAGAGAGCUCACCCAUGGUCUAGUAAAACAACAUCUGUUAGAUAAGUAACCACCAUUCUAUUGUCCAGCUAAUGCAUUUAGAUCUAAGAUAAGCUAUGGAAAAAUAGUCAAAAAUAGCUAAAGACAGUCCAAAAACUCAUUUGACUAAUAAUUUUCUAAAAACAGUAACAUAAAACCUGGAUGAAGAAUCCACCCCUCUACCUCACACCACUGCAAUGCCAAAUAAAAUGUUACAAUGACCAUAUAUGGUCUUAAGAGACAAUGGGUGUUGUUUGGGCUCAAGACCUAAGACAAGCCAAAAAACAAGAAGAAAACAACAUCAAAAAUAGAUGGCAAAAUAGAAGGAUAAGGUCACAGACAGGACAAUAUUAAAAGAAAUUAUUAUUUUUCCGACCUGAAAAUCAAGGCAUUCAGAAGAGUACAAGUUUGUAAGUAGUCCAUGGAAACCAGGGAACAUAUGCAGAUGUUGUACUCUAUUGCAUAAGGCAAACACUCAAUACUUACAAGCAUAAUCAUGCCCAGAAAGCCGUGAAUCCCUUUUUGUUUUGCUUUUUUACCUAUUCCCAUCUCUUAUGGCCAGAAGUUCCUUCUGUGGCUGGUUUGUUGUGAUGGCCAUUUCGGGUCCUAACAGACUUGCUAUUGUUGUCUGGGCACCUGCCUCAGAGAAAGCCUGCCAAAGAUCGGAGUCUGGGCCAGGGGAAACGGAUUUUCUUUGCUGGAGUUCCCAGUCUGUUGCUUCAAUCUUUUCUCUGUGCUGUUAUGAGAAGAAAACCUAUCAGACACAUGAAUGGGUACAAAAAGGUAAACUUCAGGUUUUGGUUGUAUUGAAAAGCACAGGAAACUUCACAAGAGGCAAAUUAUACCCCAGACUUAUUGAAGAAAAAUAAAGUACAAUUGACUUACCCAAAUGUCUACUUUCUCAUUUAUAGGUUUCCUCCUAAACAAAUCCCCACAUCUAGGACAGGAAAAGGAAGAAACUGGGAGUCGACAUUUUUUCAACCAAAAGCACUAACUUAUCAAAAAACAUAGUUUUCCAUUCAAUGCCCAUUUCUUCAGGCUUCUUAAAGUGCUUAUGAUUGGUGGAGGUUCUUCCAAAAUCACACAACUUCCAUAAUCCAUUAGGGCCCAAUAGAAGAUUCUCAGCAUUUAUAUAAGAACUUCAGGGUUUAUACAUAUGAUCAUGUUACAGUAUAAAUCAUAGUGAACUGGUGGAAUUUGAUCAUUAGCCAACCUCAUCAAAAACUGUUUCACAGUUGAGGGGAUUGUUAACCUUGCCAUGGGCCAAGCAGCAAUUUCUGAAGAAGCUGGGUGACAAAGAGUACCAUCAUUUGGACUAGUUUCAAUGGAAAUUCCUCUGUUUCUAUACAUGAUAUCUUCAGCUUCAGCUUUUCCUUUUGCUUUGACAUGGCUGAAACUGAUCCUGAAAUCAAAAAUCCCAUGCAAGUAGAUAUUUAACAGAAGAGGAUCCGAAUCUCUUCAAUUGAUUAAUGUAUAAAUGAAAUAAUCAAAAUUUUUAGAGAUAAUUAUAGGGAGAUGAACCUUGUACCUCUGAGUUUCUUAGUCUUCUUGAACAGAGCAAUGAGCAUCAAGUGUUGAGCACCCAGGAAUCUCCCUUCCUCACAGGGAAAAUCUGAACAAUCUAUCUUUCUUCAUAUUCCACUUCCUUGCAAAAGUCAUAACAUGAAGAAAAUGUCAUCAAAAUUGAGACAAAAAUAAGUGCAUCAACUGUCUCAAGAAGAGAUUUAUGCCUAUUGCUUACCUUUUGCAGAAGUCCACUUGGUUAGAGCACAUUUUACAUGGACGCCCAAUCACUGCAAGCUGCUGAACCAAAGGAGAGUUCAAACAUCUAAAAAAUUUGACUAACUCAAGUAUCAUAAAAUACUUCACAUGAAUUCCAAAUGAUCUCAUAUCUAAAAAACAUUGACAUAAAAUUAUUGUUGUUUACCUUACAUGUUUCUUCCAUGGUCAUAAUCGAAACUUUGUUUAUCAUAAGAAAUCUUCUAUGCUCAUCCUGAUUACUUACAAUGAACAUUGAAAUGAAAAGACAAAAAACACAAAAAAUGACGAUUAGUUUGGUUUGAUAAUUUUUUAAAAUUAGAAAUUAUAAAACUAUUUUGGUUCUCAGAUUUAUCGGAAAAUUGAGGGAAAAACAAAAAUCUAAGAGAAAUUUAUUUAACACUUAUGAGGAACCAAAAAUGUUUUAGAUGUUGUCCAAUCGAUAAUUUAAACGUGUUUAAUUUCAAUUAAAUGAGUUUAAUCAAACACAUGAAAUUGUGAAUAAAAUUAUUUAAAAGCAUUGAAAUUCAAGUCAAUAAAGUUGUACAUAAAAUUUGAUAUAUUGAAGCAAGAAAAAAACAAAGCAAUUUGAAUGACUUGCUAAUAAAGCAACUAACUAGAAUAUGCCCUACAGUUGUUCUGUGCCCUGUAUAUAAGAAAUUUAAAAAAAACAUUCCUAGAAAAAAAACAAACAAAAUAUCCAUGGUUCUUACGUUAUUUUUUUCUUAAUUUUUCAAUAGUUAUAAAUGGUUCAUUUAAUUCUUGCAAACCACCAAAUCAAAACAGAGCAUGAAAAUGUGUUCAAUAUUUGUUUCAGGCUUGAAGCUUCAAGAAAAAGAAAACCUUAAAUCAAAUAAACAGGACUAGCGAAUGAAUUGGAACUUGAAAGAAAAGUUCAAGCGCAAAAGAAUUACUUGACUCUAUAUUGGCGGAGUGGCACUUUGAUUAAUAUAGCACAUUAUUGAUCAAUAUUCUUGGAAUGUGAGCUAUAUAACGCCAUUCUUCCCCUUUCUCAAAUCCACCGUUUUUCCCCUUUCUCAAAUCGAUGAAAAGGUAGCAUAUAUUUUUCAUUUCCUAAUUAUAUCAACUACUUCAUGGUGCCUUUGUCUGAUAAGCUUAAUAGUUCUUCUACAUUUCCACCAUCUAAUUCUCUAACGUUCAUCAUGAUAGGGUUGUAAAUUUCAUCAUCAAAUCAAAACAUAUCCUCCUAUAAGAGGCCUUUGAAUUAUGAAAUAAUCAAUUCACUUGAUUCUCAUAUUGGCAAAGACAAGCUUACACUAUUGGAAAGACUACCCCUCACCUUUGCCUUCCCAAAUAGCAAAGAUGAGAGAGAACCUUUCACAAAAUCACAAGAAUUAUUCAAGUUUGGAAUUCAUAGGCAUUGUUAUUGAAUUUCAGUUGUAUAAAAUUGGUGUGUUGUGUUUAUUUUGUUGGUAUUAAAAUUGAAUUUUUUUAAUUGCAAAUUGAUGAUUUUUUCUCUCUCUCACAUUUAUACCCAUUAGAGUUUCUUAUUAGGGUUUGUGUUUGAAAUUUGGAGAAAGUAUGGUGCAAUUGUUCACCGGUGUGGUGUACCAUCUUGUUUGUUGUAUUUGAUCUUUGGGUAUUUGAUUUAAUUUUGUUGUUGUGAAAUUGAAAGUUGAAAUCCAAGUUAAUUGUUUAACUAGCUAUUUGUAGUUGACUUGUUUGCACCGAUCUUGAUUAUCCAUUUCAUGGGAAUAAUUGAUUCCAAUUUUCCUUCAUGGUUACUGAAAAUAUAUUGUGGGUGAAGGACUAUUAUGGAGUAUAUUUAAUUUACAAGAUUGAAUAUUGAACAAAGAUAUGCCCUAGGUCUAGCUUAUAUGGAAUAGCAUAUCUUACAUUUAUUUAAUUAAAUAUACUAUACAAAUUUUGGUUAUAUAUAAUAUCUAUGUUACAAAUUUGGAUAAUUCGAAGUCUAAGUGACUUCAUAUAAUUAUUGUUACAUCUUAAAAAUGAUUUCACAAAUUAGAAUUACAAUGACUCCUACACACCUUAGAUUCUAACUCAAAUUCUCACUUGAUUUUAUUUUAUUUUUAUUUUUAUUUUUUUGUUUUCAAUCAAUUAAUAAUAUGUUAUGGGCUAGUUUAGCUUAUAGUUGAGAAGAAUUUUAUCUAAGAGCACCUCAAUUUGAAGCAAAUUGAAGAAAAAAAAUGACUUAUUAUACCUUAUGAAAGAUAAUAUUAUUAAUUUCCAUGUUUUUUUUUCAAAUAACCUUUUCAUGACAUGAACUUAUAUGGAACAUUGUUGUAUUAAUUGAUUAGGAAAUCACUAAGCCUAAGGAAGUGAGAAAAUUUAAAAGGGAAGGAAUGUCACCAUUGCAUUUUAGCACAAAGAAAGAUGAUCUCUAGCUAUGACGAAAAUUCAAGAAAUGAACAACUUCCAUUAAAGAUGAAGGCACAAUUGGGUGACAUUUAAAAAAAAAUAACAAAGGAAGUUAUUGUUUUAGCUAGGGAUAUGUUUUUUUUUUUUUCAGACUUCUUGUGUUACUCAUAUAUACAAUAUGCAAUGUGAUUUCUCUUUUAUAUUAUAAAUUUAUUACUCUUAGCACUUCAUUUAUGGGAUAGAUAAAUAAAAAUUACUUUAAUUUUAUUUAAUUAUUGGAUAGUUGUUGGAUGGAUAAAUGAUUGUUAUUUUCUUUAUAUUUGAGUUAUUUCAAUAUCAAAUGCCAAUUAAAAUAAAAGAGCAAUAGGUGAAGCUAAUUUUAGAUUGUCACAAUCCUUGGCACUUCCACUAAGUGUCAAGGUUUAGAGCAAUCAACAAUGGAAAAGGUGAACAAUGAUACUUCCAAAAGACGUCAAGGUUAUUUCAUCUUGAACAAUAACAGUUUUUGUAAGUGUCAUUAUUUACAAAAUCAACAAUAACAUUGGCAAAUUGGUACACCUCAAUGCUUCUAAAAAACAUCAUUAUUUGUUCCAUAUUUACAAUGACGCUAUUAAAAGUGUCAACAUCGCUAAACACUCUUUACAAUGACACUCGAUUUCAUGGCGCUUUUAAGAAGUGUAAUGUUUGUAGAAACUUAUUAUUGAUCACCGACUUUUUGCAACCAUACAACACUACAUAACCUUAAUACCUAUUGUUCAUUAUGAUGUUGUAAGAACAUAUGCCUCUAUGUGACCUAUUAAAUAAACUGGUCUUAUCAACUGAAAAAUGUUCCUCUAGUUAGUAAAAACUUCAUUCAUGUGGUCAUUUAUGAGCAUCAUAAUAAUCCAUAUUAAAAAUAUUUAAAAACAUUAAUGCACUAAAACAUUGAUUUCAUCAACAAAAUUACACUCAUUCUUUUGACUUAUAGCAUUCAAAGAUGUUUAAAAAUAUAUAUGUACAAUAAAACAUCAUCAAAUUUAUUAACAAUUAAACUUUUAACCCCAAAACAAUCCGCUACUUUAGUAGAUAAGACACUAUUUGGAAUAACAUUAUUUUUAGCUCAAGUUAGAAGUUAAAAUGAUAAGGUUAAAAGAAUAAAACCAACAAAAAAAGAAGAAGUUAUUUUUUGUCAAACUUGACACUAGUUCAAGUUAGAUAAUGUAGCUCAACGCCCUAUUGAAUUGAGUCAUAUAACUAGACUCCCUAAUUAUAUAUUAUGAUACACACACAACCUUUGGUCUAGUAUACAUGAUUAAAUUAAAUGCCCAACCUAGUUUGCAAAGCUAAACUAGAAUCCCAAAUCUAGUUCAUUAUAAAUGCUCUUCAACCAACUUGCUAUAGCAUUCAAAUAAGACAAUGACAAUGAUAAAAAACCAAAAAAAAUACCUAAUAUAUCAUUGAAAACUCCUUCCUAAAGGAGGUAAAAAAAAAAUCAUGAAGUAACUUUCUUCUAUUAAUAAAAAAAUGGGAAUACAGUGAUCUAUAUAGUGUUUUAACUCGAAACUUAUGGUAUUACAAAUAUUAAAGAAGCGAUUUAAAACACACACACACACAACAAGCAUGUUGUCAAGCUUAUAAAAGUUGGAGAAAUCUCUACAUAUAAGUCUUCAAAACAUGAUGGAGAGUAACCUUGACAUUUAAGUCAACAAUAUACAAGGAAAGGCAACCCAAAAAGAUACAACUUUGAGAACAAACCCUUCUUUUUGCUUUUUUACAUAACCCCUUUUUUUUUUUUCUUUUUGAAAACUUCUCUCAUUUCCUCUAAUUGUUACACUACACAACAAUCCUAAAAAAACAGAGUUUAAAGGUCUGUUUGAUAAUUGUUUUUAAAAAUAAUUUUGAAAAAUAGUUUUUGAAAAUUAUUCUUUAAUGUUUAAUUUGUAGAACAAAAGUUUGUUUGGAAACCCUAAAUAUUUUUAACAUGUUUUUAAUGUUGUUAAAUAUGUUUUAAAUUUUUUUUUUUUAAUGUCUAGUAUUUUAUUUUUAAUCAUUCUACAUGUUUAUAUAAUUAUUUUUUAAGACAACCCUUAAAAAAUAAGUAAAAAUAACAUAAAACAGUUAAAAGAUGUUAUCUAAAAACACCUUAUUUUAUUAUAGCAGAAAAUAAAAAAUGGUUUUUGGUUGUCAAACAUGUUUUCUUAGUUUUUUUAUUCUGAAGAAUAAAAAAUUGUUCUUGAAAACAGUUGUCAAACAAGAAUCUUUUCAUGUUAGUCUAAGUAUCACAUUAGUUAUUGCUUAAAAACUAGUCUUUCAACUAAAAAAGAAGGUCCACUACUUAUGGGUCAAACCUUCAACUUUCAAACCUCAACACAGUUAUAGUCAAGACUAAUAUUCACAUAUUAGUAUUAAUAUAGUUCAUUAAAUAUGAAAUUUCUAUAGAAGCCAAAAUCAAGUUUUUAGGGGAAGUAACAUUCACUUUCAUAAUAAGCACUUUUUAACUCAUAAGUUAGUACUUGCAACAAGAUUUCUUAAUAGAGACUUUAAUUGAGUUUUAAGAAGAAUUUUUUGUUUGUCAAAAACCAAUUCAAACAAAAUCUAAAACUAAUAUUAUUAUCUAAAAGACAUAAUGAACAACAUAAACCAUAAACUAAAGUGGUAGUGACAACCAAUACGUAGCGUUAAUGAAUAAUUGAAAAUAGCCUCAUUUUCUAAUGACCUCAAACCUAGAAGCUCUAAAAUCCUUGCCUAAUUCUUUGUGAUGACUUUAGUUCAACCUUAUUGGCGAGGGCAAAAUUCUAAAUAAUUUUUGUCACAACUCAUAAAUUUAGAAGAAAAAAUGAAAAUAAAUGGAAUCCCUAAUGAGAAAUUGUUAUUUUUCCCCUUUAUGACAAAAAUAGUAACCAACUAGUAUUAUUAAAUAACAUGGAAAUUGUUUUUUCAACUUUAAUACCAUGUAUGACAUAACUUUAAUAACCUUAAUUUAUAAGAUUAUUUAAUUUAAAAGGAUAAAACAAUUACAUAUUCAUAAGAAUCACUUCUAUUUUUUAAAAACAAUAAAUUCCAUUUUUUGGACAAAAAUACGCUCCAUUGUUUUUAUCAACAUUUCAUAAUCAAACAAUUAUUGGAAAAAAAAAAAAAAAGGUAUAAGGGUAGCUAUAUUAAAAUGAGGUUAUAAUUAUAAUACUCAAUAAGUGGAGAUUGUUUUUCCUAAUAUUGGGAUCAUCUUGUCCAUUUGACAUAAAAAAAUUUAAUUUAUAUUAUAAUUACUCUUAUAGUAAGAGAGAGAGUAAUUUCACAUGAAAUGGACCCAUAAACAUAGGUUUAUUAUGAGGCAUGAUACUAUAAUAAUAAUAGGAAAUAAGACGAGUGCUACCAUAAUAAUAGAAAAUAAGAUAAGUAAUUCAAUACUUAAUAAAGGUCUAAAACAAUUAUGCUCUCAUUAAAUGAUAUUAAUGAUGGAAAAAAACUAAGGGGUGUUUAACAAAAUUUAAUAUUUAUUACUUCAUGAUUUAAGUUGACUAUAAGUUAAAUUAUAAUUAAGUUGUUAAUUUAAAACUUAUUAAUUUUUAUUUUAAAUAUUAAGACUACUUAAUAAAAUUAAUUUAUAAUUUAUUAAGACUGUUUGAUAAAAUUAAAUUAAAAUUUAUUCUAAAUUAUCAAAUUGAUAUAUUUAUUUUCAUAAAUUAGAACUAAGGCAAAGGAGAUCAAGUAACAAUGAAUGUCGUGGAGUAGUAAAAAAGAUCCUAGAGGUAACGGGAUAAAUUAUGGUAAAAAAUGUCAAAUAAAAAUAUGAAUUUAAGAAUAAAUUAAUUGUUUGUACUUAUUACUUAAAGUUGUUUUUUAUUUUAUAUCAUUAAGUUAUUUUAUUAAACAUGUUUAAUUUAUUUAAUGACUUAAAUUAAGUUAUUAAGUCACUUUAGGCUAUAUAAUCGGUUUACCAAUCAUAUGGAGUACAUUUGGCUAGUAGGCCUGGAGUCAAGAAUAUUGCUAUCAUAUGUUUUAUGUAUUAAGGUGCCAAGAAUAAUUGACCACAAAAUAUAUGAUUGAUAAGUAUAGGAUACAAUCUAAAAAAUGCACUUGAUUUCAUCAUCUAAAUAAAUGCUCUCGGCAAAUGGAUCAUCCUAGCUGAAACCAGAGCACAAGCCGCCAUGGACAGGAGGCAACGGAGAAACCCUUCUGCUUCUUCUUCUGCCUUUUCAUCUCCAGCUUCAUCCUCAUCGCGUUUCCGCUCAGAGAAAUUCUCCUCGAAUCCCCCAAAAACUAGUAACUCCCUGGAGGAUGCUCACCAAUUGAAAAGCAAAUGUGGGAAGCCACAAAGACCAGAGCAAGAGGAGGAAGAAAAGCAAGAUCCGAGCAAUCUUCUCUCCUUAGUUGGAACUUGCCCCUUCAUGUGCCCUGGUAAAAAUGCGUGCUUAUUUUUCCAUUUUUUUAAAUUCUAUUUUCCUGUUAUUCUGUGUUUGGUUUCCGAGAAAUUGGAGGAAAACAGUAGAAAAGAGAAGUGAAUCUGGAGUUUGUGUCAUUUUUGUGGCUUUUACAUAAAUUUUACAAAUAAAAUUGAUAUUUCCCCCCCUUUAUUAGAUACCAAUCUGCAGAAGAUGUAGGAAUCCCAAAAAAAAAUUCGCUUUUGCCUUUACUUCCCCCAAAUCUUUCAUAAUGGAAAAUGGACUUACCACCUCUUUUAUCACUUUUCCUUUACCAUGUCAGGUUUACAUGUAAUCAAACACUGUAUUUGGAGUAGAGCACUUAUCCUAAUGUCAAAUGGUGUUGAAAACUUGAAUUACUGGAUCUUAAGACUCCAGAAGAAAUUUAAUUGUUUAUGAUUAUUGCUCCAUGAGAAGGGAAAGGGAUUUCUUUUGUUUUUGCUUACAUAUAUGGCCAAAUUGAUCUAUCUCCUUCUCAUACGAACAAAAUAAGGACAUUUCUUGUCUUGCUGCCUUUUAUGCCACCGGUUCCACAUGCUGAUGUGACAACCCUUGUGCUAUUCUGUACAAAUGGUAGGAAAAUUCUGGUAAGACUGGUGGCCAGCCUAUCAUGUUCAGAGAAUAAAUUCAUUGUAUAUCUGGAAUUCACUCUAUAUCAGCAUAGGGUGUUGAUAUUGAUUAUAAAUGACUAAAUUCAAUUUAUUAUCCUUACAUUAGGGAGUGCUAAAAGGAUGCAAAUUGUUCGUGUUAUACCCAAAGACAUACAAGUGAUGCUAGAGAUUUUCACAAUGUAGAUAAUCAUAGAGUAGAGAUGAACACUAUGGAGUCCUUUGGCAUGUGUUCAUUCCAUGUAUGGGAACAUGCAUUGGAAGAUUAUGUUUCCUCCUCCCUCCCCUCCCCUCCCCAAAGUUAAUACUAUGUUGUCAUGGCAAGAACUUUGGUGACAUGCUUCUGAGUGGAAUAGCCUCCUAGAAGUCCAUUUAUGUGGCAAUUGGCAAAUUCUUCCAGUCAAUGAGAACUUUGUGACUGUCUGAUUGUUGUACUAAUCAUCAUCAGAUUUUUUUUAAGUUCAAGUUGCAAAUAGCCUUUCACAGUUGAAGGUAGCAAUGAAGAGGCCUGUUGACAUAAUUAUUUCUUCUGCUUGAAUGGAUUAAAAUCAGAUACCACACCUUCAGCCUAGAAAACUAUGGACUUUCCUAUGUACCUGCAAUUGGCUGAAUACUGGUGUGACACUGAGCAAAGGCUCUCUGAUGCUGUUAUUAAUUUCCCGAGCAAAUAAGAGAAAACAGAGAGGUCAUAAUGUGAAUCAGUUACCUGUUGAGUAGGGAUGAAGGCUUUUUAUAUUUUUUUACUUUCUGGUUAGGCCUUGGAAGCACUUCUGUGAACCAUGAUUUUGUACUGUAAAAUUAGAUGGGAUGGAUAGGUCACCUUAACUCUACUUUUGGAAGUGAUUCGGGAGUGCAUGACCGUAUGAAUAUUGAUGUAUUCUCCCCAUACAGAGCCCAACUUCUUUUUGAACUAGGAAGCAUGAAGGGUGGGUGGAUGUGGGCUGAGGAAGGAAGAUUUGAAUUGUGUGCUGCAGGCCUGCAGUACCAAUUUGUUCCAGAACUUGAUAAGGCCCAUAAACUGGUAGGCAAGUUUCAUUAUUUGGUCACCACUGAAUUUCGGCAGUAUGGCCACAAGGAAGGUAGGAAGGAGAGGGAGAAGAGAAAACCCCAAUUGCCAAUUGCAAUCUUCCAGUUGGCACAGUGCUCAUUUGCUGACAUUUCCAUUUGAUUUUGACCUUGCAACAGAUACAGCUUAACGUGAUGGACCAGUUUUUCGCAAUCUUGUGAUUCAUUACCCAACUUCUAGUAACAGUUUCUCAGCAGAUGACUCACCCAUGACAGGCUGAUGAUGUCUGCACACAACUUGAAAGGUAUAUAUGCCAAGGUGUGAAAGGUAAUAUUGUGACACCGUUUUUCCUAUUCCAGAAAAUGUACCAAAUGUAUGGCUGGUUCUUGACCAAAAAAUGCUGGCAUUGGUCACCAAGUGCUAGAGUGAUUCUUGACAAAAAAUGUUUGUAUUGUUCAGAACAAUGAUUUACAACUUCAGAUUGGCCAUCCAGUUAACGAUGAUAAGCACUUGUUUUACAAAGUUCAGUGUCAUAAAAGCAAAAUAAUUUUGUCAACAAAUAUGGGGAUAACUUUAUCAUAAUUACUACUUAUGGAAGUUAAGGAUAAGUUGGGUAAUGUGAGAAAGCUUUGGUCAGAGGAUAUGAGGAUAACUUUGUUGCAAUUGCUAAGCUGCACGUCCUAGGACUACUAGGAGAAAAGUAUGAGCAACAGAAUGAAUUUACAGUCCAUCCCCACUAGCUGCAUGGAGAGGUUGGCCUUAUUGCUGCUAUGGUGGAGGUCACCUUCUUGUAGACUUUGAAAUGUGCAAAUGAAGAGGCAGAUUUCUUAGAAGAAUGGGUAGGAUUCAGCUUGUGGUAGAUAUUGAGCUUAUCGCCUCUAAUUUCAUGUCUUCUCAAUGUGGAUUUGAGGUUUAACGAGAUUUUUGGGAAAUCAUUAAGAUUAAAAGUAAUCGAAGACUUCCACAUUAAUGAGGUAAUGAAUAACCACUGAUACUUCUUCACCCCAAAGUUCCUUCACAAAAAUUUGGUGAGUGAAGAACUAUUACUGAGUUGUGAAGCACCAAUUCCAGCUUCAUUAUCUUGAUCUUCAGAAAGAGGGGUCCAACUUGAUUUGGGAUUUUAUACCUGUCAACCCAGUCACUAGUUUUUAGGAGAAUACUUCCAAUUUACCCUUGGGUUGCUUUAGGAAGUUUCUUAAUAGUGCCAUCUCUCUAGCUUAAGGGGCUUUUGUUAAUGGAAGGCAAAUUCUAGAUGUGGUUAUCAUUAGUAAUGAAAUCCUAGAUAAAAAAUUCUGUUCUAAGGACAAAGGGAUGGUUUUUAAAAUAGGUUUUGGGGAAGUUUAUGAUCACAUAGAUUGGGGUUUCAUGUAUGAUACAUACUUUGAAUAGGGAAGGCCCUUGAACCUGGAUGGCACAAAGGGACUGGAUAUUUUGAGGCUGUUUUUCAAACUGCAGACUCUUUAAUGGUUAUUGAAGCUGAGUGAUUAGCACUCGAGGAAGAUUCGGACAUGGUUGUUUGCCUGGAUGUAAUGAACCUCCUUAUUGAAGGGGAUUCCUUUGUUAUUGUCUUAGAACCCUCUUUGAAGGCAAAGGUCCUUAGUGGAUUGCUCAUCAGAUGGGGUGGCUUCAUAAUCAUGCUAGAGACAUUGCUUGUUCUUCUCUAUUGAGGCCCAGAUCAGCUAGCCAGGUGCAUGGCUAUAUUUUUCUUAUAGGGAUGCUAAUAUCUGAAAAUUUUUAUUGAGAACACUUACUGCUCUUUGAUUGGCUUGAGGCAUGGAGCGGCUUUUCUGUUCUCUUCUUGCCAUACAUGCAUAUCAUCCCUCUUUUUUUUAUCUUGUUUAACUCAAUAAAUUCUCAUUUGUUAUAAGGAAAAAAAGAGAUAUUAUGUUACAUGAUGGAAGGACUUUAUUCUGUUAUGGAGUAUGCAAAACCUAGAUCUAUUAGCUAGAGCUAUACAGUAGGCUGUUGGGUUGUUCAGUAUUGUCUCUUUUUUCGAUAGGUUUGGCCAAUGCCCCUUGAUGUUACUUUUUGGUAAUGUAAUUUUCUUUGAUUUUUCUUGAAACUUCCUCAUUUUUCAAGCUUGCUUGUAUAUCUUUUCUUCUUCCAUUAAUGAUUGUUUGAUUCCUUACUAAAAUAAAUAACAAAUUAUGAUGCAAAGGAUUACGUUUAUGGAAAAUUUUGAGAUUUUCACCAGAUUAGAGUCUCCGAAGCUGGUACUUGUCUUGACACAGAUAAUAGGAAUCAUUUUCCCCCCAAACUACAUAAGACAUGUCUGCUACUUGGUAAUGUUCCAUUGGCAGUUAUAAACUCUCCUGUAAAAUGUGAAUCUGUUGUAGCAUUCCGAAUGGUGUUGUGUCGUACAUAGAUUGGUAAUUGAGGACUUUAUUAUGGAUUUUGUCCUGUUUUGGUUGUGCCAACAAGUUCUAUCCUGUUCUUUGUCUUGCUGAUUUGGGUGGUUGUGCAUCAUGUUCCUACCAGCUGUAUAAUUAUGCUUCAGGAGCAUAGUUAUUCUGGUUUUACCAUCCAGAUGAUGGUACUAAAGUAUUUGUAUUCUAGAUUGCACAACUCCUUAUAUGGGAUAUUUUUGCACCAAAUGCUUAGUGAUCAAGAGAACUCUCAUAUUAAACACAUUCAUCUUCUAUUAAACUAAAUUCCUUAAGUAUGCAGUCUCACAACUACAUCAUACCAUUCUUUUCCUUUUUUCUUCCUUUCUUGCUAUUACAGGUUGGUUGCCACUAAUAUAGUAGAAAGCAAAUUACACGACCCUGCUUCCAUAAGACCUUUCUUAUUCCAUAGGUUGAAAUAGAAAAAACACUCGAUGGGACUAAUGUUUCUCUUUGCAACCAAGCAAAUUAAAAUGUUUUGAAACCCAUGCUGCCAUGAUCUAGCUAAUUUGCAUUUUAUAUGUCUACUCCUUUCUAUUUACUCAAAUUGUGUAUUUCUUAUGCUUGUAUUUAUUUCCUGAUGAGUUUAUUCUGAUUCUUUGAUCAGGAUUUCUGCAAUCACAUUGCUUGCUAUUGAAUUUUCAAUGGCUUAAUAUGAAUUAUUAACAAAGAAGUUGUUUAAUUAUUUCAGCAGCUUAUACCUUGUAAUUUCUUUUAACAACUCUUAUCUUUGAUGUUCAUUUGUAAUAAAUAGCUGGAGAAAGGGCCCAACGUGAACGCCUUCGGGACUUAGCUGUGUUUGAGAGGUUACAUGGAAAUCCUGGGAAAACAUCUCCAAGCCUUGCUGUCAAAAAGGUAAACCCUACAUCUCAUGCCUCUAUACCGCAUCUUAGCUUCUCAUCUUGCAUCGGACAAUGAUACUCUUAUUGAAUCAUCUUUACCAUAUCAGCCAUCAACAUGUGCACUUAUUGAGCACUAAUUCAGGCACUGAUACUUGUGCUUUUGUUUUGUUUUAUCUUGUCUUGUCUUGUUUUGUUUUGGAUGUGAUUGUGUUGGAUGACCUGUAUCUGUGUUAGACACCAAAGCCUAUCUUAAUGCUACUGUAAAGUAAGACUAUGCUAAUAAGCUAUUGAUCUGUUACAGGGUUUAUGCCAAACUGAUUUUUUAGUUUCUCUAGUAGAAAACUUGUUUUUUCCCCUGUUAUAUCGGUGCUAUUGUUGGAUUUGUGUUUGUUGUUGAUCAAGCAUUUGCUGAAAGUUUUUUUUUUCCUUUGCUUCUUGAUGUGCAAAGCAUUAUUGUUUGAAUUUUAAUGAUCCCAUUUGAUUCACUAUUCAAUAUUUUUAUUUGAUAUUACAUCUAUCUCAUUUGUUUUCUUUUCUUAGUUUUUAUUUUUUUAUUUUUUAUUUUUAAUUUAUUUUUUAUUUUUUGAAUUUGAUGGAGCCACCAUUAAUUUAUUUUUCCUUAUUAUUGUGGGGUGUGCUUUAUUUUGUUCAAUUGUUGUUGCACUAUUAUUAUCAUGUAACUUUUUUUUUCCUUUUUUUUUUUUUUUGUUUAAUCUAUUGUUCCUAUGAGCAUUAAAUGCUCCUAAAAUGUAUGGAAUAGGCUAAACCUUUCUAUAGUUUUUUUAAAAAAACUCAUUUAUUAUCUAUUUUCUUGUGCUCAAAAAAUUAUAUUUUUUUAGUAAAAUUGAAAAUUUAGGGAGCGCUUAGGCCUCAACGGCUCAACCCCUUGAGGGUUUAUGCCUAUCGUAGCAAGAUGUAAACCCCCUUGCCUCUUAUGCUUUUACCUUAUGAAACUAUACCAAGAAAAAAACACCACAACUCCCUGCUGCCAUCAAAGGAUACUUCAAAGUUUGCUUCAAAUCAAUCUUAAGGCUAAUUAUCAUACGCUUGUCAUCAUGUCACUAAAAUUGGUAUUGUAACCAAAGUCCUAUUGCGAAAUCUUCAAGUUGCAGCUCCUUUUUUUCUGUUGGUAUUUGUAUUGUUAGGUGGCCGCAACCUGUUGCUUUACUUAUGCUUUAUGAACUACUCCAGUUAAAAUAAUGCUUCAAGUAGAUGCUUUCUGGAUCUUGACUCUAGCAAGAGGCUUAUAUUGCAAAUUUUUUUGUGGAGUCCUAGCUAGGAAGACAAUAGCUUGCUUAAAAGGAUUGCCACCUCUCUUGUUGGGUUUGUAAAAAUUUUGCUUCUCUCUUGACCUUGGGAGUCCUGUGGUUUCAAUUUUGGGUGUGCUCUAGGUUGUAGCCUGUGUUAUGCUUUCUAAAUGGUAAUCUUCUUAUUUUGGCUGGGAUGCUUUUGUUUAUUUUGCUUGUUUGCUUUCUUUGUUUCUUUAUUGUGGCUGUAGGAUCACCAAUCAACUUUUUAUUCUUUGCAAAAACUGUUUAUGUUUCAUAACAAAAAAGGAAAAAACAAAGGCAAGUUAGCCUAGAAUAGGUUUUAUCUUGUUUCUUCUUUUACCAUUAGUGUGGAUUCAAACUCAGGAAGAGGCCUUCAAACAAGUGGCAUUUGUGUUUUUUAAACAUAUAUCUUUGUUCAAUCAUUGUUAAGUGUUUGCUGUCUUGUCUGUUCUUUUGGUUGUUUUUGGCUUUGUCAAAGUGUAUAAUUGUAAUAUCCUACAUCGUAUAGAGGAAAAAGUUCCUAGCGCUAUAUAUGUAUGAAUUUCUUUUAAUCUUGUUGAUUCGUUUUCAAGCCGCGAGGGUCGCUUAGGCUCAAAGCAAAUAAUAUCCACACAACUGGGAGCAGGUUGUUACAAAUGGUAUCAAAGUCAAUCCUCGACCUUGGUGGGAGAGUUUGUUUGGCCUAAAAUGGGUGUCCGUUUAUUUGACCCUACAAUCCUGUUGGACACAACAAGAACGUUGUGUCUGCAUGAGAGAGAGAGUGAUUGUAAUAUCCUACGUUAGAUAGGAGGAAAAGUUCCUAACGUUAUAGUGUGUGUGUCUUGUAAAGCUUAUGUUGGGUGUCAUGAUUUUAUCUCGUCCUUUUUAUUAUUCUGAUUCAACAUCAUCUUAGCUUAUAAUCAUUUAUACACUUGAUGCAUGAGAAAUGAAGAUGCUAUAAAUUGUAGGAUUCUUUUUCUCCAAUUUGUUCCUUGAUAUUUUAUAAUGCCAUGAAAUAUCUAUAUUUUGAUGCAGAAAGCCGUUCACCCUCCAUCUCUCUCACUAGUUUUGCAGAACCAUUGCCACUAAGCACAUGCAGGCGUCAGAUGUGCGGCCACUUCCAGUGUUGGAAGAGACUUUGAACUACCUAUUAAACCUGUUGGAUGCCACGGAACAUCCUUUUGAAGUGGUUCAUGAUUUCGUCUUUGAUAGGACAAGAUCAAUAAGACAAGAUCUUAGCAUGCAGAAUAUCGUUAAUGAUCAAACAAUUCAUAUGUAUGAAGAAAUGGUAUGAAUUUCUUGAAACAUAAUCUCAAUUACCUUUUUUUUUCUGAGCAUUCAUCUCCUCAACAUACAAUAAGUUAGCCAACCCAUUGCUAAACACUCUCCUAGUUGGAGAAAAUAAUCAAAGUAUACAAGAUAUAAAAUGUUGAAAAUUGAGUCAUUAUCCUCUCCUUUUGCUUUAUUGAAUAAGAUAAUUUAUUCAGUUGAGUCCAAACGAGGUGAAACUGUGAUCACACAACUUGAAGCCUACUUUACAAUGGAUAAAUGAAUGGUCUGAUUUUGAAUCUUUCUUGGCACAUUAGUUAUUAUCCAAUCCAUUCUAAUUAAAUUAUCCACUAUUAAGUGUCUAUUUCUAGUCACCCUCCAAGUUAUGAAAGACCCAUAGAACCAAAGCAACUCACACCACAUGUGAUGGGAAUUGGUGCUCUCUUCCAUAAUGUCAAGUUUUCCAGUACACUUGCUGACUUUGUAAAAUAUGCCUACAAAAAGGGCUGCCACCUCCUAAUUCCCAAUCAUAGAAGUUUCUUAACCAUAUUUCAAAAGCUGUAUUUCCUGUUCCCUCUCUUUAAGUUUUUUAAACCUAUAUCUCUUUAUCCUAGUAAUUCGGAAAAAUGAGGAAAUUAUUUAACAAGAACUCCAUCAAUUUGUUCCUUAAAAUUUUAUAUGGUUUCUCUCUCACUUUUUAUUCAAAUUCUUGAAGCAAAGGAACAAAUUCAUGGCUAGUAACAAUUUUAGCCAAGCAAUAGAAUGCACAACAAACAUGCAUAUGAAUGACUUUUGUUUUUUGAUGAUAAUAGAUCAGAUAUUUUAAUCUCAUCCUAAAACCUUGGAGUUAGCUAAAAGCCGCAUCUUAUGUUCUGACUUGUGGUUUGUUUCAUAAUAUAGGUGAAAUUUCAUAUUAUAUCCCACCACAAGCUUCGCAGUUGUAGCAGCAAGCCAAAUUUUUCUUCAGUUCAUUACCUCAAUAUGGAGCAGCUGAAAAAGUGUUUGAUAUCUCUAUAUGCUCUAUACAAAGAAAAUCGAAAUUCAAAUUCUAUUUACAAGAAUGAACCUGAGUUUUGCUCAUUUCACGUUCUUCUUCAUCUUGGCUUUAACAACCAACCAUUGGUGGACACUUGCUUCCAUUGUUUGUUUGAGUUCAUCUUUGUCAGUAUCUCUUGCAGCCUUGUACUGGUUUCUGAAUAUGUUACUAUUUCUGUUCUGAAGGGAGAGUCACUCUCUUUGUGGUUGGGUCGUGUACCUUCUCUCAUUUUGAAGUCAAAGGAAAUGUGUUUUGCCCGGAGACUUUUAAGGUGACCACAAAGCUAUUAUAGAUUCGACUUGCAUAUAAAUUGUUUAUAUUCAUUUUACAUUUAACUCAAUGUAGAGUGGUUCUGUUUUUCAAUCGAUUUUUUUCUCUUCUUUUAGUACCCAAUGUUAAAAUUUUUGUUUUCAUGAACUGAAAGAUCUGUCUUUUCUUGUAACAGAUUAUUUCGGAUGGGCAAUUAUAAGCAUUUCCUUUGUACUACAGCAACUGAGGCAUCUUAUUUGCAGUACUACAUUAUUGAACCUUACAUCAAUGAGGUUGCUUAAAUAUGUUGAUUUUGCUAGAUUUUUCAGUUUGAAAAAUAUAUGCUUCUUUGUUCAUUUAUUGUAUUCCAGUUUCAUUUAUGAGAAUAUAUCUAAAAUCUAGACUCGAGUACUUGUGCUUUUGGGUUUUAUUUUUCUUUCAUUUUUGUUAGUAGUUGCACUUCAUUAUUCUUAAAUUUCUCACCAACUGUUUCUUUAUGUGGUUUAUUGCUCCUCACUUUCUUCAUUCAUCUGAAGUUUUCAAAUUCAAUUAGCUUGUUUCAUAAACUAGGUCUUAUUUAGAAGUUCUUCUCAACUGCCUUUUUUUAGUGCUUCUAAAAGACAUGCCUGAUUUAUGUACAUUUUGUUGGUUUUCUUUUGACCGUAAAAGGUUCGAGCAUUGGCAUUGUCAUGUGUAAAUUAUUGUGGCUACAAACUUCAUCCAUAUCCAAUUGCACACUUGUCCAAACUCUUGAUGAUGAAGGUAUGAUUGCAUUUACUAGCAUUAAAUUGCUAAAAUUUGUCAUCCAAAGUUCCAAUUUCUUUUGAACCUUGAAGACUCCAUUUGCAUUCUUGUAGGAAUUAGAUGUGGAAUCAUUUUGCAAUGCUUGUGGUCUUGAGACCAGCACUGGUGAACGGGGAAAUAAGUUCUUAUCAACCAAGCAAACAAACUUCCAUUAUCCCAAGGAAGUCUUUCCAAGCUACUGCCUUCGGGUUUGGAACACUUUUAGAGGUAACAAUCAAUUGGAACUAGUUACUCUUUCAAACUUCUUAUUGUACAAAUAUAGCCUGCAUGUGCAACCAUUUCUGAUCCCAUAAUUUCAAGAAUUUAUGACACCUUCUAGUGGUUAGUUUUUUUGGGAAUAGAGUAAAGCAAUCUAUUCACUCCCAGAAACUAUCGUCAGAGGAACAGUAGAUAACCCCGCAAGACCAAAUUUAUGUGUGUUGCAUGGAGAUGCAUGUUUUCUGCAUCCCAAUCAUGCAGUGUUGUGUCAAAUGGAAUAAUAGCAGGUGAUGAUAAGUGGUAUUUCUAAAAUCAUCUAAGAGUAUUCCAUCUAUUGUAAUAUUGUUUUCUCAUAACUGUCUUUGAGUCUUAUAUGUAAAUAUUAGAGUUGACCUCUUGUAAGCUAUCAAUUGAUGUUGUAACUUAACUUGAAAGGGAAAUUCUAUAAAUUUAGCCUUGGUUUGGCACUUGGAAAGCAAAGAAAAAUUAGGUUAGUGAGUUGAUUUCUUCCCUUCCCAUGGAUGUAAGCACAUUCUUGAAUCAUGUUAAUUAUUUUUUGGUUUAUUUUGUUGUUUUGUUGUUUAUUGUUCAAUUGUCUCCACAUAACAAGUGGUAUCAGAGUUGUUUCCGACACACUAGAUGAUUCUUGUGCUAACACAAUGUUUGAGGCUAAAUAUAAGAUAGUAAAAGUUUCUAGAAUAUUUCCCUAUGACAAUUACCAAUAAAGAAUGUACUUAACAGGAAGUUUGUAAGGUGUUACAUGGCAAGUUGAACAAAACCAAUAGCCAGAGAUAACUGAAAUAUUUGGGCCAUUGAUCCAAUAAUAGCAGAUAAUAACACAAGAAGAGACCCUCUAAUCACCAUUUUUGCUUUUGAUUCUUCUUUACAAAGCAUCAUCUACUUUAUACAAAAAGACAAUCCAUGGCUGAGCCCACAUUAUUCUCUACAUAUCCCAAAAAAGCCCUCCAAAUUUUAGGGCAUGAUGCUCUUUUUGGGGGUAUUUUUGGUACUAAAUUUGUGGUAGUCUCUCAAAUACCUAAACUAGCCUCCAAAUUUUAAGGCAUGCCCCACUGUUUGAGGUGGUGUUUUGGGUACUAAUUUUUGUUAGGAGAGGUUUUAGUGUGGAAACUGGAGGGCUUUACACAUGUCGCAUGUAUUUUAUUUUGCAUGCGUUACACGUGGAUUGGAGUUUAUGCAGUUACUCACACUUUUUGUGCGUCCAACAAUACUGUAGUGCCACGUCACCAUAUGAUGGGCUCUUUAGUCUUUUCAAACCCAAAAAAACACCCAAAAAAAAAAACUAAUACUAAAAGGAGUGCUAACUAGCUAUGUGAAGGUGAACCUUUAUAGCUAGCUUCUUAAAGGGACCAUGAUCGCUUAGGCCAAGGAAGUUUGAGGUGAUAAUAGGUCUGUGAUGCCUUUAGAUGUUUUAAGCACAUGUGCGUUACACUAAUGUAUUCAACGAGUCUAUAACCUUAACCGACAGGUCCGGGUAAUCUUUGAAAUUUCAUUGUGAUGGGAAGGUUCCAUGUGAACAACACUUGCACAUGGGUUAGUCAAUCUUAAGAGAUGGGGGAAGCCCGUCUAACAACGCACAAUGUGCGAGCUUUGAAAGGCAAUAGGGUUAACAUUUCUGAAUUGGGACAUGACAAUGACAACAACAUUAGGUAGUCUAGAGAUGUUGUCAUAUUAAUUGUUAUCAAUAUUUUUAUUUAUUCAAUAGAAAUUGAGGAUUAAAAAAUACCACAAAAAAUAGAAAAAACAAAAUUAAUUACAUGGCUUACAUUUCAGAUAUUUAAUAAAAUAUUGUAUGAAAGUUGAAUAUCAUACACUAUUAAAUGACUGGAUUCUCUUCUUUAUUUUUUUUAAUUGUCUCAUCCUAUUAAAUUACUCAUCUAAUAUUAAUUUAUUUUAAAGGUAAAAUUAAUUAUAUUGUAAAAAACUUUUAAUUGACCAGAGUUUGUGCACAACAUCUAAUAUAUACUUAAAUACUUUUCCAUGCUAUAAUCCUCCAACUAAGAAAUGAAAUCAAAACUUAAAAAUCAUUUAUAUAUAUAGAUAUAUGUUGUUAAGUUUAGGUAGUGAAACAAUUAAUGUGGAUAUAAAAUUAAUGCCAAAACUUUUGAUUGAUCCUUCACAUUCUCCACAACCAAACAAAGGAUAUAAGAAAUAAUGAAAGAAAUUUAGGGUAGUUUUAUUUUUUGUUCUCAUCUUGUUGUGAAGUUAAUAGAGGAAUGCUUAGGUUGGUGCUCAAUAGUUAAGUGACACCAGGGUAUAAUGAUUCUUCCAAUUGUGUAAACAUUAUCCGCUUUAAUUUCAAUGGAUCAUCAUCACUUUAAAUUGCAUCCACAUGGUUAAGAGUAACUCAUAUGUAUAUAAUAUCAUGAAUUUCUUCUUAUUCGAUAUGGAAUAUCAAAUUAGGUAUCUUUCAAUUUUAGGUAUUGUAUAAGCGUUUCAACUCAAAUGACUUGGCUUAAUGUAUGCUCAAAGCCAUGACAAAGGAACGUACAUGUAAUAAAGUGAAAAUUAAACCUUGUCGCCCUUCUAUCUCUAGUAUGAAACACAACUCCAUUAGCCCUUAAACAUCUGCAAAAAAAGAUAUACACAUCUGUUACAUUAAUUAAAAUAAAUGAUGCAAAAAGAGGCUCUACAUGUCCAUGUACAUAAUUUGAUUAGAUUUGUUAUAUAUAUAGAUAGAGAGAAAAAAAAACUGCUUAGAUUAAGGAUCUCAUUAAUUAAUACCUAGAAAAUAUAAAAUAAUAAGAAAAGAUUAGAAGGUGUGAAUCAUAAGAUAAGACUACAUUUUUGAAUUAGAUUCAUCGAAAGAUGGCAUAUUGUAUGAACAUUUGUACUCUAUAUAUAAAAAUUCAUAUUAUGGUUGAGAUGUAUUAAUUUGUCAUAUUUUUGGAAAAUUAAAGUAAUGAGUAAUUACACUAAAUUAAAUUAUUGACCUUAUUAAUCAAUACCUCAAGAGUAUAAAAUAGUAAGAAAUGAUAAUACAAACUUCAUUGAAAUAUUUUUAUACACAUUGUGUAAAUAUUCUUAUUUAAUAAAAGUUUAUAUGUCAUUAAAUAAAUAGAGAAUUUUAACAUUAAUUGCAGUGCUAAGUAGAGGAGAUCCCAUAUUUAAGUUGUUGAUUAAGGCUUAUUUGAUAAAACUUAAUAUAUAUUACUUAAUAACUUAAGUUGACUUUAAGUUAGAUAAUAUUUAAGUUAUUUACUUAAAAUUUAUUAUUUAAUAUUUACUUUAAGUAUUAAAGUUAUUUGAUAAAGCUAAUUUAAAAAUCAUUUUAAAUUUUCAAAUUGUCAUAUUUACCUUCAUUAAUUUGAUAACUAGAUGCAGAUAAAUGAAAAAAAAAAUGAGAUUAAGAAUAAGUUAAUUACUUUGAUUUAACACUUAAAAUUAAAAGUAACUUUAAAAUAUAAUAUUUAGUUAUUUUAUCAAAUAUAUUUAAUAUAUUUAAUAAUUAAAUUAAGUUAUUAAGUCAAUGAAUGAUUACCAAACACCCUAUAAGACCUAGAAAAUCGAAUGAGUUUUAAUAGUAUUCAGGAUGGGCAUGACUAGGUGGUGGUUCAAUGUUGAUUAAUCAUAAUUCAAUCAAGGCAAAAUAUGUAACAAAUACAUGUCAAACUGCACCAUCCAAAUGGGCACCAAGAACGUUACAUUUGACAAAUGCCAUUAAACCUUUACAGCUAGCAAUUAGAAGAUCACUCUCUUCUUGUAUCUCUCUUUUUCUCCAAACUCCAGGAGGAAAAACGCGAACUCCAUUAUUUUGAUCACAGAAAAAAUGGCAAAAAAGUGUGUUGUACUUCAUCUUGAAGCUCAUUAACUUCAUCUUAAUUUGAUCCAAAUUGCAGAAACAUUCGAAACUCCAUGAAUCUAUGGUGCUAUGGUGGCCUACAUUCAUAUAACUGGGGACACUUUGGUUUGCACUACAAUGACCCCCAAACAUGGUUUGUAGAGACUUUAUCAAGAUCACUAGCUUCAAAAGACUAAGGAAAGAAAGAUGUUCUCAAUGAAAACUUGGAGUCAAAUUGCAGAUAAAGACCUAAAACUCCCACUCAAUGUGUUUGAGGAAUUGUUGUUUCAUGGGGAUAAGCCGUUUGGUUUGUACACGUCUCCUUGGUGAUACUUAGAGAUUGGCGAAGUAUACGUCUCCUUUGUGAUCUGGUUUGUAUCUGGGCAGAUGAAUGUUCAUGCCAGGUUCAUAUAUGUUUCUGAUAUAUAUCACCCUGGAAGGAUCUAGAUCAAGGGGAUGAGUUUGAAAAGCUUGAGUAGGUUUAAAAUGUUCCGAGAAUUGGUGAGCAUGAUAUAUAUCAACAUGAUAUUGCAGAAGACAACAGAGCUUCUGAAAUAUGUCAGAUUCAAUAGUAGGAAAUCUUAUCAGCUGUCACUUACUGUAAUUCUAUGCUCUCAAUAUUCAUUUGUUGAAGAAGAAAAAAAAUUGCUUUCACACUAUUCAAUUACAGGAGAAUGUUCAUUAUUGAAGAAAAUAAUAUUCGCUAGUCUCUUUCAACUUAAUCAACAUGCAGAGAAAAGCAGUCGGGCGACCAAUUAUUCACAUAAAACUUACAUACAUUGUCUCUCUACCUCUACUUGUUACUCAUCAGUCAAGCUUAUAGUAAUAUAAGCUUGGGUUCAUCUCUCUAUGCCAUUGAUGAAAACUCCACAUGGGCUUUGCCUUUCUGGUGAUUUUGCAUUUGGAUUCCGACCCUCUCCAAGUGAAGAGGACCUAUUCCUUCUUGCUAUCUGGACUGCAAAUGGAAGUUAACCGGUGCCAAGAGGAUCAAAAGUUGGGCUUACCACCAAUAGACAGCUUGUUCUCUAGAGGCUGGUAAUGUGAGCAGCGAACCAGUGCAUGGUGCCAUGCUUGGAGAUGGAAAUUGUAUACCAGUGUAUGGGAGAGCUUCAAGCACCCGACUAAUACCAUAUUGCCAACCCAGGGAUUGGUGUUGGAGCCUACUGUUGAGUUGCUAUUUUUGAGGACCUGAGGUUUCCAAAUGGAACUGGAAGCUGUUGGAGGAAAAGACUACCUCUUUCAAAUGGGAGGUUGGAUCAAACUGCUGUUUCCAGAAGUGCUCUAAUCAAGAUAUUGAAGUCCAGUGAACUAACUUCAGGCAGAGGCAACCAAAAUAAAGCAAUUCUAAUACUCUCAGUCCUCUUAGGCCCCUCUGUGUUCUUCUUCUUCAUUUCUCUGGCUGCAAUUUCUCUAGUUUUCUACUGCUUGAUCCUCAAAAAUCUGCAGCUUUAUCACAGAAUCCUGAGUACAAGCGAUGGUAGAAGCCUUUGGCACUGUCUAUAAAGGGAUAUUACCAUCAGGUUCUGGAAAUUCUGUUGCUGAAAAGAAGUUGGAGAAGGUGGUGGGAGAAGAUGAGAAAGAAUUCAAAGCAGAAGUGAAUGUGAUAGGCCAACUCACCAUAAGAAUCACGGACACUAGCUGCGUUACUGUCGUGAGGGUGAACACUGACUACUGGUGUUUUUUUUUUUUAUGCACAAUGGCUCUUUAUCAAGCUUCCUUUCUGGAGGCGCCCAAGGACUUGUGUACCUACAUGAAGAAUGCAGUAAACAGAUCAUCCAUUGUGACAUAAAGCCCUCAGAACAUAACUCUUGGAUGAUUCUUCUACAGCCAAAGUUGCAAACUUGGACUGGGAAAGCUUCUGAUAAGCAACCAGACUAGAACACUCACAGGCAUCAGAGGGACUAUGGGGUAUAUUCAGACAACUCGGGCAGCCUAUGUCUCUUAUAAUAACACGUUAUGAAGCAUCAGCUCAAUGCCGGGGUUCAAUCUGCAAAGCAAGGGAUUCAUCAAUGUUUCCUUCAAACUAAAUGAUAAGGAACAGAAAUGGAUCAUUCUGCAUUUUCAGUGGUGUUUGUUAUAGCAUUUAUACAAGAACUCUAGGGGUUUCUAUGUAUAACUUCAUUCCCAUUUUGUAUAAUCCAAAUCUCUUCAAUCGAUUAAAUGUAUAAAUGAAUCCUAUUCAUUGUUUGGAGUAACAACAAAAUUCUGGAAGACUGGGAAAGUUUCAACACUGGAGAGAAGACAAAAUGACAAGACCAUAAAUUCUGGAAGAGGGCUUUGCUUUCUAACCAUUACCAUAAUUUUAGAGCUCAACCUGGAUGAGUAAAUUAUAUUUCAGAAUGUUCAGGAGAUAAUUCUAAAGUGAUGAACCUUCUACUCACAGUUUCUUGUUCUUCUUGAACAGAGCAAUGAACAUCAAUAGUUCAGCACCCAGGAAUCUCCCCUUCCUCCAAUUCCUCCACUGGGAAAAGUCACCUUUCCAGUUAAGAAAAUCAUCAGGAUUAGUUUGAGCAAAACAUCAGAGUAUACAUCAAGAAAGCCUUGAUCAAAAUCAAAAUACAUCAAGAGCUGCCAUUUUCUUCUAUUUCCUCUUCCCUGAAUGGAAUGCCUUUUGGACUGAGGUGAUCAAUGGUAACAAUCUAACACACUCCUUAAGCUCUGAUUGAGGUCAACGGGGAUUGGCACAUUUAAUGACUUUGAAAUCAUAGCUGUGUGAAGGGAGGCAAACAUGAAUCUCAGGAUAAUCAACAAGUCAACAACUAUCAAUCAGUAAGGAAAAGGAAAAGGAAAUACCUUUGGAUAUUUACAAAUAAAAAUGAAAUAUGAUACAAGAUUUUCAUGGAUUAAACAAAAAUAGAUGGCAAAAUAGAAGGAUAAGGUCACAGACAGGACAAUAUUAAAAGAAAUUAUUAUUUUUCCGACCUGAAAAUCAAGGAAUUCAGAACAGUACAAGUUUGUAAGUAGUCCAUGGAAACCAGGGAACAUAUGCAGAUGUUUUAUUCUAUUGCAUAAGGCAAACACUCAAUACUUACAAGCAUAAUCAUGCCCAGAAAGCCAUGAAUCCCUUUUUGUUUUGCCUUUUUAUCUAUUCCCAUCUCUUAUUGCCAGAAGUGCCCAGGAUGAUAUAAGCCUCACCAAAUAAGUUAGAAACCAGCCCAUUCAGCAGGUUGAGUAGCCAGCUUGCCCUCAAUCUUCUUUGAGUCAACAAACAGCUGGGCAUUAUUGCCUCCAAUGGAGGGUCUGGAAAUAUUAGAGCCGGCAGCAGGGGUGGCUGUAAAACUCUCUGUUCCAAAACCCCAAGUUUCAGGGCCAGAAGUUCCUUCUGUGGCUGGUUUGUUGUGAUGGCCAUUUCGGGUCCUAACAGACUUGCUAUUGUUGUCUGGGCACCUGCCUCAGAGAAAGCCUGCCAAAGAUUAGAGUCUGGGCCAGGGGAAACGGAUUUUCUUUGCUGGAGUUCCCAGUCUGUUGCUUCAAUCUUUUCUCUGUGCUGUUAUGAGAAGAAAACCUAUCAGACACAUGAAUGGGUACAAAAAGGUAAACUUCAGGUUUUGGUUGUAUUGAAAAGCACAGGAAACUUCACAAGAGGCAAAUUAUACCCCAGACUUAUUGAAGAAAAAUAAAGUACAAUUGACUUACCCAAAUGUCUACUUUCUCAUUUAUAAGUUUCCUCCUAAACAAAUCCCCACAUCUAGGACAGGAAAAGGAAGAAACUGGGAGUCAACAUUUUUUCAACCAAAUGUCAGCACUAAAUUAUCAAAAAACAUAGUUUUCCAUUCAACCUCGGGAGCUGUAUGUGCAGGUGUACUGUACUUUCUGAUAUUGUCUUCUUCAAUGCCCAUUUCUUCAGGCUUCUUAAAGUGCUUAUGAUUGGUGGAGGUGCUUCCAAAAUUACACAACUUCCAUAAUCCAUUAGGGCCCAAUAGAAGAUUCUCAGCAUUUAUAUAAGAACUUUAGGGUUUAUACGUAUGAUCAUGUUACAGUAUAAAUCAUAGUGAACUGGUGGAAUUUGAUUAUUUAGCCAACCUCAUCAAAAACUGUUUCACAGUUGAGGGGAUUGUUAACCUUGCCAUGGGCCAAGCAGCAAUUUCUGAAGAAGCUGGGUGACAAAGAGUACCAUCAUUUGGACUAGUUUCAAUGGAAAUUACUCUGUUUUUAUACAUGAUAUCUUCAGCUUCAGCUUUUCCUUUUGCUUUUGACAUGGCUGAAACUGAUCCUGAAAUCAAAAAUCCCACACAAGUAGAUAUUUAACAGAAGAGGAUCCGAAUCUCUUCAAUUGAUUAAUGUAUAAAUGAAAUAAUAAAAAAUUUUAGAGAUAAUUAUAGGGAGAUGAACCUUAUACCUCUGAGUUUCUUAGUCUUCUUGAACAGAGCAAUGAGCAUCCAGUGUUGAGCACCCAGGAAUCUUCCUUCCUCUACAGGGAAAAUCUGAACAAUCUAUCUUUCUUCAUAUUCCACUUCCUUGCAAAAGUCAAAACAUGAAGAAAAUAUCAUCAAAAUUGAGACAAAAAUAAGUGCAUCAACUGUCUCAAGAAGAGAUUUAUGCCUAUUGCUUACCUUUUGCAGAAGUCCACUUGGUUAGAGCACAUUUUACAUGGACGCCCAAUCACUGCAAGCUGCUGAACCAAAGGAGAGUUCAAACAUCUAAAAAAUUUGACUAACUCAAGUAUCAUAAAAUACUUCACAUGAAUUCUAAAUGAUCUCAUAUCUAAAAAACACUGGCAUAAAAUUAUUGUUGUUUACCUUACAUGUUUCUUCCAUGGUCAUAAUCGAAACUUUGUUUAUCAUAAGAAAUCUUUUAUGCUCAUCCUGAUUACUUACAAUGAUCACUGAAAUGAAAAGACAAAAAACACAAAAAAUGACGAUUAGUUUGAUUUGAUAAUUUUUUAAAAUUAGAAAUUAUAAAACUAUUUUGGUUCUCAGAAAAUUUACGGGAAAGUAGGGAAAAAAAUUGUAAACUUUUUCUCUUGUUUGAUUGUUUAUCGGAAAAUUGAGGGAAAAACAAAAAUCUAAGAGAAAUUUAUUUAACACUUAUGAGGAACCAAAAAUGUUUUAGAUGUUGUCAAAUCGAUAAUUUAAACGUGUUUAAUUUCAAUUAAAUGAGUUUAAUCAAACACAUGAAAUUGUGAAUAAAAUUAUUUAAAAGCAUUGAAAUUCAAGUCAUUAAAGUUGUCCAUAAAAUUUGAUAUAUUGAAGCAAGAAAAAAACAAAGCAAUUUGAAUGACUUGCUAAUGAAGCAGCUAACUAAAAUAUGCCCUAGAGUUGUUCUGUGCCCUGUAUAUAACAAAUUUAAAAAAAAAAAAUCCUAGAAAAAAAACAAACAAAAUAUCCAUGGUCUUAUGUUAUUUUUUUUCUUAAUUUUUCAAUAGUUAUAAAUGGUUCAUUUAAUUCUUGCAAACCACCAAAUCAAAACAGAGCAUGAAAAAGAAAAUCUUAAAUCAAAUAAACAGGACUAGCGAAUGAAUUGGAACUUGAAAGAAAAGUUCAAGCUCAAAAGAAUUACCUGACUCUAUAUUGGCGGAGUGGCACUUUGAUUAAUAUAGCACAAAAUUGAUCACUAUUUUUGGAAUGUGAGCUAUAUAACGCCAUUCUUCCCCUUUCUCAAAUUGACACCGUUUUUUCAGUAAAGGACAUUUGUAGAUGAACAGAUAAGAGAGGGAGUCUGGAAGUCUCUCUUUUGUCAAGUAUUUGAGCUUACGACACUUACAGAUCCCUAAUGUUUUAAGAGAGGUGAGGUGUUGAAGACCCACUUUUGUCAAGGAUUGGAGCAUUGGGCAGUUAUCGAUCCACAAACAUUCAAGAGAGGUGAGGUGUUGAAGACCCACUUCUGUCAAGGAUUGGAGCAUUGGGCAGUUUUCGAUCGACAACAUUUCAAGAGAGGUGAGGUGCUGAAGACCCACUUCUGUCAAUGAUUGGAGCCUCGAGCAUCCAUCAAUUUCUAAUCGUUUUAGAGAGAUAAGGUGUUGAAGAACCGAUCCUGUCGAGAACUGGAGCUCUGGGCAGUUUCUGAUCUUUAAUUGUAGAAGAGAGGUGAGUUGUUGAAGACCCCUGCUGUCAAGAGACUUGAGAUUCGAAAGCUCUACAAUUUGAAGAGAAGUCAGAGAAGAGGGCAGCAAACACUCCUUGGGAAAUAAUUCAAUGUCUUCACAUCCACCGGUGAUUGUGAAAUGAGUAAGAGAGGUCAGCCUUUGCAAACCCCACUCCACCUGGGGUGUGAGUUGGUUGCACUUCUUAAUUUCAAGUUCACGUAGGUUGGAAGGCAAACCCUCUCUCUGAAACAACAAUUCUGGACAAUCCCAUAAAUUCAACGACCUGAGCUUGGAGCACCUAUAAAUCUUACAAGACUCCAAGUUGAGAGCGUGCAAUUCGAUAGAUUCAAGAUCAGGGCAACCAUCUAGAGACAGGGAACAUAAAGAUGUGGGAUCACCCUCUGAAACCAAAAUGGAGAGCUUCUCAAGCCCCUUAAGAUCAAGGAUUGUGAAAUUAGUCAACUUUGGGAAGAUGCCUAAUGAGAAGGAUAACGAGAGAGAAUCAUCGAUAACACCAUCUUUGAUUUCUAGACUUUCAAGGACUGGGAGAUGGCAUCUGAACAACUCAGGUAGGAGAAACGCUAAUUUCGAGCAGUCAGAGAUGAAUAGUGAUUUCAGUGUAGUGGGUAAACCAACUUUGUGCAGGGAUCUAGAAAAACUACAAUCAUAGAUUUUCAGAUCAUGUAUGUUGGUUUGCGAGAUUUCCUCCUCUAGCAGAGACUCCACAUAAUCACAUUUUCUAAUUGACAGCUGGUGUGGUGCCAUUGGAAGUUGACUCCACUGAGACACAUCUAAAAUUUCAAUUUCUGAAGUUUGAAGAGCUGUGAAGUCACAACCUGCCAUUUGCAACUGCAGUUUACCAAAAUCCACCAUCCUCAAUUGACGAAUUGCAGGAACUGUGAGUGAAGCCAUAAGCAGUUGCGGACAUUCAUGAAUUUGAAGUUCCACCAAUGAAAGAAGCUGUUCUGGUAAUUUCCCAAUGAGUUUGGGACACCUUCGUAUAAAAAGCUUUUGAAGAUGAGGGAAUUCUCCACAACAUAACCAUUUCUCCCAGUUCUGCAUAUCCUCAAAUGAUAGUGUUUCUAGGAAUUGAAAGGAAGCAUUCCCAUAGAACUCAUCACCCACACACUCUACUCCAUUCAUCCUUGAGAUUUGCAGAUAUUUAAGUUGGGUUAGCUGUCCAAGUGGUGGCAAUGUUGAGCAAUUGCCACAACCCCGAAGCUCAAGGGACACGAGAUUCAACACUGAAGGAUCUCCAAGCCAAUUUGGAAAUCCUUCACCAGGAUAGUUUGUGAUGGAGAGUUGUUUUAAAUUUGGAUGAGGUUGUAACUUGUUGAGUAUAUCAUGCGUUGUUGCACCACUUUGUGUAACACCAUUGGUACACAUGUAACGCCAAUCAAAGAUCAACUCAUCAAGAUAACUUUUAUCCUGCAUAUUAGCUCUUGAUGCAUCAUUAACACUCACCACAUUCUCCAUGUUUGAAAUAUAAAGUUUUCCUCGAAGCUCUGAUAGCUCCCCCAAUUCUCCAAUUCUUAAUCCAUUGUUUUGGCCCACAAUAAAUCGAGUCAACCUUUGUAAAUUUUUUAAUUGACCAAUUCCAUGACUUGACAUUGCUCUCAAUGAACGACAUCCAUCAAUAUCAAGAUAGCGCAAAUUAAUCAAUUUUCCCAUCUUUGAAGGCAAUUCAUCAAGUUCUGAACAAUUUCUCAGCAUCAUCGUUUGUAAAUUGCAUAAACAACAUACUGAUUUAGGUAAUUUUUUAAUCCUCGUGACAGACAAAUCCAAGUAACGCAAAUGUUUUAAAUUACCUAUCGAUUUAGGCAAAUCAGUUAUUGUAUAUGCACAUAAUGAUAACACACGUAAACACCACAUUUUUGGUAAUAUAUCUUGCAAAACUCUUUUACUCAAAUUAUAUAUCGGAUAGUCUUCCAUUUGCUUCACUCCUAAGAAUGUUCGAAUAGAUUUAGCUUUAGUGAUAGCCUCAAAAUUCUUAAAUGCAACAAGCCUCUCAUAAUCACUUUUAAAGUACAAAAAGUGGUGAGCCUUCUCAGAUACUUUCAGUAACUUAUCAUCCUCUUCCACUCGAGCACAAAAAUCUCCAGACACGUGUUGAGCCAAUUCGUGUAUUAGAUCAUGCAUUACAAAGCAUGAUCCUUUUGUUCCAAUAGAUUUUUGAAAGAAUGACUUGGCGAGAAGUUCAUUAAAAUAUGACUCACCUAUCUCUUCCAUUCUCCUUCCUUCGUUUUCUUGUGGAUGUAAAAGACCUUCUGCCAUCCAUAAUAAAAUCAGCUUCUCUUUGUUGAAUUGGUGGUCCUGGGGAAAAAUAGAACAAUAAGCAAAACAAUGCUUCAGAGGUAGAGAAAGAUGAUGGUAGCUUAAUCUCAAAGAUGGAAGAAUUUCGGAGCCACUCUGCCGCCAUAUGUCACUGUUCAACACAACGUUCCAUUCCCCUUUGUCGGCCUCCGAAUACAAGAGACGGCCGAGUACUUUCACAGCCAAAGGCAAUCCUUGGCACUUGUCCACAAUCUGUCUGCCUAUGGGUUUAAGCUCAAGGAAUGCGUUGGGGUCUCUAUCUCCAAAUGCAUGCUUUUUAAACAGGGACCAACUAUCUUCAGAGCUUAAUUUCCCAAGAUCAUGAGUAGGGGCCGCUUUCAUGGCUUCUGCAACAGAUUUAUCACGACUGGUCACAACAAUCUUGCUUCCCUCUGCUGCAGCGAGGAGUGGAGUUCGUAGACGUUCCCAACCUUCACGAUCACUAAGCUCCAUGUAACCUUCAUCACGAGGCUUCAAAUUCCAGACGUCAUCAAGAACAAGCAGAAAUUUCUUGUUACUAAGUUGCUCUUUGAGUUGAAGCUGAAGCUUAUUUAGGCUGUCAAAAUCAUCAGUUUUAGAACCGAUUUCGUAUAGAAUUGUUUUAGUGACCUUGAUAAGGAGAAACUCAGUGGAAACACAGACCCAUACUUGCAAGUCGAAGUGUUUCUUCACUUCCUCAUCGUUAUAGAGGUGCCGAGCAAGCGUGGUCUUGCCGCUGCCGCCCAUGCCCACUAUGGACAUCACCCCCAUUUUGCCGCCUGUUGUAUUGUCAGAAAGCAACCACUUCACCAUCUCCUUCUGAAUUUCAUCCCUGCCGAGAACAAUGGAGUCAUCCUCCAAAGAAGUGGACGUUGGUAAUCUUGGUGUUGGUGACCGUGAUCCUGCUAGCCCCAACCGAACAAUUUCUCCUCCGAUUUUUUCCAGUAGAUCAAUCAUGCCCCUGACCCUGGACUCCAUGCUUUUGAUAGCAAAUGGGGCCUUCACAGAAGCAGAGAACUUGUUCCAUUUCCACGCCUUAAGAGUUCCGCCGGUUUGGGAGUCAGCAGCUUCCAUCUUGCAACGCAAAGCGUCGGUAGCGAUCUCGUCCAACAGGUCUUCCGCAUCAUACACAGCAUCCUUGACAUGGACGAGCCACUCUUUGACAUUUGGGUUGGAAAAUUGCUUCACCUCCGCAUCAUCGAGCACAUUGAGAACAACCACGAGUUUCCUCUUCAACUCGUUGAGGAGUUCAUCGCUAAGGUUCCGUCGCCGAAUGAAGUUUAUGAGCUCUGGAGAAGCCAACCUUUGGAAUAGAACUUGAAGCGAAGCUGAGAGGAGGGCGUCCGCCAUAUCUGUGUCGACUGUUGCUUUGCAAUAGGAAUUCAGAGGAUUGGUUUCUGUUACCGCGAUACCACCAAAGUGCAAAAGACUGGGUUUGGAUUACCACACUGCAGAAUGCUUGAAGGAAUCAUUAUUGGUGGUGGACCCAGCUGCCAGAUAUUUGUCAAACACCAUAAUUGAGUGGUGAGAAAAAGAACAGGAAAAGCAAGUGGGAGAUGGAUGGUGCUUUCCCAACGGAAAGCAAAAGCAACAACAACAUUCGGUAUUUUUCUUUUUCAUCUACGCAUUUCUUCUUUCUUCUUUCUUCUUGUAGUAUUAUUAUUAGUAGACGUAUACACACAAAUAUUUGUUUAUAACAUUAUCAUUCCUAAUAUUAUAAAAUUUAUUAUUAAUAGAAUUUAUUAUAAAAUUUGUUAUUAAUAAUAUUUAUACUAAUAUUAUUUUUUAAUAAUUAAUUAGUAUCCUUACUUUUAUUGUUUAUAAUAAUAAUAAUAAUAAUAAUAAUUAUUAAAAUUUAUUAGUAUUUUCAAGUAAACAAUGGUAUAUGCAUAAGACAUAUUAAAAUUUUGAAUAUUAUGGUUAUUAUUAUUUGAUUCAAAAAAAGUUUAUAAUAUAAUAAUAACAAAAAUAUUUUUUUUAAUAAAAUAAAUUAUAAAAAUAUAAGAAUUUUAUUAUUUAUAAAAUAUAUUUAUUUUAAUAUAAUUAAAAUAAUUAAAAUAAUUUUAAAAUUUAAAAAAAAAGUUAAACGUGACAGGAUUAGGAUGGGACCGACCUAUCCCAAUGCUGCCCAUUGCCAUCCCUAACUCACCUAGUGGUAAUUAAGGCCAUUUUUUAUUAUUAUUUUUUUAAAAUGGUCUUUUAUUCUUAAAAAAAGAAAAAGGAAAAUAUAUUUAAUAAUUAGAAAAUAAAACAUAAUUUUUGUUUUUAAAAAUAAAAAAUAAGGCAUUUUUAGAUGAUACCCUUUUAGUUACUUUUACUUGUUUUAAAAAAAUUAUUGUAAAAGUAAUUAUAUAAAUGUAAAAAAUAAAAUAAUCUAGGUAAAAAUUAUUUUUAAAAUAUAAAAAAUUAGUUAAGAAUACUCUAUCUUCUCAAGCUCGUUUUAUAAAAUAUCAUAAAAUAAUUUUCAAAAACUUGUUUUUUCAUUAUUUUGACAACCGGAAUAAUACACAAUAAAAAUAAAUAAAUAAAAAUAAAAAGAUCCAAAGAAAGACAAAUGUGUUGCAGUAAUGCACUUAAAUUCACUGAACCUAAAAGCCAAAUGUGCAGUGUUGACUUUUCAACCGAGAGUUCACACAUGCCCAUUUUUUUUAAUUAAAGCACUAUUAAUAUAAAAUAUAUAUUUAAAUAAAAAUUAGACUUUUAAAAAAAUUAAAAUAUAUUUUUAAAAUGUUAAAAAAAUAUUUACAAUAUUUCCUUAAAAAAAAACAUCUUCCAAAAACAUUUCUUUAAAAAAUACUUCCACCUAUAAUAAUUCAGACACACUUGUGAUUUAAUAGUUAAAUAUUCUUUCUAAUAGGAAUUCAACUAUCGGUUUGUAUUACCACGAUACCACCAAAAUACGAAAGACUAAUUUUGGAUUACCAAAAUGCAAAAGAGCUGAAGGAAUCAUUGAUGGUGGAUGAUUCAGAUGUCCACAUUAUUUGUCAGACACCAUAAUUGAGUGAUGAGGAAAUGAAAGAAAAGCAAAUAAAAAACAAAAAAGGUGAUGCCAAACAUGGUCUUAUAAGGUGGGUGGAGCGAAAGCAACAAAGGAAACUAGCAGGAUUUUUCAUUGCUAUUACAUACCUCAAAGGACAAAUUUUGAAUUACCAAAAUACAAAAGACUUAAAGGAAUCAUUGAUGGUGGUGACCAGAUGUCCACAUUAUUUGCCAAACACCAUAAUUGAGUGAUGAGAAAACAAAAGAAAAAGCAAAAAAGGUGAUGCCAAACAUGGUCUUGUAAGGUGGGUGGAGCAAAAGCAACAAAACAAACUAGUAGGAUUUUUCAUUGCUAUUCCAUAUCUCAAAGGACUAAUUUUGAAUUACCAAAAUAUAGAAGACAUGAAGGAAUCAUUGAUGGUGGUGGACCAAGAUGUUCACAUUAUUUGCCAAACACCAUAAUUGAGUGAUGAGAAAAUGAAAAAAAAAAAAUGAAAAACAAAAAAGGUGAUGCCAAACAUGGUCAUGUAAGGUGGCUGGAGUGAAAGCAACAAAGUAAACUAGCAAGACUUUUCGUUGGUAUUCCAUACCUUAAAGGAUUGAUUUUGAAUUAUCAAAAUACAAAAUACUUGAAGGAAUCAUUGAUGGUGGUGGACCCCGAUGUCCACAUUAUUUGCCAAACACCAUAAUUGAGUGAUGAGAAAAUGAAAAAAAAAAGUUAAGAAAAAACAAAAAAGUGAUGCCAAACAUGGUGUUAUGAGGUGGGUGGAGCGAAAACAACAAAACAAACUAGUAGGAUUUUUUGUUGUUAUUCCAUACUGAGAAAAUAAAGGGCUACUCUAGGUGAAUAGAAGUUAAAAAAUGUCUUUUUAAACACAAUAAAAUGAAGCACAAGAAGUACAAAUAUAAAGAGGUAAGGUUAUAGAAAGUAAACUCAAAUUUAUAGUGGUUCGACACUUCCGUGCUUACAUCCACUCUCCUCAAGCUCCUACCUGAGUGAGGGUUCCACUUAUACUUGAAGUUUCAACCAAGCUUCUAAUCACUUUUUACACUUGGAUUCCAGCUCCAAUGGAUUCUUAUACAAUCUCUUCAAGUCUUUACUCACUUGAAUGUUUUAACACUCAAUUAACAAGUUUGAAUCUCUCAACCUAGCUCAACAAUGACUCAAAUACAACUCAAGGCUAGGAUGAAUCACUAAGGUGCACUAAAGAAUAUGCAAAUGGAAGUUUAAUGCACUAAGAAAAUAAUGAGAGCUUUUAUGACAAUAAUAAGUAGGUAAACAAAUAAAUGCAAGUGUUCUCUUGCUCAUAAAUGAGGUAGAGCUCUCAAUUUAUAAGUUUCUAACCUCAGGAGCUAAAAAUCCAAAAAGCAAUCUCGACUAGUCGAGCUGGGGGUUGACUGGUUCACUAGCCGUUGAAACAUUAAAUGCUUGGCAGGUGACCGUUACCCUCGACCAAACCUUAACCGGGAAGGCAAAUCCAUAAACCAGGAAAGAAAGGCUACUGGAAGAGAGAUAAUGUUUUUUGCAUCUCUUGACUUAGAAGGAGUAAUCGGUAGACCGGUACCUAGCCGAUUGAGCCGGUUGACCAGUGCCUCGACUAGUUCACCAUUUUUAGUUCGAAAACCUAUCUUUUUCUGGUCUUUUUGCUUCUAGCACUUAGGCAAGGACUUUAGAUAAAAUAAUAUGCCAAUUUUGAAUGUUUUGCCUAAGGUUCAUUUGAUAGAACUCAGAUUUGGAUGGAAAUGUAACUUUAAUGCAUAAACCGAGUUUUAAAGAUGUAUGAAAUGAUAUGAAUAUCCUAAGUACACCCAUGCAUUCGUCUUACGUAUGUUUCUUAUGAUUAAAAGGUCUUUCAAAAGUCUUAAUCUUGCAUUCAUUAGGUCCUUUAAUGAAUUUCCAAAUUAACACCUGAAAUUCUUUAUAAUUCAAAUCAAUUAGUAACUUAACCAUGAUUUGUUAUCAUCAAAACAUGAUUAGAAGAAUCAUUGGGCUAACACAUACCCAAAGGACUAAUUUUGAAUUACCAAAAUAUAGAAGACUUGAAGGAAUCAUUAAUGGUGGUGGACCAAGAUGUCUACAUUAUUUGCCAGACACCAUAUUUGAGUGAUGUGAAAACGAAAGAAAAGCAAAGGAAAAACAAAAAAAGGUGAUGACAAACAUGGUCUUGUGAGGUGGGUGGAGCGAAAGCAACAAAGCAAACUAGCAGGAUUUUUUGUUGCUAUUCCAUACCUCAAAGGAUUGAUUUUGAAUUACCAAAAUACAGAAGACCUGAAGGAAUCAUUAACGGUGGAUGACCCAGAUGUCCACAUUAUUUUUCAAACACCAUAAUCAAGUGAUGAGAAAAUGAAAGAAAAGCAAAGGAAAGGAAAAAAAACGUGAUGCCAAACAUGGUCUUGUAAGGUGGAUGGAGUGAAAGCAACAAAGCAAACUAACAAGAUUUUUUGUUGCUAUUUCAUACCUCAAAUGACUGAUUUUGAAUUACCAAAAUACAGAAGACUUGAAGGAAUCAUUGAUGGUGGACAACCCAGAUGUCCACAUUAUUUGCCAGACACCAUAAUUGAGUGAUGAGAAAACGAAAGAAAAGCAAAAAAGGUGAUGUCAAACAUUGUCUUGUAAGGUGGAUGGAGCGAAAGCAACAAAGAAAACUAGUAGGAUUUUUCGUUGCUAUUCCAUACCUCUAAAUCACCAUAAUAAUAAUAACAAUAACACCAAAUUUUAAGGUUAUUUUUUGUUAUAAAAAAAUACUAGGAAAAGAAAAAAAAUAAUUAAGGAAAAUAAUUUUUUCAUAUUUGGUUUCACUAUAGAAAAUAUAUAUAUAAAAAAUCAAAUAUAAUUAAAAUUAAUUUGAAAUUUAUAUAUUUUAAAAGUAUUUAAUCUUUUUAUAAUUUAGAAAAAAUAAGUAAAACGAGUUUGAAGAAAUGUAUAAAAAUAAUUUAUUAAAUUUAAACUUAUUUCUUAUUUUCCUUCAUUUUUUCUUUUCUUCUACUUUUUCUUUCUAUUUUCUUUCCUUCUCAUUUUCCCUCAAAUUUUCCAAGAACCAAACAUAGCUUAAAGGUUUAGAAUCUUAUGCACAAGACUUUCAAUUUUUUUUACAAUAUUAUUUUAUUAGUUAAGAAUUAAAAUUUAAUGUACCAUAUCUAACACUAACAAAAAAAAUUAUAACAACCAGUCUUAUCUUUUAAGAAUGUAUUGUUUAAAUGAGAUUAAAAAUUAAAAAUAAAUUUUAAUUCAUUUAACAACUAAAUUAAAAUGAAAUUUAUAUAUAUCAUAAAUUUAUACAAUUUUGAAUCAUUUUAUAUGGAGGAUUGAGAAUGGAGAGAUUGAAGAAUUGUUUGGUGACGAGGAGAUUGAUUGAAGAUUUUAUAGUCUUAAGGUUCUAUGGGAUGAAAUUUUUUGUAAAGAGUUUAAAUUUUUGUAAAAAAUAAAAUUAGUUUUAUGUUAUCUGAUUUCAUGGAAAUAUAAAGUUUUAAUUCAAAGAUUAUGUUUUAAAAAUAUUAUUUUUAAAAUAUAUUUAGCAAAGAUUUAUAAAAAUUUAAAAUUAAAAUUAAUUAAUCUAUCAACUAAAUUAAAAUAAGAUUUAUAUAUAUUUUUAUAGAUUUACAUGUGUAAAAUCUUUGAAAUGCCUCAACUUAAAAUAACCUUACAAAAUUUCAUUAAUCUACUAGAAUUUGCAUUAGGAUGAAUACCAUCAUAAUAAUAAUUACGCUCCACAUAUGACGUAUCUUAACAUCCACUUGGAGGUUAAAAAAUAAUUAAAGUAAGGGAAACUAAUAUAUUUAAAAUUUAAAAAUCAUGAUGAAGAUUUGGACAAUAAUUCAAGUAGGCAUCUUUGAAAUUUGACUUCCAAAUCCAUUUGUCAAUAUACACCACCCUAUGACAAUUAAAUAAAUUAAAAGAAGGAAAAAAAAAUGUUAAAGGAAUGACAUAAGAAUUAUUUAUGUAUGACUAGAUUUAAAGUUUAAUUAUCUGAGGAAUCCUUUAUUAUGAAAAUAUAGGGAACAAUUAUAUUUAAGGAGUAGACGGGGUUGAUAAUGACUAAAGGGUACAAAUUUUGCAUAAUUGAUCUAAAAAGGUAGAGAAGGUUUGUAGAUUGUUGUGGAGGAUAUAAACCCAUUUUGUGAGUCGAAAAUGCUCAAAAUACCCUUAAGAGUGUUUUUUUAAAAAGGACAAUUAAGUACUCAUGAUAAUUAAUAUAUUAAGAUUUCAAGAAAAAUUAAUAAUAAAUAAAAUCUUUUUCUAAAUCUAUUUAACAAUCAUAUAGUUUUUAUUUUAUUUUAUUUUUUCAAGUUGCAACUAUUAUCUUAAUUUAUUUUUCAUUUUAAGGUUCAAUUAUUAUUAUUCUUUAUUUUGAUUAAUUAAAUGAAACUGUACAAGACAUAUUUAUAUUAAUUAGCUAAAAAGGAUAGAUUUUUUAGCAAUACGAUUAAAAUAAAUAAAAACAAGGAAUUUGAUUUUCUUUAUAAAAUAGAUUGGGAAAAGUAUAUUUCGAUACAUUCGUAUGAAAAAAAAAAUCAUAAAAUAGGAACUCAAGUUUAUAAAAUACAAAUUUUAAGCAUCCAUCUAAAAAUAAUUAUCAUUUCAUGCAUUUUUUUGGUUAAAUAUAUUAUAUUUGACAAUUUAAGUAUUAUCUUUUAAUAAUGUAGGUAAUACCUUUGACCUGCAUACAACUUGAAUUAUUUUUAGAUAGUUUCUAUUGUAUAAUUAGUUCAUCAUUUGAUAUAAAUAUCAAAUAAUUAAAAAAUAUAUCUUUUUUUUUUAAGAAUUUUAAUUAUAUUUGACUUUCUUUUGUAUUUUCUAUUGUGUAAACCACAUAUAAGAAAAUCAUUUUCUUUAACAUUUUUUUUUCUUUCCUUAAUAAUUUUCGAGAACCAAACAUGGCUUGUAGGUUUGGAUUAUAGGGUAUAGAUGCCAUAAAUACUGGAAUGAGUUCGGGUUUUCCAUGCUAAAUGUCUUUAUUAUUAUUUGGUAGCGCUUUUCCAAAAUUGUUCCAUUCCCAAAACCACUUAAUUUGCUUAAAUAUUUUAACCUCACGAUAUCAUAACAUUAUAAUGGAAUAGAUUUUGUUGGUGUUCAAAUCAUGUCAACUCAAUUUCCAAACCAUUUGGAUUGUCAUUUGGUGAAAAAUAGAAAGAAAUUUUACUUGAUUGAAAAGCAUUUCAUUUUUAUUUGAAUAUGCUGCAAUGAAACAGUUACUAAACCAUGGGGUAGCAGAAGAAGUAAUCGAGAAAAUGAAGAAGGAUGUUUAAGAAUUCUUUAUGCUGCCAUUGGAGGAGAAGAAUGCUUACACAUAGCUACCAAAUAGCAUUGAAGGUUAUCACAAAGAAUGCUUAACAGUUUUCUUAAAUUUUGUCCAAAGUUUAUGAAUUUUUAUUUUUUAUAAUUUUUUUUUACUUAAAUUGAAACUUAUUAAUCAAGGUAAGAUUUCAGCCACAUCGAGAAACAAUUUACGUGAAAAGGGACUGAUAAAAUCUUGAGUUAACAGAUGUAAAAGACAUAAGGCCAAAGACUCUAGAACUCCAACCCACUGAAUCAAGAAUAGAAACACAAAUUUAUCUACCAACCUACACUAAUCUCAUAUCUACAAUGCAACACCAUCGUACUCUUAAGUGACUUGAAAGGAUGUGAAUAUUUCUCACAAGCUUCAUAAUGAAAUUCAAAUUAGCUCUGAGAGUUUUGGGUUAGGCACAAAGAGUAAUAAUGCAUAGCUUUUGUGUGUGAGUUUUUAAGUGAACUUAAGACUCAAUUUAAAGCAUGUAUUUUACUAAAAAUAAAAAAAUAAAUUUAAGAAACUUCAAGAAUUUUGGAAAGAUAAAUUUUAAAAAAAAUUCAAAGAGAGUCAGAAAAUGUUUCCUUUUUAAAUUCUCAAUUUAAUUUAUUUUCAAAUUUAUUAAGAGUUUAAGAAAUAUUUUCUUUUUAAAUUAUCAAUUUAAAACGCUCUUUUAAAUUAUUUUAUUAUUAAUUUUCAUGCAAGUCUACUCUAUACAUUUUACAUCAUUAUUCUCAAUUAACUCAACAAUAUUAGAGUGUAACAUCCCCAAUUGAUUUUGCACCAACCUUAAGUCUUCAAAGACAAUGAUUGAGGCAUUUCUUCUCCUAUUUUCUCCGAUGUAGAAAAAAAAACUUGAAUAAGGUUAAAGUUGGUCUAUAGCAAAAAGUCUUAAUUUGAGUUAGCCUUUUUUUUUUUUUUUUUCCAAAUGAUAUGCAGGUCCAUCUAGCCUUCAACUCAAAUUUUUUAUUCAAAAAUCACAUGUGGAUAUGUGAACAAGUAAAAGUUGAGUUUUACCUAACAUAUCAUUUUGAAAAUUAGGAAAUUUAAAAGGUAUUAGUUUGUUAAACUCACCACCCCUGUCUAUUCUACAAAACAAGAAGAUUAGCAAAGAAAAAGUAUUCAUAUUUGUACUACAAAAUAAAAAGAUUAGCAAAGAGAGAAAUUGUACGCAUGAGUGCAGAGUUUUGGGUUAAAACAACCCUUUUGAUGGGAAAAAUAUUAAAUUUAACCACUUUGUCAAACUAAUGUGUAAAAUGAUCCUUUUAUUAUCACAUAGGAGUCAUAUCACUAAUAUAUAUAUAUAUAUUUAAUUUAAGUUGAAGCCUCAAUUGCCAAUUAAGGCUUCAAUUAUCAAUUACGACUUUAUUUUUUAACCCGAAACCUUACUUGCCAAUUGAGGUUUCAACUAAAAAAAGAAACCUCAAUCGUCAACUAAGACUUAAUUUUUUAAUUGAAGCCUCAAUUAACAAUUGCGGUUUUAUUUUUAAACUGAAAUCUCAAUUGUCAAUUGAGGCUUUAUUUUUGUGAAAGGAUUAUGUGACACUCACGUUACUAGAAAAAAGCCAUACUGAAUAUAAGUUUCAAAAGUGGCUUAAAAGGUAUAAAUUUUAUGAUCAAAGAUGCCAUUUUGACCCAAAUCCCAUGGGUGCAUGAGACUCUAGUUAAUCAUAGAUUUCAUAGAUAAAAAUCAGAGUUAGGAUGAUUCAACCCCUAAGCGUCAAGAAUUCUUUAACAUAAUGUUAGAACAUUUUCCAAUUUAAAUUUGAGAGUUGACUUUAUUUGAAUAUGCUUUUGAUUUUUUUUUUUUUUUAAAUAAGCUUCAGUGUUUUUUUUAAAAAGAAAUAAAAAUAAAUAAAAAUAGGAGCUUCUAUAUAGAAAGUAAAAAUUUUAUCCAACAAAUAUAAGGCUCACCUUAUAUCCUUAUAAAAUAAAAAAUUUUAAAUUUUUUAAUACCUCAAAAUUUUUAAUCAAUAUUUAAAUAUCAUUAUAUUUUCAAUAUGAUCCUUUAAAAGUUAAAAUUACUUAUAUUUUUUAUUUUCAAAAAAAAAAAAAAGAAUGAAUUUUUAUGUUUUUUAAUUAUUAAGAUGGAUGAAAUAAUCCCAAAUUUGCAAAAAUAACUUCUUCCAUGUUUGAAUUUGAAAAAUAACUCAUUUCCAACAUAAAUACUCUUCAAUAUUUGGAUUAUUUUAAUAUAAAUUUUAGAAGAAAGUGUUAUUUUGACUGGAAAACAUGAAAGACAUUUUUGUUAAAAAUUGAUCUUUUUUUAAGGCUAAAAUAUAUAUAGGUUUAUAUUUACAAAUUUGAGACUAUUUCGUCCUCUUAAUCAAAUAACUUAAAAAAGAAAAGAGUUAAUUCCACAAGUGGGUUUAAAAUACUCACAAAAUUGCAAUAUAUAUAUAUAUAUAUAUAUAUAUAUAUAUAUAUAUAUAUGAAAUUACAAAUUUACCCUCGUGUGUUGAGCACAUGACACUUCCAUUCAUUAAAGCUAACAUUGUUAAAUAACAAAUGUACAUUGCAACUAUUUAAGAAGUAUGAAGGGCACAUUGCUUGAUUUUAGUACAUGGUGAGAAACUUGUUGAACAAGUUAUGUGUAAAGUUUUAUGGUUCAUGUAUGAUAGAAAAUACAGAUCUACUACAACACUGGAUUUGCAAUUUUGGUUAGUAUUUAAAGAAAAGACCAUAGGACAAAAAGAAUUAAACUUUUGGUGGAAAACAAUAAAGAAAGGACUACAUGGAAAAAGGGAAGAGAUCAUUAUAAAGGAAGAUUAUUGAAUAGAAAUAAUUCCAAGAACCUAAGGCAAGACAUAGAGUAUCACUACUACUAUCACAAAAAGGGGUAUAUCAUAAAAUUUAUGAAAUUUUGAAAAAGACCUAAAAAACGAAGAAAAAAAAAAAAACAAAUCAAAGAAGCCUACAAGUGUAACUAGUGUUCUUAAAGUUGCGAAAUGUAAAUCAAAAGUAGAUUUGUUAAUAGUUUUUAAAAUGCUUAAAUUAGGAAUUGUCUACUUGUACCAUACAAGCCCUUGUAGAGACUGGUUUGACAUGUAAAUUGUUUGUAAAAUCAUUUUAAUGGGCAAUAAUGCACCAAGUUGCUCCACGAGAAGGGGAGGGGUUUGUGAAACCAUCACUUGUCGUGGCAUACAUCGUCGGGUAAUCACGGAUGAGGGCAUCCACGGGAGGCCAAUGUCUACCCUCGCUCUACACCCCUCUAGUACAAGGCUCUAGGAGGGAGAGAGGCAACAAGUGUGUGACACCAAGGUAAAUAUGCUUGACCUUAUGGCUUUGGGAGCAACUUGCAUUUAAAGACUUGAUGAUUCACAAGAUUCUACAAUUCAUACCAAGUAUUGCAUUUUGCGACGUUCUUCAUCAAUGAGAGAGCCUAGAUAUCCAUUGUCAAGAAUUAUUUAUGUAUGAAAAUAAAGGCGCCUAACCGACAUGCCCAAGAUCAAGGCAACUGGAGUGUGUUGCUUCGCCCAAGUUACUUAGCGCGUUUUGUGCCAAAGUUUGUUGUUCGCUCAAGAGGGCUUUUGUGAAUCUUUGUAAUAAAGGGAUAAUACAGAGUGGGCCGUAAUUUAGCAUCUUACACGCUUAGUUUCUUCCAUUGGUGGCAUAUAUUAUUUUGUCUGUCAUUGGUGAUUAUUUAAUAAAACUAUGAGAGUAUUUCAUGAAAUAUAAAUAAGAGGUUUUUAGGAUAUUUAAUCGAUGGUAAACAAAAGUUGAAAACUAAGUAGGGAGGAAGAUAAAAUAUUUUAGAUUUGAUAGUGGACUUGAGCAUUAGAACAAGAAGUUCACAAAGUAUUGCGAGAAUUCUUAUAUAACUUAACAUCACAUGUAAAGAAAUUACAAAGCAAAAUGGAGUGGUUGAAAAGAUGAAUAGAACACCAUUGGAAUGACUAGGUGGCUAAGAUUAAUCAUUGGGUUACUUAAGAAUUUAAGGGCUAAAGCUAUCAACAUAACUUAUCAUGUAAUUACUUAGUUGUCAAGUUUUACAAUUAUUUUCAAUAUUCCAAAAGAAGUGUCAAGUAAAUCAAUUGACUUUUCAUCUAUUGAAAUAUUUGAUUGUUGCACUUAUCUUCAUAUAUAGGUGAAAAAAAAAUUCAAUCCAAAAUAAAAAAGGUAUAUAUUCCUUGGGUUUGAAAAAAGGAUUGAUUAAAGACUAUAGACUUUGGGAUCCAACAAUUAAAGAAAAAAAAGUGGUGAGUAGAGAUGUAUUCGAUGAAAAACAUAUGUUAAAGAAAGAUCAAGGACAAAUGAAAUUGUUAUUGAAAAAAAAUUCAACUACAUGACCAAUCAUCGAGAUGAAAUUUGAGAAAAAUGUCAUUAAAUAUGAAAUCCCUCCUAAUUGAUGUCCCUAUUAGAACUUUAUAUAGGCAUCUUUCUCUAUUGCUCUAAAGAAUCAUCGUAUUGGGUAAGGACAUCAAUUUUAAGAUUUUAAUUUUUUUUUCAUUAUUUAUUGGAAUAGGAGAUCUUUAAUUUUUUUUGGGGUGCAAUUAGGAAGGAUGAUAGUUAUCAAUGUCUUGGUGCUAUGUCAAAUGAGAAUCCAAUGCACAUGUUGACUAAAGUUGUUCUUAAGGAUAAGUUCAAGCAUUGGUUGAAUGUCAUUAAUUUUUCAUUUUGUAGAACAUGGAAGGUCAAUUUUAUCGAAGAGCCAGGUCAAUCAACUUCUAUUAGGACUUCUAUUGAUUCUUGACCAAUGCACAUGUUGACUAAAGUUGUUCUUAAGGAUAAGUUCAAGCAUUGGUUGAAUGUCAUUAAUUUUUCAUUUUGUAGAACAUGGAAGGUCAAUUUUAUCGAAGAGUCAGGUCAGUCAACUUCUAUUAGGACUUCUAUUGAUUCUUGAUUUGAUUAGAGGGACUCCUAGCAGUAAACUUGUAUGAAGGGGCCCUAUGGAGAUGCAAGAGAUGCAAGAGCUGCCAAUCAGAUCGACCAAUAAAUGAUAGGCCCAUGCAGAGAUGUCCCUGAAAUAGGGGAUUGGUUGAUUGGAAAGCUUAGGCAGUGUAUAAAGGAGAACAAUUUAGCAUAUUGGGAAAAACACAUAUGAAGAUGUUUACAAGUUUGGAAAAUUGAGUUAAAGAAUAGAUGGUCUAAAAAUGUUUCAAAUUUCAAUUUUAUGUUUUUCUAAGUUUGAUAUAUCCUAUUUGGAUAUUUAGGAAGUCUUCUCUUGUUAGAUAAGAUAGUCCUAUGAUGAGAUUUGUUAUGAAAAUAGGUUCUUCCUCGUGUGAAAUAUUCCUAUGAAAUUAAGAAGGAAUAUAGGAAGAGUUUUGAUUGAAAUUAUGAAUCUUUUUUUUAUGUAAUUAGAACUAAAAUAUGAGAGUUUUAUAAUUGUAAUUACACCUUUGAAUAUAAAUAAUUGAUAAUAGUGAAUUAGUUUACCUUCUCCCUCUAAAUGUAGGUAAAUGCUAAAUUAUGUUAAAUCUUGUAUUCUCAUAUGAUUUUUUUUUCAUUUAUUUUUCAUUUUCUUGCCCAUUUCUAACUUGCUACUACAUAAUAACAGGUGGUAUCAGGCUUUUUGUGUUUGCACAACAAAUGGUCUCAGUAUUUCCAGCACCACAAAAAUGAUAUUUUACUUAAUUGCUCCUCAGUGGAAAAGUUGGAAAGAAAAAUUAAAUCAUCGACUAUACCUUUUUUUUUUUUUUUUCAAAACUUUUCUCGUCUUUGUGCAAGAAAAUUAGUAUAUUUUCUCUUUAGUAUUUGUUUCUCUUUUAUAUAUAUUCAAAUGAAACCUUAAUCAUCUUUUAUAUGAAGUAUAAAAGAAUUAGAAAAUAUUCAAAUUUUAAAUGAUUUUUAUUAUACUUUGUCCACUUCCUAUUUCAUAUAUCAAAUUACAAUAGAAUUUAAAAUUCUUUUAUACGUUUUUCCCCCCUUUGCUACCACAUAAAUGCAAAGACAGUAUGUGAGUUAAAUACCUUAAAAGAAAAAGAAAUUAAAAUGUGAUAGAAAACAAAUGUAACCUCUUGAAAUUCAAGGAAACAAAACACUAAACUUUUUCAUGUAUUUUAUUCCAUUUAUAAAUGCAACAUGACAAAAAUAGACAAAAAUAUAAAUGGAAGCCCUUUGGGUCCUUCAUUUUAUAUUUUAUCAACUUCGACCAAUUCUAUUUCUAUAGCACAACCGAUACUAUAAAGUUCAAUGAGUAUAUAAUAUAUAAAGAUACUAAUCAAUACGAAUUAUUCUUUCUUUCAAAUGGCUACUUGUAUUAAAAAUUAAAUGUAAUUCCUCCUAAACAAUAAAAUAUGUUGACACGAUUUCAAUGAAUAUACAGUACAUAAAGAUAUGACCAAUUAGUACGAAUUAUUCUUUCUUUUAAAUAGCUACUUAUACUAAAAUAUAAGUAAAUAUAAUUCCUCCUAGAUAACAAAAUAUGUUGACACAAGGAGGAAUAUAUUUACUAAUUAUAUCAUUUGCAAUAGCCUCAAUCUCGCGACGUUCUUCGAACCAACCAUAGACUUUAUUGAGAUAGGUUAACCAAGGGAGCUUCCACUCUCAUAACUCGUAUAUGAAAAUUUCAUCUUGUACAACUCAAAUAGAAACCCAUAAAUACCAGUUGAAACCAAAAUGUAAUAAAUAAAUAAAAACAUAUUUCAAUGGAUCCAAUUAGUAUUUUUCCGAUCUAGGAUAAACAAACAAAUUUUUCUUCAUUUUGCUUUUUUUUUGUAUUAAUCUUUGUAAGUAAAUUAUAUUUUAAUUUAACAAAGCACUAAACUUUACUUUAAUUUUCAUGCAGGAUCAACUAGCUUAUCAUAAUAAAAUUUAUCAAUAUAGUUGAGCAGAGAUUUGAUGUAAUAAUACCAUACAAAAUUCAAGUAAAAUUAAAUUAAUCAAAUAGGACACUACGGUUAUAUUUGGAUACAUAUUCUAUUUUUUAUUUUUAAAAUUAAAAUUUUGAUAUAAAAUAUGACAACCCUUUGUAUAAAAAAUAAAAAUUUAUCCUAUAAUCUUAAAACUACUUUUCAAUAUUAAAAAAAAAAUGAGGAUGUGUCCUAAAAUUUUAAACAAAUUUAAAAAUAUUUUUAAAUACCAAGAUAUCCACUUUUUUCUUUUUUAAUAAAAAUUCCUAUAUUUGAUAUAAAACUCUAUUUUAAAAAAUGAAAAAUAAAAAAUGUAUCCAAACAUAAGCAAAAUUGUUAGAUUUCAUUGUGAGAUUUCUUAGAUUCUACAAUUCAUAGUGAAAUGAAGACGAGAUAUAACUGACUGAACUAUGAAAAAAAAAAAAUUAACAUUGAUGAGAUUCAAAAAUGCUAGUUAAUGAAAGAGUUUCUCCGCCAGGAUGACUAAGAAAAAUGCUGAAAAAUGUGUCAUGCCCAAAGCAAUGUUACAAUGAAGAAUAGAAUGAGAGCUAACCCGAAACAAAAUCCGACAAUCGCCAUGAAAGCCUGGAUGCAGAGGAAAUGUAACUAGAGACAUGUAAGGAAUCAUUAAACAAGUGAGAACAAUAUCAAAAUCUCAUGUACGACUUACCUUUCCCUGAGAUUCAAACUUGAAUUUUACUGUAAACCAUGACAAUCCUCUAUCUACAAUAGGAGCAAGUGCAAGGGCCCUGCAUGAGAAGCACCUCUACAAAAAUCACAGAAAACCCAAAGGAAAAAAAAAAAAAUAGGGUUGAAUAUGCUAUAGUUGAAUAACAGCCACAAUGCUGGGAAGGUCAAUAACAAAAGCAUUGACUUGAAUGUUAGCAGUGUCAUUUACACUGGCCAUAAGAACCAGAGGUAAUGCGUACAGUUGGUAAGUGGGGAGGAGGGGAUGAGAAAUUGCAAAGUCUUGAAUUUAAUUGUUUCAUGCAAUUCCGUUUUCCAAUACUCUAUAUGAUAAUAUACAUUGUACGGAACAAAAAUAGGGUUGUUUUAAAAUUUUGAACAAAUAAAAAUUUCAUAUCAAUAUCUAAUAUUUAAUAAAAAAGAAUGAAACAAGAGUAAGUACAUUCUCUUCUCCUUAACAUGGUAUUAAAGCAGUCUCCAAACUCUUAACUCCUAGUUGCAAACUUGAUUUCCACUGGAAGUUGCAGUUUGCUUAUUUUGUUAUUCAAGUAAGUUACUUCAAUCUAUCAUAGUUUAAAUGACUUGGGAUGGUAGUUGUCAUGGGCACGAAUUUUCCCACAAAUUUUUUGCAUCCACGCAGCGCUUAGAAGCCCUCUGAGCCAACAUACUCAAACCCACAUGAGAUUGCAAUCAAGAAAAAACUCACAAAGACACACAAGGCUAUGGAGCUCAAUCCCUAACUUGUAUUUUAUUUCUUCUCUAAAUAACAAUACAAGACAUAGCUCAACAAGACUUCCACAAUCUCUUUGGUGAGUUCAUGCUCUCUCUCAAGCUAUGUUUUAAGAAAGUUCUCCCUCUCAAUAUACCUCUGUAUAUUCUCUAUGAUCUCCAGAUUGCACGAUAAUUCAAAGGGCACUCCAGUCCUCCUUUUAUAGGUGUGACACCAACCACUCCCUAUUCGAUAAGGAGCAAUACAUCUUCCUUAAGCUUGUCCCAAUGCCAAGACAUCUUUGUUGUGUUCUGCCUGAAGUCUACCCACUCUUGUGCCUUGAGUCAGUUCAUUCAUGCAUUUGAAUCAGCUGAUGCAUCCGAUCAGCUUGCUAUAGAGUCUCUAGGCAGCCUACUACAUGUGUCUCUAUGCAACUAGUGUGCAUGCCAAGCCCUCUCUUAGCCUACAGAUCUAGCAAUUUUCCUUGGUGCCAAUCUUUUCUUUGGUUCUAGCUCCUUGUUGUUCCUUGAGCGUGUCAGUCAUGCUCAUAUGUGUUCCCGCAUCUGGAUCACGUCCAUGCCGAGGCAACCUGCCCAUGUUUGCUCUGCCUAGUUGUUGCUAUAGCAUCAUGCCAUGCCCAAGCCCUCUUCUUGGUGCAGCAACGAGUCAUGGCAUUGCACCCAUGACUCCUCAUCUCUACGCACAAGGCAUUGUGCCUUUGUGCUAAGCAUUAGGCAUCACAUCUGAGUCGGCUUCCCUUAUCUCUAUGCACAAGCCUCAAGGCAUUGUGCCCUUGUGCCAAGCCACCUUAUUGCACAAGGCAUUUCCCCCUCAUGCUACCGUUGGGAAGGGAAGACUGCAUAGCACCCCAAGUCGUUGCAACCAUGAGUUGCACACCAUCACAUGUCAUGGAGCCCAUGUAUGGCUGCUAGCAAGGCGUUGCCCAUGUGCCUUGCUCAUGUCUGAGGACUUGCACUGAAGCCCCUAAGUGUGGCCAUGCCCAUGCCACCUCGUCUCCCUUGAGUCACCCCCACCCUCGCCCCCCUUAAAAGAGCAUUUUAAGCCCUUUUAAUUAAUUCAGGAAAAUCUAGAAAAUUCCCUUCCACUUGGAGUCUCCCUUUUGAAGGUUCCUAUAAAUCUUUUAUCUCUAAGCAAAUUAACCAAGUCACUUAAUUGUUUUGCAACAUUCCUUCCCUUCCCAUAGUGUAUUUCAAGAUCUCUUAAUGAACAAGACAAUUGGUGGAGGGCAUGAAGUAAAUGGAAUUUAUCACCAUAUCGGCCCACCUCUUACUCCAAUUGCUCUACAUACUUCCAUUUCUUCUAUGUAGUGGCACACCUUUCACUUCGCAUCUUUAGCAUAUGGGACUUCUAGUUAUAUUGGACUCCAAGUUAAAGCACCAAGUUUGCGAGUCAAGAAAAUAGCUUCAUCAUAGUGUUGUUCUAGUCCUUUUUGUGCUAUAAUCAAUAAGAGGAGUACUAGUCCUUUUCAUCUUGUUCAUUUAGACAUUUACAGUUUAUGUUGUGUUGUUCCUAAUGUUGAACUAAACUUUCUUAUUGCUAUUUUAUUAAUUAGAUCAAUGAAAAUGGUAUGAGCAUAAAGAGGCUGAAUAAUAGGUACUAAUCUCUUAAAAAAAAAAUUUUAAAAAUAAUCUUAUAGAAACAUCAUCAGGUGACUAUGCACAAGUAAAUGGUCUGACAAGGCGUGAGAAAAACAUUCAUUUUUGUGCAAGAACCAAGUAUUUGCAUCUUAAUCAACCAAAGAAUAAAUGGCUGAAGACAAUAAAUGACUGAACAAAAAGAAAAUCAUAAGUUUUAGGCCAGACACUUUUUUCAUCAAUUAUAUACAACAACAAUAAAUCAAAUAGUCCUAAAUUUCAAGAGAAUAAUGCUCAGCAGCUAUGCAUACUCACAAGUCACAAAUACCUCAUCCUUAACUAAUUUACAUGAAUGAAUUAUUUACUUACCAUACCAAGAGAAACGUUGUAAGAUAGUAUGCAGUAUUCAGGAGUCCAUAGGAUAAUAUUCCAGAAAUUCCAUAUCUCUUCAGUUUCUUUAGAAGACUGAAAGGUUAAGCAAGAGUGAGCUCUCAAUGUAAGUAGACAUGCAUUUAUGCAUACAAAGGGCAAAAGGAUUGAGGUAUCACUUCUUACAGAUUGUUUGCAUGAAAUUCAGUAGUAGAAGAGAAAUUAAUAUGAUUGGGACAAGAUCACUCAUCCAAACAAUAGUUUAUUUACUGAGAAAAGGUCUACAGCAUACUCAUGCAGUAGACAAAAUGAAUCUUUUGUGUCAUGUUCCAAUAAUGUUAACAAACUACAUUAAAUUCAUAAGGUUACAUAGAAAAAGAAAGAAAAGACAUUGUUGCAAUAGUUUGUCUGUUACACUGCUAGCACCCAGACUACGACCAAAUCCUUGCAUUCAAAUUGAAUUUCAAACUCCCAAUGUGAAAAAGGAAGAUACAAAAAAGAAAAGAAAAAAAAGAAGAAAAAAAAAAGUGGGAAAGAAAAGAGACAUGGGAUUUCUAUGUAUAAUAAAUACAUAUUAUAUGUAUAGAUAAAUGCAUGUAUGUGCAUAUGUGAUAGAGGCUGGUCAGACACAUUUCAAGAAGUUUCACAACUUGCUUUGGAAUGACAAACACCUGGAUCAAUAAAUGGCUUGUCUCCAUUAUUGAGAAAUUGCAGAUAAAUUUCAUCCACUACGGGCAUGGGGUGGCUGGACAAAGUUAUGCCAUUUGGUGGGAUGUAGUGGACUUAAGACAGAAAAUUCUCAAUCAUUCUUCUGUCCCUUGUGCAGUGUUGAAGCUGACAAUAUUAUUGAGCAUACAAGGAAUGUGAUGUAAAACAUCAUUGAGGAGCCAUGAGCUGCGAAUGCAUGGAGAAAUUAAGUUAUGAUUAAGUUUUGGUGAGGGAUUUUCAGAUGCAGAUCAUAUGGCAAAUUAUCAACUUCAGAGAAUUGCACGUUUUUAUUCAUUUCCAUACACAUUGAAUAAUCAUAUUUAAAAUCUCUCAUUCACUUGUUUCGCUUCCAUUAGUGCUCCUUCCACAUGCCUAUUAGCAGCACAGACCUCAUGAUAGUUUGGUAAAGGUAAGACAAUAAAAUUGAAAAAUACAGCUAAAGCCUAAAAUAUUGGCUAAUAAAGAGAGAAACCAUCCAAGUUCUAUCUUAAAUGACUCUACAAGUUCUAAACAGGGAGACAAGGACUUCAACCUGGUCCAUCAAUGCAUAUAAAUGGGUAAACAUUCCAACAGCCAUUACGUUAGAAGUACACUAAAAGAAAAUUAUUAAACAAUGUUGUUUCCAAAAAAAUUCCAUGUUAAAGAAUAGAAGAACAUACUGCUAUAAAUGAAAUUCAUUCAAAAUCAGUUCAAACAGUAAAGUUAAGAAUUGUGACUGCAAUUUUUUUCUAAGAAAGAAACAACAAUUGUGACUGCAUAUCACCCACACUUGUUUUAUUUACAAUCCACACAAUGUAUUCUUCCCUAGCAUGUUAUCCCAUUAAGUAGCCUCCAGAUAAAAUUCCCUUUCCAACUCUGUCAAUCAGUCAAAAAAUUUCAUGUAAAAUGUAAAAUACAUGGGUACACAAAAACAACUAUAUAAACUGCCAUCCCAUCAUUAAUAAAUCAGUUGUCUAUAACAUAGACUAAUAGCAUUGUAAGGCAAGUAGGAAGUACUCUUUUGAUGUGUGCAGUUCUCCUUCACCAUUUUCGCCCUUUGCACUUGAGUCUAUAAAAAUAUGUAUAAGUAGAUUUUUAGAAAUAUCAAGUUUAUCAAAUGUAAAAUAUGGUAUCACAAAAAGCUACACCAUUUUUCCAGUUAUCAUUUGAAAGAUAUUGAUACCUUCAUGGUUGGCAGAGUAGUCAUGACCAUUUGACAUGCCAGAAGCCUAACCUACAACAAAGGCAAUGUUGAAAAAGCAAUAUUCAAAAUUCAAUGAAAAAAAUAGAAGACAAACAAAUGAACAAAUAGCAUAUCAUCACACUCAAUUGUUUUCCACAUAUGAUAAACUAAAUGAAAGAAACAAGGAAUAUAUUGAGAAAAAACCCUAUGAUCAAUGGAUAUGCAGUCGCAUUCCAGCACAGAUAUAGGAUCAAACAAGUAACUAAUCUAGACAUAGCUGCAGCAAAUUUGUGUAUCUCUGAAUGUGUGUCUGCUUUUUGUGGGGGUAUUUAUUAUGACAUGUUCUUGGUGCAGACAAACCAUCUGCAUUUACUUGAGGAUUAGGUAAAAAACAUACUUUUCAUUUAAAAUGAGGCCUUGAACAUCAAGCCACGGUGAGUUUUCAAAUAAGGAAAACGUAAUAGCUUUACAAUGAGUCCCAUAGCAAGAAGGCAUAUAAUUCCAUUCAUCAGCAUACCAGAAUAUAGAAUAGUGUGGACAUGUGGACACAUGCCAGAAUUAGCAUUGGACACACUAACAUGCCAGUCAUACAUAGAAAGAAUUUCCAAAGAUAUUAAAGUAAAACACUGGUAGUAAGCAAAUUAUACCCAGAAAAACAUGCAAGUAUAGGCCAAGAUCAAAUCUUAAUUUUAAUUUCUAGAAAAAAAAAAAUUUAUAUCAACCAAUAGAAAUGGUAUCACCAGCAAUUAACACCAAAACACACCAACAUAUCGGAAUGCAUAACACGUGUACCCAUCUCCAAUCAGCACUACACCUAUACAAGUUAGCCUGUAGCAGGUCAUAAUAGGUUCAGACUAUAAAACCUUCCAAAUCUUCCUUUGCAAGGCUUAGAAACCAUUUUCUAAGUAAUUUACAAUUUUAAAAGCCUGUGACAAGAUUUUGGAUGAAGAGCUUGAAUUAUAUACUCACAAACCCACUCCAAAAUUUCCUUAAGGUAAUACACAUUUUUUGAAGUCCUUUCCAAUGUCUUCUCUUAUUUGAGUUAGAAAAGCCAAUUUUUUUAUGAAUUGAUUACUACGUCUAUUGAGGUUUGAGGUGUAUAACUAAUUUCUUAAUAUAUCAUAAUUUACAUCAGUUAUUAGAAAUUAAGGUUCAAUCCUUUUACACUAAGAAAAUCCUGAGCAAUUAAAAAAUACCUUCUUUAAUAUUAUUAAAUUUAAGUUUCCUUCAGGUCUUUGAGUCAAAUAGAAAUUAGUGUAAAAGGAAUUUUAAUUUUCUUACACUAAGAAAAUUAAAAAAUAGGCAAAAUAAUUUUCAAAUUUUGGAACUUUAUAGGUAAUGCUUAUUAAAAUAAAGCAACAAAGUUUGUCAUUUGCCAUUGAAUGAACCAAUUGUAGAAAACUAUGCAAAAAAUUUUAUUAGUAUGGAUUUUUUUUUUCUACCGAUAAAUAGAAUUCAAUUUCAAACCUGCCCCUCCCAACCCACCACUUGCUGCUUGAGGCAAGCUUAGAGGCAGAAAACUAUUUACAAUUCUACGUAUGGAUAAAAAUUAUUCUUAGAUUUUAUGCCAAAUUCCAUAUUUAUAGGUAUCAAUUUAUUAUUCUACUGUUGUCAAAAGCUUCAAUUUUAGGCGUCCUCAUGGUUAUGCCACCCUUAAAUGAGAACAACUUUGGUCUUCUGUUUUUCUUUUUGAGCUCUUCAAAUUUUUGCAAGGUAUUUUUAUAAUCUUAUUAAGCUCAAUGGGAGAGAGAGAGAGAGAGAGGGCGAGAGAGAGAGAGAGGGCGUGAGGGAGUGUGAGAGCGCGUGCGACGGCGACGACGAUGAGUCCGGCGAGGCGAGUCGAAAGCGAAGCUUCACGGUGGAAUCCAAGACUUUCGAGCUUGCCUUGGAUGAUAGGAAAGGGAAACGCCAGAUUCGCAUUGUGGAGAAGAAGCGGGGGGUCUCGACAUGGGUUCGAUUAGGGCUGGAAAGCUUAGGGCUCUUCAAGGAGGGACUAAUCCAUUGUAUACGAGACGAAAAAGAAGGGAGAUGGGAAAAGGAGUGGAAAGAAAGAGGCAAGCUGUAUACAUUGGCUCGGGGUUUCAACAGAGCGGGUGGUUUUUUAAGGUUGGGGGUUGUGGAUCUGGAACGAAAAAGGUUUUGUAUCUUCUUACCGAGAGGUAGGAGGAACAAAAGAGGAUGGACGACUAUGGCGGAGAUGGUACAUCAAAUGGAAGAACUGGCUAGUGGAAGAACAAACUUGCAGGAGGUAAGGACCGUCGGAAAAGCUACUCCGGCGAAAUCAUACGCAGAAGCAGUCAUGAGAACAAAUUGGAAUGGCUUAAACGCAAUCAAGAUGAAGGUCACUAGGGAGGAGAUUGCUGGAAAUUUACAGAAGCUGGAGCACUGCCUCGUCGCGAGCUGGAAGUCCAACGAAAAGGAAGAAGAAGACUUGGAGAGAUUGGGAAGUCAUUGGGCGAAUUCUUGGGGUCUUAAAGGCAAGCUAGGGCUGGCCAAGUUGGAACAAGGUAGGGCACUGUUGGAGUUUGAAGAUCUAAGAGAGGCACACCGUGUGGUCUCCUCGGGGAGCAGAGUGAUGGGAGGAGCUCACUUAGGGUUGGAUCUAUGGAAUCCAAAGACGGGAUGUCGGGUAGAGGAGGAGAUGGAACAGGAAGCUUGGGUUAAAAUCUUCGGCCUUCCAAUUUCGCUAUGGAGCCCGGGGAUUCUGAAGAAAAUAGGGGAGGAAUGUGGGGGCUUUGUAGAUAUUGACGAGCGGACAAGGUCGAUGGGGGAGAUUCAAUGGGCUAGGAUACUGGUCAAAAUAAGAGGUGAUUUUAGACCAAGUAUGUUAGAAAUUGAGGUAGAGGAGGAGGUAUACACUGUGACACUGUGGUGGGAGAUUAGGCCGGUGGUGAGACGGAUCUUCUCUGCGACGGAAAACAGGAGGAGAAAGGAGGUCAGGGGUGACUCGUAUUCACGCGCGGAGAAGCGCGUGGGGAAGGAGCUGGUAGACGCGGGAAUCGAGGAACUGCACCUGCCAGAUGUUGGGAGUGAUCUGCAGGAGAAUAGGCCGGGUCUAGUGCCCGGGAACCAGAUCCAUGGCCCGGUGACCCGGGAUUGGGCCUAUCCAGAUGGAAGAGUGGCUGGGUCAACCGCAUGUGGCCCAAAUAUGGAUCUUAAUGAGUUGGAGAAGGAUGGUGGGCAGACUAAAAUAGACGGGCCUUUGGGCCGAAAGUUAAAAAAUAAGUCAAAGGUGGCUAGUGAUUCAGAGGCAGGCCCAUCGUCUAGUAGUUGGGCUGCUGAACUGGGCUGCCAUCCUUUAGUUGAGGUGGAAGGCCUGGAAAGGGAGGGCCCAACUGUUCCCCUAGAGAAGGCUGGUUUUUUGGGCCGUUUUAGCUCCAGAAAAGGACCCAUUUCAGAGGAUCCUUUGACGAGCUGGGUGCCAGAGGAGUUUAGAAGGGAACAGAGGGAUGAUGGCUUUUCAAUGACUGAUCGAGCGCUGUAAGAGGAAGCUAAAAGGUAUGUCCUGAUUUCCCAUCCUAAAGGAAAAUGGGUUAUGGGGACACCUCUUCUUCUCUCUUCUAAUUCUGAUCGGGCUCCGGAGGGGGAGUCUUUUGAUCGCCCAGGGGGAAUUGAGGAGGAAUUAAGGGGGGACAUGUCAACAUGGUUAACAGUCUAUGAGGGGAACGUUGAGAAUGAAAAUGGAUCUUGGAAGCUGGGAGAGGACAACAAAAGCAGAGACAAGGUUAAGGGCAAGGAGGAGAACACUGGGGUCUCUGGUUCUCAAGAUACCGAAAAUGAGAAAGAGGAUCUAUGAGAGGACUGUAGUCUUGCAAAAUUUAGCCAAUUCUUGGGAUUCUCUAUGAAGGGGCUGGAAAAGGAGAUAUUGAAUUUUCUGAUUAAAAUCAAAAAGAGGCGGGAAAAGAUUCACAGCAAAGAACUUUUGGAGAAGUCCAAGUUUGAAAGGGAACUAAAGAGGCUGGAAUGCUCUAUCAAUUACGAGGGGGGGAAUAAGCAGAAAGGUCCUUCACAGGGCAAAAGGAAUCAGUUGAUAGUUGCCCAAUGAAGCUGAAGAUUAUAACCUGGAAUGUGAGGGGAGCUAAUGACAGCUCUAAGAGGAAAAUUAUUAAGAGCUAUAUAAGGAACCAGAGGGUGGACCUAAUGUGUAUUCAGGAAACCAAGAUUCAGGAGAUGUCGGAGGGUAUUGUGAGAAGUCUGGGUUCGGGGAGAUUCUUAGAUUGGAGAGCCUUAAAUGUGGAGGGGGCUGCGGGUGGCAUUUUGAUAUGCUGGGACAAGCGGGUUCUGGAUAUUUUGGAUUGGGAGGAGGGUCAGUUCUCUUUGUCUUGUAGAUUCAAGACCACAGUAAAUGGGGCUACUUGGGUUUUUACGGGAGUGUAUGGUCCUUUUACCAAAGUGGAAAGGGAGGGUAUGUGGGAAGAACUUGGGGCAAUAAGAGGCCUUUGGGAUGAUCCCUGGUGUCUCGAUGGGGAUUUUAAUAUCACUCUGUUUCAACAAGAAAGGAGCAGCCAAAGAAGAAUCAGCUCAGCCAUGCGGAGAUUUGCAGAGACUGUGGAUGAUCUAGAGCUGGUGGACCUGCCCCUUCAGGGGGGAGAGUUCACAUGGAAUGGGGGGCUUAAUAAUCAGGCGUGGGUGAGACUAGACAGAUUUUUAGUUUCCCCUAGCUGGUUAGAUCAGUUUAGUGGAUUCACUCAGGGCAGGUUGUCUCGGCCAAUUUCUGAUCAUUUUCCAAUCGUGUUAGAGGGGGGUGGAAUAAGAGAGGCCCAACCCCGUUUAGAUUCGAAAAUAUGUGGCUUAACGUUGANGNUUUAAUGACAUUGUUAGAACCUGGUGGNNNNNNNNNNNNNNNNNNNNNNNNNNNNNNNNNNNNNNNNNNNNNNNNNNNNNNNNNNNNNNNNNNNNNNNNNNNNNNNNNNNNNNNNNNNNNNNNNNNNAGGAAGCUGAAUUAAAAAAGGAAGCUAAAGACUCCUUUAAGAAAUGGGUCCUGUUGGAGGAAGCCCAUUGGAGACAGCACUCAAGGGAGAUUUGGUUAAGGGAGGGGGAUAGAAACAUGGGGUUCUUCCAUAGAAUGGCAAGUGCUCAUCGAAGAAACAACGCUAUGGACAGAAUUAAGGUUAAUGGGGAGUGGCUAGUAGAGGAGCAGGAGGUGAGAGAAGGAGUUGAGAAUUCGUUUCAGCAGUUGCUUUCUGAAGAUAUGGGUUGGCAGGCGGAUAUUGGUAGAAUUCAGGUGGGUUGCAUCAUUCAGCAAGAAGCAGAGAGUCUGGAAAUCCCAUUUGCAGAGAUUGAGAUUCACUCGGCGCUGAUGGAGAUGAAUGGGGAUAAAGCCCUUGGCCCGGAUGGUUUUACUGUAGCCUUUUGGCAAAAUGCAUGGGAUUUUACCAAAGAGGAGAUCAUGGAGAUGUUUAAAGAAUUUCAUGAGCAUAAUUCCUUUAUUAGGAGCCUUAACAAUACUUUCUUGGUGUUGAUACCUAAGAAAAGCGGGGCUGAGGAUCUUGGAGACUUUAGACCUAUCAGCCUGUUGGGGGGGGGGCUCUAUAAACUUUUGGCUAAAAUCUUAGCUAAUAGGCUCAAAAAAGUGAUUGGUAAGGUGGUCUCUAUUGCUCAGAAUGCCUUUGUAAUGGGAAGACAAAUUCUGGAUGCGUCUUUAAUUGCUAAUGAGGUGAUAGAUUCGUGGCAGAAGAGAAAAGAAAAGGGUCUUAUUUGCAAAUUGGAUAUAGAAAAAGCUUAUAACAGCAUUAAUUGGAAUUUCUUAAUGAAGGUCCUUCAAAAAAUGGGCUUUGGGACCAAGUGGGUGGGAUGGAUGUGGAGUUGCGUGUCUUCUGCUAAAUUCUCUAUUCUUGUUAAUGGAGUGCCAGUUGGGUUUUUCCCUAGCACUAGAGGGCUUCGUCAAGGGGAUCCUCUAUCCCCUUACCUCUUUGUUAUGGGAAUGGAGGUUCUGGACAUCCUUAUCAGGAGAGCGGUGAAGGGGGGAUAUCUUUCAGGAUGCAACAUUCGGGGUGGUAGUAGAACUUCCUUGAAUAUCUCCCACCUAUUUUUUGCUGAUGACACAAUUGUGUUUUGUGAGGCGAGCAAAGAGCAAGUUUCUCACCUAAGCUGGAUUCUUUUUUGGUUUGAAGCGGCUUCGGGUCUUCGAAUUAAUCUAGCCAAAAGCGAAAUCAUUCCAGUUGGAGAAGUGGAGGAGAUUCUUGAGAUGGCAGUUGAGUUAGGGUGCAGGGUGGGGUCUCUGCCCUCUCAUUAUUUGGGUCUCCCCUUAGGGGUCCCCAAUAGGGCUACUUCUAUGUGGGAUGGAGUGGAAGAGAGGGUCAGAAGGAGACUUGCGCUUUGGAAAAGACAGUACAUUUCCAAAGGGGGGAGGAUCACUCUCAUAAAAAGCAUCUUGGCUAGCAUGUCAAUUUACCAAAUGUCUAUUUUCCGAAUGCCCAAGUCUGUUGCUAAAAGAGUGGAGAAAUCCCAAAGAGAUUUCCUAUGGGGGGGAGGAAACUUAGAGGGAAAAGUUCACUUAGUUAAAUGGGAUGCGGUCUGUACAGAAAAACACAAGGGAGGGCUAGGAUUAAGGAGAAUAGUCACUCUGAAUAGAGCCUUGCUGGGCAAGUGGAUUUGGAGGUUUGCUUGUGAAAAGGAUAACCUUUGGAAACAAGUGAUCACUAUGAAAUAUGGGCAAGAGGAUUAUGGUUGGAGGUCAAAGAAGGCUAGUGGGGCGGCCGGAGUAGGGGUCUGGAAGGAGAUUAUGAAAGAAUCUGUUUGGUGCUGGGAAAAUUUGGCUUUUAUAGUUGGGAAGGGUUCCAAAAUCAAAUUUUGGAAAGAUAGUUGGUGCACUGACACUCCGUUGUCCCAAUGCUUCAAUCAUCUCUUUGUCCUUGCCGUGCAUAGGGAUGCUACGAUUGAGGAGAUGUGGGAUCAGGACUCGGGCCAAGGAGAUUGGAAUUUUGUUUUUGUGAGGGACUUCAAUGAUUGGGAGUUGGAUAUGGUUGGGGAGCUGCUUCAUACUUUGAGGGGUCAUAGGCCCUCCCUGGAGGAUGAUUCAGUUAUGUGGAGGCAUGGAAGAAAUGGUCUAUUCAGGGUCAAAGAAGCUUACAAGCUGUUAGACAAGCCUAAUGUCACAGUAUUUCCCGCAAGGAGAAUAUGGGUGGAUAGGGUGCCAACUAAAGUCUGCUUUUUUGCUUGGGAGGCUACGUGGGGGAAGGUGCUCACUCUGGACAGACUCCAGAUAAGAGGGGUGCAACUCCCAAAUUGUUGCUUUUUGUGUGGUUGUGAAGAAGAGAAUGUAAAUCAUAUUCUUUUACACUGUAUAGUGACUAGAGCCCUAUGAGAUAUUAUUUUUGGGUUGAUAGAUGUUAAGUGGGUCCUCCCAGAAACUGUAAAUGAGACUUUAAUCUCUUGGAGGGGCUCAUUUGUAGGGAAGAAAAGGAAAAAGAUUUGGAAAUCCAUUCCGUUAUGUAUUUUUUGGACGGUUUGGAAGGAGAGGAAUAGGUUAGCCUUUAAGGGGGGUGCGUUGAAUAUUCAGAAAUUAAAGAAUUCUUUUGUCUGUAACUUGUGGAAUUGGGACAAAGUGUAUUUAGGUGAGGAGUCUUUCUCCCUUAUAGGUUUUUUGGAGUGGAUAGCUUCCACUUAAGGGGAGGUAGUUCUUUUUGUUCCUUUUUCUCUUUUUGAGGCAGUAGCCGUCUUGUAUACUCCCUGUAUGCUUUGUGGCGUUUAGCCUUUUCUAAUGCAUAUCUUGUUUACUUAUCAAAAAAAAAAAAAAUUUGCAAGGUACUUCUAUCCAGGUUCUAGGAAACACCCACUUUUUUAAAUCUCCAAUAAUUUAGUGUUCUGUGGCUGAGGGAAUAGACUUAUUUUUGGUUGAAACACAUAAAAUUCUUGGAUAUGUAUAUAUAUAUUUUUUGGCAUCAGGUCCUUUUAGGUUGAUUUUUCUACUUAUUUUUCACCCACCAAUUAACAUUGCCCUAACUCUAUUAUCUAACCGAGCAAAUGUUUAUGAACUAGCAAAUCAUACUAAAAUUUCUUACUAGUUGACAUGUGCAUCAUCUCAGCAUGUCAUUCCAACACCAAACUACAACCAUAAUCCCACUAACAUCCUAACUGCCUCAAUGAGUAUGGAUUACAGAAAUGCAAUUAAAAUAUACUUCCCUAUUUAAUUUCAUAAUUUUUAUAAUAAUAUUUCAGCAAUAUUUCCACAUAGUAGCUUAUGUGAGAAAUCCCCAUUUCUGUUUAAAAUCGAAAAACCCUAUAGCUUGCGCAAGUAAAUAGGAAAAAAAAAAAACAGAGGUUUUGCAGAAUUGGGAGAGCAGACUCACACCAGCAUGGCCAUUGAUUGAGCAGAAACGUAGAUGACGAUGAUGGUGGUGGAAUUGGGAGAAAUUGUUGAGUUUGGGAACCCUAGGAAAGCUGGGAUUGAAAGAAGAGGAUUGUGAGAGAGAAUUGGAAAUUUAAGAAACAAACACAAAAAAUAAAUCCAAGAAAUAAAUAAGAAGCGUAAAAAUGAAAUAGAGAAGAGUGUGUAUGACGCACCUGAUGAUGUGAAAGCAGCUUCAGCUGGUGAAGGCAAACUUUCGACGGGAGAGACAUCAGGAUACUGGCCUCUGACAACAAUCGCUCCAAAAUAUUCUUUCUAUACCAUUUAUUAUUAUUAUUAUUAUUAUUAUUAUUAUUUUAUUAUUAUUUUCAGGUUAUUGAAGUGUAAUGUCCACCGUACACCCUUACAUGAUGAAGCCUUUAGAACUCUCCAUGGAGCCUAAAUCUCACAUUGCUAAUCACCCUAUAAUAACCAGCAUAUAGUAAAUUCAAAGUAUCAUUAAUGAUAGAUUUCAAACUUAGGACCAUAUAUCAUUUAUUGAGACCACACUUCUUAAUGUUCAUCCUUAACGACACACUCAUAUAUAUCAAAUUACCCAAUGACCUACUUUUCCUAUUUUCUCAUUUUUAGAAAUAAAAAGAAAAAAUAAUAAUUUCUAUUUUUAAUUUUUUAAUUUUUUUUAUAAGUAAAUUUUUGUUCUCAUUAGGACCUGUGGAACCUCCCACAAGUCCUCCCGAAUCCUUUACCACUUGAGUCAUGCCUUAAUGGCUUGUUUUUUUAAAAAAAUUAAUAACAACUUUUAUAUAUAAAAAAAAUACUUAUAAAACAUACUUAUAAAAAAUAUACAUGUCAUUAAAAGUUUAAAGAAAUUUAAAUUUGAUAAUAAUUUUUUAAAUAAUUUAAUGUGUUAAUUGUUCUUAAAAACUUUAAAUAACCUAGAAAAGAAUAAUAUGGUUAUAAAUUGACCAAAUUGUUAUAUGGUUUUAAAUAGUCACCUUAACAAUGUUACAAGUGAGUUAAUUAAUUUAUGGUAGAGAAGAAUUACAAUAGAAUUCAAUUAGUUAUCGUAUUUGAAGUCUUUGAUUAUUUGUUGAAUAAUAUUUGCAGCCAGUUAGCUAGGGUUGGCUAACCCAAGCCAAACCUACUUACUAAUAUGUCCAACCUAUGCUAAACUCGAUUCAAAGUUAGAUUGGUAGUUACUAAACUCAUUGACAACUAAAGUUUCUAUGGAUUCCCACAAGUUUUCAUGGAUUAUCAAAUAAACCACAUAUAAUGGAAUCUCCUAAUAUAAAAAAGACAUAUUUCAAAAUUAUAAAUUAAACCAUAUUAUAAAAUAAAAUUUUAACAAAGUCAUAAAUUAUAUUACUAGUGACUAAUUUUAAUGGUAACAUGAAACACAAGUGUGAAUAUUUAAAAAUAUUUUAAUAAUUAAACAAAAAUGAUAAACUUAUAGUGUAAUGUAAUAAAACUAGCAAAAGUUAUAGUUUUUCCAUUAUCCCUUUUAUAAAUUUCAUAUUUUAAAUAAACUAAUAAAUAAUAUAAUAGUAAUGAAUUUGCUUAGUCUUCAUCAUGUAGAACCAAUGUGAAGAAAUUUUUUUUAAUAGGACUGAUUAAUGACUUAAUUAAGGGUAGGUUACAGCAUACACUAGGAGUCAAGAAAUAAGAUGUCAAGACUUGUACAUUCUGAAUAGGGAAGGGAAGAGUAUCCUAACAUAAGAGACCAAAAACAUGCUCAGGGAGAUUCUCGUUAGGAUCAAAUUGGGGGCAUAGAUGUAUCUCUUUGGUAAGAGUUCCCAUAAUUUAGGUAUUAAUGAAAUAGGUAUAAAAGAAUUAUAUAUCUUGAUAUGAUCAUGUUGUUAAUGAUGAUCUAAUGAGUUGAAAUAUUAUGUUUUCAACUGUGUAUAUCUAAUAAAUACAUCAAGUACUUAAACUUUAAUAUAGAAAUGCUCCAUAAUGGUUUGUAUGACUCAUCCUCUUAUAAACAUAUUAUUUAGAUUAGGCUAAAGUGGUCAAAGUAAGAAGAAAACUUGAUACUUGAUUUGAAGUAUGAAGAAUUCUUCUUAGACUUUGUGUGUAGUAUUGUUUGCUUAUUGUUGUGUUAAAGUCUAUUUUGAUGUAUUUUGGAAAGAAUGACCAACUAGAACCACUAUAAGAUGUUGCAAAACUUAUUUAAACAAGGGCUUGUGAGCAAGAUUUUUUUUUUUCCCUUUCAUGUACAAAUAGUAUGAUGAAUGAAAAUUUGAUUCUCAGUUGUAAUUAGUGUUUUCCUUAAGUUUUAAAUCAUGCAAUGAAUACUUAAAAUUAGUUUAAGAUGUCAAAGAAUGUAAGUAAACAAGGUUUUACAUGUUGGAUAUAUAAUUAAUGCAAAACCUUUACCUUCCACAUUGAAUGAUUACAUUUUUUCUUUAAGUGCCCUUUAAUCAUUCUCAUCUUGUUUAAUCAUUUUUCUCUAAUGUCUUGAGCAUAGUAGAUUUCUAUAAAUUUACAUGAGCAUUCCUUAACUCUUCUUGAGUGAUCCUAAACUUAGCAUUGAAACAAUCAUAAUUUAGGCGAAGAUGCUUACACGUCUUCAUAAUCAUCCUUGGUUGCUAGCCAUUUUUCCUUAAUUACUUUAGGAUGUUUAGCGAAGAUGAUUACAAAUAUUAACUAGUUCACUCACACAUUUUUGUAUGAGUGUAGAACAAUUUUGCAUUCUUUCCACAUCACUUAUGCAUCUUUGUUCCAAGAAAGAAGAUAUAGAACUCUUAUCUUUUGCUUACACCACUUGGUUCUCCAGCCCAUUAUGCUUAUGCGUCAUUUUUAUAUCACAUAUGCAACUUGUUUCUCAUUAAUAUAUUUCACUUACAUGUUCUUAUAUAAGCAUAAUUUAGGGAAAAACAUUUUAAAAAAAAAGAAGCAAAAUAGAUGUUAAUAUAUAUAUAUAUAUAUUUGGAACAAUUAAACUCAAACUAUGCAAAGUGACCUUGUCUACUAUAUAGGUGACUUUGUUUACCCCAUAGGUAGAGUAUAUGAUAGUGAUAGUCAAGGAAGCUAUGUAGUUGCAUGGUUUAGUGGAGAAUUUAAUGUUGCAAAACCGUUUUGUAUUUUUAAUAAAAUAAAAAUAUUUUAAAUUGUGGCCCAUUUAAAUAUUAUUUUCCCUAAAAUAAAUGAAACGUGGGAGCACAUCUCUUAUGGAGUAACCACCCAUGUCUACAAAUGUGGGACAUAUUACUCGGUUGAAAACUACCCAAAGUCUUUUUUGAUGGGAAGAAGAGAAAAUAAAUAGAUAGAUACAAGAUUAAUUCCAAAAGAGGGAAGAAGGGUCUCUGGUCUACAAGAAUAAGUCUGUGAUUAGUUUCAUCAGUCCCUAUUUUGUGUGAAUCUGAUUGCCAUGGCUGGAGGUACGAUCUUGGAUUUUCAUUUUAUUACUUGUAAUUAUCAGAGAUAUUUAUCUAACAUUUGGUAUCAGAGCCAAGGGUCUCUAGUUUGGCUUUCGAUUCAAUAUUUAUGGUCUUAAAUGAAUUAAGUUCUAUAUUCAUACAUGAUAAGAGAAAUUUAUCUCCAUAUUUAUUGGGUAUUUCUAAUUUAAUCCAAAUGAAGAAAAUUUAGUAGACUCCAUAUUUAUUGGAUAUUUUUUAUUUAAUCUAUACAGAUUUGUUUUUCUACAGUUGCAAUAGACAUUUCUCAUAUGACAUGUUAUGUUUCCUGCAAUUGAGACAACUUGAACCCGUGACCAUGGGUUACUUCCUUAACUAGAAUAGUCCUUGAACCAUUGGACUAAAGCCUAUGACUUGUUAGAGAUUGCCUCCUCUAAACUUAAAUGUUGGCUCCGUUAUUGUGAAAAACUUGUAUAAAUUAUUUUUAUAAAGUAGUAUUUAGAAACACUACUUAUAUUUGUUUACCAUUGAUUUGGUAAUUUUUUUGAUGUCAUACUGAGGUAACAUUUGAUUAAUUAAGUAAUAGCCACAACAUUCUUGAUUAUGAUAAUGUUAAGUGACAAAAGAAAGUUUCAUUUUUGUCACAUUAAAUUAAUGACAUCAAUAUUUGUAAAUAAUCAUAAAAAAUAAUAAUUUUACCCCACAGGGUAAUUAUUAUGUUUUGUGUUUAUUUAGGAUGGGAUGGUAAAAAAAAAAUAUGUUGCCCAUAGGCCUAAAAUUACUAGUUCCAUUAUAAAGUAAUUAAAAAAAAAACAUUUGCAUGUUGUAUUCUGUUUCCACAGGAAAGUUUAUGAUCACGUGUUGAUUUUUUGUUGAUUGAAUUAAUUUACAUGAGUAAAUUUUGUUUUUUGCUUCAUGGCAUAUUAGUAAGCUUUGUCAUUUAUUUUGUAGUUCAAUCUAUAUAUGUUCCAAAUUUUGAUUCAUCUCGUAUACCUUUCUUGAAUGGUGAUAAUUAUGCUAAUUGGUAGGAGAAAAUUCUCCUUACAUUGGGGUGCAUGGACCUUGAUUUAGCACUUUGUGUGGAUGAGCCAUUGGUUCCUAUGGAAUCAAGUACCCAAACUGAGAAAGCAUCAUAUGAACGUUGGGAGCGAUCUAAUUGCUUAAGUUUGAUGUUUAUCAAGUCUAGUAUUGGGAAAAGUAUUCGUGGUUCAAUUUCUGAAUGUGCUAAGGUGAAAGAAUAUCUCAAGGCUAUUGAGCAACAGUUUGAGGCUUCUGACAAGGCUUUGGCUAGCACCUUAAUGACAAAGAUGUGUUAGAUGAAGUUUAAUGGCACCAAAGGAGUACGUGAGCACAUAAUGGAAAUGAGAGAUAUUGCUACUCAACUUAAGUCAUUAGAGAUUGAGAUGUCUGAGUCAUUUCUGAUUCACUUCAUUCUUAAUUCUUUUCCAUCUGAGUAUGGACCUUUUAAGAUUUCAUACAACACACAUAAGGAAAAAUGGUCUAUUAAUGAACUUUUGACCAUGUGUGUGCAAGAAGAAGGAAGACUAAAUCAAGAAAGGAUUGAAAGUGCCCAUUUGGUGACUUAAGAAAAGAAACCAGGCAAGAAAGGUAAAAGAAAGCAAAAGACAUCUCUUAAUCAAGUUAAUAAGAGCGAUAUCAAGUGCUUCUUUUGCAAGAAGAAAGGACACAUUAAGAAGUGUUGUCCCAAAUUUAAAGCUUGGCUUGAAAAUAAAGGUAAUCUUAUCUCUUUAGUGUGUUAUGGAUCUAAUAUGGUUCAUAUUUCUUACAACACUUGGUGGAUUGAUUCUGGUACUAAAAUUCAUGUUGCCAAUACCAUGCAGGGCUUCUUAAACCAAAGGAAACCAACAGAAAGUGAAUGCUCUAUCUAUUCAGGAAAUCGGAUAAGUUCACAUGUGGAAGCGGUUGGGACCUACAGACUUGUUCUUAGAUCUGGUUUUGUUUUAAACCUUGAAAACUCUUUUUUUGUUCCAUCAUUUUCUAGGAAUCUUAUUUCAGUUUCGAGACUUUUACCAUAUGGUUUUAGUUUUAAAUUUGUUGUUAUUUCAUUUCAUUUGAUAAAAGACAAUGUCGUUGUUGGUGAUGGUAUUUUGGAUAAUGGUUUAUUCAAACUCAAUUUAAAUCCAAGUUUUAAUCAUAGACUUACAACUAUGCAUGGAAAUGUUGGCAUUAAGUGUGGUGUUAUAAAUAAGAAAUCUUCCACAUUAUGGCACAAGAGAUUAGAUCAUAUCUCUAUUGAAAUAAUUAAAAGAUUGGUAAAUGAUGGAGUCCUUGAGGCUCUUGAUUUUACUGAUUUUGAUAUUUGUGUGGGUUGCAUUAAGGGAAAGCAAACCAACAUGACUAAGAAUCAAAGUGCUAGGAGGACUUCUAAUGUUUUAGAAAUCAUACACACUGACAUUAGUGGUCUUUAUAAUAUGUGCUUAAAUGGUCAAAUAUAUUUUAACACUUUUAUCGAUGACUACUCACGAUAUAUGUAUCUUUUUUUGCUUUAUGAUAAGUGUGAAGCACUAGAUGCUUUCAAAAUCUAUAAUGCAGAGGUAGAGAAACAAUUGGGUAAACAAAUUAAGAUUGUGAAGUCAGAUAGAGUUGGUGAAUAUUAUGGUAGGUACACUGAAAAAGGACAAUUAUCUGGUCCAUUUGCAAGGUUUCUACAGGAACAUGGCAUUGUUGCCCAAUACACAAUGCCUUGCUCACCAUCCCAAAAUGGUGUGGCUGAAAGAUGAAACCAAACCCUAAAGGACAUGGUUAGUAACUCCAACCUCCUAUUAUCCUUGUGGAGUGAGGCCAUAAAGACAACAACAUAUUGAUUACUAUUCAAAAAGUGCUGUUUUGUAGCUUGUAAUUAACUCUUUUAAACACUUUUGAGUAGUAGUUAUUACCUUUUAACUCAAUUGGCAUGUUAAGGACCCUUGCAAUCGUUUCUAAUCAAAUUGUGUUAAGUUUUAGUGUUUUUGAUAUCUUUUUUAUCACCAAAGCAAUCUAAGAUGAGGGAGAGCUUUAUAUAAUCCAUGGCAAAGAAAAUAAAAGCUCAUUUACAAGAAGAAUCCAAGCUUUGGAGCUUUGAAGUCCUUUGCCAAAAGCAAAUCAUGAAUGCAAUGAGGGAAAGCAAAGAGAGAAAUCUAACAUGAAGAAUUCAAGAGGACAGCAACUGUUGAAGACAUUUUGAGUACUUCCUGAAGUCCAUUUCAUGCAUACUAUAUGUCGUUUCGAAGAUCGGGAAGUCAGAAGCCCAACGCUUCAAACGGUACAUGAAUUGGAGUUGAAAAGAAGAAGUUAUGGCCAUUUGAAGACAACCGCACAAAGUUGAGCGAAAAUUUCAUGGCCCAAAGCCCAUUUCGUACCUGCGAAAUAAGCUGCGAAAUGAAACCCACUUGCGAAAUUUUGUAAGGUGUUUUGCAGCUGCGAAACCACCUCCAAGCACACGUGUGCCACUUCGCAAGUUGAAACUCCAUCUUCGCAACUGCGAACCACGUUGCGAAAUCACCUCCAAGCUGCGAAACAAGUUGCAAAUCAUCUCCAAGUUGCGGAAUCACCUCCAAGUUGCAAAAUCACAAAUUCAACUUGCAAAAUCAAAGUUCAAACUUGCAAAAUGGACAAUUCAAAGUGUGAAAUCCACCUGUGCAAUCUCAGAUAUUUGCAACCGACUCAGUUAGAUUUUUUCUCAAGAUAUUUUGUAAAUUUCUAUUUUCUCCUUGUAAUCAGUCAAAGAUAUUAUUGGGAUAUUUCUUAGAAAAUAUCUUCUCUAUAUAUAUCUUUGAACCAAUGUAAAUAAUACGGAUAUAUCAUGUAGAUCAUAGAUCAUGGAUGUAAUUGACGAUAGUAAGAAAUAUAUUUUUACAGAGCACUUGCUCUGUUUUUCCUUCAUAUUUUUGUUUUCUCGUUAUUUUUAUUUCUAGCAAAUCAAACUCUGAGGAUGUUUCCUUAGAGGAUGAGUGGCUUGGCUCUUUGUCUCUUGGAGUGAAGAAAGCCAAGUAAGUUUCCAUAUGCAAAAAUUAGAAGUUUUGUUGUUUCAGUUUUUAAUGAAGAGAAAGUGUGACUCGUUAAUGGUUUUUAUCUUUUUAGUUAACUUAAAACGCCUUUAAGUUACCUAGGCUAACACUUGGUAAGGCAAGUGAUCUCCGUCCAUUGAGAUGCACUAGUUUACCUCUUGCGAGCCUUUGGGAGGUGACUUGAAGGUAGGAUUUUCUAGAAUAGCCAACACUUGGUAAGCUUUUGGACUCUAAGGAGACAUCCAUUAGUUAUCUCUUGCGAGCUUUUAAAGGGUAAUCCAAGGUUAAGGAUCACCUUGAAUGGCAAAUUCUAGGUGAGAGGCAUGAGCCAUUGCAAGAUGCAUCAGUGAGAGAGAUUUAGUGUUUGAACCCAUUAAGGGGAAACAUCUAUACCACAUCGAUUCGGGAAAUAACUAUAUGUUAAAUCCCCAAUGCGAGGAAAAGAUUCAAGUGACCAGAACUCCCUUUUUGUAUAAGGAACCUAAGCCUAGUGAUCUGAAACUCCAAGAAACAUUUUUCUUUGUAAUUAAAAUCAGUUACUAUUUUUGGUUAGCUUAAAACCAACCUUUUCAAACAUCUUUAUAUUUUCUUUUAGAGCUAACCUUGAAAUGAAAAAACACCAAUUCAGCUUUGAAUUAAUAUCAAUUGUGAAGUGAAAACCCAUCCCAGUGAACGAUCCUAGAGCCACUAUGCUAUGCUAGCUGAGGCUAUCCUAGUACAUGGUGUAAUAGGUUAUAAAUUUUGUUGAUUACUCCCGUCUGAGGACCACAAUCAAGGAAUACCAGCUGGACACGAAUCAAAUGACACCGUUGUUGGGGACCAUUGAGAGGACAUGAAUCAGCUGAUACACCAAUUGGGAAUGAAUCACAUAUGUACUAAACCGGGUUCCAACCAAGGUAGUUCCUAAAACGCCUUUUGAGUUAUGGAAAUGUUGCAAACCCAGUCUAAGGCAUGUACAUGUAUGGGGUUGCCUAGUUGAGGUUAGAAUUUAUAAUCCACAAGAGAAAAAGUUAGACUCAAGAAUAGUCAGUGGAUAUUUCAUUGGCUACAUAGAAAAGUCUAAGGAUACAAAUUUUUAUUAUCCUUCUUGUGCUACGAAAAUUGUAGAAUCUCAUAAUGCAAGGUUUUUGGAGAAUGAUGUGAUUAGUGGGAGCAAUGAAUCUUGACACUUAGUGUUUGAGGAACGCCACAAUAUUGAACCCACUCUUGAGUCUUCAAGUGGAUUAAUUAUUUUCCUGGAUAGUCAUCAAGAUUUGACAAUCCAAGAAACACCAGUUGUUAAUGAACCACAUCAUGAGGAUAUUCUGAUGGAUUUAGUUAUUCAACAUCCUCAACAAGGGAAUGUUGAUAUAACAUUAAGAAGAUCUACUACAGAAAGGAGGUCUACAAUUUCUUUUGAUUAUGUUGUGUACUUACAAGAAUAUGACAUUGAUAUUGGUGUUGAAGAUGACCCCAUUACGUUUUCACAAGCCGUGGGUGGAAGUGAAAAGAUGAGAUGAAUUCAAUGGCUAAUAAUCAAGUCUGGGAUCUUGUUGAGUUGCCUAAAGGUGCAAAGGUAAUUGGUUGUAAAUGGGUUUUUAAGACUAAAAGGGGUUCUUUGGGCAAUAUUGAAAGAUAUAAGGCAAGACUUGUAGCUAAAGGAUUCACUCAACAAGAAGGAAUUGAUUAUCAUGAUACCUUCUCUCCUAUUUCCAAGAAGGAUUUAUUUUGGAUAAUCAUGGCAUUGGUAGCUCAUUUUGAUAUGGAGUUACAUCAAAUGGAUGUGAAAACAGCAUUCCUUAAUGGGGAUUUAGAGGAAAAGGUUUACAUGAAACAACCAGAAUGGUUCAUCACAAAUGGAAAUGAUCACAUUGUUUGCAAGCUUAAAAAAUCUAUAUAUGGACUAAAACAAGCAUUCCGUCAAUGGUAUUUAAAGUUCCAUGAUGUUAUUUCUUCAUUUGGUUUUAUAGAAAAUGUUAUGGAUCAAUGUAUGUACCAUAAGGUUAGUAGGAGCAAAAUGAAUUUCUUAGUCUCAUAUGUGGAUGAUAUUUUGCUUGCUUCAAAUGAUUUGGGCUUACUUCAUGAGGUGAGGUGAGGCGAUUUCUCUUGCAACAAUUUGAUAUGAAAGAUAUGGGUGAAGCUUCUUAUGUCAUUGGCAUAAAGAUUGAGAGAGAGAGAUCUCAACGGAUAUUAGGAUUGUCUCAAGAAACCUAUAUCAAUAAAGUGCUUGAGAGAUUUCGCAUGAAGGAUUGUUCACCUGGUAUUGCACCGAUUGUCAAAGGUGACAAAUUUAGUUUGAACCAAUGCCUCAGUAAUGAUUUGGAAAAUAAAGAGAUGAAAAAUAUUCCUUAUGCUUUUUCAGUUGGGAGUUUAAUGUAUGCUCAGGUUAAUACAAGACCUGACAUUUCUUAUGCAGUUGGAAUGUUGGGCAGAUAUCAAAGUAAUCGAGGUCUGGAACACUAAAAAGCUGCAAAGAAAGUCAUGUGAUACUUUAAGGGGACUAGGGACUACAAACUUACAUACAUGCGAUCUGAUUAUUUGGAUGUGGUUGGAUAUUUGGAUUCUAACUUUGCUAGCUGCCUUGAUUCUAGAAAGUUGACAUCUGGAUAUGUCUUCUUAUUAGCUGGAGGGGCCAUUUCAUGGAAAAGUGCAAAACAAACAUUGGUUGCUACUUCGACCACAGAAGCGAAAUUUGUUUCAUGUUUUGAAGCAACGUCACAUGCUAUUUGGCUGAGGAGUUUUAUUUCAGGGCUUCAAGUUGUUGACUUAAUUUCUAAGCCAUUGAGGAUUUACUGUGAUAACUCUACCAUAGUGUUUUUAGCUAAGAAUAAUAAGAGUGGAAGUCAUAGUAAACACAUUGACAUAAAGUACUUAUCUAUUAGGGAACAUGUUAAGUCAAACAAGGUGGCUAUUGAGCAUAUUAGUACUGGAUUGAUGAUUGCGGAUCCUUUGACGAAAGGAUUGCCACCUAAGGCUUAUAAGGAACAGGUUGAACAUAUGGGACUCAAUUCUAUUUUUUAAAUUUUGUGUAAUUGAGACAUCUUUUGUGUUUCAUCGCAUUUUUUGGUUGAUAUGAAAACUCCAAUUAUUUCAAUCUUGUCUUCUCAUUUGGUUAUAUACAUAAAGUUUAGAGAAUGAAAAUAUGCAUGUUAUGAAUGUUAAGUAGACCUUGAAUGAGAAUUUUGGAAACUCAUUCAUAAAGGAAUGACUCACGUAUUGUUCUUAUUCAAAAGAGAAAGUUGCAUUGUAAUACAUGGAAGGUAAUACUUGUUCUUAGAGGACUUACUGACAUGAUUUAUGUGCUUUAAAUUCUUUUGAUUAAGUAUAAGGAUUUAGGGAAAAAUAUGUUAUGUAUUAAUUUAAUUAAUACAUAUUAAGUAAUUUUUAUGGGCUAAGUGGGAGAAAUGUUGGAAACCGUUUUGCAUUUUUAAUAAAAUAAAAAUAUUUUAAAUUGUGGCCCAUUUAAAUAUUAUUUUCCCUAAAAUAAAUGAAACGUGGGGGCACAUCUCUUAUGGAGUAACCACCCAUGUCUACAGACGUGAGACAUAUUACUCGGUUGAAAACUACCCGAAGUCUUCUUUGAUGGGAAGAAGAGAAAAUAAAUAGAUAGAUACAGGAUUAAUUCCAAAAGAGGGAAAAAGAGUCUCUGAUCUACAAGAAUAAGUCUAUGAGUUCCAUCGGUGCAUGGACAUAAGGUCUUGUAAGGACUAGCCAACUAAUCCCUAUUUUGUGUGAAUUUGAUUGCCAUGGCUGGAGGUAUGAUCUUGGAUUUUCAUUUUAUUACUUGUAAUUAUCAGAGAUAUUUAUCUAACAUUUAAGAGUUAAGCAUGAUCACAUUGUGAUUUAUUAUGAUAAUGGGAGUGCCCUACAUUUAUUUAAGAAUAAAGUUCAUCACUCAUUGGUAAGGCAUAUUGAUGUCUAAUUUCAUUUUAUUUAAGAGAUUCUAGAAGAAAGUCAUAUCUUGUUUUAGAAAGAUUGCUAAUGUUAAUGAGGUAGGUCAUAUUUUAAGAAAGAUUUUUCCUAAAGUCAAGUUUAGCCAUUGUUUAAAUGUGAUCCAUGUAGAAAGGAUCAAUGUACCUUUAGGUGUGUAGUAGCAAAAUCCUUAAAGAUUGUUUGGUUAGCUUCAUUUACAUUACUUAGUUAAAUAUUACAUAGUCAAUUACAUAGUCCUUUAUUAUUAUUUUUCAUUCUUAGUUGGUUUUUGUCUUGAAUUUAGAGUGAAGAAGAUGUAAUCAAUGAGUAGGGAAAGAGGAACAAAAAUGAAAAUAACAUUAGAACUAGGAAUUGGAGAAGAGGAAGAAGAUGAGGACAUUUCUAGCAAUGUUGCAUGUCAAUUUUUUGUUUAAUGAUUUCCUUAUAAUAGUUUUCAUAUUUCAUUAUCUCUCUCUAAACUAAACAACAUAUUUCUUAAAUAUUUUGAAUUCUUAUUUAUUUUUAAACUCUUUCAUUCUCUACCCUUUCACCAUUUUCACAUACCUAAAAUUUGCUCUCAAUUUAUUUCAAUAAUGUUGACAUAAAAGUAAAUAGCUAAAAUAGAUAAGUUAACCUUCAACCUAUUUUUUAUUUAUUUAUUUAUUUACAAACCAAAAUCUAGUAUUUUUGUUUAGAAACUAAAAUUGAACAAAAAUGUAUAAACUAAGAGAAAGAAAAAGUAAAAACUAGAGACUUGUAAUUAUAUAAAUGUUAAGAUUUCAAGUUAGUAAUUUAUGUUAGUAUUUGUAUUUUUUUCUUUUUUUUUUCUUGAUUUUUAUAUACCAUUUUAAUUAAUAUUUUCAAUUUUGUGAUUGAAGUCUCAAAUUUUUUAAUUUGUGUUAUGCUUAUUUUAUUGUUUCCAUGUUAAAAACCAAUGUGCAAUUAGUAUGACAUGUACACUUAUUAUUUCGAAGUGUAAUGUUGAUAUCUUAUUUUGUAAAGCCCAUGGCGAUCAAUCAUUGUCUCUCAUGUGUCUCAUUGAUGAUGUGUGAGUUUGACUAAUUAUUUAGCAUCAUGCCUCAAAGAUUAAUGUUACAUAUCGAAGACAUCUCUCUAAUAAACAUGACAUUCAAUACACUUUUCUUGGCCUUAAUCUUUGAUACAUGAUAGGUCCAUGUUCUACCUUCAUAUCUCCUAUGCCAUAGUGCUACAUUAUUUGAAAAUGAAUAUUUAUCUUCAAUAAGACCCUAAGUCACAUGGAUGCCUAUGAAGCAUGGAUGUUGCCCAUAGUGAAUGCCAGGGAGGGGGGUAAAGGUGUUUCUUACUCUAUUCUUCCUUAAGAUGGUAUCAUGUGCUUCUGAUAAUUGUUUUAUUCUUAUUCUAGAAAAUACAUGCUUCCUAAAAACUAAUAGUUUUUAUUGGUUUAUGAUCUUUUAUACCUCCUUCUAAUGUGUCAGCCUUACCAUAAUGCCUUGAUGUUAAUAAAUCUACCUAGUUCAUGAGCAAAGCUCAAGGUUUUGGAAUGGACUUUGUGUCCUUAGUGGUAAAUCUAGUUUCCCUACCCAUUAGCAUUUCAAGAUUAGUUUGAGCAUCUUGGUUUAGCAAUUAGAUCUUAUACUUACCAAGGUUGGAUUAACACACAUUGAUCUCAUUUUAGCUUAAAUGAAAGAGGUGACAAGUGUGUCUUCAUUAUAGGUGUCAUAUGAAGAAGUUUGUAUAUCCUUAUAGAAUAACUAAUAUUCAAAAUACUAUUUUAGAGCAUCAAUAAAAACUUCAUUUCUAUCCAAAUGAAAAAAAGAAGUGAUAUUGUUGUUCUCCUUGAUCUUACUGCCACCAUCUCUACCCAAUCAUCUACUCUCACUUUGUUUUGCUCUCAUUUUAAACUCUUGGGACAUUUAAAACUUUUAAGUUUUAGUUGUAAACUUAUAGAUACUUUUUUAGGAAAAAAAAAAUGGAAGUGAGAUCUAAGAUUUUGUUUUGAGAAAAGUAUUGAAAAAGCCCCAGGCUUAGAAACUUUUAUUUGCCUAUGUCUAAUAUGAACUUUUGAAUGAAAAAAACAAUGUUAUAUAAUUUAAUACUUGAAAGGAGUUAGAAGGUUUUUUCUAAUUUUGGAGCAUGAUGUACAUUAUGAGCCUAAAUCAUGACAACUUAAGUUGUUAGGAAGAUCAGUUGCUUAACAUGCCAAUAGUGUCUUGUUUAGUGGGGGGUUGUGUGUUUGAAUCUCACCUCAUUAUUUCCAUGAUUUACUAAAAUGAGGUUAGUUGCAUAGGAAAAUUUUUCUCUUCAUACGUGGGUAUGGGGUUGCAGUGAAAGAGAGUGUUAAAGAAUGGGAUCAAAUCUUAAUAGUUUAAGCUUUUAGAAAAAUCAAAAGUUCAAUAUGGCAUUAGAGUCUUAUUUAUUCGAAGGUUAUUAGUUUGGACCUAAAGACAUUAUUUCCCUAAUUUAUUGAGUAAAAAAAAGGCUAGAUAUGAGGUUGCUAAUGAGAAGUUAAUAGGGGUCCUGAGUCCAAGUCCUUCCCUCAUUAUUUAUCUAUCUAAUUAUUUAUGACCAUAAAGUGCUCCCCAUGAUAGGUAUGGGCUCACAUAUGAGGAGAGGAGGGGUGUUGGACCAUUAUAUAUGUUAUGUGCUCAAAUUCUAACAACUUAAUUAAGCUUUUAGGAAAAUUUAUUAUUUAACAUUAAUAUUGUUUUGUAAUCAAAGUAAAAUCUGUUGAGGAGAAGAAAAAUGGUAUUCUUCUAUAUAUUGAAAGAUACAGCAGAUGAGGGUUAUAUAUAACCUGUACAUGAAGUUAAUUUGGAAGAAACUAAUCACACUAAUCUAGGCUACAAUCUUGGAUGAUUUACAAUCAAAUAAAACUAACUUGGUAACUAGAAUAUUUUUAUUUCUAUAAUUGCUCCUUCAACAACUCACGUCAAUACUCCCCCUCAAGUUGGUGCAUAGAUAUCAUCAAUGCCCAAUUUGUCAAGUGAGUUGUGAAAUAUUUUGCUAGAGACAGCCUUUGUAAGAAUAUUUGCUAGUUGAUCUUCUGACUUCACAAAAGGAAAUUGAAUGACCUUGUCUUCGAGCUUCUGCUUGAUAAAAUGUCGAUCCACUUCAACAUGUUUGGUGCGGUCAUGUUGAACUGGGUUAUGCGCGAUUGCUAUGGCUGCCUUAUUAUCACAAAACAAGUUCAUUGUAUUCUGAGAUGAACACUUAAUUUCCUCUAAUAAUCUUUUUAACCAAAGUAGCUCACACAAUCCUUUAGUCAUGCCUCUAAACUCAGCCUCUGCACUAGAUAAAGCAACUACCUUAUGUUUUUUACUCCUCCAAGUGACCAGAUUGCCUCCCACAAAUGUGAAGUAGCCCGAUGUGGAUUUUCUAUCAGUAAUGUUCCAUGCCCAGUCUGCGUCCGUAUAACCGUCAAUGUGCAGAUGUUGGUUUUUCGUGAACAUCAGUCCUCUUCUUGGAGAAGACUUCAAGUACCGUAAAAUACGAACCACUGCACUCAUAUGAUCUUCGCUAGGACAAUGCAUGAAUUGACUCACCAAGCUCACCGCAUAAGCAAUAUCAGGUCGUGUGUGAGAUAAGUAUAUCAGCUUUCCCACAAGGCGUUGAUACCUUUCUUUAUUGGUAGGGGUCUGGUUAGGAAAUUCUCCCAAGCCAUGGUUUUGAACAACUGGUGUAUCAGCAGGUCUACAAUCAAGCAUUCCUAUUUCAGACAACAAGUCAAGCACGUACUUCCUUUGGGAUAGAAAUAUGCCUUGUUUUGAUCGAGCUACUUCAAUCCCCAAAAAAUACUUCAACCCUCCAAGAUUUUUCAUCUCAAAUUCAAUUGCUAAAUGCUCUUGUAAUUUAGAGAUUUCUUCCUCGUCAUUUCUUGUAAUUAUCAUAUCAUCAACAUAGAUUAUUAGAGUUGUUACCUUCCCCCGUUGGUGCUUUAAGAAGAGAGUAUGAUCUAAAUUACUUUGCUUGAAACCGUGCUUUCUCAUGGCAAGGCUAAAUCGUCCAAACCAUGCUCUAGAAGACUGUUUCAAUCCGUAUAAUGCCUUUUGUAACUUGCAAACAUCCUUCCCCUGUGUCGAAGAAACAAAACCCGGUGGAAUGUCCAUGUACACCUCCUUUUUAAGAUCCCUAUGGAGAAAGGCAUUUUUGACGUCAAAUUGGUGCAAUGGCCAGUCCAAGUUUGCAGCAAGAGAGAUUAGUACUCUCACAGUAUUUAAUUUUGCUAUAGGUGAAAAAGUUUCUUGAUAAUCUACCCCAUAUGUCUGAGUAUAUCCCUUCGCAACGAGCCUUGCUUUAUAUCUUUCAACUGAUCCAUCUACUUUGUGUUUGAUAGAGAACACCCAUCGACAUCCCACAGUUUUCUUUCCCUUAGGCAAUGGCACAAGCGCCCAAGUAUCAUUUUUUUGUAAUGCUUUCAUCUCUUCCUCUAUCACUUGGAUCCAUUUGGGAUUAUUCAUGGCUUCACUCACUGUAUCAGGAACACUAUCUGCAGAUAAUUUAUGAACCAAUGCCUUGAGAGGUUCAGACAAUUUUUGAGUUGAGAUAUGGUUGGCAAUUGGGUACUUUGACUUGCUCGUUCCAUGAUCGGGUGAAUAGCGGUUUGGUGGUUGCCCGCGGUUAUGCCUGAAAGGUAGUUUAUAGCCAGAAAAAAUAUUGUGAGGAGAGUUUAGAACUUGUACCUCAGGAAUAUUCUCAAGAGAUUGGUCUAAUUGUGGUACUGUCAAGUCAUGGAAGGGUUGUUCACUUUCAAUUUCCCUAACUUCUCCAUUUUGAUAUACUCUUGUUGGUUGUUGUUCGAUCUCUGCUUCGACAUGCUCAACAUUUUCAACUUCUCCUCUUUGAUCUAUCAGUAUUGCCAUUGGUUCUCUUGGCUGAACCUCCCUUAUAUCAUUUGAAGUUUCUUCGAAGCCUGGCCAAUUUUCCCAAUUCUGCUCUUCACUCGUCAUCUCCCCCUGAAGAGAGAAGUGGGAAGAUUGAGAAGUGAAGAAAUUCUCCUAUUCAAUAAAGGUGACAUCCAUGGUGGUAUAGAGUCGCCUUGUAGCUGGAUCAUAACAUCGGUAUCCUUUCUUGUGAGUUGCAUAGCCAAGAAAAACACAAUGGACAGCACAUGGAUCAAGCUUUGUCCGUUGAUUCUUGUGUAGAUGAACAUAUGUAACACAACCAAACUUUCUUGGAGGAAGCAUUAGAACUGAUGGUAAUGUCACAUGUUGUGCGAGAACUUGAAGAGGGGUUUUGUAGUGCAAAACUCGUGAUGGCAAUCGAUUCAUUAAGUAUACAGCAGUCAUUAUUGCAUCUAGCCAAAAUCGUUUAGGAACAUAAGCAGCAGUCAAGAAAGCUCGAGUGAUUUCCAAGAUAUGUCUAUUCUUGCGCUCUGCAACACCGUUCUGUUGCGGUGUUUGAGAACAAGAUGUCUCAUGAUGCAAACCAUGUUCCUGAAAGUAUCUGUGAAAUUGUGCAUUAUCAUAUUCCCCACCAUUAUCAGAUCAAAGAAUUUGAAGUUUAGCAGAAAAUUGUGUUCGAAUCAUAUUAUGAAAUGAUCGAAAUAUUUCAAACACUUCAUGUUUAUUUUUCAUCACAUAAAGCCAAGUCAUUCGUGUACAAUCAUCGACAAAGGUUACAAACCAACGAACACUAGAAGAAAUAGUAAUAGGAGCAGGGCCCCAAACGUCAGAAUGAACAAUCAAAAAAUGAGUGUCACAUUUAUUCAAACUGAUUGAAUAAGGUACCUGAUGACUCUUAGCCUGAAUACAAGCUUCACACUUAAAAUCUGACUCAUUAAACUUCGUAAAUAAAUCUAGAAAUAAACAUCUCAAAUACCGAAAUGAGGGAUGCCCCAACCGAUUAUGCCAUAACCAUAUCUGUCUUUCCUUAACUCCAGCAGAAUGCAUAUUAUUUGCUCGACCAUAACUAAAAUCAUCCAUGUAAUACAACCCUUCCCUUUUAGUACCACGACCAAUAAUCUCCUUGGUGAGAAUAUCCUUAAACAAACAAAAGUUAGGGUACAUUAGAGCAUAACAAUUCAAUUCCUCAGUCACUUGUCCAAUAGAUAACAAUUAAUUGGAAAGUGAUGGAACUAGUAAGGUAUUUGGUAAUGUAAAAGAAGGAGAAAGAGCCACUGUUCCAACCCCUGUUACUGGAUAUGUUACUCCAUUAGCAUUGGCAAUGCAUAUUCGUUUUGGUUGGGUGGCUUUAGAGAAGUCACAAGGGUCAAAGGUCAUGUGGUCUGUUGCCCCAAAGUCAAUGAUCCAGCCAUCAUGGUUCCCCGUUUUCGAGCAAGAAAAAACAUAACCUUGGUUACCUGAGUCAUUCUGAGCAAUCUGUUCACUAGUGGAGAUAGAAUAUUCUUGUUGUGGUACGAGAGAUAGUUGAGGCUCUACGCUCAUAAGAGCUGCACAACCAAGAUUGUCGCCUCCACUUGCUUCACGCUUUUUCUUUGCCUUGAGUUCAUGCCACCAAUCUGGAUAACCAUGUAGUUUGAAGCAUGUUUCUUUGGUGUGUUUUGUAUUCCCACAAUGUGUGCAGCCUCCUCCUUCCCCUUUUGGUUUUGUGGUUGUGUUAGGCUUUCCAUUUGAUGGCGUUUGAAAAGAUAAUUGGUGUUGAGGUUUAUGUUCUCCUCUUGAAAGCAUAGCACCACCAGAUAUGGUAUCUUCAUUCAUCAUCAUUACGGAUUGCCUCAAAUCCUCUAUUCAAACUUGCGCAUAAGCUUGUUCCACUGUUGGGAAUGGUUGUAUCUACAGCACAUCUGCUCAGAUCUUGUCAAGCCGAUCAUCAAGUCCGUCUACGAAAGUGUAGACUCUAUCCUCCUAUAAAAUAGAGUUAUAUUUUUGUAUAUUAAUAUCACAUUCCAUAGGAUUUGGUCAACGAAAGUCGAUUUCCCUCCACAAGCCUUGCAGAUUGUUGUAGUGUGUCUCGAUAGAUCCUCCUUCUUGUUUGAAUCUGGUUACUCUUCUUUUGAGAUCAUAUACUUGUGAUGUAUCAGUGCCAUCAAAGUACGUAAUAGCAAUAUUAUCCCAAACAGCCUUAGCCAUUGAGAAUUUGAUAAAGUUACUGACUAACUUUGGAUCCAUAGAAUUGAUUAGCCAUCCCUUCACCACUGCGUUUUCGGUUCUCCAUUUUCUGAAUGCAGGAUCUGUUUGCAGGGGCUGUGGAAAAUCUCCAUUUAUGUAUCCCAACUUGUCUUUACCUGAGAUAUACAUCUCGACAAUUUGGGACCAUAGUGCAUAAUUGGUACCAUCUAACUUGAUUCCAAUCUGUGUAGCAGGUUCAUGACUUGUGAUAUGGUUCUGAGUUUGGUUGUGGUUCAGUACUUGUGUCAUUCUUGUCAUAAGAUCUGCGAGAAUUGAACUCUCCCCUUCGUGUUUUUCCACCCUAAUAGGAGGUGUUUCCAUUUUCCUCUUUCUGUUUUUUUUUUUUUUCUGAAAUUCUAUGGCCCUAGAAUCUCUGCUCUGAUACCAUGUUGAAGAGAAGAAAAAUGGUAUUCUUCUAUAUAUUGAAAGAUACAGCAGAUGAGGGCUAUAUAUAACCUAUACAUGAAGUUAAUUUGGAAGAAACUAAUCACACUAAUCUAGGCUACAAUCUUGGAUGAUUUACAAUAAAAUAAAACUAACUUGGUAACUAGAAUAUUUUUAUUUCUAUAAUUGCUCAUUCAACAACUCACGUCAAUAAAAUCAACCCUAGUUAUUCAACAUAAUAAAAAACAUUAGUUUCCUUAUUGAAAAUGGUAAGGACUAAGUAAAUUGAUAUAAAAUAGAAUGCUUUAUAGUUUAUGAGGUGAAGUAUUAGCACUAUAAAGUUAAGUAACUAAUUUGCUAAAAUUACUAGCUAAAACUUGAAAAAUCUUAUCUAAGUGAAAAAUAAAAUAAAAUAAAACUCUUUAUUUUACAUAAUAGCAUAUCUAUAUCCCCUUAAAUUAUGAAAUUCAUGUUGUUUUUUCAACAAAAAAAAAAAAGAUAGAAAAAGAAAAAGAAAAAACCUAGAAAUGCCUACUCAAAAAGAAUAGAUUGAUACACUCCCUAACCAUAAAAUUGAGUUGUAAAUAUAAAUUAUAGUUCAUCCAAGUCUAUAUGCGACUUUUAGAAAUCAAUAGCUAGUUUCAUUUACACCAUUGGUUCGCAUUUUUUUAUUCCAUUGAAAAGAAAGCAAUAAAAAUGAAUUGAGACAAAAAUGAUAAUACAAUCCAUAAAACAUCAAUAGAUUUGUAAACUCAUUAUAAAGUUCAUAAAUUUUUAGAUAAAAAGAAAAACAAUAUAAAGAGGAAAAAAAAUUAGGAACUAUCAAGUUCAAAAAUAGAAUUUAUGGUAAAAAAUAAAAAAUAAAAAGAUAUAACAAACAACAUUUUAAAGUAAGGGUACAAUAGUUAUUAAAAAGAAUCUCAAUAAAAGUUUUCUAAAAAUUGAAAAGAGAGAGAAAAAGUUUUUGGUAUGCUUUUAUGGUUUAGGGGGUAAAAGUUCAUAAUACUCGUCAUUUUAUCAUCUUUAUAGGAAAAAAAAAUUAGACUCAACUUUAUCACAACUCAUAUGAGUUAAAAAUCUCUUGAAUGUAUUUUCUCUCAAGUUUCUAAUGGAUACCCCUUUAUCAAAGGUAUGGACAUUGAGCUAAAUUCACCAUUAAAAUUCAUCAAGUUCCUUUUUUCCUUUUCCUAAUUCAUCAAGCUAUAUUUAUGAAAUAUCCUAAUUAUUCACUUGUAAUAUCAUAUUGUCAACAAAUCCCUUAACAGAUCUACACCUAUCACUAGUUAAUAGAUAAAAUAACUUAAUAAUUAGUUUUAAGUUUUAAGGACUUUACAAGACAAGCCAAGAACCUCAGAUUGCUUGCACACAAUUGACAAAUUGAUUUGUUUUAAAAAGUCAAAUGCUAAAGAAAAUCCACAACACAUAUUGUUUUAAAAAUAUUUGUAUUUAUAUGACAAAAAAAAAAAAAAAACCAAUAGUUUAAAUUGGAAAAGUUUAUGCAAAUUAGAUGAGGAAAAUGCAAGCCAUAAAAUAACAUUAAACUGUUAUCAUUCUCUAAGAAACAUCAAGAACAUAUUGAGAGAACCAUUGCUUGACAUAAUAAAUUGGUCUUGAAAGGAAAAGAAAAUCAUCAAAGCAAUUAUAUUUGUGAUGCAUUCCUAUUUGCAAUAGGUUCCAAUAUUUGAAGCUCACAAAUUCUUCACAUUUGGAUGAACCUUUUUAUUGCAAACAUAGAUCAACCUUGUGGUGCUUACCAAUGGGAAAACAAUUAUAGUAAGAUAUGUAUUGCAAAUGGUGCAUGCUUGCUGUAAAAAUAAAAAAUAAACAAUGAUGAUUGGAUAAGGGAUAGAAAUGGAACAAAAGACAUUGAAUUGUUAUAUGAAUUAAUAUAUUUUAUGUACUCAAAUACAAAAGCAUAUUAUAAUAAUAUUCAUAAGGCAAAAACCACUAUUUUUUUUAUUGGGAAACCCAUAUGAGAACAUGGCAUGGGGCUCAUCAUUGCACACACCACAUUCUCCACAAAAAACCAUAGGACUAACACCAUGAAAACCCAUCAUUGGCACCAUCCUCUUGACUCUCAAUCCCUUAACCCUACACAUUUUCAAACCAAUGUCAUCAACCACUCAUAUCACACAACUCAUAACCCAUCUCUAAUUCCACAACUUUCACCACUGUUGUACUACCAUUCACAUCAUCUCUAUCUCUAAAAACCUACACUCACACCUCUACAAAAUGUCACACUUCCUCACCUUAUACAACACCACCGCCUUAUUAAUUCAUCCAUGCCUAUGGCUAACAUAAAAAAACCCACCAGCACCCUCAUAAAAAAACAAUACUAUUUCAAAGUUACACCACAUUAAUGUCACCAUGCACCUUUCCCUCCAUUGAAUAUCCCAUACAAUCUCUCAUUAUCACCCUCGUCAAAUUCGCAAUGUCUCUCCUAAAUCCUGUAUGACUCUUAGUUUUACCAUUUAUUAGGUUAGCGUCCUCUAGUUCUAAUCGCAACCACUCUAACUUCCAAAGAAAUAAAAUGAUAAAUGAGCAAGUCAUGGAGAUUUCUCUUCCUUACAACCUUUUGCUCCAAGUGUUUUGGUACCCUACUAUUUGCACAUAUAUGUCUUGACAUUAACUUCUACUCAAAUAUAAUCUCUUCUUGUUUUCAUGCUUACCUAUUUUAUACAUCUUUUUUUGUAGAUUUUUUAAUUAUUUAACAUCUUAAGGUUUGCUUUGGUCAUGUUGUAUUGUUUACUUUGCACACUAACCAAAUGUCAAGGCCCUUUUACAUACAACUGGUUCUACCUUAGUCUUUGCAAUACCUUCCUAAGGUAGACCAAGUGAUCUUGUAGAGUGUAGUUGUAGAUCACUAUAUCGUCCAAAUAAUACACCACAAACGAGUCUAGGAAGUCAAAUAAGAUGUUGUUUAUGAGGUUGCAGAAAGCGGCAAGGGCAUUAAUCAACCCGCAAUGCAUGACCAAGAAUUCAUAGCUACCAUACCAAGUCAAACAAGUUGUCUUUGCAUCAUCUCUUUAAGCAAUGAAAACCUGUCAAUACCCUAAUCAUAGGUUUAUCUUGGUAAAAUACUCCACUUCACAAAUUGAAGAAGUUUGUGUGUGUGUGUGUGUGUUUGUAUAUAUAUAUAUAUUAUGCCAUAGCUUUACAUGCCAUCUACUUGUCUCCAUUUCAACAUUUGAUCAUCACCCAUGGAUGCAUUAUUCUAACUAAAUCCACUUCUCCUUCUUUCAUCCUCUUUCCAUUUUGCAUUAGAAUUAAUCCAAUUAACACCACAUAUUGCUUCUCCGUUACCCCACAUUGGUAUAUAUGCAAUGAACUUUUUGGUUUUAGCUCCAAUGUUUUAGCUACAAUUAGGGCCAACUUUAUAUUAUUAUGUACCUCAAAAUUAAGCAUUGAAUAAUGCACCCUACUCAUCUCCAUUUGGUUCAAAUGGCUUGUUGUUGUUCAAAUUCAUAGUCUCUUCAAUAUCUUGUAGUUUUCAUGAAUUCCAUUUGGAAGACCAAACUACACAUGUAUUUUACAAAUAGUAAGCCUGAAUUUACAACCAACGAUCUAACAACUACACAAAGAUUUAUAAUUUCAAUAAAAUCACACAAUAUUUAUGCCACCUAAUUCAAUAUUUUGAGCACCAGGGAGUGAGAAUUAAUGGUAUUAGAAUAUUUAGGUAUCUUGCAGUAUGGUUACAAGUUAGUUAAAUAAUUGUUAGCUUGUUAAAUAAUCGUUAGUUGCUUUUUCUAUUUUUUUUUUUUUUGUUUGCAACUGGUAAACUAGUAGGUUGUGAUAGCUUUUUUACCAAUCUUUAUUAUAAAGGCUUUCUUUGUAUUACUAAAACAUCAAGUGAGAAUAUUCUAAAAUUAUCAGAGAACUCAUUUUCUCUUCUUUCCUUUCUCUAGUCAAUUUUCUAAUAUGGUAUUAGAGUCAUUUCUUUUGUCUCUGUGACUUCUCUAACUUUCCCCUCCCAUUUAUCUAAUGGCUUGCGGUGGUGGCAAUGUUAAUGCCAAUCGAGCAGUAGUUAGUACUCCUAAUUCCUCUAUAAUGGAAUAUUCGAGCAGUCCAUUUUUCAUCCAUAGUAAAUAUCACCAAGGCUUGGUUCUUGUCUCAUAUCAACUUACUGGAGCUAACUAUAAUUCCUAGAGUAGAUCUAAGCACAUGGCUCUUAUAGCUAAGAACAAGAUCAGCUUGGUUGAUGACGCUUUUCUUCAACCUCCAACAGACAAUCUCAUUUCCUUUGUUUGAAUCCAUUGUGAUAGUAUGGUUACAUUUUAGAUCUUGAACUCUAUUUUUAAAGAUAUUGUUGAUAGUCUUCUCUAUGCUAAUAGCACUUUUAAUGCUUGGGUUGAUCUUUAUGAUUGAUUCCACCAAAGCAAUGUCCCACAAAUCUUCUAAAUCAAGAAGCACGUAGUUGUUCUUGAGCAAAGAUCUAUGGAUGUCAACACAUACUACACUAAGCUCAAGGUCCUCUAGGAUGAGCUCAAAAAUUAUCAACCCAUUCUUGUCUAUCACUAUGGAGGCACAAAGUCUUGGUUAGACACCAACAAUAGGAGUACAUCAUGCAAUUUCUUAUGGGUUUGAUUGAGUCAAAUGCUCAAACUUGAACACAGAUCUUAAUGAUGUCUUUGCAUUAGUUGUUCAAGAAGAAUGCCAAUGUACUAUCAAUUAAGGCUUUUUUUUACUUACCGAUUCUCUUAUUCCCAACAUUUCAAAUUCCUUUACUUUUGUUGCAACAACAAAUUUUUCUCGAAAUUCAACUUUAAAACCUAAGCGUGAGUGACCCUAAUGUUCCCAUUGUGGCUUGCAAGGACAUAUUGUAAAUAAAUGCUAUUAGUUACAUGGCUAUCAUCCUGGCUAUAAGUCAAAAUCAAAGAAACCUGAAGUAAAAAAUUCAAGCCACCUAGGCCAAUGCAACUAUUAAUGAGACUAUUAACUUUGAUUCAUCCCUUGGAUCUCUUACUUUAGCUCAGUGUCAUCAAUUGCUUGCAUUCUUGAGCUCUCAACUUCAUACCAACUUUCUUAUUAUGCUAGAAUCUCAAUAGCUAGAACCCUUUGUUUCCCAGUUCAAUGGUAUACUAUCUUUUUCUUCUAUAUCAUAAUUUUCCAAUUUCUUUUUCCAUCUGGAUUUUGGACAUAGAAGUCGCACAUCAUGUUUGUUGUUACUUAAGCACAUUUACACAAUCUACUCCAGCACAAAAUUCUUUUGUAACUUUGCCUAAUAGUCAAUCUGUUGUUAUUAAUCGUAUUGGUUAUGUAUUUUUGUCUCCUGAUCUCAUCCUUAAUAAUGUCAUGUUUGUUCCUAAUUUCCAUUUCAAUCUUCUCUCUAUUAGUUCUCUCACUCAGAGUUAUAAAUCUUCUAUUAAUUUUAUGGUUGAUUCUUGUACUAAAGGCCAUACAUGGACCAAAACGAUUGGGAUGAGUAGAAGACAUGGCAGCCUAUACUUCUUAAAUAUAGUCAAUUUUCAUGCCACUACACCACAAAUUUUCAGUCCUUGUAAUAAUGUUUCUUUGUCUCAAAAUGAAAUUUGGCUUUACUGUUUAGGUCACCUUUCUUAUGUAACGUUACAAACACUCAAAGAUGAAAUAGAAGUUAAACCAAAUUUUGGUGAUUCAAGUCAUUGUUUAGUUUUGCAUUUAGUCAAACAAUGCAAAUUACAUUUAUUUCUCACAAUUAUUUGUCUGUUUUGCCUUUUCAACUCAUACAUUGUGAUGUUUAGGGUCUCCUUCACACAUUUACCAUUGAAGGUUAUAGAUAUUUUUUACUAUUGUUAAUGAUUGUACUCAUUUUAUUUGGGUGUAUCUUUUGCGUGCUAAGCCUGAUGUUACCGAAGUUAUUCCUAAUUUUUUUUUUCUCAUUGAUUCAAACUCAGUUUAGAACACAAAUAAAAUUAGUUCACUCAGAUAAUGCUCCUGAAUUGGCAUUUUUUUUACUUCUUUCAUUCAAAAUGAGUCAUCUCAUUUCAUUCUUGUGUUGAUUAGCCUCAACGGAAUUCAAUAGCAGAAAGAAAGCAUCAACAUAUCUUAAAUGUUGUAUGGUAUUUAUGUUUCCAAUCGCAUAUUCCAUUGGUUUAUUAGGGGGAUUGCAUUCUUAUUAUUGUACACUUAAUAAAUAAAACUCCAUUCCCACUUUUGUCCAACAAAACAACAUUUGAACUUCUUUGGAAAAAGAAGCUUGCAUAUUCACAUCUUCGUAAUUUUGGUUGCCUAUGUUAUGCAUCUACUUUAGAUCGUCAUAGGACAAAUUUCUCACCUCAUGUCAUUCCUUUUGUCUUUCUUAGGUACCCACCUGGUUAUAAAGAAUACAAAUUAUUGAAUCUAGUCACUAAUUCUGUGUUUAUCUCCCAUAAUGUGGUAUUUCAUGAGUCUAUAUUUUCUUUCAAAACUACUCAAACUUAUUCUCCUCUUCCAGAUAUUUUCUCCGGCUAUUGGGUGCAAAUAGGUGUACAAAAAUAAGUAUAGAGUUGAUGGAACUAUUGAACAAUACAAAGCUCACCUUGUAGCUAAAGGCUGCACACAACAAGAGGGCAUAGACUAUCUAGGUACCUUCUCUCAUGUUGUCAAAUUGGUUACUGUUAAGGUUUUGCUUGCUUUGGCUACCAUUAAUGGUUGGAGUCUUCCUUAGUUGGAUGUCAAUAAUGCGUUCUUACAUGGUGAUCUUUUUAAGGAAGUUUAUAUGACUAUGCCUCCUAGUUAUCACUUAAAGGAAAAUCAUUAUCCUCACACUCUGUUUACAAAAUUCAGAAGUCCUUGUAUGGCUUGAAACAAGCAUCACGACAAUGGUUUUCCAAACUCUCCAAUUUCUUACUUGUUAAAGGUUUUUAAACAUUCUAAUGCAAAUCACUCUCUUUUUGUCAAAGUUGUUAGUACUUACUUCAUUGCUCUAUUAGUUUAUGUGGAUGACAUUGUCAUUGUUAGUAAUAGUGAUGAGCAAGUUGAGAAAUUAAAAGUUCUAUUUAGGAAAGCUUAAAUACUUCUAGGGCCUUGAGGUGGUGAGGUUUAAUAAGGGAAUUUCCCUUAGUUAGCACCAUUAUGCCUUACAAUUACUAUCAGAUGUAGGCUAUGUUGGUUGUAAAACAAGGAAAACACUUAUAAAUCCAUAGAAGAUCUUUUAUUUUACGGAAGAAUGAUAGGCAAAUUGGUUUAUCUAACCAUAGCAAACCCAGAUUUAUCAUUUUCAGUACAUAAAUUCAAUCAAUUUCUUGCAAAGCCUAGAGUUCUUCAUAUGUGGGCAAUACAACAUGUGCUUCAGUACUUGAAAGCAUGGUUUGAAAUAUUGGUAAACACGGAUAUAUCGAUACUUGGAUUUUAUGGAUAUAUUGGAAAUAUUGGUAAAAUAUCGGUAAAUAUUAAUAAAAUAUCGGUAAAUAUUGGUAAAAUAUCGGUGGAUAUUUUGACAAAAAUAUUAGUGAAACAAAAAUUAUUCAAAAUUCAUGGAAAUGUUUGGAAAACUCUAAAAAAAAAAUGAUAAAAUAAGCAAGAAUACAUAUGUUAAAGUUAUUGUAAGUGGAAUUGACAUAAGUAUGGUCAAUGAGAAAAAUAUUGAGGGAUAUAUCAGUCUUAAUAAUUUAUUAUUUAUCUUAUCAAAUUAAUUUUAUUUUAUAAAAUAUUAGAAGUUCAUUAUUUUUUUAUUUUAGUAAUUUUUUGAAUAAAUUUAUAUUUUUAAUAUUUUUAAAAUAAAAAAAUUCAAAAUCAAUAAAAUUAAAAGGAUAAACAUAAAAAAAAAAAAAAGUGAAAUGAUAGUAAUUUCUAAAAAUAAGAUUAAUGAGAUAAAUGAUGAUACAUUUAAUAUUAAAACUAUAAUUUAUUUAAUUCAAAUACAUUCAACAAUGUAAAAUAAAUUAUGAUGCAUAUAUAAUUUUUUUUAUAUUUAUAUUUAUUUUUAUAUAAUUGUCAUAUAAAUGAUAUAAAAUAAAAUAAAAUAAAAGACUUAUUAAGAAAAUUAUAAUGAUGGUUUUAUACUUUUAUCAAUUAAUUAAAUUAAAUAAUUAGAAUUAAUUUAUUUAUUCUUUUAAUGAUGAAUUUUAACAUAUUUAUUGUGAACAUAUAUUUACAUAUGUGGACUUGGCCCAAUAGUAGCCAGGCUUCACCCAAGCCUUUUGGCCUGGGUUUGAAUCCCCUUGGAUGCAAUAGAAAAAAAUUUGAAGGAAUUUACACGAAUAUCGGCAUCUUUUCGAUAAAGUCGAUUGACUUUCAGUGUGCAAUAUCAUGUCAACUCUCCUUGAUAUUUUGACGAUUGACUUUCAGUGUGGAAUAUCUUGUUAGCUCUCCCUAAUAAGCAAAAUAUCGACAAUAUUUCACCAAAAUUUUGCAACAUUUCAAUGUGGAAUAUCAUGUUGACUCUCCCCAAUAUUUCAACAAUUGACUUUCAGUGUGAAAUAUUGUGUUAGCUCUCCCUGAUAAGCAAAAUAUCGACAAUAUUUCACCAAAAUUUUACAACAUUUCAAACCGUGCUUGAAAGUUAUGCAGGACAAGGUUUAUUUUAUUUUAUUUAUUUAUUUUUUUCAUUAAUAGAGUUGAAAGGGUUUGUUGAUUCAAAUUGGGCAACUUGUGUGGUCUGUUAGUGGGUUUUGCUUUUUUUUUUUUUUUUUUUUUAAUUAUUGGUGAUUCCUUAAUUUCCCAGAAAUAAAAAGGCAGCAUAUAGUUUCAAGAUCUUUUGUUGAAGUUGAGGACAGAUUUAUGGCAAAUGCAACAUGUGAAUUGAUGUGAUUACUUUCUUUAUUUAGAGAUUUGCAUGUAUCUCAUCCUAAGCCUGCCUUGCUAUUUUGCAACAAUCAAGCAACUCUUUAUAUUGUAGCUAAUCCAAUUUUUCACAAGCACACUAAGCACAUUGAGAUCGAUUAUCACUUGGUUAGAAAGAAACUGUAAAAUGGAAGCUUGAAGACACUACAUAUUUCAUUUAAACAUCAAGUGGGGGACUUGUUGACCAAACCUUUUUCUUCACCUCAAUUUCAUUUUCUUCUUAGUAAAAUGGGAAUUCACAACAUUCAUUCUCCAUUUUGAGGGGGAGUAUUAGAAUAUUUGGGUAUCUUGCAGUAUGGUUACAAGUUAAGUAAAUAAUUGUUAGUUUGCUAAAUAAUUGUUAGCUUCUUUUUCUAUUUUUUUUUUGUUUGCAACUAGAUGUGUCUAUUCAAUAACUUCAUAUGGUUAUAGUUAAUUAAGAAUCCUUUACGUAAUAACUAUUAAAAUAAUUUGUUUCCAACUUUCCUAUUAAAUUUUCUUCUGCUUAGUAUUUCAAAAAUUAUAGUUCAAGAAAGCUCUUUCGAUUUCUAUGUUGCACUGUAUCUUCUUAUAUGUUAGUACAAAUCAUACUCCUCUUUUUACCUCUUCAAUGAAUCCUUUUAGGAGUAAGACCACCAAGUGAGCACCCUUAUAUCGAUCCACAAGCUUUUUAUUACAUAUUUUUGGUUUGUGCACACCACCUCAAAUUUAAGUGGCCCAUAAAUUUUAUACUUUGGAUACCUUACCAUCCAAUCAUAAGCAUAAACUAAAUUUGAAAGGAUAAGUUUAGUUUAUUUUAGAGAAACUGAGCUCCAAGUCCCCUAGCCAAACAUGAAGUUUUGAAGCAUGAAAUUUUUGUGAUGGAACAUAUUUGCAAUCCUUAUUAAAUUGACCAAUUGUGUUAUGCUAAGAAUGCAAAUUAUGCAUGGCAAAGUGGUUAGAAAGUGUACAAAUGCACCAUCUUUUUACUUGUUUUUUUACUCAAAUUUCUCUGUCAAUUUUUUUUUCAUUCUUAUCCUUCUUAAUUGAGGCAAACAUGUUUUGGCUAGUGCUUUCAAAUGCCUUAAAUAUAUUCUUUUCAAUAUUGUAAACAUUUGGCUUGGUCAUUGUUAUAGUUAUCAAUUGUGUCAACUUUUACUUUCUCUCAUCCCCAAUUACAUAUGCACUUUGUAGUUUUAAAUUUUUUUUAGUGAUUAAUCUUAGUUUUUAUCUAAUUGUUUGCCCUAUAGUCUCUGACAUAACUAUAAGUGGAACAUGCACCUCUCACAAACCAAAAGACAUCACUUGUCUUCUUUAAUUUAAACAUUUUUGCAUCUGUGUAAGAUUUGAAACUAGAAUUUCACAAUAUCUCAUAGUCAUCUUCUCUAGUUGUUUCUCAAAGCUCUCUUCAAGAUUUAGUUCAUGUUCAAUUACCAACUUUGAGUUUUCAAUUUUAUUUUAUUUUUUCCUACAAGUCAUGAGGAAAUGAAUUUCAACUGUGUUUCAUCUAUCCAUCUCUCUUAAAUUGUUUUAUUCAAUAGUUACCAAUUGUAGAAUUGUUUUUAUAUAUUCUUUUCAUAGAUAUUGUUAAUAAAUUAUGCUAAAUGAGUAGCUUCCUGAUGUGGUGAGAGCUAAUUUUAUUAUUGCUAGGAUAAUAUAUUUUUAACUUUCUUGACUUUUUCCGAAUUAUAAACCACUCAUGCUUUGACCAAUCUCCAUGUGUUUUUCAUUUGUUUGGAUUUAUGGGCUUUUGAUUCUAUUUAGUGAAUAGAUAAUAAGGAAUUAAGGAUCUGAGAUUGACAUUAUUUUAAGGAUGUUUGAAGAUGGCAUAGUGAAGUAUAGAAUAUUGUUUUGGGUUGUAUCUCCUCGUUUCUCAUACUUAUGGUGGACAUUGAUGAGUUGGAUUAUUUGAAUGAAAUGAGCUUUGGAAAAAUACUAGUAAUUACAUGAAUUGUUGCAAUAUAUUUGAGUGAAAAUAUUAUGUUAGUGUCUCUCCAUGUCACUAAUUCAAACCUGUGACUUUCCAUUGUAAGUGGUAGAAAUAUAUCUUUUAUUUUCUAGAAAACAUUACUCUAACUUGUGAAAAAGGUUCUUAUGCCUCCAUGUUAAAUGUUAUAUGAUGGAAAAAACCUGAAUCUCUCUGUUUCCUCAAUCUGGAUCAAGUUAGGAAUAUGCAUAACUAUCCUAGGCUUUUUCUAAAUUCUAUGCACAACAAAAAAUUAAUUUUUUUUUAUACUUUAUAAGGAUCUAGAAAGUGCUAACGAAAACUAUACCUCAAAUUCGAAUGUUCCCGAGUCUUUCGCCCGAUGACUCAAACCUUGAUCUUGGCACACUUCUAAUGGGGAGGAAAUAAGGGUGGAGGCUAUAGUUCUCUAUCUCUCUGGAUGGUGGAAGAUAAAAUCCAUGGAAACCCUAACCUCUAGGGGGUAUUUAUAGGGUUCCUAAGUUGGCUUAAGUGACUUGAGCCCAUACAGACUUAGGUCACUUAAUCUAACCAAAAAUGAGUUCUAAUUAAUUAAUUAACCCAAUAAGGCCUACUAAUUAAUCAAUUAGCCCAAUCAAGAGACCUUGUUCACUUACCCCUAUACAACCUUGCGUAAUUAUCAAAAUGCCCUUAUACACAAAAGUGAACUUAGAGUCAAUUCAACCCUCAUAACCCAUGCUAACAAGGUGUAUGAGUUCAAAGCGGGGACCAUUGGGACCCAUAGAAAUACUGACUCCCUCAAAAUCCAAUUCUAAAGUUGAUUCAAUAUCACACUACAGAGAAUCAACUAAACUUCAAUAUCCUAUGUAAAUAACAACGAGACACUAAGUGAUCGGGUCUAUGACUUGCUAUCCAUUGUGUUCAGUCUCCCCAUGAACUAAUGUCUGUCGUUUAAUAAGGUGAAAGCUAUUAGUCUUUCAAGACUACCUCUACCUCCUAUUUUGUGUUCAAUUGACAUAUCUUAGUUCUCAAAUUGCCUAUGUCAAGUUCCAUUUAAUGAACUACAUGACCAUAGUUUCCAUGAAUAUACCUCCUUAAGAUCACCCAAGGGGACACACUGUCUCAAUCCCAAGAGAUAUCAUAGUGCCUCUAUUGAAAAUACCUAUUACUACCAGCUUCUACCAAUAAUGAUCUAAUCCAUAUGGAAUAUAUGAUCAACUUCCGAUUUCACCCGUAGGUCAAAGUCAUUGCCAACUUUAGCACAAGCUCAAUAUUCUCUCAAGGUUGAGAGACAACACAAUGAAACAGCUUGGUGAGGUCAUGACUCAAUAAUAGCCUUAAGUCAUGACUCACCAUAGGUCUUGUCCAAUGUGUAACCAUACACACUAGUGCACUCACCAUAGGAAACCCAUCCCGAUAACCAAGACCAGUGAUCCCUCCAAUUAGGAGGUGGUGCACUACAACCUUUAAUGGGUUGCCUAGACCCAUGAACCAGUUGUGAACAAGUCAUCUAUUUGCAAAGAACCCAUGACUUAGAUCUCCUGUGCAACUCCUAAUGCACCUAAGUCACGUACAAUAGAAAAAAUGCAGACAAAAAGGCUCAUAAAGUAUAAUAUAUGGAAUAAGAAUAUAUAAAAGUGAAACUGGAACAUCAUUAAAUAAAUAAUGAAUUCUAAGUUUAUUACAUCAUGUCAUGCUUUUAAGGGCUUUAUCCUAACAUUAUGUAUUUGAGAUAAACAUGAUAUAAUGAGAUUUAUAUUUCUCUGUUAUAAUAUUUCAAUAAGUAAUUGUGUUUUAAUUUUAAUAAACUAUGCUUGCAUGAAACAAUUCAAGUAUCAUUGGCAUCAUUGUGAGACAAAAGUUUCUCUUAUUACAUAUUAAAGAGAUUUAAGUUAUCAAAAAGUGAAAACGGUUUUAUCUAGGCUAGUUUCAAGUUGACAACUUUUAAAUUGUUUAUCAUGUGAUAAAGAACUUUUCCCCACAAAUGAUACUUGAAUUGUCUAAUUAAACAGUGUAGGAAAACAUAAUAUCUAUGAAGUUAAUUGUUUGUUCUUAAUUCAAUUUUUAUAAAUUUUGGUAGUCUUUUCUCUUAUUCUCUGGGUGCAUAUUUGGAUAAAGUUGCAUAGUAUGUCUUGUCCAUUUUACAUACUUAGAGAACUAUAGGGAAAUUCUACUAAAAUUUCUUUAAAAUGAAAUUGACCACAUUGGUCAUUGACACAUAGAGAUUAUGUAUUUCUAUAUGGGAUAGGAACUACUACUGAAUUUAGGAUGUUGGAGAUGUUAGAAUGCAUAAAACAUGCAUCGAAAUUUGACAUACUCAAAUGAUUUUCUUGUGUUGCUUAAGGAGUUUAUUGAGAAAAUUGGUAUAGACAAUGUUUGAUGCAAAGGUCAUGGACAAACCCAAUAUAAUAAUAUUAAUAUGAACUAGUUUUAUUGAGGUUAUACAUCCCUUUUAAUGCAAGUAUUCAUGGUCAACAACAUUUAUAACUUAUUAGUCACUACUACAAAUAAGAUAUACCAUGACCUUGUUUUUUCCCUGGCACUUUUAAAAAUGUUAAUAAUUAGCGUGAUAUUUGAAAAGUGUAGAUCUAUCUUCAUAGAUCAAAAUGGUUAGAACAAUGCUUACUCUUUUUCUUUUAAAUUUGGCAUCUUAACAAAUGUUAAACUACAUUUUCUUGAUUAUUAUUUGAACAAAAAAAAAAAAAGAGGUUGUUAAACGAAUAGCAUAGAAAAUGUUGUUAUUUUCUUCAAUUUGAAGUUUGAUCACUAUUGAAAGUUUGUUCUUAAAAAAUGGAUCGUUUGUGGAUUUCAAAUGAUAGAGGAUUAAAGGAGUAUGAGGAUGGGGUAGAACAUUUUUAUCACAUUUGCAAUAUAAAAUUCUGCAUAUAAAAACUCCAUUAAGUGUCCAUGCUUGUAGAGUGGUAAUAUGAUAUUUCAUACUCCUCAAAGAUUUCCUCAAAAGAUUAGAGAGCAUAUGUUUUUCUAUAGAAUUAAUUAGAAUUACCAUAUAUGGUAUUGGCAUGGGGAAGCAACUCCAAGUGAACCGCCAACUAGAAGGGUAGAACAUUAUAAUAUGGUUCAAUUUAAUGAUGUAGAUAGUACAAUAGAAAUGGUUGAAGUUGUACAAGUUGAAUGUCAAAAUGACCUAAAAUUGCUUAAAAGAUUACUUCAAAUUGUUGAAAAACCUUUUUAUAUCAUAGUUGUAGAAAAUUCACACAAUUGUUUGCAUUGGUUAAAUUAUACAACUUGAAAACACACUAUGAGUAGUCUGCUAAAAGUUUUUCAGAGCUUUUAAAAAUGCGUAGAUAUAUGCUGCCUCUAAAUAAUGAGUUACCCUUAUCUAUGUAUGAGGCAAAAAUGGCAUUGAAUACAUUAGGAAUGGAAUAUGAAAAAAUACACACAUGCCCCAUGAUUGUAUACUUUAUAAGAAUAAGUUGAAAGAUGCAUUUCAUGUCCUAUCUAUGGAACUUCAAGGUGAAAGGUAGAUAAUAUAGGAACUAAAAAAAUGACGAGAGCUCCUGGGAAAGUAAUGUGGUAUUUUCUUCCAAUUCCAAGAUUUAUAAGAAGGUUUCAAUCAUCAAAAAUCGUAAAAGACCUCUUAUGGCAUACCUAAGGAAGAGAUUUAGAUGACAAAAUGUGUCAUCCGGCUGACUCUCUAUCAUGGCUAAUUGACCAUAAAUGGCCCAACUUUGUUUCAAAACCUAGAAACUUGAGACUUCCCAUUUUAGCAAAUGGUAUAAAUCCUCACAAUUCAUUGAUUAGCAAAUAUAGUUGUUUGUCCUAAAGAGCUUGAAGCAGUAACUAUGGACAAUGUUUUUUUUUUAUCAUAAAGAGCAAGUUAUGGGCUACACUAUGGCUGCAGAUAGAGGUAAAACCUUUAACUUGUUUUUAGUUUGAUUUUUGUUUUCUUUCAUAAUGGAAAUAGAAAAUCAUCUAAACGAAUAGGACCUUAAUAAUUUAUUUUUUAUUCUACAAUUUAUUUUUGAAUAAAAUAAUUUAAAAGAUUUCAUUCUUAUAUUUGUUAGACUUUUUUUUUAAUGAAGAAAAAAAUAGUCUCCCUUUUAGCAUAUAUAUUAUAUAUGAUUAACAAUGGGUAUAAUAAAAUUUAUUUAAUAAAUAAUUGAUGUGACAUUCUAAAUUGAAAGUCAUAAAUUAGCUCAUUUGUUUGAUGUUGUCCCUAAAACUACAAGACCUGAUUACAUACUUAGAUUUUGUUCUUGAAAUUUAAGAGAUAAUUGAUGUGACAUCUUGAAUUGAAAGUCAUAAAUUAGCUUAUUAGUUUGAUGUUGGCACUAAAACUACAAUUCCCAAUGACAUAAAUUUUGUUCUUGAGAAAUGUCAUUAUGGUUCAUAGUAAGGCUUAGUUUGGUGUGUCAGACCAUGCAUGCAUGAUAUCUUUUCACAUUCUCUUGCUUUUUGACAAACAUGCUACCAUACUCAAGGUGUUUGUCAAGGCUCAUCUUGGACUACUCAAAACUUUAGGGUCCUUUCUUUGAGUUCACAAGCUUCUUUCCCCUAGUGUUAACCCCAACUCCCAAAAUCCACUCCUUAUUAGUGCACUGACGAAAUCUACAAAUGCACCAUAAAGUGAGAAUGACAUCAUGAAAAUGUAUUAAUGCAUCUUAGAUAUGGGAACUUAAAAAAAAAAAAAAAAUCUAGAGUUUAGACUUGUUUCUGUUAAUUAGAAAUUACUAAGCAAUGAAUCUUGCUAGUGUGGAAAGCACCAAUAGAUUGACCAAGGAAGGUAUAUAUAAAAAAGAUUGACAUUGUCAAUUGGGAAAAUUCCUCUGCAAACGCCAAUCCUAUCUUUCUAACCAUCAUGGAUGUUGAGAAGUAGAUAUCGAUGACUAUGAUGAGGAUCACAAAGGAUUAUCAUACCAAGGAGUUAGACAUUUGUUGGGUUAUCAACAAUUUUAAUGAAGGUGGUAUUAACUAUUUGGUUGUUGAUAGUGUAUUGCGUAGUUCAACCAAGCCAAUCUGCUCCUACAUUGAGAUCAAUCUCGAUGAAAAGGUAGCAUAUAUUUUUCAUUUCCUAAUUAUAUCAACUGCUUCAUGGUGCCUUUGUCUGAUAAGCUUAACAGGUUCUUCUACAUUUCCACCCUCUAAUUCUCUAAAGUUCAUCAUGAUAGGGUUGAAAUUUCAUCAUCAAAUCAAAACACAUCCUCCUAUAAGAGGCCUUUGAAUUCUGAAAUAAUCAAUUCACUUGAUUCUCAUAUUGGCAAAGACAAGCUUACACUAUUGGAAAGACUACCCAUCACCUUUGCCUUCCCAAAUAGAAAAGAUGAGAGAUAACAUUUCACAAAAUCACAAGAAUUAUUCAAGUUUGGAAUUCAUAGGCAUUGUUAUUGAAUUUCAUUUGUAUAAAAUUGGUGUGUUGUGUUUAUUUUGUUGGUAUUAAAAUUGAAUUUUUUUAAUUGCAAAUUGAUGAUUUUUUUUUCUCACAUUUAUACCCAUUAGAGUUUCUUAUUAGGGUUUGUGUUUGAAAUUUGGAGAAAGUAUGGUGCAAUUGUUCACCAGUGUGGUGUACCAUUUUGUUUGUUGUAUCUGAUCUUUGGGUAUUUGAUUUAAUUUUAUUGUUGUUGAAAUUGAAAGUUGAAAUCCAAGUUAAAUGUUUAACUAGAUAUUUGUAGUUGACUUGUUUGCACCGAUCUUGAUUGCCCAUUUCAUGGGAAUAAUUCAUUCCAAUUUUCCUUCAUGAUUACUAAAAAUAUAUUGUAGGUGAAGGACUAUUAUGGAGUAUAUUUAAUUCACAAGAUUGAAUAUUGAACAAAGAUAUGCCUUAGGUCUAGCUUAUAUGGAAUAGCAUAUCUUACAUUUAGUUAAUUAAAUAUACUAUACAAAUUUUGGUUAUAUAUAAUAUCUAUGUUACAAAUUUGGAUAAUUCGAAGUCUAAGUGACUUCAUAUAAUUAUUGUUACAUCUUAAAAAUGAUUUCACAAAUUAGAAUUACAAUGACUCCUACAUAUCUUAGAUUCUAACUCAAAUUCUCACUUGAUUUUAUUUUAUUUUUAUUUUUUUGUUUUCAAUCAAUUAAUAAUAUGUUAUGGGCUAGUUUAGCUUAUAGUUGAGAUGAAUUUUAUCUAAGAGCACCUCAAUUUGAACCAAAUUGAAGAAAAAAAUGACUUAUUAUACCUUAUGAAAGAUAAUAUUAUUAAUUUCCAUGUUUUUUUUUCAAAUAACCUUUUCAUGACAUGAACUUAUAUGGAACAUUGUUGUAUUAAUUGAUUAGGAAAUCACUAAGCCUAAGAAAGUGAGAAAAUUUAAAAGGGAAGGAAUGUCACCAUUGCAUUUUAGCACAAAGGAAGAUGAUCUCUAGCUAUGACGAAAAUUCAAGAAAUGAACAAGUUCCAUUAAAGAUGAAGGCACAAUUGGGUGACAUUUAAAAAAAAUGUCAAAGGAAGUUAUUGUUUUAGCUACGGAUAUGUUCUUUUUUUUUUUUUUUUUUAGACUUCUUGUGUUACUCAUAUAUGUAAUAUGCAAUGUGAUUUCUCUUUUAUAUUAUAAAUUUAUUACUCUUAGCACUUCAUUUAUGGGAUAGAUGAAUAAUAAUUACUUUAAUUUUAUUUAAUUGUUGGAUAGUUGUUGGAUGGAUAAAUAAUUGUCAUUUCUUUAUAUUUGAGUUAUUUCAAUAUCAAAUGCCAAUUAAAAUAAAAGAGCAAUAGGUGAAGCUAAUUUUAGAUUGUCACAAUCCUUGGCACUUCCACUAAGUGUCAAGGUUUAGAGCAAUCAACAAUGGAAAAGGUGAACGAUGAUGCUUCCAAAAAGCGUCAAGGUUAUUUCAUCUUCAACAAUACCAGUUUUUGUAAGUGUCAUUAUUUACAAAAUCAACAAUAACAUUGGCAAAUUGGUACGCCUCAAUGCUUCUAAAAAACAUCAUUAUUUGUUCCAUAUUUACAAUGACGCUUUUAAAAGUGUCAACAUCGCUAAACACUCUUUACAAUGACACUCGAUUUCAUGGUGCUUUUAAGAAGUGUAAUUGUUUGUAAAAACUUAUUAUGACAAGCUAAGAGAUGACACUGCGGAGAAGUGUCAUUGUUUGUCUUUCUUGACAUUGUUUGUCUUUCUUAACAGGUAAAAAGUGUCAUUAUUGAUCGAUUUUUCUUAUAAUGAAUCCAAUUGGUUGUGAUUGAGUUAAUGAAAUGAUCACCAACUUUUUUGCAACCAUACAACACUACAUAACCUUAAUACCUAUUGUUCAUUAUGAUGUUGUAAGAACAUAUGCCUUUAUGUGACCUAUUAAAUAAACUGGUCUUAUCAACUGAAAAAUGUUCCUCUAGUUAGUAAAAACUUCAUUCAUGUGGUCAUUUAUUAGCAUCAUAAUAAUCCAUAUUACAAAUAUUUAAAAACAUUAAUGCACUAAAACAUUGAUUUCAUCAACAAAAAUACACUCAUUCUUUUAACUUAUAGCAUUCAAAGAUGUUUAAAAAUAUAUAUGUACAAUAAAACAUCAUCAAAUUUAUUAACAAUUAAACUUUUAACCCCAAAACAAUCCGUUACUUUAGUAGAUAAGACACUAUUUGGAAUAACAUUAUUUUUAGCUCAAGUUAGAAGUUAAAAUGAUAAGGUUAAAAGAACAAAACCAACAAAAAAAAAAGUUAUUUUUUGUCAAACUUGACACUAGUUCAAGUUAGAUAAUGUAGCUCAAUGCCCUAUUGAAUUGAGUCAUAUAACUAAACUCCCUAAUUAUUUAUUAUGAUACACACACAACCUUUGGUUUAGUAUACAUGAUUAAAUUAAAUGCCCAACCUAGUUUGCAAAGCUAAAUUGGAAUCCCAAAUCUAGUUCAUCAUAAAUACUCUUCAACUGACUUGCUAUGGCAUUCAAAUAAGACAAUGACAAUGAUAGAAAACCAAAAAAAAUACCUAAUAUAUAAUUGAAAACUCCUUCCUAAAGGAGGUAAAAAAAAAUCAUGAAGUAACUUUCUUCUAUUAAUAAAAAAUGGGAAUACAAUGAUCUAUAUAGUGUUUUAACUCGAAACUUAUGGUACUACAAAUAUUAAAGAAGAAAUUUAAAACACACACACACACAACAAGCAUGUUGUCAAGCUUAUAAAAGUUGGAGAAAUCUCUGCAUACAAGUGUUCAAAACAUGAUGGAGAGUAACCUUGAUAUUUAAGUCAACAAUAUACAAGGAAAGACAACCCAAAAAGGUACAACUUUGAGAACAAACUCUCCUUUUUGCUUUUUCACAUAACCCCUUCUUUUUUUCUUUUUGAAAACUUCUCUCAUUUCCUCUAAUUGUUACACUAUACAACAAUCCUAAAAAAAUAGAGUUUAAAGGUCUGUUUGAUAAUCGUUUUUAAAAAUAAUUCUGAAAAAUAGUUUUUGAAAAUUAUUCUCUAAUGUUUAAUUUGUAGAACAAAAGUUUGUUUGGAAACCUAAAAUAUUUUUAACAUGUUUUUAAUGUUGUUAAAUAUGUUUUAAAAAUAAUUUUAUGUCUAGUAUUUUAUUUUUAAUCAUUCUACAUGUUUAUAUAAUUAUUUUUUAAAACAACUCUAAAAAAAUAAGUGAAAAUAACAUAAAACAAUUAAAAGAUGUUAUCUGAAAACACCUUAUUUUAUUAUAACAAAAAAUAAAAAGCGGUUUUUGGUUGUCAAACAUGUUUUCUUAGUUUUUUAUUCUGAAGAAUAGAAAAUUGUUCUUGAAAAUAGUUGUAAAACAAGAAUCUUUUCAUAUUAGUCUAGGUAUCACAUUAGUUAUUGCCCAUUUUAUGAUUUUAAUUAUUGCUUAAAAACUAGUCUUUCAACUAAAAAAGAAGGUCCACUACUUAUGGGUCAAACCUUCAACUUUCAAACCCCAACACAAAGUUAUAGUCAAGACUAAUAUUCACAUAUUAGUAUUAAUAUAGUUCAUUAAAUAUGAAUUUCUAUAGAAGGCAAAAUCAAGUUUUUAGGGGAAGUAACAUUCACUUUCAUAUUAAGCACUUUUUAACUCAUAAGUUAGUACUUGUAACAAAAUUUCUUAAUAGAGACUUUAAUUGAGUUUUAAGAAAAAAAAAAUUGUUUGUAAAAAACCAAUUCAAACAAAAUCUAAAACUAAUAUUAUUAUCUAAAAGGCAUAAUGAACAAAAUAAACCAUAAACUAAAGUGGUAGUGACAACCAGUAUGUAGCGUCCAUGAAUAAUUGAAAAUAGCCUCAUUUUCUAAUGACCUCGGACCUAGAAGCUCUAAAAUCCUUGCCUAAUUCUUUGUGAUGACUUUAGUUUAACCUUAAUGGCGAGGGCAAAAUUCUAAAUAAUUUUUGUCACAACUCAUAAAUUUAGAAGAAAAAAAUGAGAAUAAAUGGAAUCCCAAACAAGAAAUUGUUAUUUUUCUCUUUUAUGACAAAAAUCUACUACUAUUAUUUAAUAACGUGGGAAUUGUUCUUUCAACUUUAAUACCAUGUAUGACAUAACUUUAACAACCUUAAUUUAUAAGAUUAUUGAAUUUAAAAGGAUAAAACAAUUACAUAUUCAUAAGAAUCACUUCUAUUUUUUAACAACAAUAAAUUUCAUUUUUUGGACAAAAAUACCCUCCAUUGUUUUUAUCAACAUUUCACAAUCGAACACUUAUUGGAAAAAAAAAAAGGUAUAAGGGUAGCUAUAUUAAAAUGAGGUUAUAAUUAUAAUACUCAAUAAGUGGAGAUUGUUUUUCCAAAUAUUGGGAUCAUCUUAUCCAUUUGACACAAAUAUUUCUAAUUUAUAUUAUAAUUACUCUUAUAGUAAGAGAAAAAGAGUAAUUUCACAUGAAAUGGACCCAUAAACAUAGAUUUAUUAUGAGGCAUGUUACUAUAAUAAUAAUAGGAAAUAAGACGAGACAUGUUACCAUAAUAAUAGAAAAUAAGAUAAGUAAUUCAAUACUUAAUAAAGGUCUAAAACAAUUAUGCUUCUCAUUAAAUGAUAUUAAUGAUGGAAAAAAACUAAGGGGUGGUUAAUAAAACUUAAUAUUUAUUACUUAAGGAUUUAAGUUGACUUUAAAUUAAAUUAUGCUUAAAUUGUUAAUUUAAAACUUAUUAAUUCUUAUUUUAAGUAUUAAGACUAUUUAAUAAAAUUAACUUGAAAUUUAUUAAGACUAUUUAAUAAAAUUAACUUAAAAUUUCUUUUAAAUUGUCAAAUCGAUAUAUUUAUUUUCUUAAAUUAUAAUUAAAGUAAAGGACAUCAAGUAACAAUGGAUGUCAUGGAAUAGUGAAAGAGAUCUUAGAGGUAACGAGACAAAUUAUGGUAAAAAAAUGUUAAAUAAAAAUAUGAACUUAAAAAUAAAUUAAUUAUUUAUAUUUAUUACUUAAAGUUGUUUUUUAUUUUAUAUUAUUAAAUUAUUAAAUUAUUUUACUAAAUGUGUUUAAUUUAUUUAAUGACUUACAUUAAAUUACUUUAGGCUAUUAAAUCGGUUUACAAAUAAUAUCGAGUAGGCCCACAGACUGGAGAAUAUUGCUAUCAUAUGUUUUAUCACUACUUUCAUGUAUUAAGGUGCCAAGAAUAAUUCACCACAAAAUAUAUGAUAAGUUGAUAGUAUAGGAUACAAUCUAAAAAAUGCACUUGAUUUCAUCAUCUAAAUAAAUGCUCUUGGCAAAAUGGAUCAUCCUAGCUGAAACCAGAGCACAAGCCGUCAUGGACAGGAGGCAACGGAGAAACCCUUCUGCUUCUUCUUCUGCCUUUUCAUCUCCAACUUCAUCCUCAUCGCGUUUCCGCUCAGAGAAAUUCUCCUCGAAUCCCCCAAAAACUAGUAACUCCCUGGAGGAUGCUCACCAAUUGAAAAGCAAAUGUGGGAAGCCACAAAGACCAGAGCAAGAGGAGGAAGGAGAGCAAGAUCCGAACAAUCUUCUCUCCUUAGUUGGAACUUGCCCAUUCAUGUGCCCUGGUAAAAAUGCGUGCUUAUUUUUCCAUUUUUUUUAAUUCUAUUUUCCUGUUAUUCUGUGUUUGGUUUCCGAGAAAUUGGAGGAAAACAGUAGAAAAGAGAAGUGAAUCUGGAAUUUCUGUGUCAUUUUUGUUGCUUUUACAUAAAUUUUACAAAUAAAAUUGAUAUUUCCCCCCUUUAUUAGAUACCAAUCUGAAGAAGACGUAGGAAUCCCAAAAAAAAAUUCGCUUUUGCCUUUACUUCCCCCAAAUCUUUCAUAAUGGAAAAUGGACUUACCACCUCUUUUAUCACUUUUCCUUUACCAUGUCAGGUUUACAUGUAAUCAAACACUGUAUUUGGAGUAGAGCAUUUAUUCUAAUGUCAAAUGGUGUUGAAAACUUGAAUUACUGGAUCUUAAGACUCCAGAAGAAAUUUGAUUGUUUAUGAUUAUUGCUCCAUGAGAAGGGAAAGGGAUUUCUUUUGUUUUUGCUCACAUACAUGGCCAAAUUGAUUUAUCUCCUUCUCAUACGAACAAAAUAAGGACAUUUCUUGUCUUGCUGCCUUUUAUGCCACCGGUUCCACAUGCUGAUGUGACAACCCUUGUGCUAUUCUGUACAAAUGGUAGGAAAAUUCUGGUAAGACUGGUGGCCAGCCUAUCAUGUUCAGAGAAUAAAUUCAUUGUAUAUCUGGAAUUCACUCUAUAUCAGCAUAGGGUGUUGAUAUUGAUUAUAAAUGACUAAAUUCAAUUUAUUAUCCUUACAUUAGGGAGUGCUAAAAGGAUGCAAAUUGUUCAUGUUAUACCCAAAGACAUACAAGUGAUGCUAGAGAUUUUCACAAUGUAGAUAAUCAUAGAGUAGAGAUGAACACUAUGGAGUCUUUUGGCAUGUGUUCAUUCCAUGUAUGGGAACAUGCAUUGGAAGAUUAUGUUUCCUCCUCCCUCCCCUCCCCUCCCCAAAGUAAGUACUAUGUUGUCAUGGCAAGAACUUUGGUGACAUGCUUCUGAGUGGAAUAGCCUCCUAGAAGUCCAUUUAUGUGGCAAUUGGCAAGUUCUUCCAGUCAAUGAGAACUUUGUGACUGUCUGAUUGUUGUACUAAUCAUCAUCAGAUUUUUUUUAAGUUCAAGUUGCAAAUAGCCUUUCACAGUUGAAGGUAGCAAUGAAGAGGCCUGUUGACAUAAUUAUUUCUUCUGCUUGAAUGGAUUAAAAUCAGAUACCACACCUUCAGCCUAGAAAACUAUGGACUUUCCUAUGUACCUGCAAUUGGCUGAAUACUGGUGUGACACUGACCAAAGGCUCUCUGAUGCUGUUAUUAAUUUCCCGAGCAAAUAAGAGAAAACAGAGAGGUCAUAAUGUGAAUCAGUUACCUCUUGAGUAGGGAUGAAGGCUUUUUAUACCUUUUUACUUUCUGGUUAGGCCUUGGAAGCACUUCUGUGAACCAUGAUUUUGUACUGUAAAAUUAGAUGGGAUGGAUAGGUCACCUUAACUCUACUUUUGGAAGUGAUUGGGGAGUGCAUGACCGUAUGAAUAUUGAUGUAUUCUCCCCAUACAGAGCCCAACUUCUUUUUGAACUAGGAAGCAUGAAGGGUGGGUGCAUGUGGGCUGAGGAAGGAAGAUUUGACUUGUGUGCUGCAGGCCUGCAGUACCAAUUUGUUCCAGAACUUGAUAAGGCCCAUAAACUGGUAGGCAAGUUUCAUUAUUUGGUCACCACUGAAUUUCGGCAGUAUGGCCACAAGGAAGGUAGGAAGGAGAGGGAGAAGAGAAAGCCCCAAUUGCCAAUUGCAAUCUUCCGGUUGGCACAGUGCUCAUUUGCUGACAUUUCCAUUUGAUUUUAACCUUGAAACAGAUACAGCUUAACGUGAUGGACCAGUUUUUCACAAUCUUGUGAUUCAUUACCCAACUUCUAGUAACAGUUUCUCAGCAGAUGACUCACCCAUGACAGGCUGAUGAUGUCUGCACACAACUUGAAAGGUAUUUAUGCCAAGGUGUGAAAGGUAAUAUUGUGACACCAUUUUUCCUAUUCCAGAAAAUGUACCAAAUGUAUGGCUGGUUCUUGACCAAAAAAUGCUGGCAUUGGUCACCAAGUGCUAGGGUGAUUCUUGACAAAAAAUGUCGUAUUGUUCAGAACAAUGAUUUACAACUUCAGAUUGGCCAUCCAGUUAAUGAUGAUAAGCACUUGUUUUACAAAGUUCAGUGUCAUAAAAGCAAAAUAAUUUUGUCAACAAAUAUGGGGAUAACUUUAUCAUAAUUACUACUUAUGGAAUUUAAGGAUAAGUUGGGUAAUGUGAGAAAGUUUUGGUCAGAGGAUAUGAGGAUAACUUUGUUGCAAUUGCUAAGCUACACGUCCUAGGACUACUAGGAGAAAAGUAUGAGCAACAGAAUGAAUUUACAGUCCAUCCCCACUAGCUGCAUGGAGAGGUUGGGCUUAUUGCUGCUAUGGUGGAGGUCACCUUCUUGUAGACUUUGAAAUGUGCAAAUGAAGAGGCAGAUUUCUUAGAAGAAUGGGUAGGAUUCAGCUUGUGGUAGAUAUUGAGCUUAUCGCCUCUAAUUUCAUGUCUUCUCAAUGUGGAUUUGAGGUUUAACGAGAUUUUUGGGAAAUCAUUAAGAUUAAAAGUAAUCGAAGACUUUCACAUUAAUGAGGUAAUGAAUAACCACUGAUACUUCUUCACCCCAAAGUUCCUUCACAAAAAUUUGGUGAGUGAAGAACUAUUACUGAGUUGUGAAGCACCAAUUCCAGCUUCAUUAUCUUGAUCUUCAGAAAGAGGGAUCCAACUUGAUUUGGGAUUUUAUACCUGUCAACCCAGUCACUGGUUUUUAGGAGAAUACUUCCAAUUUACCCUUGGGUUGCUUUAGAAAGUUUCUUAAUAGUGCCAUCUCUCUAGCUUAAGGGGCUUUUGUUAAUGGAAGGCAAAUUCUAGAUGUGGUUAUCAUUAGUAAUGAAAUCCUAGAUAAAAAAUUCUGUUCUAAGGACGAAGGGAUGGUUUUUAAAAUAGGUUUUGAGGAAGUUUAUGAUCACAUAGAUUGGGGUUUCAUGUAUGAUACAUACUUUGAAUAGGGAAGGCCCUUGAACCUGGAUGGCACAAAGGGACUGGAUAUUUUGAGGUUGUUUUUCAAACUGCAGACUCUUUAAUGGUUAUUGAAGCUGAGUGAUUAGCACUCGAGGAAGAUUCGGACAUGGUUGUUUGCCUGGAUGUAAUGAACCUCCAUAUUGAAGGGGAUUCCUUUGUUAUUGUCUUAGAACCUUCUUUGAAGGCAAAGGUCCUUAGUGGAUUGCUCAUCAGAUGGGGUGGCUUCAUAAUCAUGCUAGAGACAUUGCUUGUUCUUCUCUAUUGAGGCCCAGAUCAGCUAGCCAGGUGCAUGGCUAUAUUUUUCUUAUAGGGAUGCUAAUAUCUGAAAUUUUUUAUUGAGAACACUUACCGCUCUUUGAUUGGUUUGAGGCAUGGAGCGGCUUUUCUGUUCUCUUCUUGCCAUACAUGCAUAUCAUCCCUCUUUUUUUAUCUUGUUUAACUCAAUAAAUUCUCAUUUGUUAUAAGGAAAAAAAGAGAUAUUAUGUUACAUGAUGGAAGGACUUUAUUCUGUUAUGGAGUAUGCAAAACCUAGAUCUAUUAGCUAGAGCUAUACAGUAGGCUGUUGGGUUGUUCAGUAUUGUCUCUUUUUUGGAUAGGUUUGGCCAAUGCCCCUUGAUGUUACUUUUUGGUGAUGUAAUUUUCUUUGAUUUUUCUUGAAAAUUCCUCAUUUUUCAAGCUUGCUUGUAUAUCUUUUCUUCUUCCAUUAAUGAUUGUUUGAUUCCUUACUAAAAUAAAUAACAAAUUAUGAUGGAAAGGAUUAUGUUUAUGGAAAAUUUUGAGAUUUUCACCAGAUUAGAGUCUCCGAAGCUGGUAUUUGUCUUUACACAGAUAAUAGGAAUCAUUUUCCCCCCAAACUACAUAAGACAUGUCUGCUACUUGGUAAUGUUCCAUUGGCAGUUAUAAACUCUCCUGUCAAAUGUGAAUCUGUUGUAGCAUUCCGAAUGGUGUUGUGUCGUACAUAGAUUGGUAAUUGAGGACUUUAUUAUGGAUUUCGUCCUGUUUUGGUUGUGCCAACAAGUUCUAUCCUGUUCUUUGUCUUGCUGAUUUGCGUGGUUGUGCAUCAUGUUCCUACCAGCUGUAUAAUUAUGCUUCUGGAGCAUAGUUAUUCUGGUUUUACCAUCCAGAUGAUGGUACUAAAGUAUUUGUAUUCUAGAUUGCACAACUCCUUAUAUGGGAUAUUUUUGCAUCAAAUGCUUAGUGAUCAAGAGAACUCUCAUAUUAAACACAUUCAUCUUCUAUUAAACUAAAUUCCUUAAGUCUGCAGUCUCACAACUACAUCAUACCAUUCUUUUCCUUUUUUCUUCCUUUCUUGCUAUUACAGGUUGGUUGCCACUAAUAUAGUAGAAAGCAAAUUACACGACCCUGCUUCCAUAAGACCUUUCUUAUUCCAUAGGUUGAAAUAGAAAAAACACUCGAUGGGACUAAUGCUUCUCUUUGCAAGCAAGCAAAUUAAAAUGUUUUGAAACCCAUGCUGCCAUGAUCUAGCUAAUUUGCAUUUUAUAUGUCUACUCCUUUCUAUUUACUCAAAUUGUGUAUUUCUUUUGCUUGUAUUUAUUUCCUGAUGAGUUUAUUCUGAUUCUUUGAUCAGGAUUUCUGCAAUCACAUUGCUUGCUAUUGAAUUUUCAAGGGCUUAAUAUGAAUUAUUAAUAAAGAAGUUGUUUAAUUAUUUCAGCAGCUUAUACUUUGUAAUUUCUUUUAACAACUCUUAUCUCUGAUGUUCAUUUGUAAUAAAUAGCUGGAGAAAGGGCCCAACGUGAACGCCUUCGGGACUUAGCUGUGUUUGAGAGGUUACAUGGAAAUCCUGGGAAAACAUCUCCAAGCCUUGCUGUCAAAAAGGUAAACCCUACAUCUCAUGCCUCUAUACCGCAUCUUAGCUUCUCAUCUUGCAUCGGACAAUGAUACUCUUAUUGAAUCAUCUUUACCAUAUCAGCCAUCAACAUGUGCACUUAUUGAGCACUAAUUCAGGCACUGAUACUUGUGCUUUUGUUUUGUUUUAUCUUCUCUUGUCUUGUUUUGUUAUGGAUGUGAUUGUGUUGGAUGACCUGUAUCUGUGUUAGACACCAAAGCCUAUCUUAAUGGUACUGUAAAGUAAGACUAUGCUAAUAAGCUAUUGAUCUGUUACAGGGUUUAUGCCAAACUGAUUUUUUAGUUUCUCUAGUAGAAAACUUGUUUUUUCCCCUGUUAUAUCGGUGCUAUUGUUGGAUUUGUGUUUGUUGUUGAUCAAGCAUUUGCUGAAACUUUUUUUUUUUUUUUUUUUCCUUUGCUUCUUGAUGUGCAAAGCAUUAUUGUUUGAAUUUUAAUGAUCCCAUUUGAUUCACUAUUCAAUAUUUUUAUUUGAUAUUACAUCUAUCUCAUUUGUUUUCUUUUCUUAGUUUUUAUUUUUAUAUUUUAUAUUUUUAAUUUUUUUUUAAUUUUUUGAAUUAGUGACAUUUGAAUUUGAUGGAGCCACCAUUAAUUUAUUUUUCCUUAUUAUUGUGGGGUGUGCUUUAUUUUGUUCAAUUGUUGUUGCACUAUUAUUAUCAUGUAACUUUUUUUUUUCUUUUCUUUUUUUUUUGUUUAAUCUAUUGUUCCUAUGAGCAUUAAAUGCUCCUAAAAUGUAUGGAAUAGGCUAAACCUUUCUAUAGUUUUUUUAAAAAAACUCAUUUAUUAUCUAUUUUCUUGUGCUCAAAAAAUUAUAUUUUUUUAGUAAAAUUGAAAAUUUAGGGAGCGCUUAGGCCCCAGCGGCUCAACCCCUUGAGGGUUUAUGCCUAUUGUAGCAAGAUGUGGACCCCCUUGCCUCUUAUGCUUUUACCUUAUGAAACUAUACCAAGAAAAAAACGCCACAACUCCCUGCUGCCAUCAAAGGAUACUUCAAAUUUUGCUUGAUAUCAAUUUUAAGGCUAAUUAUCAUAGGCUUGUCAUCAUGUCACUAAAAUUGGUAUUGUAACCAAAGUCCUAUUGCGAAAUCUUCAAGUUGCAGCUCCUUUUUUUCUGUUGGCUCUUGUAUUGUUAGGUGGCCGCAACCUGUUGCUUUACUUAUGCUUUAUGAACUACUCCAGUUAAAAUAAUGCUUCGAGUAGAUGCUUUUUGGAUCUUGACUCUAGCAAGAGGCUUAUAUUGCAAAUUUUUUUUGUGGAGUCCUAGAUAGGUUAACUAGGAAGACAAUAGCUUGCUUAAAAGGAUUGCCACCUCUCCUGUUGGGUUUGUAAAAAUUUUGCUUCUCCCUUGACCUUGGGAGUCCUGUGGUUUCAAUUUUGGGUGUGCUCUAGGUUGUAGCCUGUGUUAUGCUUUCUAAAUGGUAAUCUUCUUGUUUUGGUUGGGAUGCUUUUGUUUAUUUUGCUUGUUUGCUUUCUUUGUUUCUUUAUAAUUGUGGCUAUAGGAUCACCAAUCAACUUUAUAUUUUUUGCAAAAACUGUUUAUGUUUCAUAACGAAAAAGGAAAAAACAAAGGCAAGUUAGCCUACAAUAGGUUCUAUCUUGUUUCUUCUUUUACCAUUAGUGUGGAUUCGAACUCAGGAAAAGGCCUUCAAGCAAGUGGCAUUUGUGUUUUUUAAACAUAUAUCUUUGUUCAAUCAUUGUUAAGUGUUUGUUGUCUUGUCUGUUCUUUUGGUUGUUUUUGUCUUUGUCAAAGUGUAUAACUGUAAUAUCCUACAUCGUAUAGAAGAAAAAGUUUCUAGUGCUAUAUAUGUAUGAAUUUCUUUUAAUCUUGUUGAUUCGUUUUUAAGCCGUGAGGGUCGCUUAGGCUCAAAACAAAUAAUAUCCACACAACUGGGAGCAGGUUGUUACAAAUGGUAUCAAAGUCAAUGCUCGACCUUGGUGGGAGAGUUUGUUUGGCCUGAAAUGGGUGUCCGUUUAUUUGACCCUACAAUCCUGUUGGACACAACAAGAACGUUGUGUCUGCAUGAGAGAGAGGGUGAUUGUAAUAUCUUACAUUAGAUAGGGGGAAAAGUUCCUAACGUUAUAUAUAUAUAUAUGUCUGUAUGUAUGUAUGUAUGUAUAUAGACUCCUUUUAACCUUGUAAACGUAUUUUAAAGUCAUGAAGGCCCCUUAAGUAUAAGGUGGAUAAUAUCUAUACGGUUGAGUGCAGGUUGUUAAAAUAAUUACUUUUAACUUUCCUUCCAUAUGUUUAAUUGCAUAACAUUAUUAUAGCAAAAUAUUAAUCUAUCAUAAUGCAACGUCUUGUAAAGCUUAUGUUAGGUGUCAUGAUUUUAUCUCUUGUCAUUUUUAUUAUUUUGAUUCAAUAUCAUCUUAGCUUAUAAUCAUUUAUACACUUGAUGCAUGAGAAAUGAAGAUGCUAUAAAUUGUAGGAUUCUUUUUCUCCAAUUUGUUCCUUGAUAUUUUAUAAUGCCAUGAAAUGUCUAUAUUUUGAUGCAGAAAGCCGUUCACCCUCCAUCUCUCUCACUAGUUUUGCAGAACCAUUGCCACUAAGCACAUGCAGGCGUCAGAUGUGCGGCCACUUCCAGUGUUGGAAGAGACUUUGAACUACCUAUUAAACCUGUUGGAUGCCACGGAACAUCCUUUUGAAGUGGUUCAUGAUUUCGUCUUUGAUAGGACAAGAUCAAUAAGACAAGAUCUUAGCAUGCAGAAUAUCGUUAAUGAUCAAACAAUUCAUAUGUAUGAAGAAAUGGUAUGAAUUUCUUGAAACAUAAUCUCAAUUACCUUUUUUUUCUGAGCAUUCAUCUCCUCAACAUACAAUAAGUUAGCCAACCCAUUGCUAAACACUCACCUAGUUGGAGAAAAUAAUCAAAGUAUACAAGAUAUAAAAUGUUGAAUAAUUGAGUCAUUAUCCUCUCCUUUUGCUUUAUUGAAUAAGAUAAUUUAUUCAGUGGAGUCCAAACGAGGUGAAACUGUGAUCACACUACUUGAAGCCUACUUUACAAUGGAUAAAUGAAUGGUCUGAUUCUAAAUCUUUCUUGGCACAUUAGUUAUUAUCCAAUCCGUUCUAAUUAAAUUAUCCACUAUUAAGUGUCUAUUUCCAGUCACCCUCCAAGUUAUGAAAGACCCAUAGAACCAAAGCAACUCACACCACAUGUGAUGGGAAUUGAUGCUCUCUUCCAUAAUGUCAAGUUUUCCAGUACACUUGCUGACUUUGUAGAAUAUGCCUACAAAAAGGGCUGCCACCUCCUAAUUCCCAAUCAUAGAAGUUUCUUAACCAUAUUUCAAAAGCUGUAUUUCCUGUUCCCCCUCUUAAAGUUUUUUAAACCUAUAUCUCUUUAUCCUAGUAAUUUGGAAAAAUGAGGAAAUUAUUUAACAAGAACUCCAUCAAUUUGUUCCUUAAAAUUUUCUAUAGUUUCUAUCUCUCUCACUUUUGAUUCAAAUUCUUGAAGCAAAGGAACAAAUUCAUGGCCAGUAACAAUUUUAGCCAAGCAAUAGAAUGCACAACAAACAUGCAUAUGAAUGACUUGUGUUUUUUUAUGAUAAUUGAUUAGAUAUUUUAAUCUCAUCCUAAAACCUUGGAGUUAGCUAAAAGCCGCAUCUUAUGUUCUGACUUGUGGUUUGUUUCAUAAUAUAGGUGAAAUUUCAUAUUAUAUCCCACCACAAGCUUCGCAGUUGUAGUAGCAAGCCAAAUUUUUCUUCAGUUCAUUACCUCAAUAUGGAGCAGCUGAAAAAGUGUCUGAUAUCUCUAUAUGCUCUAUACGAAGAAAAUCGAAAUUCAAAUUCUAUUUACAAGAAUGAACCUGAGUUUUGCUCAUUUCACGUUCUUCUUCAUCUUGGCUCUAACAACCAACCAUUGGUGGAUACUUGCUUCCAUUGUUUGUUUGAGUUCAUCUUUUUCAGUAUCUCUUGUAGCCUUGUACUGGUUUCUGAAUAUGUUACUAUUUCUGUUCUGAAGGGAGAGUCACUCUCUUUAUGGUUGGGUCGUGUACCUUCUCUCAUUUUGAAGUCAAAGGAAAUGUGUUUUGCCCGGAGACUUUUAAGGUGACCACAAAGCUAUUAUAGAUUCGAUUUUCAAUUGAUUUUUUUCUCUUCUUUUAGUACCCAAUGUUCAAAUUUUUGUUUUCAUGAACUGAAAGAUCUGUCUUUUCUUGUAACAGAUUAUUUCGGAUGGGCAAUUAUAAGCGUUUCCUUUGUACUACAGCAACUGAGGCAUCUUAUUUGCAGUACUACAUUAUUGAACCUUACAUCAAUGAGGUUGCUUAAAUAUGUUGAUUUUGCUAGAUUUUUCAGUUUGAAAAAUAUAUGCUUCUUUGUUCAUUUAUUGUUUUUCAGUUUCAUUUCUGAGAAUAUAUCUCAAAUCUAGACUCGAGUACUUGUGCUUUUGGGUUUUAUUUUUCUUUCAUUUUUGUUAGUAGUUGUACUUCAUUAUUCUUAAAUUUCUCACCAACUGUUUCUUUAUGUGGUUUAUUGCUCCUCACUUUCUUCAUUCAUCUGAAGUGUUCAAAUUCAAUUAGCUUGUUUCAUAAACUAGUUCUUAUUUAGAAGUUCUUCUCAACUGCCUUUUUUUAGUGCUUCUAAAAGACAUGCCUGAUUUAUAUACAUUUUUGUUGGUUUUCUUUUGACCGUAAAAGGUUCGAGCAUUGGCAUUGUCAUGUGUAAAUUAUUGUGGCUACAAACUUCAUCCAUAUCCAAUUGCACACUUGUCCAAACUCUUGAUGAUGAAGGUAUGAUUGCAUUUACUAGCAUUAAAUUGCUAAAAUUUGUCAUCCAAAGUUCCAAUUUCUUUUGAACCUUGAAGACUUCAUUUGCAUUCUUGUAGGAAUUAGAUGUGGAAUCAUUUUGCAAUGCUUGUGGUCUUGAGACCAGCACUGGUGAGCGGGGAAAUAAGUUCUUAUCAACCAAGCAAACAAACUUCCAUUAUCCCAAGGAAGUCUUUCCAAGCUACUGCCUUCUGAGUUUGGAACACUUUUAGAGGUAACAAUCAAUUGGAACUAGUUACUCUUUCAAACUUCUUAUUGUACAAAUAUAACCUGCAUGUGCAACCAUUUCUGAUCCCAUAAUUUCAAGAAUUUAUGACACCUUCUAGUGGUUAGUUUUUCUGGGAAUAGAGUAAAGCAAUCUAUUCACUCCCAGAAACUAUCGUCAGAGGAACAGUAGAUAACCCCGCAAGACCAAAUUUAUGUAUGUUGCAUGGAGAUGCAUGUUUUCUGCAUCCCAAUCAUGCAGUGUUGUGUCAAAUGGAAUAAUAGCAGGUGAUGAUAAGUGGUAUUUCUAAAAUCUUCUAAGAGUAUUCCAUCUAUUGUAAUAUUGUUUUACUUAAAAUUGUCUUUUUGAGUCUUAUGUGUAAAUAUUCGAGUUGACCUCUUGUAAGCUAUCAAUUGAUGUUGUAACUUAACUUGAAAGGGAAAUUCUAUAAAUUUAGCCUUGGUUUGGCUCUUGGAAAGCAAAGAAAAAUUAGGUUAGUGAGUUGAUUUCUUCCCUUCCCAUGGAUGUAAGCACAUUCUUGAAUCACGUUAAUUAUUUUUUGGUUUAUUUUGUUGUUUUGUUGUUUAUUGUUCAAUUGUCUCCGCAUAACAAGUGGUAUCAGAGUUGUUUCCGACACACUAGAUGAUUCUUGUGCUAACACAAUGUUUGAGGCUAAAUAUAAGAUAGUAAAAGUUUCUAAAAUAUUUCCCUAUGACAGCUGCCAAUAAAGAAUGUACUUAACAGGAAGUUUGUAAGGUGUUACAUGGCAUGUUGAACAAAAUAUCUGAAAUAUUUGGGGCCACCGAUCCAACAAUAGCAGAUUAUAACACAAGAAGAGACCCUCUAAUCACCAUUUUUGCUUUUGAUUCUUCUUUACAAAGCAUCAUCUACUUUAUACAAAAAGACAACCCAUGGCUGAGCCCACAUUAUUCUCUACAUAUCCCAAAAAAGCCUUACAAAUUUUAGGGCAUGACGCUCUUUUUGGGGGUAUUUUUGGUACUAAAUUUGUGGUAGUCUCUCCAAUACCUAAACUAACCUCCAGAUUUUAAGGCAUGGCCCACUCUUUAAGGUGGUGUUUUGGGUACUAAUUUUUGUUAGGAGAGGUUUUAGUGUGGAAACUGGAGGGCUUUAGACAUGUCGCAUGUAUUUUCUUUUGCAUGCAUUACACAUAGAUCGGAGUUUUUGCAGUUACUCACACUUUUUGUGCGUCCAACAACACUAUAGUGCCACGUCACCAUAUGAUGGGCUCUUUAGUCUUUUCAAACCCAAAAAAACACCAAAAAAAAAAAAAAAACGAAUACUAAAAGGAGUGCUAACUAGCUAUGUGAAGGUGAACUUUUAUAGCUAGCUUCUUAGAGGGACCAUGAUCGCUUAGGCCAAGGAAGUUUGAGGUGAUAAUAGGUCUGUGAUGCCAUUAGAUGUUUUAAGCACAUGUGCGUUACACUAAUGUAUUCAACGAGUCUAUAACCUUGACCGACAGGUCUGGGUAAUCUUUGAAAUUUCAUUGUGAUGGGAAGGUUCCAUGCGAACAACACUUGCACAUGGGUUAGUCAAUCUUAAGAGACGGGGGAAGCCCGUCUAACAACGCACAAUGUGCGAGCUUUGAAAGGCAAUCGGGUUAACAUUUCUGAAUUGGGACAUGACAAUGACAACAACAUUAGGUAGUCUAGAGAUGUUGUCAUAUUAAUUGUUAUCAAUAUUUUUAUUUAUUCAAUAGAAAUUGAGGAUUAAAAAAUACCACAAAAAUUAGAAAAAACAAAAUUAAUUACAUGGCUUACAUUUCAGAUAUUUAAUAAAAUAUUGUAUGAAAGUUGAAUAUCAUACACUAUUAAAUGGUUGGAUUCUCCUCUUUAUUUUUUUUAAUUGUCUCAUCCUAUUAAAUUACUCAUCUAAUAUUAAUUUAUUUUAAAGGUAAAAUUAAUUAUAUUGUAAAAACCUUUUAAUUUACUAGAGUUUGUGCACAACAUCUAAUAUAUACUUAAAUACUUUUCCAUGCUAUAAUCCUCCAACUAAGAAAUGAAAUCAAAACUUAAAAAUCAUUUAUAUAUAUAGAUAUAUGUGAGUAAGGGAGGAGAUCCAACGGAUCUGUGCGCGAGCGAUGGUGAGAAAGAUUUCGUUGGCCUGGAAGCUCGUACCAGCCGGUGGAAGAGAAGCUUCGAGGUGGAGUCGAAGACUUUUGAGAUCGAGGUUGAGAGACAAAAAGGCAAAACGCAAGUCUUCAUUGAGGAAAGGAAAAGAGGGGUUUCCUCGUGGAUUAAGAUGGGGCCGGAGAGCCUAGGGUUUGUUGUGGAAGGGUUGGCUUUGUGUAUUAAGGAUACACGAACAGGCAGAUGGGUCAGAAAUUGGAGGGAGAGAGGGAGGAUCUUUUCAUUGCUGUGGGAUGAGAAUAAGGGAGGAAGCUUUAUCCGUCUGGGUGUAGAGGAUCUGGAGAAGAAGAGGUUUAAUAUUUUUAUCCCCAAAGGAAAUGGAGGGAAAGGGGGAUGGAUUGCGAUGUUGGAAACACUUAAGGCGCUGGUCGUUACUACGGAGAGGAAGAAAUGUCAGAAGGAGGAGAAGAUGCCGGUGGCGCCAUGUUUGGGGAGUAGCUACGCGGAAGUGGUGAAGGGACAGAAAUGUAAUGGCCGGUCAGUGGCUAGGGUAGAAGUAAGCCACAAGGACCUAUGCCAAAACCUAAAAAGGCUGGAUCAGUGCAUUGUUGGAUUGUGGGAUCCGAAGUUAGUCAAGGGGGAGGAUUUGAGGAGUUGGGGGAACCAAUUGGCUCGAUUGUGGGGGUUGAGGGGUAAUUUAGGUUUGGCUAAGUUGGGAAGGGGUAAGGUGUUGUUAGAGUUUGAGAGGAGUGUUGAAGCCGAAAAAGCCUUAAAUAUGGGAGGGCUUUUGGUAGGGAAGACACUGCUGCGACUGGAGAAGUGGAACCCUAGGACGGGGUGUCUGUUAGAAGGAGAGGAGAAGAGUGAGGCCUGGGUGAGAAUUGUGGGGCUUCCCAUCUCGUUGUGGGAUCGGGACAUCUUUAGAAAGGUUGGGGAGAAAUGCGGGGGUUCUUAGUGAUUGAUUCUCAGACGGAGAGGCUGGAAGAGUUGCAGUGGGCAAGAAUCCUGGUGAGACUAUCCGGCGAGGAGCCCCCUAGCAUGCUAGAAAUUGGGGUCGAGGGGGUGUGUUACUCGCUUGUCCUAUGGUGGGAGGUAAGGCCGGUAAUGAGAGUGCUGCCGGCAGAAAGGAGGGGAAAGAACAACGGUGAUGCUGUAGGAGGGGUUGAGGGUGAUGUCGCUACACGUGCAGGUAAGCGCGUGGUGGAAGUGGUGGAAGGUGUGAGGUCGAGACCCACAUGCAGUCUGCUGAUGGGACGAGGGAGCAGACAGGUGGGCCGGGGUCCCUUUGGGCUCGGUCCCGAGGCCCAAAAGGGCCGGGUCUGGGGGACCAAGUAGGCUUGCUUGGGAUGCUUGGCCCUACUGGGCCUCCUCGAGGCCUUGACUUGGGUGUUAGGCCCGAUGGGCUCGAUUCGCCUAAGGUCGGGCCGUUUUUCAGUGGGUCUUCGUCAUCUGAAGGGCCUUCGUCCUUAGAGGGCCUUAGGCCAAUGGAGUCCAUUAAGUUGGGUAGGCUAUCUGGGAAGGAAGAUUGUCAUGAUCCAUCUGGAGUGGCUCUGCCUCUGGUGUGGGCUGGCCCAAGUCAACUGAAGGAGUCAGAUGCUGAAGGCUUCCCUUCCUGGGUUUAUGAUGGCAGGCGGAGGCAAGCUGAAAUGGAGCCCUGUCUCGUAGAGAAGUCAAGGACCAACUGCGCCCUAAUUGAAGAAGCAACGAGGUAUGGGUGUGUUCCUAUCCCUUGUGGCUUAAUGGCAUCUGGACUCUCUCCUUCUCCUCUCUUCUUUUUUGGUCGGACCCCGUUGGGGGAUUUUUGCGACAUUUCUAGGGAUGAUAGGGUAACCUGUUUGAGAGAAACUCCCUUACAUAUGCUUCUCCCCUUGGGACCCCCAGAAGAGGAAAAUGCUUGCCGCUGGGAUUUGAGGGAGGGCCCAAGCGCCUGCAAGGAGAGCAGUGGUAAGGAGCUGAGGCUAGCCCAUUCGAUGCCACGUGAUGGAAAUGGAUGGGAGGAGGAAAGUUGGGAGGAAAGUGAGUUGGCCAAAUUUAGUAAGUUCUUGGGAUUUUCUACAGAAGGUCUGGAGAAAGAAAUUUUGGAGUUUCUGAUUAAAAUCCAAAAGAGAAGGGAAAAGGUCCACAGCAAAAACCUUCUAGAAAAAUCCAAGUUUGAAAGGGAAUUGAAAAGGCUGGAAUGCUCUAUUAACUACGAGGGGGGGAAGACGCAGAAGAGUGGAAUGAUAGUAGGAGGGUGUCAGAUUAUGGUGGUCAAAUGAAGCUGAGAAUCUUGAGCUGGAAUGUUCGGGGAGCUAACGACAACUCGAAAAGAAAGGUGAUUAAGGCCAUGAUCAGGAGUCAAAGAGUGGAUCUGUUCUGUUUCUAGGAGACCAAGAUUCAGGCAAUGACAAAGGGGCUGGUGAGAAGCUUAGGCAUUGGCAGGUUUCUUAAUUGGGGUACUCUGGAUGCCCAGGGGUCCCGCGGGAGGGAUUCUGAUCUGCUGGGAUAAGAGGACCUUGGAAAUAAUGGAAAUGGAGGUGGGGAGAUUCUCAAUUUCAUGUAGGAUGAGGAAUGUGGAAGACGGACUAGUCUGGAUGUUUACUGGGGUUUAUGGGCCAUUUUCUAAAGAGGACAGGGAGUGGAUGUGGAAGGAAAUAGGAGCAAUCCGAGGCAUUUGGGAGGAUCCAUGGUGUAUAGGGGGUGACUUCAAUGUCACCCUGUCACUGAGGGAAAGAAGUAAUCAGGGAAGACUAACGAGUGCAAUGAGAAGGUUUGCUCAAGUUGUUGAUGAGCUAGAACUCAUUGAUCUUCCAUUACAAGGAGGGAUGCUUACUUGGAGUGGGGGGAGGAAUAAUCAGGCAUGGGCCAGAUUGGAUAGGUUCCUGGUGACCCAGAGUUGGCUUGACCACUUCAGUGAGGUUGUGCAAUGUAGGCUGCCCAGACCGACCUCAGAUCAUUUUCCUAUUGUGCUGAUGGGGGGAGGGUUAAGGAGAGGUCCGUCCCCGUUUAGGUUUGAAAAUAUGUGGCUUAAAGCUGACGGGUUCACGGAUCUUCUUAGGGGCUGGUGGCAGGGAGUUGAGGUUAGAGGGAGGGCCAGUGUCAGACUAGCCACUAAAAUGAAGGUGCUGAAGCAUAAGAUUAAAGUGUGGAACAGAGAGGUGUUUGGUAGGCUGGAAGCUAACAAGAACUCAGCCCUGCAACAAGUGGAGUUUUGGGAUGGGGUGGAAAGGGAAAUGAGCUUGUCUGAAGGUGAAACUGAACUGAAAAAAGAAGCCAAGGAUUCCUUUAAAAUAUGGGUCUUAUUGGAGGAGACCCACUGGAGACAAUUGUCAAGGGAAUUGUGGCUUAAGGAGGGAGAUAGAAACACUGGAUUCUUCCAUAGAAUGGUUAAUGCUCACCGAAGGAAUAACUCUCUGGAUAGAAUAAAAAUUAAUGGAGUUUGGAUGACUGAGGAGUAGGAGAUGAGGGAGGGAAUAGUGAGUGCUUUUCAGCAGGUGCUUUCUGAGGAACCAGGCUGGAGGGCGGAUAUUGAGGGGCUGCACCUUAAUUGUCUAAGUUCCAGUGAAGCUAAAACUUUGGAGGUGCAAUUUACUGAAGAGGAAAUUUACGCAACCUUAAUGGGUAUGAAUAGGGAUAAAGCUCCGGGCCCGGAUGGGUUCACAAUUGCUUUUUGGCAAUCAAGCUGGGAGCUAGUGAAGGAGGAGAUUAUGGAAUUGUUUAGAGAAUUCUAUGACCAGUGUUCUUUUACCAACAGUCUUAACUCCACCUUUAUAGUCCUCAUUCCGAAGAAAGGAGGGGCUGAAGAUUUGGGUGAUUUCCGGCCAAUCAGCUUGUUAGGGGGUUUGUACAAGCUUUUGGCUAAGGUGUUGGCGAAUAGGCUAAAGAAGGUGUUAGAUAAGGUGGUGUCCGGGGACCAAAACGCCUUUGUGAGGGGUAAACAGAUCUUGGAUGCGUCUCUUAUUGCCAAUGAGGUGAUCGACUUCUGGCACAAGAGAAACGAGAAAUGGCUGAUCUGUAAAUUGGACAUUGAGAAAGCCUAUGACAGUAUUAAUUGGAACUUUCUCAUGAAAGUUCUGGUCAAAAUGGGUGUUGGGUCGCGGUGGUUGGAGUGGAUUUGGUGGUGCAUCUCUACCGCCAAAUUUUCAAUCAUGAUCAAUGGGGUCCCGACUGGUUUCUUCUCGAAUUCUAAGGGGCUAAGACAAGGUGAUCCCCUCUCCCCGUAUCUUUUUGUGUUGGGGAUGGAAGUUCUUAGUAAUCUAAUUAGAAGGGCGGUUGAUGGGGGUGUCUUAUCAGGCUGCGGAAUUCGGGGGAGAGGGGAAGAGGAGAUGAUAGUUUCCCACCUGCUCUUUGCUGAUGACACGAUCAUCUUUUGUGAAGCUAGCAAAGAGCAAGUGUCCGCUCUAAGCUGGAUUUUGGCUUGGUUUAAGGCGGCCUCCGGUCUUAGAAUUAAUCUUGAUAAAAGUGUCCUUAUUCCAGUUGGUGAGGUGGAAGAUAUUGAGGAGCUGGUUGUGGAACUUGGUUGUAAAGUGGGAGUACUGCCCACUAUUUACUUAGGGCUGCCCCUUGGAGCUCACCACAAAGCUGUCUCCAUUUGGGAUGGGGUGGAAGAGAGAAUGAGAAAGAGAUUAGCCCAGUGGAAAAGACAUUAUAUUUCAAAGGGAGGGCGUAUCACCUUAAUCAAGUGUACUAUGGCCAGCCUUCCUAUUUACAAUAUGUCCCUUUUUCGAAUGCCGAAGAGUGUUGUAAAGAGACUCAAAAAAUUACAAAGAGACUUUCUUUGGGGAGGGGGCAGCUUGGAGAGGAAGGUCCAUUUAAUUAAUUGGGAGGUGGUGUGCACUCGAAGGGAGAAGGGUGGCCUUGGCAUUCGGAAGAUUGACUCCUUGAAUAAAGCUUUGUUGGGUAAAUGGGUUUGGAGAUUUGCCGUGGAAAAGGAUAAUCUCUGGAGGUUAAUGAUUGGGGUGAAAUAUGGUCAGGAAGAGUUUGGGUGGAGAACUAAAGAAGCCCGUGGUACUUAUGGAGUGGGGGUUUGGAAGGAGAUUAUGAAGGAAGCUAAGUGGUGUUGGGAGAAUAGAAAAUUUAAGGUAGGGAAAGGGACUAGAGUAAAAUUCUGGUUUGACUAGUGGUGUGGGAAUGAGAGGCUGUCCCAUUCUUUUCCCCAACUUUAUGAGAUGGCGGUCAACAGGAAUGCAACGGUUAAUGAGAUGUGGGAUCAUAGCAGUGGUCCAGGAGAUUGGAAUCUUAGAUUUCAUAGAGGCUUUAAUGAUUGGGGGAGCUGGAUUUGAUUAGAGGACUGCUUAUUGUGCUUAGGGACUUCAAGCUAUCUUCAGAGGAGGAUGUGGUGCUUUGGAAAAGGGGGGGCCAUGGGAAGUAUGGGGUGAAGGAUGCCUACAAUGGGCUGGUUGUUAUCAAUGCUUGCGACUUUCCGUAUAGAGGCGUUUAGGUGGACAAGGUCCCAACCAAAGCGGCUUUUUUUGCUUGGGAAGCUGUGUGGGGGAAGAUUCUCACCUUGGAUAGGCUUCAAAAAAGGGCUGGCAGUUUCCUAACCGGUGUUUUUUGUGUGGUUGUGAAGAGGAGAGUGUAAAUCACAUUCUUUUACAUUGUAUAGUGGUAAGGGCCUUAUGGGAAAUCGUUUUUGCCCUUGUGGGGGUUCAGUGGGUGUUCCCAGAGUUUGUGAAGGAGGCGCUAUUCAGUUGGAGGGGCCCAUUUGUGGGGAAAAAGAGGAAAAAAAUUUGGAAUUCUAUCCCAUUGUGUAUUUUUUGGACGGUAUGGAAGGAAAGGAAUAGGUUAGCUUUCAAGGGAGGGGUGUUAAAUAUUCAGAAACUCAAGAAUUCUUUUGUUUGUACCUUGUGGAGUUGGGCUAGGGUGUAUAUUGGAGAGGAGUCCUCUUCUCUCUUAGGUUUUUUGGAGUGGCUAGCGGCCACUUAAGGGAGGGUAAGGUGCUUGUUUUUUUGUGCUCUCGUUUUGAGGCAGAUUUGUAUACGUCCUGUAUGCUUGGUGGCCUUUGCCCUUUAAUAUAUUUGUGAUAUUUAUAAAAAAAAAUAUAGAUAUAUGUUAUUAAGUUUAGGUAGUGAAACAAUUAAUGUGGAUAUAAAAUUAAUGCCAAAACUUUUGAUUGAUCCUUCACAUUCUCCACAACCAAACAAAGGAUAUAAGAAAAAUAAAGAAAGAAAUUUAGGGUAGCUUGAUUUUUUGUUCUCAUCUUGUUGUGAAGUUAAUAGAGGAAUGCUUAGGUUGGUGCUCAAUAGUUAAGUGACACCAGGGUAUAAUGAUUCUUCCAAUUGUGUAAACAUUAUCCGCUUUAAUUUCAAUGGAUCAUCAUCACUUUAAAUUGCAUCCACAUGGUUAAGAGCAACUCAUAUGUAUAUAAUAUCAUGAAUUUCUUCUUAUUCGAUAUGGAAUAUCAAAUUAGGUAUUGUAUAAGCGUUUCAACUCAAAUGACUUGGCUUAAUGUAUACUCAAAGCCAUGACAAAGGAACGUACAUGUAAUAAAGUGAAAAUUAAACCUUGUCGCCCUUCUAUCUCUAGUAUGAAACACAACUCCAUUAGCCCUUAAACAUCUGCAAAAAAAGAUAUACACAUCUGUUACAUUAAUUAAAAUAAAUGAUGCAAAAAGAGACUCUACAUGUCCAUGUACAUAAUUUGAUUAGAUUUGUUAUAUAUAUAGACAGAGAGAAAAAAAAACUGCUUAGAUUAAGGAUCUCAUUAAUUAAUACCUAGAAAAUAUAAAAUAAUAAGAAAAGAUUAGAAGGUGUGAAUCAUAAGAUAAAACUACAUUUUUGAAUUAGAUUCAUCGAAAGAUGGCAUAUUGUAUGAACAUUUGUACUCUAUAUAUAAAAAUUCAUAUUAUGGUUGAGAUGUAUUAAUUUGUCAUAUUUUUGGAAAAUUAAAGUAAUGAGUAAUUACACUAAAUUAAAUUAUUGACCUUAUUAAUCAAUACCUCAAGAGUAUAAAAUAGUAAGAAAUGAUUAAUACAAACUUCAUUGAAAUAUUUUUAUACACAUUGUGUAAAUAUUCUUAUUUAAUAAAAGUUUAUAUGUCAUUAAAUAAAUAGAGAAUUUUAACAUUAAUUGCAAUGCUAAGUAGAGGAGAUCCCAUAUUUAAGUUGUUGAUUAAGGCUUAUUUGAUAAAACUUAAUAUAUAUUACUUAAUAACUUAAGUUGACUUUAAGUUAGAUAAUAUUUAAGUUAUUUCCUUAAAAUUUAUUAUUUAAUAUUUACUUUCAGUGUUAAAGUUAUUUGAUAAAGCUAAUUUAAAAAUCAUUUUAAAUUUUCAAAUUGUCAUAUUUACCUUCAUUAAUUUGAUAACUAGAUGCAGAUAAAUGAAAAAAAGAAAUGAGAUUAAGAAUAAGUUAAUUAUUUUGAUUUAACACUUAAAAUUAAAAGUAACUUUAAAAUAUAAUAUUAAGUUAUUUUAUCAAAUAUAUUUAAUAAUUAAAUUAAGUUAUUAAGUCAAUGACUGAUUACCAAACACCCUAUAAGACCUAGAAAAUCGAAUGAGUUUUAAUAGUAUUCAGGAUGGGUAUGACUAGGUGGUGGUUCAAUGUUGAUUAAUCAUAAUUCAAUCAAGGCAAAAUAUGUAACAAAUACAUGUCAAACUGCACCAUCCAAAUGGGCGCCAAGAAUGUUACAUUUGACAAAUGACAAAUGCCAUUAAACCUUUACAGCUAGCAAUUAGAAGAUCACUCUCUUCUUGUAUCUCUCUUUUUCUCCAAACUCCAGGAGGAAAAACUCGAACUCCAUUAUUUUGAUCACAGAAAACAUGGCAAAAAAGUGUGUUGUACUUCAUCUUGAAGCUCAUUAACUUCAUCUUAAUUUGAUCCAAAUUGCAGAAACAUUCGAAACUCCAUGAAUCUAUGGUGCCUUGGUGGCCUACAUUCAUAUAACUGGGGACACUUUGGUUUGCACUACAAUGACCCCCAAACAUGGUUUGUAGAGACUUUAUCAAAAUCACUAGCUUCAAAAGACUAAGGAAAGAAAAAUGUUCUCAAUGAAAACUUGGAGUCGAAUUGCAGAUAAAGACCUAAAACUCCCACUCAAUGUGUUUUAGGAAUUGUUCUUUCAUGGGGAUAAGCUGUUUGGUUUGUACAUGUCUCCUUGGUGAUACUUAGAGAUUGGUGAAGUAUACGUUUCCUUUGUGAUCUGGUUUGUAUCUGGGCAGAUGAAUGUUCAUGCCAGGUUCAUAUAUGUUUAUGAUAUAUGUCACCCUGGAAGGAUCUAGAUCAAGGGGAUGAGUUUGAAAAGCUUGAGUAGGUUUAAAAUGUUCCGAGAAUUGGUGAGCAUGAUAUAUAUCAACAUAUUGCAGAAGACAACAGAGCUUCUGAAAUAUGUCAGAUUCAAUAGUAGGACAUCUUAUCAGCUGUCACUUACUGUAAUUCUAUGCUCUCAAUAUUCAUUUGUUGAAGAAGAAAAAAAAAUUGCUUUAACACUAUUCAAUUACAGGAGAAUGUUCAAUUAUAGAAGAAAAUAAUAUUCGCUAGUCUCUUUCAACUGAAUCAACAUGCAGAGAAAGCAGUCAGGUGACCAGUUAUUCACAUAAUAACUUACAUACAUUGUCUCUCUACCUCUACUUGUUACUCAUCAGCCAAGCUUACAGUAAUAUAAGCUUGGGUUCAUCUCUCUAUGCCACUGAUGAAAACUCCACAUGGGCUUUGCCUUUCUGGUGAUUUUGCAUUUGGAUUCCAACCCUCUCCAAGUGAAGUGGACUUAUUCCUUCUUGCUAUCUGGACUGCAAAUGGAAGUUAACCGGUGCCAAGAGGAUCAAAAGUUGGGCUUACCACCAAUAGACGGCUUGUUCUCUAGAGGCUAAGAUAUGUGGAAGACAGACUGGUAAUGUGAGCAGCGAACCAGUGCAUGGUGCCAUGCUUGGAGAUGGAAAUUGCAUACCAGUGUAUGGGAGAGCUUCAAGCACCCGACUAAUACCAUAUUGCCAACCCAGGGAUUGGUGUUGGAGCCUACUGUGCAGUUGCUAUUUAUGAGGACCUGAGGUUUCCAAAUGGAACUGGAAGCUGUUGGAGGAAAAGACUUACCUCUUUCAAAUGGGAGGUUGGAUCAAACUGCUGUUUCCAGAAGUGCUCUAAUCAAGAUAUUGAAGUCCAGUGAACUAACUUCAGGCAGAGGCAACCAAAAUAAAGCAAUUCUAAUACUCUCAGUCCUCUUAGGCCCCUCUGUGUUCUUCUUCUUCAUUUCUCUGGCUGCAAUUUCUCUAGUUUUCUACUGCUUGAACCUCAAAAAUCUGCAGCUUUAUCACAGAAUCCUGAGUACAAGCGAUGGUAGAAGCCUUUGGCACUGUCUAUAAAGGGAUAUUACCAUCAGGUUCUGGAAAUUCUGUUGCUGAAAGAAGUUGGAGAAGGUGGUGGGAGAAGAUGAGAAAGAAUUCAAAGCAGAAGUGAAUGUGAUAGGCCAACUCACCAUAAGAAUCAAGGACACUAGCUGCGUUACUGUUGUGAGGGUGAACACUGAAUACUGGUGUUUUUUUUUUAUGCACAAUGGCUCUUUAUCAAGGUUCCUUUCUGGAGGCGCCCAAGGACUUGUGUACCUACAUGAAGAAUGCAGUAAACAGAUCAUCCAUUGUGACAUAAAGCCCUCAGAACAUAACUCUUGGAUGAUUCUUCUACAGCCAAAGUUGCAAACUUGGACUGGGAAAGCUUCUGAUAAGCAACCAGACUAGAACACUCACAGGCAUCAGAGGGACUAUGGGGUAUAUUCAGACAACUCGGGCAGCCUAUGUCUCUUAUAAUAACACAUUGUGAAGCAUCAGCUCAAUGCCGGGGUUCAAUCUGCAAAGCAAGGGAUUCAUCAAUGUUUCCUUCAAACUAAAUGAUAAGGAACAGAAAUGGAUCAUUCUGCAUUUUCAGUGGUGUUUGUUAUAGCAUUUAUACAAGAACUCUAGGGGUUUCUAUGUAUAACUUCAUUCCCAUUUUGUAUAAUCCAAAUCUCUUCAAUCGAUUAAAUGUAUAAAUGAAUCCUAUUCAUUGUUUGGAGUAACAACAAAAUUCUGGAAGACUGGGAAAGUUUCAACACUGGAGAGAAGACAAAAUGACAAGACCAUAAAUUCUGGAAGAGGGCUUUGCUUUCUAACCAUUACCAUAAUUUUUGAGCUCAACCCGGAUGAGUAAAUUAUAUUUCAGAAUGUUCAGGAGAUAAUUCUAAAGUGAUGAACCUUCUACUCACAGUUUCUUGUUCUUCUUGAACAGAGCAAUGAACAUCAAUAGUUCAGCACCCAGGAAUCUCCCCUUCCUCCAAUUCCCCCACUGGGAAAAGUCACCUUUCCAGUUAAGAAAAUCAUCAGGAUUAAUUUGAGCAAAACAUCAGAGUAUACAUCAAGAAAGCCUUGAUCAAAAUCAAAAUACAUCAAGAGCUGCCAUUUUCUUCUAUUUCCUCUUCCCUGAAUGGAAUGUCUUUUGGACUGAGGUGAUCAAUGGUAACAGUCUAACAUACUCCUUAAGCUCCGAUUGAGGUCAACGGGGAUUGGCACAUUUCAUGAUUGGCAAACAUGAAUCUCAGGAUAAUCAACAAGUCAACAACUAUCAAUCAGUAAGGAAAAGGAAAUACCUUUGGAUAUUUACAAAUAAAAAAUUUGAGAGAGUCCAGCUGCUCUGUACAGAAAGGCUUGAGCUUAUUCCAUGGCCAGGCUUUAGAUGGUUCUGAAUUAAGGAUGAGAGGGUUGAGUUUUCUUUCAUUCUGCAAUAAGAUUAAAAACAUCAAUGAAACGCUAAAAGUUUAUAUAUAGAAGCCCUUCUAAAGAUAAGAAUUGGUAAGAGAGCCCACCCAUGGUCUAGUAAAGCAACAUCUGUUAGAUAAGUAACCACCAUUCUAUUGUCCAACUAAUGCAUUUAGAUCUAAGAUAAGAUAUGGAAAAAUAGUCGAAAAUAGUUAAAGACAGUCCAAAAACUCAUUUGACUAAUAAUUUUCUAAAAACAGUAACAUAAAACCAGGAUGAAGAAUCCACCCCUCUACCUGACACCACUUCAAUACCAAAUAAAAUGUUAUGAUGACCAUUUAUGGUCUUAAGAGACAGUGGAUGUUGUUUGGGCUCAAGACCUAAGACAAGCCAAAAAUCAAGAAGAAAACAACAUCAAAAUUGGCACAGAAACAAGUACAUCAACUAUCUAAUAAAGAGAUUUAUGCAUGUAACAAAUGCAAAUGAAAUAUGAUCCAAGAUUUUCAUGGAUUAAACAAAAAUUAUUUGAAAUAUGAUCCAAGAUGGCAAAAUAGAAGGAUAAGGUCACAGACAGGACAAUAUUAAAAGAAAUUAUUAUUUUUCUGACCUGAAAAUCGAGGCAUUCAGAACAGUACAAGUUUGUAAGUAGUCCAUGGAAACCAGGGAACAUAUGCAGACGUUGUAUUCUAUUGCAUAAGGCAAACACUCAAUACUUACAAGCAUAAUCAUGCCCAGAAAGCCAUGAAUCCCUUUCUGUUUUGCUUUUUUACCUAUUCUCAUCUCUUAUGGCCAGAAGUGCCCAGGAUGAUACAACCUCACCAAAUAAGUUAGAAACCAGCCCAUUCAGCAGGUUGAGUAGCCAGCUUGCCCUCAAUCUUCUUUGAGUCAACAAACAGCUGGGCAUUAUUGCCUCCAAUGGAGGGUCUGGAAAUAUUAGAGCCGGCAGCAGGGGUGGCUGUAAAACUCUCUGUUCCAAAACCCCAAGUUUCAGGGCCAGAAGUUCCUUCUGUGGCUGGUUUGUUGUGAUGGCCAUUUCGGGUCCUAACAGACUUGCUAUUGUUGUCUGGGCACCUGCCUCAGAGAAAGCCUGCCAAAGAUUAGAGUCUGGGCCAGGGGAAACGGAUUUUCUUUGCUGGAGUUCCCAGUCUGUUGCUUCAAUCUUUUCUCUGUGCUGUUACGAGAAGAAAACCUAUCAGACACAUGAAUGGGUACAAAGAGGUAAACUUCAGGUUUUGGUUGUAUUGAAAAGCACAGGAAACUUCACAAGAGGCAAAUUAUACCCCAGGCUUAUUGAAGAAAAAUAAAGUACAAUUGACUUACCCAAAUGUCUACUUUCUCAUUUAUAGGUUUCCUCCUAAACAAAUCCCCACAUCUAGGACAGGAAAAGGAAGAAACUGGGAGUCGACAUUUUUUCAACCAAAAGCACUAACUUAUCAAAAAACAUAGUUUUCCAUUCAACCUCGGGAGCUGUACUUUCUGAUAUUGUCUUCUUCAAUGCCCAUUUCUUCAGGCUUCUUAAAGUGCUUAUGAUUGGUGGAGGUGCUUCCAAAAUCACACAACUUCCAUAAUCCAUUAGGGCCCAAUGGAAGAUUCUCAGCAUUUAUAUAAGAACUUCAGGGUUUAUACAUAUGAUCAUGUUACAGUAUAAAUCAUAGUGAACUGGUGGAAUUUGAUCAUUAGCCAACCUCAUCAAAAACUGUUUCACAGUUGAGGGGAUUGUUAACCUUGCCAUGGGCCAAGCAGCAAUUUCUGAAGAAGCUGGGUGACAAAAAGUACCAUCAUUUGGACUAGUUUCAAUGGAAAUUCCUCUGUUUUUAUACAUGAUAUCUUCAGCUUCAGCUUUUCCUUUUGCUUUUGACAUGGCUGAAACUGAUCCUGAAAUCAAAAAUCCCACACAAGUAGAUAUUUAACAGAAGAGGAUCCCAAUCUCUUCAAUUGAUUAAUGUAUAAAUGAAAUAAUAAAAAUAAUUAUAGGGAGAUGAACCUUAUACCUCUUGAGUUUCUUAGUCUUCUUGAACAGAGCAAUGAGCAUCAAGUGUUGAGCACCCAGGAAUCUCCCUUCCUCUACAGGGAAAAUCUGACAAUCUAUCUUUCUUCAUAUUCCACUUCCUUGCAAAAGUCAAAACAUGAAGAAAAUAUCAUCAAAAUUGAGGCAAAAAUAAGUGCAUCAACUGUCUCAAGAAGAGAUUUAUGCCUAUUGCUUACCUUUUGCAGAAUUCCACUUGGUUAGAGCACAUUUUACAUGGCCGCCCAAUCACUGCAAGCUGCUGAACCAAAGGAGAGUUCAAACAUCUAAAAAAUUUGACUAACUCAAGUAUCAUAAAAUACUUCACAUGAAUUCUAAAUGAUCUCAUAUCUAAAAAACUUUGGCAUAAAAUUAUUGUUGUUUACCUUACAUGUUUCUUCCAUGGUCAUAAUCGAAACUUUGUUUAUCAUAAGAAAUCUUCUAUGCUCAUCCUGAUUACUUACAAUGAACACUGAAAUGAAAGAAAAAAAAAACACAAAAAAUUUAAAUGUAUUUAAUUCCAAUUAAAUGAGUUUAAUCAAACACAUGAAAUUGUGAAUAAAAUUAUUUAAAAGCAUUGAAAUUCAUGUCAUUAAAGUUGUCCAUAAAAUUUGGUAUAUUGAAGCAAGAAAAAAACAAAGCAAUUUGAAUGACUUGCUAAUAAAGCAGGUAACUAGAAUAUGCCCUAGAGUUGUUCCGUGCCUUGUAUAUAAGAAAUUUAAAAAAAAAAAUCCUAAAAAGAAACAAACAAAAUAUCCAUGGUUCUUACGUUAUUUUUUCUUAAUUUUUCAAUAGUUAUAAAUGGUUCAUUUAAUUCUUGCAAACCACCAAAUCAAAGCAGAACAUGAAAAUGUAUUCAAUAUUUGUUUCAGGCUUGAAGCUUCAAGAAAAAGAAAAUCUUAAAUCAAAUAAAUAGGACUAGCAAAUGAAUUGGAACUUGAAAGAAAAGUUCAAGCGCAAAAGAAUUACCUGACUCUAUAUUGGCGGAGUGGCACUUUGAUUAAUAUAACACAUAAUUGAUCGUUAUUUUUGGAAUGUGAGCUAUAUAACGCCAUUCUUCCCCUUUCUCAAAUUGACACCGUUUUUCCAGUAAAGGACAUUUGUAGAUGUACAGAUCAGAGAGGGAGUCUGGAAGUCUCUCUUUUGUCAAGUAUUUGAGCUUACGACAGUUAUAGAUCCCUAAUGUUUUAAGAGAGGUGAGGUGUUGAAGACCCACUUUUGUCAAGGAUUGGAGCAUUGGGCAGUAAUUGAUCCCCAAACUUUCAAGAGAGGUGAGGUGUUGAAGACCCACUUUUGUCAAGGAUUGGAGCAUUGGGCAGUUUUCGAUCGACAACAUUUCAAGAGAGGUGAGGUGCUGAAGACCCACUUCUGUCAAUGAUUGGAGCCUCGAGCAUCCAUCAAUUUCUAAUCGUUUUAGAGAGAUAAGGUGUUGAAGAACCGAUCCUGUCGAGAACUGGAGCUCUGGGCAGUUUCUGAUCUGUAAUUGUAGAAGAGAGGUGAGUUGUUGAAGACCCCUGCUGUCAAGAGACUUGAGAUUCGAAAGCUCUACAAUUUGAAGAGAAGUCAGAGAAGAGGGCAGCAAACAGUCCUUGGGAAAUAAUUCAAUGUCUUCACAUCCACCGUUGAUUGUGAAAUGAGUAAGAGAGGUCAGCCUUUGCAAAUCGCACUCCACCUGGGGCGUGAAAUCGGUAAUUUCAAGUUUACGUAGGUUGGAAGGCAAACCCUCUCUCUGAAACAACAAUUCUGGACAAGACCCUAAAUUCAACUCCUGUACAGAUGAGUGUGCGUGUGCCAACGACCAGAGCUUGGAGCACCUAUAAAUCGAACAAGACUCCAAGUUGAGAGCGUGCAAUUCGAUAGAUUCAAGAUCAGGGCAACCAUCUAGAAACAGGGAACAUAAUGAUGUGGGAUCACCCUCUGAAACCAAAAUGGAGAGCUUCUCAAGCCCCUUAAGAUUAAGGAUUCUGAAAUGAGUCAACUUGGGGAAGAUGCCUAAUGAGAAGGAUAACGAGAGAGAAUCAUCGAUAACACCACGAUUGAUGAUUAGACUUUCAAGGACUGGGAGAUGGCAUCUGAACAACUCAGGUACGAGAAUCUCUAAUUUCGAGCACUCAUAGAUGACUAGUGAUUUCAGUGUAGUGGGUAAACCAACUUUGUGUAGGGAUCUAGAAAAACUACAGUCAUAGAUUUUCAGAUCAUGUAUGUUGGUUUGCGAGAUUUCCUCCUCUAGCAGAGACUCCACAUAAUCACAUUUUCUAAUUGAGAGCUGGUGUGGUGCCAUUGGAAGUUGACUCCACUGAGACACAUCUAAAAUUUCAAUUUCUGAAGUUUGAAGAGCUGUGAAGUCACAACCUGCCAUUUGCAACUGCAGUUUACCAAAAUCCAUCAUCCUCAAUCGACAAAUUGCAGGAACUGUGAGUGAAGCCAUAAGCAGUUGCGGACAUCCAUCAAUUUGAAAUUCCACCAAUGAAAGAAGUUGUUCUGGUAAUUUCCCAGAGAGUUUGGGACACCUUCGUAUAAAAAGCUUCUGGAGACGAGGGAAUUCUCCACGACAUAACCAUUUCUCCCAGUUCUGCAUAUCCUCAAAUGAUAGUGUUUCUAGGAAUUGAAAGGAAGCAUUCCCAUAGAACUCAUCACCCACACACUCUACUCCAUUCAUCCUUGAGAUUUGCAGAUAUUUAAGGUGGGUUAGCUGUCCAAGUGGUGGCAAUGUUGAGCAAUUGCCACAACCCCGAAGCUCAAGGGACACGACAUUCAACACUGAAGGAUCUCCAAGCCAAUUUGGAAAUCCUUCACCAGGAUAGUUUGUGAUGGAGAGUUGUUUUAAAUUUGGAUGAGGUUGUAACUUGUUGAGUAUAUCAUGCGUUGUUGCACCACUUUGUGUAACACCAUUGGUACACUUGUCACCCCAACCAAAGAUUAACUCAUCAAGAUAACUUUUAUCCUUCAUAUUAGCCCUUGAUGCAUCAUUAACACUCACCACAUUCUCCAUGUUUGAAAUAUAAAGUUUUCCUCGAAGCUCUGACAGCUCCCCCAAUUCUCCAAUUCUUAAUCCAUUGUUUUGGCUCACAAUAAAUCGAGUCAACCUUUGUAAAUUUUUUAAUCGACCAAUUCCAUGACUUGAUAUUUCUCUCAAUGAACCACAUCCAUCAAUAUCAAGAUAGCGCAAAUUAAUCAAUUUUCCCAUCUUUGAAGGCAAUUCAUUAAGUUUUGAACAUUUUCUUAGCAUCAUCGUUUGUAAAUUGCAUAAACAACAUACUGAUUCAGGUAAUUUUUGAAUCAAUGUUAAAGACAAAUCCAAGUAACGUAAAUGUUUCAAAUUACCUAUCGAUUUAGGCAAAUCAGUUAUUCUAUAUGCACAUAAUGAUAACACACGUAAACACCACAUUUUUGGUAAUAUAUCUUGCAAAACUCUUUUACUCAAAUCAUAACGAUAAAAGUCUUCUUCUGUCUUCACUUCUAAGAAUGUCCGAAGAGAUUCAGCUUUAGUCAUAGCCUCAAAAUUCUUAAAUGCAACCAACGAGGUAUAAUCAUCACUUUUAAAGUACAAAAAGUGGUGAGCCUUCUCAGAUACUUUUGGUAACUUAUCAUCAUCUUCCACUCGAGCACAAAAAUCUCCAGACACGUGUUGAGCCAAUUCAUGUAUUAGAUCAUGCAUUACAAAGCAUGAUCCUUUUAUUCCAACAGAUUUUUGAAAGAAAGACUUGGCAAGAAGCUCAUCAAAAUAUGACUCACCGAUCCCUUCCAUUCUCCUUCCUUCGUUUUGUCGUGGAUGUAAAAGACCUUCUGCCAUCCAUAAUAAAAUCAGCUUCUCUUUGUUGAAUUGGUGGUCCUGGGGAAAAAUAGAACAAUAAGCAAAACAAUGCUUCAGAGGUAAAGAAAGAUGAUGGUAGCUUAAUAUCAAAGACGGAAGAAUUUCGGAGCCACUAUGCGGAUGCCAUAUAUCACUUUUCAACACAUCGUCCCAUUCCCUUUUUUCAACCUUAGAAUACAAGAGACAGCCGAGUGCUUUCACAGCCAA